rnacentral:lncRNA from 1 species
UGCCACAAACAUGCAUGGAAGACAGCAAAAUAUGGAACCACUUCAGCUUGGGAAACAUAAGACAUAAUUGGGCACAAGUUUUCUUCACAAUGCUCACAUAACUUUACCACUAGAAACCAUGAUAUGGAUUAACAUAAAGUGGGUGGAACUUAACUAACAGGACCACAAGUUCUUAUUCAUGCCAGGAGAUGGCUAACUGGAUCAACUAACUUAGCAGUGCAAACUCAGGAGGCCAGAACCAAAAGUAGUACUAUCUGAAGACUCCAAUGCAUAAGCAUUCAGAUCCAUAGCGCUUUAGACUUGUUAAUUCUAUUUGGAGCUGCCAGCUUCUUGAUCUUUCAUGCUUGUUUUCUUCUUCUUCGAGCCACCAGCUUCUUGAUCCUUCAGACUUGUUUCCUUCGUGUUAGAGCUACUAGCCUGAAAACGGCAAAUAUCAAAAGACAAAAUCAAAUACGGAGUAAGUUGUAAGUUGGAGGUACUGAAUUGGAGACCCCCAAAUGCGAUUCAAAACUGCCAACAUAUCAUUUCAUUGCAACCAUUUUCGUGUUUGGCUGACUGGGGUUGCAGUUUGCCGGGGAUUCGCUGACUUGAAGCUGACUUGUCCACUUGUGAGCCGUCUGAUUUCAAAUCAACGACUCGGAUUUGAUGCUCACGUACAGUGAAAUGACUUAGGCCACUCACAUACGAUCCGGCGGUUCAGAGUAGCCAAGUCACAUACUGUAAGCUGUGACUUAGCCACUCUACCUAAGUCAGCCAAGCUGCGCGGGUCACAGUUAUGGUAUGGGCUGCUCUACCUUGACAGUGGCCAAAACAACUCGAUAAUCUUUAACUGUUGUCAGCCAAUUUGGGGAGAACAUGUGAAGAGAAGCGGAAACACCAAUGACCGUACUAGUGGGUAAUGAGUACUUUUUACGAUUGGGAAGGAACUUUCGUCCUUCAGUUUGGCAAUUUUGGAAAAACUGUAAAUGGAUUUUUCAGUAAUAGACACGGUCAUUGUCUCGUAGGCAACAGAAACUACAUUGUAUAGAAUUCUUAACAUUGAUGCCCGGCCGGGUAACAUUAGCUUGGUUAGUGGGUUCUAGCCACUUUUCUGAAAUUUAGAUCCGUAACUGGAUCAACAACUAAGAAAUCGGGAAUUCACUUUGGCUCAUAUAGAUGCAUAUACAUCCAUUGUCUAAAUACACAUCCACAAACAAGUGAUUAUUAGCAAAAUGUUCUAAUAAACAGUACUACCUCUAGAAAAAAAGAUGUUUUGCAAGAGAUAAAAGUGCAGUCAAGCAAGAAAAUGAGAGGAGAAACAAUUUUGGCGCACCUUGAGGGUGGGGUGUGGCCAUGCCAUGAAAUAGGGGUGCACCCGUGCAUCGAAUGUGAAGAAGUCUGCCUCCAACUCGGGCCUGGUGGUGCAUUCCCGGACAUUAAGGCCGCCAUUCUCCGUGCCCAUGAAGAGCGCCAUCGUCCGUGCCCAUUCUCCUGGUCGGAGGGCGUUCUUCAGGCGAAACCCGUAAUAGUGGAGCCCGCCAUUCUUCGUGCCCAUGGAGAGCAGCACGACGCCGGCGGUCACAUCGCAGACCUUCUGCACUCCGCCUCGAAGCAGAUACCAUUUGGAAGCAUCCACCUCCAACUGUAGCUCCCAGGACUUGUCCUCCUCCAUGCGGAACCAUACCUGCAGGACGAGCUUGCGACUCAUGGCCACGAGGCAGGUUGUGCCGUCCUCCGUUUCUCCUACGGCGUACGACCAUGGCUCAUAGUGCAGGUUAUGUGGGAGCUCGACGUGGGAGAACUCCAUGGCGCCGACAUCGAGCGCGGUGAGCUGAUCUCCUGUAAUGCUCCUCCAAUAGAUGCGCCCACCGGCGUGCAUGGGCCAGCCGAGCUUGGAUUCCCUCGGUCCAUUAAUACCUUUGGGCGCCCACGAGUGGGAGCACCACUCGCCCGUGCGGGAGCUGUAGACGCGUGCGCGCACCCUGCCGCCCUUCUUCUCCAGGGAGAGCACACUGAAGGGGGUUUGACCGCCGCCGCACGCCGGCAGGAAGCAAUGGAGCGAGUCGCGGGAGAUGUGGUUGUCGGGUAUAGGUAUACGCAGUCGUGAGCGGGAGACGGGGUCGAACACCACCAGCUGACUGUGGCUGCUGAGGAGUAGGAGGCCGUGGCGGCAGUCCAUGAGGCGCCCAUCGUAUUCGAGAUCCGUGAGAUGGAAGUCGCCGCGGCGGACGACGGCGGCGAGGUGGCGGUCGCGGCGGAGGAGCGCGCGGUGGAAGGUGGGGACGGCGCCGUCGGUGACCGACACGAAGUAGCCGAGUAACGGAGCCCGGGAAAGGAAGGGGUUCAAGACGGCAGGGGAGGAGGCGACGCCGCACAGGCGCGGGCAGGAGAGGGCGGCGCUGGCGAGCGAGGGCAGCGACGGGAGGCGGCUGAGGAUCUCGGCGAGCAUGUCGUCGCCGAGGGACACGAGGGAGGUGGGCUCGGAAUCGCGCUUGCGCUUGGGGCCGGGCGGGCUGUCGGUUGUCAUCUCAGCGGCGUAGGCAGGCAGAAUGGCGGUGGCGAGGUGGUCGGAGCCUGGGAGGUGGAGGAGAGUUUAUGUGGAACGAGCCAUGGGGCUGGGGAGAUCAGAUCUAGAUGCGCACGCACCGUCCAUGCUUGCCAAUCCAGACCAGAGUAGGCGCAAGUGGGAAAGCUGGGAGGUUUCUCAAAAAUGUGGUCAAACAGGGAGGCUCCAACACGCCAUGGCCCCAUGUAACCAUGCAACGUCGCAUCGCACUGCAGCUACUACUCCUACUGAUGCCUAGCUGCUAGGCUAGGAGCGCAAUCGAGUCCACAAACGAGGCAGCAAGGCACACCCCCGACGUGAUGUCUAUUGACCACGGCAUUUGAUGCGUUUUACCGCAGACCAGCCCAGUGAAACAAAAGAUGUUACUUUACCUAGCUUCGGUCCAUUAGCACUGAAUCCAACCUAAUAGUACAAGUCUCAGUCCACUCCUUAACCGUCAGAUUUAUUGCUGCUUUUAGAUGCGUGUAACAUGCGUUUAAUUGUAAAUUGGCCCCUGUAGAGGACGAACUGGGUGGGCUGCUUUCGCUCCUUGUUUUUUUCUGUUGGCUUUGGGCGGUUUGCUGGGCUGGGCAGGGGAGUGGCAGGCUUUGGGUGGUGUGUCAUUUUCUUGCCUGUAAAUUUUACAAUGUGUAAGAGAGAUUCCUGACUAGGAAAAGAACUGUAUACUUUCCCAAGAAAAAGAAAAAAUAUAUGUACUGCAGUACCAUCUUUUAUGAGUAUUUCAUCUUUUGUUUUCUAGAAUCCACUUGCGUAUGUGUGGUUGUUGUUGAUAUAUUAGAUUCCUAUUGUAUAGUUUUUGGAUGUAGUUUUUCUAGUGCAACAUCCAUGUCUUGUUUUUUGAGAACCAGAAUUUUUCCUUUUUGAGAUGUGCAUGCACUCACGGGUUUUUGCAUAGAACAAGCAUUCAUAGCAUUUUUUUCUAGUUUUUUUAGCUUUGGCUUUGUGUUAAGUAUGCCAGUCUAAAAAAAGUAAAGAAGGAAAUAUCAAAUUUAAAAAUUAUCUAUUUUAUGUGAAUUUGCUAUUCUCAGUCGAUCAACAAUUAGUCAAGUCUUAGUCGAUUCGAUAGGAAAAGAACCUUAAUUGCCGCUUUUUGUUUGUAUGUUAGUUUUUUUAUUUCUUUUGUUUUUUCUCUCAUGUCCAAUCAGUUUGCUUCCAGUUUUUGGGUGACGGGUUGUUUUAAUGCACGUUGGCCCGCUCUUUCCUCCUUAUUUAUUUUAUGCAUGGACUGAUGGCCUGGCUUUUUAUGGAUUUAUUUUUGUAUUUUUAUUUUACUUUCCUCCCUCUUUUUUUAUAUUUUUGUAAGUGAUUGUUAACUACAAAAAAUCGGUGUCCUCGUGAGAUUGGUUUUAUUUUGCAUACAUAUUUUUUCAAUUCUUAUUGUUUCAUUUUUAUUUUUAUUUUCUUCUUUCUAUUUGCUUGCUAAAAAAAAUCCUUUUUUCUUUUUAUUUAUUUAUUUUUUCUCUUUUAUUGCAUUGAAAUAUUUUUCUUGUAUGCCUGCUAUUAGGCGGAAUUGUAAGUGUCGCCAUUGACUGAAUUUAUUAGUCUUUAGAGAAGGCAAUUGCAUGUCGGUCACUAGGCAUCCAACUGCAAGUGUCACCUCUGACUGCAAUUGCAUGCUCACACACCCUACUGCAACUAACAUUUAUUUUUUAAGUGGGCAGCGGGAAAGGGAGGGGGAGUUGCAUGUGCGAUACCAGGCUUGCAACUGCAAAUGUCGCCCUCGACUGCAACCGCAUGUCUCCCUCCUGACUGCAACUGGCCUUGUGUUUUUUNNNNNNNNNNNNNNNNNNNNNNNNNNNNNNNNNNNNNNNNNNNNNNNNNNNNNNNNNNNNNNNNNNNNNNNNNNNNNNNNNNNNNNNNNNNNNNNNNNNNNNNNNNNNNNNNNNNNNNNNNNNNNNNNNNNNNNNNNNNNNNNNNNNNNNNNNNNNNNNNNNNNNNNNNNNNNNNNNNNNNNNNNNNNNNNNNNNNNNNNNNNNNNNNNNNNNNNNNNNNNNNNNNNNNNNNNNNNNNNNNNNNNNNNNNNNNNNNNNNNNNNNNNNNNNNNNNNNNNNNNNNNNNNNNNNNNNNNNNNNNNNNNNNCUCGGCUGGAACUGCAUGCCUACACACCCGACUGCAAUUGCAUGCACACACACCUGACUGCAACCGACAUGUUUGAUUUGUUAGUGGGUGCCGGGAGAGGGGGUAGCUGCAUGUCCGAUACUAGGUUUGCAACUGCAAGUCUCACCCUCGACUGGAAUUGCAUGUCCCCUAUCAAUUGCAACUGGCCUUUUGUUUCUGUUGGAGAGGGGAUGAAUUGCAUGUCCGACAAUACGCUUGCAAGUACAACUGUCGCUCUCAAUUACAAUUGCAUGUUCGACAGUAGGCUUGCAACCGCAAGUGUCGUUCUCGACUGCAAUUGCAUGCCUACACACCCGACUGCAACUGAGUUUUUUGUUUUGUAAGUGAGCGGCAGGAGAGGGGAUGGGAGGUGCAUACAUGCAUGGUACUAGGUUUGCAACUACAAGUGAGGCCCUCGAAUGCAACAACAUUUCCCCUAUCGAAUGCAACUAGCCUUGUGUUUUUGUCGGAGAGGGAGUGAAUUGCAUGUCCGACAAUAGAGUUGCAACUACAAGUGUCGCUCGACUACAAUUGCAUGGCUGACAGUAGGCUUGCAACUUCAAGUGUUGCUCUCGAUUGCAACCGCAUGCCUACACACCCGGCCGCAACUGACCUUUUUUUUGUAAGUGAGCGGCAGGAGAGGGGGGAGUUGGAUGUGCAACAAUAUGCUUGCAACUACAAAUGUCACCCUCGACUGCAACUGCAUGCCUACACACCCGACCGCUACUGGCCAUUUUUUUGUUUUGUAAGGGAGCGACAGGGAGGGGGGAGUUGCAUGUCCGAUACUAGGCUUGCAACUACAAGUGUCGCCUUUGACUGCAACUAUAUGCCUACACACCCAGUGCAAUUAACAUUUUUGUUUUGUAAGUGGGCAUCAGGAGAGGGGGUAGUUACAUGUACGACACUAGGCUUUGCAACUACAAGUGUCGCCACCUAAUGCAACUACACUAGGCUUGCAACUGCAAGUGUCACCCUUGAUUUGUUAAAAAAACAAUGCUACCCACGUCGGAUGCACACAUUUGCAUGUCCUCCAAAUAUUCUUUGUCUUUGUAUGCAACUUAAUAUUCUUUUCUUUUGAAAAACAAGGCCACACUAUUUUAGCUGUCUUGUUUUCAUUUUGUUUCUUUGUUACAUUAAAGAAUGAAAUUUUUCCUAAUAUACAAAAUGUACUUUUGAAAGAAAUUACAAAAAAGAAAAAGAAAAAGAGAAGCAAGAUGGCACACAAAGAGAAGAACUAAACGAUGAGCUAUACUAGUGACGGAAUUUACUUGUCUUGUUGAGCACUUUUUCUCCGUACCAAGAAAAUACAAAGACAAAGAAACAAACAGCCCAACCUAAAUAAAUAAACAAACAAACAACAGAAAAACGAAAAAGGCCCAAUCUACCUUAGGUGACAUCAGCCGACUUAGACUUCACGAAGUCUAAGUCGACUGAGACCUAGACAGACCUUCUUGUUUACAGCUCUGGAAAGGAUUAGCAUUUUGCGCCCGACACUAAUUAAAAGAUCAAACCACUUUCGGUUCACCGGUAAGAGCAACUCCAAUGCGCCGACCCAAAGAGACGAUGAUUUUAUCCAUUCCUUGUACGUCUGGGUCGGUCGCGCACUCGGCAUCCAUCCUGUUUUACUUUUAGGUUGGCAGUGCGCCCAACACGCUUGACCUAUUUUAUGUCCGUGUAUAAAUUUAAAUGACUUGCGGCUAUACAUCAUGCCAACACCCAUGCCGUCGCCUAAAGUUCAUGCCGGCACCAAUGCCAGCGGCCGGCGUACUAUGUCAGCUUAAAAAAACUCACCACAUAGUUCAUGCUGAUGCACUUGUCAACGGCCGACACACAUGUCAUCACACAAAAGGGGUGGGAAUUCGACCAUGCCAUCUCGGCCGUAGUCAUGCCAACACACUUUCCGGCAUACAAAAAAGGGAUGGCGCUCUCCACCAUAGAUCACUCAUCGUCGAACUUGAGCAUGUCGGCCUGCAUCUUCUCGAACCAUGGCCCCUUUCUAGGCGACACGGUGUUCACCUUCAUGAUCUCCACCCCCGUCAUCAUGCUAGCGAGCGCCACUUCUUUCGCCUUGGUCAUGGCAUUGGCGGUCUCGAUCUCGAGCAUUUUGGCUUGCUUCUCUGCCUCCAUCUCAAGCAUCCUGACUUUCUUCUCCACCUCCAUCUCAAGCCUCCUCCUUUGGAUCUUCAUGAAGGCGUUCAUUUGCUCUUCCUUGUCUUGCCGACGCUUCUCCUCUCUCGAGUCCUUCUUACUCAUCAUGCCCUCCACAGUUGCAAGCAAGGCGAUCGACGCUGCAUCCCGCUUGUCCUCCUUCUUGAAGUUGGUCUUCCCCCGUGGUCGUGGCUUUUCGCCCUCGCCAAUCUCCUCCACUGCUGCCUUCCCUUCACGCGCCAUGAGGGUGCUAUAUUGCGCAUUGAACUUCUCCUCUCCAACAAUGGGAGAGGUUGAAGGACUUGCCGUCAUGUUGGACUUUGAAUGCCUCCAAAGCUUAUAAUGCCUACAAAUGAAGAGCAUACAAGCAUAUGGGAGAAUGGAUAUGCAAAUGGACAUGCAAGCAUAACGGGAUUGGAAACAGAGAGGGACGCAUGUAUACCAUGUCUUGCAUGUCAAUGCCGCUCACGGGCGUGCCUUGAUGCUCUCAAGGGUGGCACAAAACUUGUUGCGCUCUUGUUGUAUCACCCUCCAUCGCUUUGAAUGCGACACCCAACCACACUUGCUAUGCAUUUGGUACAACGCAAACUUCUUGCGUUCAUGGAACUCACGAUGGACACAGAUCCAAAAGGUUGAUGCCUUUUGUUCGGCGCCGACCUUGGGGUCUUGCCUAAUGUCCCUCCAACACUCACAAAAGAGCUUGUCCUAGGAUGGCGUGUAUGCCUUCGUCCCCUUGCUCUUGCGCUUCGACUUCACCCCGGCGGCUUGGUUGGCAAGCUCGUCCUCGAACAAAGGCUCUCCGUUGAUGUCCAUCUUAUCCACUUCCUCGAGGUCGUAGUCCUCCAGGAACUCGUGGUCGAGCGGGAAGCUUCCCAGGUGACCUGAUCUUCCAUGAAGGCGCCGUGCAUAUGAGCUUGAUCAUAGGUCGCCGACGUACAUGACGCUCGACUGUUUUGGCUUUAGGUCUCAUUAGGAUCGUAGGAAGCCGCGGCAUCACCGCUAGCAGAGCCAGUGGUUGCCGCACCACCUUCGGAGAUGAUGUUCUCGAUGAUGAAACGGUUGGUCGUUUCAUCGUCGACGACUGGUGGCAUUCUAUUGAACACGUUGCGGGCGCCGGGGAGCAUGUCGGCUGGCAUCUCCCGCGGGCGUUUCCUCACCCCUUCGAAGGAUCAUGCACCAGCCAUGGGUGUGGCGUUGAGGCUAAUGACCACAGGUGCAGGCGCGGGCGUGGGCGGUGCCACCACGCUCACCUUCGGUGAGCACUCCCUGAAGAAGCAGGAGGCUUGCGGAUAGACGUGGAAGUCGGGAAUCGGGUGCGUGGCAGACGCGCGCGGCGACUCUGGUAGCACCACCCGAGGAAAUGCGGACAAGCCCGUGCUGGCCGCAGCCACGGCGGCGCUGACGAGCACAUGAUGGCCAGGGUUUAAACCUAGGCAGAUUAGGGCCUCCCUCGUUGUUGUGGUGACUCGGGCGUUGGUUUCCUCCUGCUGUGCGGCGACGCCGAGGGCGGCGAUGGCCGCUGCUUCGUCCCUUGCGUUUGCUACGUGCCGCUGGUCCUUCCUCUUGGCUGACUGCACGGCCCGCUCCUCGGGCGUCAGCUGCUUCUUCUUCUUGGGUGGCGUGAUGGUCUUGCGGUGGUUGCCGUUGCCGGAGGGGACAGAGGUGAGGCCGGACGAGGCGAGGGAGGAGAGCCAGCAACCACCAUCUUAUUGACAACCCCCUCGCUGCCACCACCAUCCUGCUCGCCUGCCUCCUCGUCCCCCUCCCCAACCUCCUCCUCGAUAGAGGGUACCUCACUAGAGGAGGGCCUCGAAGAUAGCACCCCUAAGUUGGUGAGGGAGCGCUAUUUCUUGCCCCGACCCCCUCUAGGGGCUCUCCCCUCACCCCCUCCCCCUCUAGGGGCUCUCCCCCACCCCCUACUCAUCUAAGGGCACCUCUCCCUUGACCUCCCUAUGAGGAGUCAUCCUCAAGUAGUCGGGAGGGGGGGGGGGAGUACGGGGUUGAGCACUCCGACUAGCCAUGCUGACGACCUUGGCUAGGAAACCCGUGCCGUCGGCCUUCCCCUUGCCCAUGUUCCGCUAACCUGCAUUGAAAAGAGAAUAAACAAUCAGUACAUUAAUAAUGAAGAAAAAAGCAUAAUAAUAAGGAAUAAAACACAUUAAUAAAUAAGCAUAAAAAUGCAUAUUAAUAAACCAUAGAAAAAAGACAUGAAAUGUACAUAUGCUAGAACCCAUACGAAUCAUCACUGUUGUAACUGAUUCCUCGAUCGGUCUCAUCAUCACUAUCACGCAUAUCAUCUUUGUUGUCUGACGAAGGUGGAGGCUCUUCCUCGUCGUCAACGUCUUCGAGGAACUUUUGUAGCAUAAGUAUGUCAUUUUCAUUAACAAUGGUCUCACCAUCAUUCCGUGCAUCGUCAUAGCUGUGCCCCCGGAUCGAUGAGGUGUGCCCAACCGACACACCUCAGAUCGAUGAUGUGGCACGUGCCGCAUAUCGAUGACGUGGACCAAGACUAUGUCGUCGGCUUGGCCGUCGGCAUAGCUAUGUCGACGACCGCCGUUAGGGCCGUCGGCAUAGAUAUGACGGCGUCAAGCGGCCGUCAUCCACCGAGUCUCCGUUCCCACAUAUAUGCCGACGGGCGCUGUAGGCAUAUGUCACGCGAUGCUGACUACUUUACUAUGCCAAUGACAUUGAAUCCACCUACAUCUCUAUUAAGUAAUGAUCAGUCCUAAUCCCACCCAAGGAUGUGUAGAUUGAGUACGUUCUCCAUGCUCUACACCAUUUCAAGACAAAAAUUCGACAGCACCUCCCUGCUGUUGUCCAGAAACACGUCUCGGCAAAUAGCCGAGAGUAUGUGCUCCGGAGGUCUUGUGGNNNNNNNNNNNNNNNNNNNNNNNNNNNNNNNNNNNNNNNNNNNNNNNNNNNNNNNNNNNNNNNNNNNNNNNNNNNNNNNNNNNNNNNNNNNNNNNNNNNNNNNNNNNNNNNNNNNNNNNNNNNNNNNNNNNNNNNNNNNNNNNNNNNNNNNNNNNNNNNNNNNNNNNNNNNNNNNNNNNNNNNNNNNNNNNNNNNNNNNNNNNNNNNNNNNNNNNNNNNNNNNNNNNNNNNNNNNNNNNNNNNNNNNNNNNNNNNNNNNNNNNNNNNNNNNNNNNNNNNNNNNNNNNNNNNNNNNNNNNNNNNNNNNNNNNNNNNNNGGCCGGAGGUGAGGCCGGACGAGGCAAGCGAGGCAAGGCCGGCGGCGGCAUCGAGGGCGUCGUCCAUGGCGAGCGGCAGGGAGCACGAGCAGGCGGGAGGUUUUGGUAAAGUGAAGGGAAAUGAUGGUCACUGUGCCACAGGCUAGCGGGCCAGCGGGGAGUAGGCGUGCGUCACGCGCGUCCGUUUUGUGUCCGCACCGACGCAAAUCAAACUAAAAAUUGGGCCAGGAAUGGGUUGGCAAGCGGACAAAAUGCGGACGCGCGUCCGUUUGGGUCGGCGCAUUGGGCCGACUUUUGUGUCUGCAACGACCCAAACGGACAUGCACAGAAGAAAUGGGUCAGCGUGUUGGAGGUGCUCUAAACACAUCAACGACAAAGAUACCCAUACCCCUUCAUAAAAAAGAUAGGAUCGUCCUUUUUAGAAAAGAUGUUAUACGGCAAACCGCGGCAACACACGCACGUCCGCUCCAAGUACGUACAAAUACAUACGCUAGCGUUGCGCCGCACCGCGUGGCGAGUUGACGGGUGCUACCUCUUGAGCUUGCGUUGGUUUUUCCCUUGAAGAGGAAAGAGUGAUGCAGCAAAGUAAAGUAAGUAUUUCCCUCAGUUUGAGAACCAAGGUGUCAAUCCAGUAGGAGACAACGCACAAGUCACCGAAUACCUGCACAAACAAUCAACAACUUGCACCCAACGCGAUAAAGGUGUUAUCAAUCCCUUCACGGUUACUUGCAAAACUAAGAUCUGAUAGAGAUAGAUAGACGGUAAAGUAAAUAUUUUUGGUAUUUUUGGUUUAUAGAUUGGAAAGUAAAAGAUUGCAAAAAGAGUAGAUUGGAAACUAAAAUUGUAGAUCGGAAACUUAUAUGAUGGAAAAUAGACCCGGGGGCCAUAGGUUUCACUAGAGGCUUCUCUCAUGAUAGAAAAUAUUACGGUGGGUGAACAAAUUACUGUCGAGCAAUUGAUAGAAAAGCGCAAAGUUAUGACGAUAUCUAAGGCAAUGAUCAUGAAUAUAGGCAUCACGUCCGUAUCAAGUAGACCAACUCCUGCCUGCAUCUACUACUAUUACUCCACACAUCGACCGACUCCUGCCUGCAUCUAGAGUAUUAAGUUCAUAAGAACAGAGUAACGUUUUAAGUCAGAUGACAUGAUGUAGCAGGAUAAACUCAAGCAAUAUGAUGAAAACCCCAUCUUGUUAUCCUCAAUGGCAACAAUUCAAAACAUGCCUUGCUGCCCCUACUGUCAUUGGAAAAGGACACGCAAGAUUGAACCCAAAGCUAAGCACUUCUCCCAUUGCAAGAAAAACCAAUCUAGUUGGCCAAACCAAUUCAGAGAAGAUUCAAAUAAUAUUCAUAGAUAAGCUGAUCAUAAAUCCACAAUUCAUUGGAUCUCGGCAAACACACCGCAAAAAGGUAUUACAUCGAAUAGAUCUCCAAGAACAUCGAGGAGAACAUGGUAUUGAGAAUCAAAGAGAGAGAAGAAGCCAUCUAGCUACUAGCUAUGGACCCGUUGGUCUGAGAUAAACUACUCACGCUUCAUCGGAAGGGCAAUGGUGUUGAUGGAGAAUCCCUCCAUGACCGAAUCCCCCUCCGGCAGGACGUCGGAAAAGGCCCCUAGAUGGGUUCUCAUGGGUACAGAAGGUUGUGGCGGUGGAAAAGUGUUUUCGUGGCUCCUUCUGUUGGUUUUGGGAUAUAUGAGAAUAUAUAGGAGGAAGAAGUAGGUUGGUGGACUCACGAGGGGCCCACAACGGUGGGUGGCGCGCCCUACCCCCCUGGGCUCGCCCUCCAUCCUAGUGGCCGCCUCGUGGCUUCUCUAACUUGCACUCCAAGUCCUGCGGAUGUCUUCUGGUCCAAGAAAAAUCAUCGCGAAAGUUUUAUUCCGUUUCGACUCCGUUUGGUAUUCCUUUUCUGCGAAACUGUAAAACAAGGAAAAAACAGAAACUGGCACUGGGCUCUAGGUUAAUAGGUUAGUCCCAAAAAUCGUAUAAAAUAGCAUAUUAAUGUAUAUAAAACAUCCAAAACAGAUAAUAUAAUAGCAUGGAACAAUAAAAAAUUAUAGAUACGUUGGAGACGUAUCAAGCAUCCCCAAGCUUAAUUCAUGCUCGCCCUCGAGUAGGUAAAUGAUAAAAACAGAAUUUUUGAUGUGGAAUGCUACCUAACAUAUUUAUCCUUGUAGUUUCUUUUGUUGUGGCAUUAAUGUUCAUAUCCGUAUGAUUCAAAACAAAAGUUUAAUAUUGACAUAAAAACAGGAAUACUUCAAGCAUACUAACAAGGCAAUUAUGUCUUCUAAAAAUAACAUGGCCAAAAAAAGCUUAUCCCUACAAAAUCAUAUAGUCUGGCUAUGCUCCAUCUUCAUCACACAAAAUAUUUAAAUCAUGCACAACCCCGAUGACAAGCCAAGCAAUUGUUUCAUACUUUUGAUGUUCUCAAACUUUUUCAACUUUCACACAAUACAUGAGCGUGAGCCAUGGACAUAACACUAUAGGUGGAAUAGAGGGUGGUUGUGGACAAGACAAAAAGAAGAAGAUAGUCUCACAUCAACUAGGCGUAUCAACGGGCUAUGGAGAUGCCCAUUAAUAAAUAUCAAUGUGAGUGAGUAGGGAUUGCCAUGCAACGGAUGCACUAGAGCUAUAAGUUUAUGCAAGCUCAAAAAGAAACUAGGUGGGUGUGCAUCCAACUUGCUUGCUCAUGAAGACCUAGGGCAUUUUGAGGAAGCCCAUCAUUGGAAUAUACAAGCCAAGUUCUAUAAUGUAAAAUUCCCACUAGUAUAUCAAAGUUCAAAAAUAGGAGACUCUCUAUCAUGAAGAUCAUGGUGCUACUUUGAAGCACAAGUGUGGUAAAAGGAUAGUAGCAUUGCCCCUUCUCUAUUUUCUCUCAUAUUUUUAUUUUUUUAUUUGGGCCUUCUCUCAUUUUUUUGCCUCUUUUUUUCGUCGGAGUCUCAUCCCGACUUGUGGGGGAAUCAUAGUCUCCAUCAUCCUUUCCUCACAUGGGACAAUGCUCUAAUGAUGAAGAUCAUCACACUUUUAUUUACUUACAACUCAAAAUAGUACAACUCGAUACUUAGAACAAAAUAUGACUUAUGUGAAUGCCUCCGGCGGUGUACCAGAAUAUGCAAUGAAUCAAGAGUGACAUGUAUGAAAGAAUUAUGAAAGGUGGCUUUGCCACAAAUACGAUGUCAACUACAUGAUCAAGCAAACCAAUAUGACCGUGAUGGAGCGUGUCAUAAUGAACGGAACGGUGGAAAGUUGCAUGGCAAUAUAUCUCGGAAUGGCUAUGGAAAUGCCAUAAUAGGUAGGCAUGGUGGCUGUUUUGAGGAAGGUAUAUGGUGGGUUUAUGGUACCGGCAAAAGUUGCGCAGUACUAGAGAGGCAAGCAAAGGUGGAAGGGUGAGAGUGCGUAUAAUCCAUGGACUCAACAUUAGUCAUAAAGAACUCAUAUACUUAUUGCAAAAAUCUAUUAGUUAUCGAAACGAAGUACUACGCGCAUGCUCCUAGGGGGAUAGAUUGGUAGGAAAAGACCAUCGCUCGUCCCCGACCGCCACUCGUAAGGAAGACAAUCAAUAAAUAAAUCAUGCUCCGAUUUCAUCACAUAACGGUUCACCAUACGUGCAUGCUACGGCAAUCACAAACUUUAGCACAAGUAUUUCUGAAAUUCACAACUACUUACUAGCAUGACUCUAAUAUCACCAUCUUCAUAUCUCAAUACAAUCAAAAAGAAUCAAACUUCCCAUAUUAUUGAAUGCACUUUAUAUGAAAGUUUUUAUUAUACCCCUCUUGGAUGCCUAUCAUACUAGGAAUAAAUUUAUAACUAAAGAAAAUUACCAUGCUGUUUAGAGACUCUCAAAAUAAUAUAAGUGAAGCAUGAGAGUUCAUCAGUUUCUAUAAAAUAAAACCACCGACGUGCUCUAAAAAGAUAUAAGUGAAGCACUAGAGCAAAAUUGCCUAGCUCAAAAGAUAUAAGUGAAGCACAAAGAGUAUUCUAAUAAGUCACGAUUCAUGCAUGUCUCUCUCAAAAGGUGUGUACAGUAAGGAUGAUUGUGGUGAACCAAAAAGCAAAGACUCAAAUCAUACAAGACGCUCCAAGAAAAACACAUAUCAUGUGGUGAAUAAAAAUAUAGCCUCAAGUAAGUUACCGAUAGACGAAGACGAAAGAGGGGAUGCCUUCCGGGGCAUCCCCAAGCUUAGGCUCUUGGUUAUACUUGAAUAUUACCUUGGGGUACCUUGGGAAUCUCCAAGGUUAGGCUCUUGCCACUCCUUAUUCCAUAGUCCAUCAAAUCCUACCCAAAACUUGAAAACUUCACAACACAAAACUCAACAAAAAAUCUCAUAAGCUCCGUCAGUAUAAGAAAAUAAAUCACCACUUUUGGUACUGUUGUGAACUCAUUAUUUAUUUAUAUUGUUGUAACAUCUAUUGUAUUCCAACUUUUCCAUGGUUCAUACCCCCGAUACUAGCCAUAGAUUCAUCAAAAGAAGCAAAGAACACACAGAAAACAGAAUCUGUCAAAAACAGAAGAGUCUGCGAAGAUACUUUUAUAACUCCAAAAAUUCUGAAAAAUUAGAACAACAGAGGAAAUUCGUAUAUCAAUCCCGUGUAAAAAAUUCAGAGUUUUUCUAUGCUUCAGUAAAAAAUACGAAUUGUUUUCCUGAGCGCAAAAGUUUUUGUUUUUCAGCAGGAUUAAAUCAACUAUCAUCGUAAGCAAUCCCAAAGGUAUUACUUGGAACAAACACUAAUUAAAACACAAAACCACAUCUAACUAGAGGCUAGAUGAAUUAAUUAAUGCAAAACAGAACCUAACAAGCAAAAACAAAAAUAAAAUUGGGUUGCCUCCCGACAAGCGCUAUUGUUUAAUUGUUGGGUUCUACGGUAGGGUGUGUCGACUGCAAAUUAAAAUUUUCCUACGCGCAGAACAACCAAGAACAUGCUACGGGAGAUGGAUCACAGUUCGUUACCACUAGACGCGCAGUGCCGUGCAGCGAAAGAAGAGUUGGGGCAGCGCGUCCACGUGGAUCGUCUUCUCCUCGUCUGAUCGCCCUCGAACAGCCGGUCAUCGAAUCCCUCGCCCAGGUACGCUGGAACGGCGCAGGUGCACCGCCUCUAACGGUAUCCGCGUGUGCAGGAGGAACACCGUGCGGCGGACUGCUAGGUCCGAUCACACGGUUGGCGACGAGUGGAGGUGUCUGUUCGCAACACAUGCAAACCCUAGUGACAGCGCCGAAGCGAUCAAUCGCAUGAGUGUGCUGCACCUCCACUAUAUAUAGGCAUCUGUCGCGGGCUCAAUUCUUGGGCCUCGCACAGAUCCUAAAGCCCACAAGUCUACUCGUCCACAAUCCGAAUACUGCUCGGAUCACAUCUGACCAGUGUCCUCGGAUCCGACCUCGUAGGUUCCUUCCCUUAAGCGCGCGACCCUUUAGGUUCAAGCCGGCUUGGUCGUAGUUCGGAUCACCUCCGAACUGCACGGUUGGUAGCGGCCUCUAGCAAGGCAUGCCGAACACCAAGUAGACUAUGAAGCUGGUUAGCGAACCUGUACAUCACACUCCCAUUCCUUUUGCCACACGACAUAUGUUGUCGGGCUCAAGGCGAGUAUGUCAUCCUUGUGCUAGCCCGACCUCUUUAUCGUUCCAGUUAUGCCGACCACAAACCGGAUUAUCUCAUAAUCCUUGUCGCAUGGCCAUGCUUAUCCUGGUUGGAUCACACGAGGGGCCCAGAGUAUAUCUCUCCUGAUCGGAGGGGCAAAUCCCAUCUUGCUCGACCACGUCUCGCAGCAUGGGUCUGGACAAGCCCGAAACCUACCUUUGUAACUACCCGUCACAGAGUAGGUUUGGUCGGCCCAAAGCAGGUCUGUCACCAUCCCGAGUACAUGUGCCAGCUCAGGUCUAAGGACAUAGAAUGUAUGUUGUACUAGAGACUCACAGAUGACAUAUCGCCGCGUCUCAUAGUUGGGUUUGUCCGACUCAGACCUUAUCUCGACUCGGAUCUGACUACGUCGAAUCCGACCAGACCUUUCCAAGUCCAUAUUAUCCGGUUAGCAUCCAAUGCUCCAUGGCUAGUGAGACCAAGCCAUCGACCGUGUCAUAUGCUAGUCUAGUCGGCUACGCGUCCACACAGCCCUUUUGACUAGGGACCUUUUAGGACAGUCAUCAUACAAUGCAUAGUCCCACAAACAAGUCACGUACUUGCUGAUACACAUCAUUGAUAAUGUCCAAGGACUAUCUUUAUUCAUAAACACAUAGGAAAUAUCAUCAUACAUGAUUGCCUCUAGGGCAUAUCUCCAACAGUCUCUCACUUGCACUAGAGUCAAUCAAAUAGACAUCGAAUGCCCAUAGCUCUAACGUGCCCCUCAUGCUUGGGUUGUGGAAGCGGCUUAGUCAACGGAUCUGCAACAUUUGCAUCCGUGUGAAUUUUGCAUAACUCUAUAUCACCAUUCUUUACUUUCUUUCGUAUCAGGUGAUAUUUCCGAUCUACGUGUCUGACCUUGUGGUGAUUCCUCGGCUCCUUGGCUUGUGCGAUGGCACCAGAAUUAUCACAAUAAAGGUCCAACGGUUUUACCGAGGCUGGGAAAAUUCCAAGAUCAUCCAAAAGUUCCGGAUCCAAACACCUUCCUUCGCAGCUUCACAAGCCGCAAUGUAUUCGGCUUCUGUGGUAGAAUCGGCCACCGUAUCUUGCUUGGAACUCAUCCAACUCACUACUCCUCCAUUCAUGACGUACACGAAUCCGGACUGUGAUCGACAAUCAUCUCUGUCGGUUUGGAAACUAGCAUCGGCGUAACCCCUUACGACGAGCUCUUCCUCACCUCCAUAAACUAGGAACAUCUCUUUAGUCCUUUUCAGGUACUUCAAAAUAGUCUUUACCGCUGCCUAGUGACUCUCACCUGGGUUGGCUUGGUAUCUGCUUGUUAGGCUUGUUUCAAAAGCAACAUCAGGCCUUGUACAUAUCAUGGCAUACAUGAUGGAUCCAAUUGCCGAGGCAUACGGAAUCCUACUCAUCCUGCUUCGCUCAUCAGAUGUCGAAGGACUCUGAGUCUCGCUUAGCCUUAUACCAUGUGAGAGUGGCAAGAACCCUUUCUUCGCCUCACUCAUGUUGAACCGCUUCAACACUUUAUCUAUGUAUGUGCUCUGGCUUAAGCCAAGCAGCCUCCUCGAUCUAUCUCUAUAGAUCUUAAUGCCUAAAAUGUACAUUGCCUCACCAAGGUCCUUCAUCGAAAACUUGCCAUUCAAUGACUCCUUGACCGAGUUCAGCAUCGAAACAUCAUUUCCGAUCAGUAGUAUGUCAUCCACAUACAAGAUCAGAAACACUAUCGAGCUCCCACUUAACUUCUUGUAUAAACAAGAGUCCUCUUCGCUUUUGAUGAAACCGAAACUAGUGACGACCUCAUCAAAAUGAAUGUUCCAGCUCCGAGAUGCUUGCCUCAACCCAUAAAUGGAUCUCUUGAGCUUGCAUACCUUACUAGUGCUAGUCGGAUCGACAAAACCCUCUGGCUAUAUCAUAUACACGUCCUCGGUUAAAUUUCCGUGAAGGAAAGCCAUCUUGACAUCCAUCUGCCAUAUCUCGUAAUCGAAAUAUGCAGCUAUAUCUAGUACGAUCCUCACCGAUUUCAGCAUCGCUACCGGCGAGUAAGUCUCGUCGUUGUCAAUUCCUUGAACUUGUCCAUAACCCUUAGUGACAAGCCGAGCUUUAUGGAUCUGAACAUUUCCAUCCACAUCGGUUUUCUUCUUAAAGACCCAUUUGCAACCAAUGGAUGUUAUGCCAGGCGGCGGAUCAACCAAGUCCCAGACUUGAUUCUCAUCCAUGGACUUUAACUCAGAUCUCAUGGCCUCUAGCCAUGCCACGGAAUCUGGGCUCACCAUCGCUUCCGCAUACGUGGCCGGCUCGUCGCUUUCUAGAAACAAUACAUCACGCACUCUGCGCAAUCUCUCCGACCUCCGUAGUUCCGGUGCCGCUUCCACUACGGGUUCCUUGACUGACUCCGGUAUGAUCUCAUCACCAGCCGAGCCAUCCCCGAGUGGUCCUCGAAUUUCUUCGAGUCGAACCGUCCUCCCACUGGCCUCCCGACUGAGAAACUCUUUCUCAAGGAAAACCCCGUUCCGAGCAACAAACAUUUUGUUCUCCUCACAGUUGUAGAAGCUAUAUCCCAAGGUUUCCCUCGGAUACCCACGAAUAUGCAUUUAUCCGACUUGGGUGUAAGCUUGUCUGACAUAAGUCGCUUGACAAAUGCUUCACAACCCCAAAUCUUUAGAAAAGACAAACUAGGACUCUUCCCGGUCCACAUCUCAUGUGGUGUCUUGUCAACGGAUUUUGAUGGUACCCUGUUAAGUGUGAAAGCUGCAGUUUCUAGAGCGUAUCCCCAGAAUGACAAGGGUAAAUCCGAUUUGCUCAUCAUAGACCGAACCAUGUCCAACAAGGUACGAUUCCUCCGUUCCGACACGUCGUUUCUCUGUGGCGUACCCGGAGGUGUGAGCUGAGGUACUAUACCUCGGCUUUUCAGAUGAUCAUCAAACUCCUGGCUCAUGUACUCACCUCCACGAUCAGAUCGUAGAAGCUUUAUAGUCUUGCCGAGCUGGUUCUCAACCUCGUUCUGAAACUCUUUGAACUUUUCAAAAUUUUCCGACUUGCGCCUCAUCAAAUAGAUAUAUCCAUAUCUACACAAGUCGUCGGUAAAAGUCACGAAGUACUGAUAGCCACCUCUGGCAGUUGUGCUCAUUGGACCACACACAUCACUAUGUAUAAGUUCCAACAGCUCGGACGCCCUCUCGCAACUCUUUGCGAAAGGAGACUUAGUCAUCUUGCCGAGCAAGCAUGAUUCACAUGUCUCGAACGACCCGAAGUCGAACAAAGUUAAGAGCCCAUCAUCAUGGAGCUUCUUCAUGCGUUUCAGACUAAUGUGUCUGAUACGUCUCCAACGUAUCUAUAAUUUUUGAUUGUUCCAUGCUAUAUUAUAUUCUGUUUUGGACAUUAAAGGGCUUUAUUAUACACUUUUAUAUUAUUUUUGGGACUAACCUAUUAACCGGAGGCCCAGCCCAGAAUUGCUGUUUUUGCCUAUUUCAGAGUUUCGCAGAAAAAGAAUAUCAAACGGAAUGAAACCUUCGGGAAUGUGAUUUUCGGAACGAACAUGAUCCAGAGGACUUGGACCCUACGUCAAGACAUCAACCAGAAAGGCACGAGGUAGGGGGGCGCGCCUACCCCCCUAGGCGUGCCCUCCACCCUCGUGGGCCCCACGUUGCUCCACCGAUGUACUUCUUCCUCCUAUAUAUACCUACGUACCCCAAACUACCAGAUAUGGAGCCAAAAACCUAAUUCCACCGCCGCAACCUUCUGUACCCGUGAUAUCCCAUCUUGGGGCCUUUUCCGGAGCUCCGCCAGAGGGGGCAUCGAUCACGGAGGGCUUCUACAUCAACACCAUAGCCUCUCCGAUGAUGUGUGAGUAGUUUACCUCAGACCUUCGGGUCCAUAGUUAUUAGCUAGAUGGCUUAUUCUCUCUCUUUGGAUCUCAAUAUAAAGUUCUCCAUGAUUCUCGUGGAGAUCUAUUCGAUGUAAUCUUCUUUUGCGGUGUGUUUGUUGAGACCGAUGAAUUGUGGGUUUAUGAUCAAGUUUAUCUAUGAACAAUAUUUGAAUCUUCUCUGAAUUCUUUUAUGUAUGAUUGGUUAUCUUUGCAAGUCUCGUCGAAUUAUCAGCUUGGUUUGGCCUACUAGAUUGAUCUUUCUUGCAAUGGGAGAAGUGCUUAGCUUUGGGUUCAAUCUUGUGGUGUCCUUUCCCAGUGACAGUAGGGGCAGCAAGGCACGUAUUGUAUUGUUGCCAUCGGGGAUAACAAGAUGGGGUUUAUAUCAUAUUGCAUGAGUUUAUCCCUCUACAUCAUGUCAUCUUACUUAAAGCGUUACUCUGUUCUUAUGAACUUAAUACUCUAGAUGCAUGCUGGAUAGCGGUCAAUGUGUGGAGUAAUAAUAGUAGCUGCAGGCAGGAGUCGGUCUACUUGUCGCGGACGUGAUGCCUAUAUACAUGAUCAUACCUAGAUAUUCUCAUAACUAUGCUCAACUCUGUCAAUGGCUCAAUAGUAAUUUGUUCACCCACCGUAAUACUUAUGCUCUCGAGAGAAGCCACUAGUCUAUGGCCCCCGGGUCUAUCUUCCAUCAUAUUAAUCUUCCAACACUUAGCUAUUUUUAUUGCCUUUUAUUUUACUUUGCAUCUUUAUCAUAAAAAUACCAAAAAUAUUAUCUUAUCAUAUCUAUCAGAUCUCACUCUCGUAAGUGACCGUGAAGGGAUUGACAACCCCUUUAUUGCGUUGGUUGCGAGGAUUUAUUUGUUUGUGUAGGUGCGAGGGACUCGUGCGUGGCCUCCUACUGGAUUGAUACCUUGGUUCUCAAAAACUGAGGGAAAUACUUAUGCUGCUUUACUGCAUCACCCUUUCCUCUUCAAGGGAAAAACAACGCAGUGCUCAAGAGGUAGCAAGAAGGAUAUCUGGCGCCAUUGCCGGGGAGGCUUACGCAAGGUCAAGUCAAGAUUUGGACUCCCAACAACGAGCCUUUUCUGGUGCCGUUGCCUGGGAGUCUACGCAAAAGUGAACAUACCAAGUACCCAUCACAAACCCUUAUCUCCCGCAUUACAUUAUUUGACAUUUGCCUCUCGUUUUCCUCUCCCCCACUUCACCCUUGCCAUUUUAUUCGCCCUCUCUUUUCCGUUCGCCUCUUUUUCGCCCGCUUCUUGUUUGCAAGUGUGUUGGAUUGCUUGCUUGUCACGAUGGCUCAAGAUAAUAAUAAAUUGUGUGACUUUACCAAUACCAACAAUAAUGAUUUUCUUAGCACUCUGAUUGCUCCUCUUACCGAUACCGAAUCUUGUGAAAUCAAUACUGCUUUACUGAAUCUUGUCAUGCAAGAUCAAUUCGCCGGCCUUCCUAGUGAAGAUGCCGCUACCCAUCAAAAUAGCUUCGUUGAUUUGUGUGAUAUGCAAAAGAAGAAAUAUGUGGAUAAUGAUAUUGUUAAAUUGAAGCUAUUUCCUUUUUCGCUUAGAGAUCGUGCUAAAGCUUGGUUUUCAUCUUUGCCUAAAAAUAGUAUUGAUUCUUGGAAUAAGUGCAAAGAUGCUUUUAUCUCUAAGUAUUUUCCUCCCGCUAAGAUCAUCUCUUUUAGAAACGAUAUUAUGAAUUUUAAGCAACUUGAUCAUGAACAUGUUGCACAAGCUUGGGAGAGGAUGAAAUUAAUGAUACGUAAUUGCCCUACACAUGGUUUGAAUUUGUGGAUGAUUAUACAAUUUUUUAUGCCGGAUUGAAUUUUGCUUCUAGUAAUCUUUUAUAUUCGGCCGCGGGAGGCACUUUUACGCAAAUCACUUUAGGAGAAGCUACUAAACUCGUAGAUAAUAUUAUGGUUAAUUAUUCUCAAUGGCACACUGAAAGAUCUACUAAUAAAAAGGUGCAUGCGAUAGAAAAAAUUAAUGUUUUGAAUGGAAAGAUGGCUGAACUUAUGAAAUUAUUUGCUACUAAAAGUGUUUCUUCUGAUCCUAAUGAUAUGCCUUUGUCUACUUUGAUUGAGAAUGAUAAUGAAUCUAUGGAUGUGAAUUUUGUUGGUAGGAAUAAUUUUGGUAACAACGCGUAUAUAGGAAACUUUAAUCCUAGGCCGUACCCUAGUAAUUCCUCUAAUAAUUAUGGUAAUUCCUUCAAAAAUUCUUAUGGAAAUUUUAAUAAGAUGCCUUCUGAAUUUGAGACUAGUGUUAAAGAAUUUAUGAAUUCGCAAAAGAAUUUCAAUGCUUUGCUUGAAGAAAAAUUGCCUAAGAUUGAUGAAUUGGCUAGGAGCGUUGAUAGAAUUUCUCUUGAUGUUGAUUCCUUGAAACUUAGAUCUAUUCCACCUAAGCAUGAUAUCAAUGAGUCUCUCAAAGCCAUGAGAAUUUCCAUUGAUGAGUGCAAAGAAAGAACCGCUAGGAUGCGUGCUAAGAAAGAUUGCUUUAUGAAAGCCUGUUCUUCUAAUUUUUAUGAAAAUAAAGAUGAAUAUCUAAAAGUUAUUGAUGUGUCCCCUAUUAAAUCUUUGUUUUUCAAUAUGAAUCUUAAUAAUGAUGGGACUGAAUAUGAUCCACCUUUACCUAGAAGGUGUUCCAAAAAUUCGGAGUUUUUGAUCUUGAUGCAAAAAUUGGUAAAAGUGGGAUUGAAGAGAUCAAAACUCUAGAUAUUAAUGAACCCACUAUUUUGAAUUUCAAGAAAUUUAAUUAUGAUAAUUGCUCUUUCAUAGAUUGUAUUUCCUUGUUGCAAUCCGUGCUAAAUUCUCCACAUGCUUAUAGUCAACAUAAAGCUUUUACUAAACAUAUCGUUGAUGCUUUGAUGCAAUCUUAUGAAGAAAAACUUGAGUUGGAAGUUUCUAUCCCUAGAAAACUUUAUGAUGAGUGGGAACCUACUAUUAAAAUUAAAAUUAAAGAUCAUGAAUGCUAUGCUUUGUGUGAUUUGGGUGCUAGUGUUUCCACGAUUCCAAAAACUUUGUGUGAUUUGCUAGGUUUCCGUGAUUUUGAUGAUUGCUCUCUAAACUUGCACCUUGCGGAUUGCACCAUUAAGAAACCAAUGGGAAGAAUUAAUGAUGUUCUUAUUAUUGCAAAUAGGAAUUAUGUGCCCGUAGAUUUUAUUAUUCUUGAUAUAGAUUGCAAUCCUUCAUCUCCUAAUAUUCUUGGUAGACCUUUCCUUAGAACGAUUGGUGCAAUUAUUGAUAUGAAGGAAGGGAAUAUUAGAUUCCAAUUUCCGUUAAGGAAAGGCAUGGAACACUUCCCUAGAAAGAAAAUAAAAUUACCUUAUGAAUCUAUUAUGAGAGUCACUUAUGGAUUGCCUACCAAAGAUGACAAUACCUAGAUCUAUCCUUGCUUUUAUGCCUAGCUAGGGGCGUUAAACGAUACCGCUUGUUGGGAGGCAACCCAAUUUUAUUUUUAGUUUUUUGCUUUUUGGUUCUAUUUAAGAAUAAAUAUUUGAUCUAGCCUCUGGUUAGAUGUGUUUUUAUGUUUUAAUUAGUGUUUGUGCCAAGUUUAACCUAUAGGAUCUUCUUGGAUGAUAGUUAUUUGAUCUUGCUGAAAAUUCCAGAAACUUUCUAUUCACAAAAAUAAUUGUUAAAAAUCACCAGAACGUGAUAAAUAUUGAUUCCAAUUUCUGAUGAUCAAUAAACAAAUUGUCUAGGUCUUCCUAUUUUCGAUGAAUUUUUGGAGUUCCAGAAGUUUGCGUUAGUUACACAUUACUACAGACUGUUCUGUUUUUGACAGAUUCUGUUUUUCGUGUGUUGUUUGCUUAUUUUGAUGAAUAUAUGGCUUGUAAAAUAGUUUAUAAACCAUAGAGAAGUUGGAAUAAAGUAGGUUUAACACCAAUAUAAAUAAAGAAUGAAAUCAUUACAGUACCUUGAAGUGGCGUUUUGUUUUCUUUCGCUAACGGAGCUCACGAGAUUUUCUGCUAAGUUUGUGUUGUGAAGUUUCCAAGUUUUGGGUAAAAUAUUUGAUGGAUUAAGGAACAAGGAGUGGCAAGAGCCUAAGCUUGGGGAUGCCCUUGGCACCCCAAGAUAAUCUAAGGACACCAAAAAGCCAAAGCUUGGGGAUGCCCCGGAAGGCAUCCCCUCUUUCGUCAACUUCCAUCGGUAACUUUACUUGGAGCUAUAUUUUUAUUCACCACAUGAUAUGUGUUUUUUUUGGAGCGUCUUGUAUGAUUUGAGUCUUUGCUUUUUAGUUUACCACAAUCAUCUUUGCUGUACACACCUUUUGAGAGAGACACACAUGAUUCGGAAUUUAUUAGAAUACUCUAUGUGCUUCACUUAUAUGUUUUGAGCUAUAUAGUUUUUGCUCUAGUGCUUCACUUAUAUCUUUUAGAGCACGGCGGUGGUUUUGUUUUAUAGAAACUAUUAUUCUCUCAUGCUUCGCUUAUAUUAUUUUGAGAGUCUUAAACAGCAUGGUAAUUUGGUUAAAUUGGGAAAUUAAUCCUAAUAUGUUAGGUAUUCAAGACUAGUAAAAAACUUUCUUAUGAGUGUGCUGAAUGCUAAGAAAAGUUUGAUGCUUGAUGAUUGUUUUGAGAUAUGGAGGUAGUGAUAUUAAAGUUGUGCUAGUUGAGUAGUUGUGAAUUUGAGAAAUACUUGUGUUGAAGUUUGCAAGUCCCGUAGCAUGCACGUAUGGUAAACGUUAUGUAGCAAAUUUGAAACAUGAGGUGUUCUUUGAUUGUCCCCCUUAUGAAUGGUGGUCGGGGACGAGCGAUGGUCUUUUCCUACCAAUCUAUCCCCCUAGGAGCAUGCGCGUAGUGCUUGGUUUUUGAUGACUUGUAGAUUUUUGCAAUAAGUAUGUGAGUUCUUUAUGACUAAUCUUGAGUCCAUGGAUUAUACGCACUCUUACCCUUCCAUCAUUGCUAGCCUCUUCGGUACCGUGCAUUGCCCUUUCUCACAUUGAGAGUUGGUGCAAACUUCGCCGGUGCAUCCAAACCCCGUGAUAUGAUACGCUCUUUCACACAUAAACCUCCUUAUAUCCUCCUCAAAACAGCCACCAUACCUACCUAUUAUGGCAUUUCCAUAGCCAUUCCGAGAUAUAUUGCCAUGCAACUUUCCACCGUUCCGUUCAUUAUGACACGCUCCAUCACGGUCAUAUUGGUUUGCUUGAUCAUGUAGUUGACAUCGUAUUUGUGGCAAAGCAACCUUUCAUAAUUCUUUCAUACAUGUCACUCUUGAUUCAUUGCAUAUUCUGGUACACCGCCGGAGGCAUUCACAUAAGUCAUAUUUUGUUCUAAGUAUCGAGUUGUACUUUUUUGAGUUGUAAGUAAAUAAAAGUGUGAUGAUCUUCAUCAUUAGAGCAUUGUCCCAUGUGAGGAAAGGAUGAUGGAGACUAUGAUUCCCCCACAAGUCGGGAUGAGACUCCGACGAAAAAAAAGAGGCAAAAAAAUGAGAGAAGGCCCAAAUAACAAAAUAAAAAUAUGAGAGAAAAGAGAGAAGGGGCAAUGCUACUAUCCUUUGCAUGAUCAUGACACGUUCAUCAUUGUCAUAUUGCUUUGCAUGAUCAUGUAGUUGACAUCGUAUUUGUGGCAAAGCCACCGUUCAUAAAUUUUUCAUACAUGUCACUCUUGAUUCAUUGCUAACCCGGUAUACCGCCGGAGGCAUUCAUAUAGAGUCAUACUUUGUUCUAGUAUCGAGUUGUAAUCAUUGAGUUGUAAAUAAACAGAAGUGUGAUGAUCAUCAUUCAUAGAGCAUUGUCCCAAUAAAAAAAGAGAGAGAAAGGCCAAAUAAAAAAAACAAGGCCCAAAAAAAAGGAGAAUAAAAAGGGGCAAUGCUACUAUCUUUUUCCAUACUUGUGCUCCAAAGUAGGACCAUGAUCUUCAUGAUAGAGGGUCUCUUGUUUUGUCACUUUCAUAUACUAGUGGGAAUUUUUCAUUAUAGAACUUGGCUUGUAUAUUCCAACAAUGGGCUUCCUCAAAUGCCCUAGGUCUUCGUGAGCAAGCAAGUUGGAUGCACACGCACUUAGUUUCUUUUGUUGAGCUUUCAUGCAUUUAUACCUCUAGUGCCUCCGUUGCAUGGCAAUCCCUACUCCUUGCAUUAACAUCAAUCGAUGGGCAUCUCCAUAGCUCAUUGAUUAGCCGCGUUGAUGUGAGACUUUCUCCUUUUUUGUCUUCUCCACAUAACCCCCAUCAUUAUAUUCUCUUCCACCCAUAGUGCUAUAUCCAUGGCUCACGCUCAUGUAUUGCGUGAAGGUUGAAAAAGUUUGAGAUUACUAAAGUAUGAAACAAUUGCUUGGCUUGUCAUCGGGGUUGUGCAUGAUGAGAGCAUUCUUGUGUGACGAAAAUGGAGCAUGACUAAACUAUAUGAUUUUGUAGGGAUGAACUUUCUUUGGCCAUGUUAUUUUGAGAGGACAUAAUUGCUUAGUUAGUAUGCUUGAAGUAUUAUUACUUUUAUGUCACAAUUAAGAGAAUUACAUUUAUUACAUUUAUUACUUUUAUGUCACAACUAAACUUUUAUCUUGAAUCUUUCGGAUCUGAAUAUUCAUACCACAAUUAAGAGAAUUACAUUGAAAUUAUGCCAAGUAGCAUUCCACAUCAAAAAUUCUGUUUUUAUCAUUUACCUACUCGAGGACGAGCAGGAAUUAAGCUUGGGGAUGCUUGAUACGUCUCCAACGUAUCUAUAAUUUUUAUUGUUCCAUGCUAUAUUAUAUUCUGUUUUCGACAUUAACGGGCUUUAUUAUACACUUUUAUAUUAUUUUUUGGACUAACCUAUUAACCGGAGGCCCAGCCCAGAAUUGCUGUUUUUUGCCUACUUCAGAGUUUCGCAGAAAAAGAAUAUCAAACGGAGUCCAAACAGAAUGAAACCUUCGGAACGAACGUGAUCCAGAGGACUUGGAACCUAUGUCAAGACAACAACCAGGAAGGCACGAGGUAGGGGGGCGCGCCUACCCCCCCAAGCGCGCCCUCCACCCACGUGGGCCCCAUGUUGCUCCACCAACGUACUUCUUCCUCCUAUAUAUAUCUACGUACCCCCAAACUACCAGAUACGGAGCCAAAAAGCUAAUUCCACCGCCGCAACCUUCUGUACCCAUGAGAUCCCAUCUUGGGGCCUCUUCCGGAGCUCCGCCAGAGGGGGCAUCGAUCACGGAGGGCCUCUCCGAUGAUUUGUGAGUAGUUUACCUCAGACCUUCGGGACCAUAGUUAUUAGCUAGAUGACUUCUUCUCUCUCUUUGGAUCUCAAUACAAAGUUCUCCACGAUUCUCGUGGAGAUCUAUUCGAUGAAAUCUUCUUUUGCGGUGUGUUUGUUGAGACCGACGAAUUGUGGGUGUUUGAUCAAGUUUAUCUAUGAACAAUAUUUGAAUCUUCUCUGAAUUCUUUUAUGUAUGAUUGGUUAUCUUUGCAAGUCUCUUCGAAUUAUCAGUUUGGUUUGGCCUACUAGAUUGAUCUUUCUUGCAAUGGGAGAAGUGCUUAGCUUUGGGUUCAAUCUUGCGAUGUCCUUUCCUAGUGACAGUAGGGGCAGCAAGGCACGUAUUGUAUUGUUGCCAUCGAGGAUAACAAGAUGGGGUUUAUAUCAUAUUGCAUGAGUUUAUCCCUCUACAUCAUGUCAUCUUACUUAAAGCGUUACUCUGUUCUUACGAACUUAGUACUCUUGAUGCAUCCUGGAUAGCGGUUGAUGUGCGGAGUAAUAGUAGUAGAAGCAGGCAGGAGUCGGUCUACUUGUCGCGGACAUGAUGCCUAUAUACAUGAUCAUACCUAGAUAUUCUCAUAACUAUGCUCAAUUCUGUCAAUUGCUCAACAGUAAUUUGUUCACCCACCGUAAUACUUAUGCUCUCGAGAGAAGCCACUAGUGAAACCUAUGGCCCCCGGGUCUAUCUUCCAUCAUAUUAAUCUUCCAACACUUAGCUAUUUUUAUUGCCUUUUAUUUUACUUUGCAUCUUUAUCAUAAAAAUACCAAAAAUAUUAUCUUAUCAUAUGUAUCAGAUCUCACUCUCGUAAGUGACCAUGAAGGGAUUGACAACCCCUUUAUUGCGUUGGUUGCGAGGAUUUAUUUGUUUGUGUAGGUGCGAGGGACUCGUGCGUGGCCUCCUACUGGAUUGAUACCUUGGUUCUCAAAAACUAAGGGAAAUACUUACGCUGCUUUACUGCAUCACCCUUUCCUCUUCAAGGGAAAACCAACGCAGUGCUCAAGAGGUAGCAGUGUCCAAGCCGGCAAUGCCAGAAGUAUGUCGGAUUUAUCUCAUUAGGCUUAAGCCUCUUGACAUUCACGUUAUAGACUGGUUCCUGUUCCAGAUUCAAUAUAAAUAGCCCAUCAACAAUGGGUGCAUAGCCGUGGAACAUACCAUUCAAAUAAAACGAACAACCAUUGUCCUUUAAAUGGAAUUCAUAACCCUGACUCAUCAAACAUGAGGCAGAAAUAAUGUUCCGACUAAGUGCAGGAAUGUAAUAACAAUUAUUCAAUUCCAAAAUAAAUCUAGAAGGAAGCUGGAGCUGCAUCGUGCCGACCUCCAACGCAGCAACUCUUGCUUUGUUGCCGACCCUGAUGUCAAUCUCCCCUUGUGCCACACGCCUAGUUCUUACCAGCCCCUGCAUCGGGUUGCAAAUAUGAAGAACCGAUCCGGUAUCAAAUACCCAAGAGCUACUAGGUAUGUCAGCAAGGUAAAUGUCUAUAACAUAUGCAACAAGUGUACCUUUGCCUGAAGAAGCAUUUCCGACCUUCUUGCCAUGCUCUGCAAGCCACUUGCUACAGUCCCUCUUCCAAUGACCAGUUUCCUUGCAAUGAUAGCAAAUGGUCUUCGAGUCCGGUCCAGACUUUGGCGCAGCGGUGGAGGUUACCAUCUCCGUGCCCUUUGCCUUAGCCUUCUUCUUAGACCAACUCUUCUUGAACUUAGCCGAUCUGCACCAUGAACACUUGAUGCGUGCCUUUCUUAAUAUCCUGCUCUCCCACUUUUAGCAUCCCAUGCAAUUCAGUGAGCUUCUUGUCCAUGCCAUGCAUAUGAUAGUUCGAGAUGAACGUCCCAUAGCUGGGCGGAAGAUAAUCUAGAACUGCAUCUGUAGCCAGCUCAUCCAAGAGCGGGAAGCCCAACCUAUCCAAAGCUUGCACAUAUCCGAUCAUCUUGAUCACAUGUGGGCUCAGUCGAUCACCUUCCUUCAGCUUGCAAUCCAUCAAGGAUCACCAGACAUUGAACCUUUCGGUCCUAGCCUGUGUCUAAAACAUGUUCUUGAGACUCUCGAUCAUAUCGUAAGCCUCAACGUUUUUGAAAUGCUGUUGCAAAUCGGGCUCCAUACAAGCCAGCAUCAGACAGCUGAUCUCCGUUGAUUCAUCAACGAGUUUUUGGUAGGCAUUCUUAGCUGUGGCACUAGCAUUAUCGGCAGGUUCCUCUGGAAGUGGAUCCUCUAGAACAUGUUCCUUUUUAUCAUGCUUGAGAACAAUACUCAGAUUUCUAUACCAGGUGGUAAAGUUUGUUCCAUUCAGUUUAUCCUUUUCCAGAAUUGAUUUCAAUGCAAAGUUGGGUUGAGCAGGUGGUGCCAUUAAUCUACAACAGAAAAUAUGCAAUCACUAAGCAAUGUGUUUAUGUAGAGUAAUUCUAGCCUUAAACGAAAAUACUCCCACUGAAGUUGGCAUCCCUCCGCAAACUCUCAGUGAUUCAGGAUCCGACUAGCACAUGCGACUAGUGAGCUUUAGCGUCACUGCUAGACAACAUGCCUAUUAGGUAAGCAACUCCUUGCUAAUCGUAUCUCUAUUCGACUCCUGUCGGUCGGGAAGGUAUCUCAUACCCCGGCCCCCAACCUUCUUUGCCACAAGGCCCAAAACUGUUUUGAUAGCCUUGUCAAGUUAACCUGACGUAGUGCAUGUCCGUGUCCGACACGAACCCUUCAGUUCAAGGACACACAACAGCACCUUAAUUUUAUGAGCCCACUACUAGACGUACUUGACGUGCGAAGGUGCAACAUCGGGGAUGACAAUUCGCUUGAUAUUAACGAGGGAUCUUUCUACCAUUCUAACAUGCAUAUAAACAAAGAAGCAUAACAAUCACAAAUAAACACAUAUUGUGAAAUAGUAUGGCUCCUUCAUGGACGUUCUUCCAGGUCAGCUCCGACUCCGAUGACCAUCUAGGAACUCCAUCUUGUUUGUCAUACCGGGACGCCAAGCCACCAACAUGAUCUCUAUUAUCCAACUACUACAACUAGUAAUGAAUUUUACAUAGAGUCACAAGUCGACACGCAGGUCGUUAUACAAUAUAAUGACAACACUUUGGCUCCUGCCGGCUGACAAACAUGACACGCAGGCCAUGUAUAAUUUACACACAUGCAUCACAUACACAUGAGCCAUACUAUUCACAUCAAACCCUGCAAAAUAAAGUUAUGCAUAGAAUCGCAUUCUACCGGUUUGUGUGAUCGUGUACGAAAUACAAGGCGCUACGCACACGACGCAUUUUACCGAUUCAGAUUUACGUUUCACUGUUAACCCCGAUGGCGGAUAACCGACCGGUAGGGGUAGAUCGUGUCACGACCUCUCGAUCCCGAUUGACAGAAAACAUAGCCUCAUGGAUCCCCAUGUGCAGUUGAUCUCAUCAACCGUGCACACAGCCGAUCUCAACAAUGACAACAGAUCUCAUCUGCCGCCUCCACAUAUCUAAUAUGCGUACGAUCUGAAUCCAAAUCCUAUAACAGAGCUCUGAUACCACUGUUGGCUUCUAUGGUAGGGUGCGUCGACUGCAAAUUAAAAUUUUCCUACGUGCAGAACAACCAAGAACAUGCUACGGGAGAUGGAUCACAAUUCGUUACCACUAGACGCGCAGUGCCGUGCAGCGGAAGAAGAGUUGGGGUAGCGCGUCCACGUGGAUCAUCUUCUCCUCGUCCGAUCUCCCUCGAACAACCGGUCAUCGUAUCCCUCGCACAGGUUCGCCGGAACGACGCAGGUGCACCGCCUCUAAUGGUAUCCGCGCGUGCAGGAGGAACAUCGUGCGGCGGACUGCUAGGUCCGAUCACACAGUCGACAACGAGUGGAGGUGUCUAUUCGCAACACAUGCAAACCCUAGUGACAGCGCCGAAGCGAUCAAUCGCAUGAGUGUGCUGCACCUCCACUAUAUAUAUAGGCAUUUGUCGCGGGCUCAACUCUUGGGCCUCGCACAGAUCCUAAAGCCCACAAGUCUACUCGGCCAUAAUACGAAUACAGCCCGGAUCACAUCCGACCAGUGUCCUCGGAUCCUACCUCGUAGGUUCCUUCCCUUAAGCGCGCGACCCUUUAGGUUCAAGCCGGCUUGGUCGUAGUUCGGAUCACCUCCGAACUGCACGGUUGGUAGCGGCCUCUAGCAAGGCAUGCCGAACACCAAGCAGACUAUGAAGCUGGUUAGCGAACCUGUACAUCACACUCCCAUUCCUUUUGCCACACGAUAUAUGUUGCCGGGCUCAAGGCGAGUAUGUCAUCCUUGUGCUAGCCCGACCUCUUUCUCGUUCCAGUUAUGCCGACCACAAACCGGAUUAUCUCAUAAUCCUUGUCGCAUGGCCAUGCUUAUCCUGGUCGGAUCACACGAGGGGCCCAGAGUAUAUCUCUCCUAAUCGGAGGGGCAAAUCCCAUCUUGCUCGACCACGUCUCGCAGCAUGGGUCUGGACAAGCCCGAAACCUACCUUUGUAACUACCCAGUCACGGAGUAGGUUUGGUCGGCCCAAAGCAGGUCUGUCACCAUCCCGAGUACAUGUGCCAGCUCAGGUCUUAGGACAUAGAACAUAUGUGGUACUAGAGACUCACAGAUGACAUAUCGCUGCAUCUCAUAGUUGGGUCUGUCCGACUCGGACCUUAUCUCGACUCGGAUCCGACUACGUCGAAUCCGACCAGACCUUUCCAAGUCCAUAUUAUCCGGUUAGCAUCCAAUGCUCCAUGGCUAGUGAGACCAAGCCAUCGACCGUGUCAUAUGCUAGUCUAAUCGGCUGCGCGUCCACACAGCCCUUUUGACUAGGGACCUUUUAGGAUAGUCAUCAUACAAUGCAUAGUCCCACAAACAAGUCACGUACUUUGUGAUACACAUCAUUGAUAAUGUCCAAGGACUAUCUUUAUUCAUAAACACAUAGGAAAUAUCAUCAUACAUGAUUGCCUCUAGGGCAUAUCUCCAACAUUAACGCCCUUAGCUAGGCAUAAAAACACGAAUAGAUCUAGGUAUUAUCAUCUUUGGUAUGCAAUCCAUAAGUGGCUCUCAUUAUAGAUUCAUAAGGCAAUUUAAUUUUCUUUCUUGGAAAGUGUUUCAUGCCUUUCCUUAACGGAAAUUGAAAUCUAAUGUUUCUUUCUUUCAUAUCAAUAAUUGCACCAAUCAUUCUAAGGAAAGGUCUACCAAGAAUAAUAGGACAUAUAGGAUUGCAAUCUAUAUCAAGAACAAUGAAAUCUACAUGCACAUAAUUCCUAUUUGCAAUAAUAAGAACAUCAUUAAUCCUCCACAUAGGUUUCUUAAUAGUGGAAUCCGCAAGAUGCAAAUUUAAAGAACAAUCAUCAAAUUCACGGAAACCCAACACAUCACAUAAAGUUUUUGGAAUCGUAGAAACGCUAGCACCCAAAUAACACAAAUCAUGGCACUCACAAUCUUUAAUCAUAAUCAUAAUAGUAGGUUCCCACUCACUCAUCAUAAAGUUUUCUAGGGAUAGAAACUUCCAAUUCAAGCUUUUCUUCAAAAGAUUGCAUCAUAGGAUCAACGAUAUGUUUAGUAAAAGCUUUAUUUUGAUUAUAAGCAUGAGGAAAAUUCAACAUGGGUUGCAACAAGGAAAUACAAUCUAUUAAAGACCAAUUACCAUAAUUAAAUUCCUUGAGAUCCAAAAGAGUGGGUUCAUCGCUACUUAAAGUUUUGACCUCUCCUAUCCCACUUUUAUCAAUUUUUGCAUCAACAUCUAAAAACUCUGAAUCCUUCGGACGCCUUUAAACUAAAGUUGACUCAUCUCCAGUCCCACCUUUAUCAAGAUUUAUAUUGGAAACUAGAAGAUUCAAUAGGAGUCACAUCAAUUACUUUAAGAUCUUCAUCAUUAUUUUCACGGAAACUAGAAGAACAUGCUUUAUAAACCAAUCUUUUUUAGCACGCAUCUUAGCGGUUCUUUCCUUGCACUCAUCAAUGGAAAUUCUCAUGGCUUUGAGAGACUCGUUUAUGUCAUACUUGAAUGGAACAGAUCUAAGUUUCAAAGAAUCAACAUCAAGAGAAAUUCUAUCCACGUUCCUAGCCAAAUCAUCAAUUUGCGAACUCAUAAAUUCUUUAACACUAUUCUCAAAAUCAGAGGGCAACUUAUUAUAAUUUCCUUAAGAAUUGUUGUAGGAAUUACCAUAAUUAUUAGUGGAAUUACUAGGAAACGGCCUAGGAUUAAAAUUACCUCUAUACGCGUUAUUACCAAAAUUGUUCCUACCAACACAAUUCACAUCCAUAGAUUCAUUAUUAUUCUCAAUCAAAGUAUACAAAGGCAUAUCAUUAGGAUCAAUAGGAGCACUCUUGCUAGCAAACAAUUCCAUAAGCUCAUCCAUGUUUCCACUCAAAACAUUAAUCUCUUCAAUCGCAUGCACUUUUAUACUAGUGGAAGAUCUUUCGGUACGCCAUUGAGAAUAAUUAACCAAAAUAUUAUCUAAGAGUUUAGCAGCUUCUCCUAAAGUAAUUUCCAUAAAAGUGCCUCCUGCGGCCGAAUUUAAAAGAUUUCUAGAAACAAAAUUCUAUCUGGCAUAGUUUUUUUGUAUAAUCAUCCAUAAAUUUAAACCAUGAGUAGGGCAAUUUCAUAUCAUCAAUUUCAUCCUCUCCCAAGAUUGUGCAACAUGUUCUUGAUCAAGUUGCUUAAAAUUCAUAAUAUCGUUCCUAAGGGAGAUGAUCUUAGCGGGAGAAAAAUACUUGAAAAUAAAAGCAUCUUUACAUUUAUUCCAUAAAUCAAUAGUACUUUUCGGCAAAGAUGAAAACCAAGUUUUAGCACGAUCCCUAAGCGAGAACGGAAAUAGAUUCAAUUUAAAAAUAUCAUUAUCCACAUCUCUUUUCUUUUGCAUAUCACACAAAUCAAAAAAAUUAUUAAGAUGGGAUGCGGCAUCUUCAUUGGGAAGCCCGGAAAAUUGAUCUUUCAUAACAAGAUUCAGCAAAGCGGUAUUAAUUUCACAAGAUUCCGCAUUAGUAGUGGGAGCAAUCGGAGUACUAAUAAAAUCAUUAUUAUUGGUGUUGGAAAAGUCACACAUUUUGGUAUUCUCCUGGGUCAUCGUGACAAAGCAAGCAAUCCAACACACGAGCACACAAAAAACAAGCAAAGAAAACAAACGGAAGAGGGGCGAAGAAAAGGCAAAUCUUUUCGAAAAUCAUUUUAGAAGUGGGGGAGAGGAAAAUGAGAGGUGUCGCGGAAUUGUCACGGCAGAUGUCCUAGUGUGAGGACUUAGUCGUGAGGCCAACGCAUCUAUGUGGUAGCUUGAGAGGGGUUGAUCGGAAUCGAGAGAAGCAACGCAAGACAAGGAUUUAGACAGCUUCGGGCCCCGGGAAACAUCAUCCGGUAACAACCCUACAUGCUGUUUGUGGCUAGGUCUCAUUAUGCUCAUGAGUCGCCGCAUAAACCGGCUCUCCUCUAGUUGUGUCUAGCCUUAGAAGUUAUUUUCCUGUCCCUCUUGGGGUGCCCUGCCCCUCCUUAUAUAUGUUGAAGGGGCGUGUUACAUGACUAGUCCUAGUAGGAUUAGGAUUACUCUAUUACAAGUGGAGUCCUAGUCUUGCUUCCUUUGUAAGGGAAUAUUCCUUAUGCCUUUCCUCGUGAGCCGGCCCACCAUAGCAUGAGCCAGCCUUCUGGGCCUUGGGCCUUGUCAUCCAUCUAAAACACCCACCGGGUCACCAAUGAGUCACCAGGCUAGUGAGUCGGCAGACCAUUGAGCCGCCAGACCCGUGAGUCGCUAGUCCUCCGGCGGGUUAACGGUGAAGCGCCAAGUCCCAGCCGGGCCAUAACUCUGGCCGGGUCAUACCGCGGGGUAUAUCCCCGACAUUAUCCCCCAGUUUAAUUUGGAUUUAUCCAUGUUAAACAGAUCCUGCAAAAUAACUCAAGAACAAAUUUGACAGGUUGUGCUCCGGGUUAACAGUUUCUUGUAAGCCGGCAGUUGAUCAUACUUAAGUCCUUGUUAUUUCCUCCUUUUGGAAAGUCCAGGUCAAUAGACCAACUUCAUAAUCAAUUUUCUUGUAGAAGAAAUAUUGUAAAUAAAGACUCCAUUUGAGUCGGCCUUCAAUGCUCUGACUUGACAAAAAUAUUGGUCUUCAAACAUUCAACUGAUAUUCAGCCGACUUGAAAAUGUAGAACUUGCCGAGCUAUGAUUUCCAAAAUCGUCGGGUUAUAAAAACUGAUGAUUCCGGGUCAUGACUGUUAUAGACGCCGAGUCAUGAUUGUUGCCAACGCUGGGUCACACAAUUCAUCUUCCUGAUUUGCUCAAAACUGAGAAUUUUAAGAUGUUCCUCCUUUAUAUGCAUAUCACCCUGUAGCCCCCAAGUCUUAAGAAGGGAGCGUAGUAAUAGCUUAAGACUUGCUUCAAUAUAUAAAUGUUGCCACUUUGAAGAAAUCCAAGUUUGUUCAUCUCAGUCACCAGUCAAAACGGAAUAUUCCACAUAUGUAGCCCCCAAGUGCCGGAUUGUCAUGCUUGCAGCAACCCGGGACUUGAAAUUGCCUUAUGCUCAUAAAAACUUCAACCAGUGUAGCCCCCAAGGGCCGGGUCAUUAUGCAAUAAUGAGCAGGGACUUUGUAGAUACUGAAGGAAAUAUGCCCUAGAGGCAAUACUAAAGUUAUUAUUUAUUUCCUUAUAUCAUGAUAAAUGUUUAUUAUUCAUGCUAGAAUUGUAUUAACCGGAAACAUAAUACAUGUGUGAAUACAUAGACAAACAGAGUGUCACUAGUAUGCCUCUACUUGACUAGCUCGUUGAUCAAAGAUGGUUAUGUUUCCUAGCCAUAGACAUGAGUUGUCAUUUGAUUAACGGGAUCACGUCAUUAGAAGAAUGAUGUGAUUGACAUGACCCAUUCCCUUAGCUUAGCACUCGAUCGUUUAGUAUGUUGCUAUUGCUUUCUUCAUAACAUAUAUUGACAUGACCCAUUCCCUUAGCUUAGCACUCGAUCGUUUAGUAUGUUGCUAUUGCUUUCUUCAUAACAUAUACAUGUUCCUAUGACUAUGAGAUUAUGCAACUCCCGUUUACCAGAGGAACACUUUGUGUGCUACCAAACGUCACAACAUAACUGGGUGAUUAUAAAGGUGCUCUACAGAUGUCUCCGAUGGUACUUGUUGGGUUGGCGUAUUUCGAGAUUAGGAUUUGUCACUCCGAUUGUCGGAGAGGUAUCUUUGGGCCCUCUUGGUAAUGCACAUCACUUAAGCCUUGCAAGCAUUGCAACUAAUGAGUUAGUUGUGGGAUGAUGUAUUACGAAACGAGUAAAGAGACUUGCCGGUAACAAGAUUGAACUAGGUAUUGAGAUACCGACGAUCGAAUCUCGGGCAAGUAACAUACCGAUGACAAAGGGAACAACGUAUGUUGUUAUGCGGUCUGACCGAUAAAGAUCUUCGUAGAAUAUGUGGGAGCCAAUAUGAGCAUCCAGGUUCCGCUAUUGGUUAUUGACCGGAGACGUGUCUCGGUCAUGUCUACAUAGUUCCCGAACCCGUAGGGUCCGCAUGCUUAACGUUUCGAUGACAGUUAUAUUAUGAGUUUAUAUGUUUUGAUGUACCAAAGGUUGUUCGGAGUCCCGGAUGUGAUCACGGACAUGACGAGGAGUCUCGAAAUGGUCGAGACAUGAAGAUUGAUAUAUUGGAAGCCUAUAUUUGGAUAUCGGUAGUGUUCCGAGUGAAAUCGGGAUUUUACCGGAGUACCGAGGGGUUACCGGAACCCCCCGGGGGCUUAAUGGGCCAUAGUGGGCCUUUGUGGAGAAGAGGAGAGGCGGCCAGGGCAGGGCCGCGUGCUCCUCCCCCUAGUCCGAAUAGGACAAGGAGAGGGGGGCGGCACCCCCCUUUCCUUCCUCUUUCCCUCCUCUUUCCCCCUCCGCUCCUAAUCCAACUAGGAAAAGGGAGGGAGUCCUACUCCCGGUGGGAGUAGGACUCCACCUGGGGUGCCCCUCCUGGCCGGCCGCACCUCCCCCUUGCUCCUUUAUAUACGGGGGCAGGGGGGCACCCUAGAGACACAACAAUUGAUCGUUUGAUCUUUUAGCCGUGUGCGGUGCCCCCCUCCACCAUAGUCCACCUCGAUAAUACAGUUGCGGUGCUUAGGCGAAGCCCUGCGUCGGUAGAACAUCAUCAUCGUCACCACACCAUCGUGCUGACGAAACUCUCCCUCAACACUCGGCUGGAUCGGAGUUCGAGGGACGUCAUCGGGCUGAACGUGUGCAGAACUCGGAGGUGCCGUGCGUUGGGUACUUGAUCGGUCGGAUCGUGAAGACGUACGACUACAUCAAUCGCGUUGUGCUAACGAUUCCGCUUUCGGUCUACGAGGGUACGUGGACAACGCUCUCCCCUCUCGUUGCUAUGCAUCACCAUGAUCCUGCGUGUGCGUAGGAAUUUUUUUGAAAUUACCGCGUUCCCCAACAGUGGCAUCCGAGCCAGGUUUUAUGCGUUGAUGUUAUGUGCACGAGUAGAACACAAGUGAGUUGUGGGCGAUACAAGUCAUACUGCUUACCAGCAUGUCAUACUUUGGUACAACGAUAUUGUUGGAUGAAGUGGCCCGGACCGACAUUACGCGUACGCUUAUGCGAGACUGGUUUUACCGCCGUGCUUUGCACACAGGUGACUAGCGGGUGUCAGUUUCUCCAACUUUAGUUGAACCGAGUGUGGCUACGUCCGUUCCUUGAGAAGGUUAAAACAACACUAACUUGACGAACUAUUGUUGUGGUUUUGAUGCGUAGGUAAGAACGGUUCUUGCUCAGCCCAUAGCAGCCACGUAAAACUUGCAACAACAAAGUAGAGGACGUCUAACUUGUUUUUGCAGGGCAUGUUGUGAUGUGAUAUGGUCAAGACGUGAUGAGAUAUAAGUUGUUGUAUGAGAUGAUCAUGUUUUGUUGAAGCUAUCGGCAACUGGCAAAAGCUUUAUGGUUGUCUCUUUAUUGCAUAAGAUGCAAGCGCCAAAUAAUUGCUUUACUUUAUCGCUAUGCGAUAGCAAUAGUUGCAAGAGCAAUAGUUGUCGAGACGACCAUGUGACGACACAUUGAUAUAGAUCAAGAUGAUGGAGAUCAUGGUGUCAUGCCGGUGACGAUGGAGAUCAUGACCAUGCUUUGGAGAUGGAGAUCAAAGGCACAAGAUGAUGAUGGCCAUAUCAUGUCACAUAUUAUGAUUGCAUGUGAUGUUUAUCUUUUAUACAUCUUAUUUUGCUUAGUUCGGCGGUAGCUUUAUAAGAUGAUCUCUCACUAAAUUUCAAGGCAUAAGUGUUCUCCCUGAGUAUGAACUAUUGCGAAAGUUCUUCGUGCUAAGACACCACGUGAUGAUCGGGUGUGAUAGGCUCUACGUUCAAAUACAAUGGGUGCAAAACAGUUGCACACGCGGAAUACUCAGGUUAAACUUGACGAGCCUAGCAUAUAACACAUAUGGCCUCGGAACACUGAGACCGAAAGGUCGAGCGUGAAUCAUAUAGUAGAUUUGAUCAACAUAAAUGAUGUUCACCAUUGAAACUACUCCAUAUCACGUGAUGAUCGGACAUGGUUUAGUUGAUAUGGAUCACGUGAUCACUUAGAGGAUUAGAGGGAUGUCUAUCUAAGUGGGAGUUCUUAAGUAAUAUGAUUAAUUGAACUUUAAUUUAUCAUGAACUUAGUCCUAGUAGCAUUAGCAUAUCUAUGUUGUAGAUCAAUAGCUCGCGAUGUUGCUCCCCGUUUAAUUUUAUAUGUUCCUAGAGAAAACUAAGUUGAAAGAUGUUAGUAGCAAUGAUGCGGAUUGGAUCCAUGAACUGAGGUUUAUCCUCAUUGCUGCACAGAAGAAUUAUGUCCUUGAUGCACCGCUAGGUGAUAGACCUAUUGCAGGAGCAGAUGCAGACGUUAUGAACGUUUGGCUAGCUCAAUAUGAUGACUACUUGAUAGUUUAGUGCACCAUGCUUAAUGGCUUAGAAUCGGGACUUCAAAGAUGUUUUGAACAUCAUGGACCAUAUGAUAUGUUCCAGGAGUUGAAGUUAAUAUUUCAAGCAAAUACCCGAGUUGAGAGAUAUAAAGUCUCCAACAAGUUCUAUAGCUAAAAGAUGGAGGAGAAUAGCUCAAGCAGUGAGCAUGUGCUCAGAUUGUCUGGGUACUACAAUCGCUUGAAUCAAGUGGGAGUUAAUCUUCCAGAUAAGAUAGUGAUUGACAGAAUUCUCUAGUCACCAUCACCAAGUUAGUAGAACUUCUGAUGAACUAUAGUAUGCAAGGGAUAACGUAGACGAUUCCCGAGCUUUUCAUGACGAUGAAAUCAGAAAUCAAGAAAGAGCAUCAAGUGUUGAUGAUUAACAAGACCACUAGUUUCAAGAAAAGGGCAAAGGGAAAGAAAGGGAACUUCAUGUAGAACAGCAAGCAAGUUGCUGCUCAAGUGAAGAAGCCCAAGUUUGGACCUAAGCCUGAGACUGAGUGCUUCUACUGCAAAAGGACUGGUCACUCGAAGCAGAACUACCCCAAAUAAUUGGCGGAUAAGAAGGAUGGCAAAGUGAACAAAAGUAUAUUUGAUAUACAUGUUAUUGAUGUGUACUUUACUAGUGUUUAUAGCAACCCCUCAGUAUUUGAUACUGGUUUAGUUGCUAAGAGUAGUAACUUAAAACAGGAGUUGCAAAAUGAACGGAGACUAGUUAAGGAUGAAGUGACGAUGUGUGUUGGAAGUAGUUCCAAGAUUGAUGUGAUCAUCAUCGCACAAUCCAUAUAACUUUUGGGAUUAGUGUUGAACCUAAAUAAGUGUUAUUUGGUGUUUGCGUUGAGCAUGAAUAUGAUUGGAUCAUGUUUAUUGCAAAACGGUUAUUCAUGUAAGUUGGAGAAUAAUUGUUGUUCUGUUUACAUGAAUAAAACCUUCUAUGGUCAUACACCCAAUGAAAAUGGUUUGUUGGAUCUCGAUCGUGGUGAUACACAUUUUCAUAAUAUUGAAGCCAAAAGAUGCAAAGUUAAUAAUGAUAGUGCAACUUAUUUGUGGCACUGCCGUUUAGGUCAUAUUGGUGUAAAGCGCAUGAAGAAACUCCAUGCUGAUGGACUUUUGGAAUCACUUGAUUAUGAAUCACUUGAUGCUUGCGAACCAUGCCUCAUGGGCAAGAUGACUAAGACUCCGUUCUCUGGAACAAUGGAGCGAGCAACUGACUUAUUGGAAAUAAUACAUACUGAUGUAUGUGGUGCGAUGAGUGUUAAGGCUCGCGGCAAGUAUCGUUAUUUUCUGACCUUCACAGAUGAUUUGAGCAGAUAUGGGUAUAUCUACUUGAUGAAACACAAGUCUGAAACAUUUGAAAAGUUCAAAGAAUUUCAGAGUGAAGUGGAGAAUCAUCGUAACAAGAAAAUAAAAGUUUCUACGAUAAGAUCGCGGAGAUGAAAUAUUUGAGUUACGAGUUUGGCCUUCAGUUAAAACAAUGUGAAAUAGUUUCACUACUCACGCCACCUGGAACACCUCAGUGUAAUGGUGUGUCCGAACGUCAUAACCGUACUUUAUUAGAUAUGGUGCGAUCUAUGAUGUCUCUUACCGAUCUACCACUAUCCUUUGGGGUUAUGUAUUAGAGACAGCUGCAUUCACGUUAAAUAGGGCACCAUUUAAAUCCGUUGAGACGACACCGUAUGAACUAUGGUUUGGCAAGAAACCUAAGCUGUCGUUUCUUAAAGAUUGAGGUUGCAAUGCUUAUGUGAAAAAGUUUCAACCUGAUAAGCUCAAGCCCAAAUCGGAGAAGUGCGUCUUCAGAGGAUACCCAAAAGAAAAUGUUGGGUACACCUUCUAUCACAGAUCCGAAGGCAAGAUAUUCGUUGCUGAGAAUGGAUCCUUUCUAGAGGAGUUUUUCUUGAAAGAAGUGAGUGGGAGGAAAGUAGAACUUGAUGAGAUAACUGUACCUGCUCCCUUAUUGGAAAGUAAUUCAUCACAAAAAUCUGUUCCUGUGACUACUACACCAAUUAGUGAGGAAGCUAAUGAUGAUGAUCAUGUAACUUCAGAUCAAGUUACUAUCGAACCUCGCAGGUAAACUAGAGUGAGAUCCGCACCAGAGUGGUACGGUAAUCCUGUUCUGGAGGUCAUGUUACUUGACCAUGACGAACCUACGAACUAUGAGGAAGCGAUGAUGAGCCCAGAUUCCGCGAAAUGGCUUGAGGCCAUGAAAUCUGAGAUGAGAUCCAUGUAUGAGAACAAAGUAUGGACUUUGAUUGACUUGCCCAAUGAUCGGCGAGCCAUUGAAAUUAAAUGGAUCUUCAAGAGGAAGACGGACGCUGAUAGUAGUGUUACUAUCUACAAAGCUAGAAUUGUCGCAAAAGGGUUUCGACAAGUUCAAGGUGUUGACUACGAUGAGAGUUUCUCACUCGUAUCUAUGCUUAAGUCUGUCCAAAUCAUGUUAGCAAUUGUUGCAUUUUAUGAUAUCUGGCAAAUGGAUAAACAAAACUACAUUCCUUAAUGGAUUUAUUAAAGAAGAGUUGUAUAUGAUGCAACCAGAAGGUUUUGUCAAUCCUAAAGGUGCUAACAAAAUAUGCAAGCUCCAGCGAUCCAUCUAUGGACUGGUGCAAGCAUCUCGGAGUUGGAAUAUACGCUUUGAUAAGUUGAUCAAAGGAUAUAGUUUUAUACAGACUUGCGGUGAAGCCUGUAUUUACAAGAAAGUGAGUGGGAGCACUACAACAUUUCUGAUAAGUAUAUGUGAAUGACAUAUUGUUGAUCAGAAAUAAUAUAGAAUUAUUCUGCAAAGCAUAAAGUUGUGUUUGAAAGGAGUUUUUCAAAGAAAGACCUCGGAGAAGCUACUUACAUAUUGAGCAUCAAGAUCCAUAGAGAUAGAUCAAGACGCUUGAUAAGUUUUUUCAAUGAGUACAUACCUUGGCAAAAUUUUGAAGUAGUUAAAAAUGGAACAGUCAAAGAAAGAGGUCUUGCCUGUGUUACAAGGUGUGAAAUUGAGUAAGACUCAAAGCCCGACCAGGCAGAAGAUAGAAAGAGAAUGAAAGUCAUUCCCUAUGCCUUGGCCAUAGGUUCUAUAAAGUAUGCCAUACUGUGUACCAGAUCUAUUGUAUACCCUACACUGAUUUUGGCAAGGGAGUACAAUAGUGAUCUAGGAGUAGAUCACUGGACAACGGUCAAAAUUAUCCUUAGUGGAAUAAGGAUAUGUUUCUCAAUUAUGGAGGUGACAAAAAGGUUCGUCAUAAAGGGUUACGUCGAUGCAAAUUUUGACACUGAUCCAGAUGACUCUAAGUCUCAAUCUGGAUACAUAUUGAAAGUGGGAGCAAUUAGCUAGAGUAGCUCCGUGCAGAGCAUUGUUGACAUAGAAAUUUGCAAAAUACAUACGGAUCUGAAUGUGGCAGACCCGUUGACUAAACUUCUCUCACAAGCAAAACAUGAUCACACCUUAGUACUCUUUGGGUGUUAAUCACAUAGCGAUGUGAACUAGAUUAUUGACUCUAGUAAACCCUUUUGGUGUUGGUCACAUGACGAUGUGAACUAUGGGUGUUAAUCACAUGGUGAUGUGAACUAUUGGUAUUAAAUCACAUGGUGAUGUGAACUAGAUUAUUGACUCUAGUGCAAGUGGGAGACUGAAGGAAAUAUGCCCUAGAGGCAAUAUUAAAGUUAUUAUUUAUUUCCUUAUAUCAUGAUAAAUGUUUAUUAUUCAUGCUAGAAUUGUAUUAACCGGAAACAUAAUACAUGUGUGAAUACAUAGACAAACAGAGUGUCACUAGUAUGCUUCUACUUGACUAGCUCGUUGAUCAAAGAUGGUUAUGUUUCCUAGCCAUAGACAUGAGUUGUCAUUUGAUUAACGGGGUCACAUCAUUAGGAGAAUGAUGUGAUUGACUUGACCCAUUCCUUUAUCUUAGCACUCGAUCGUUUAGUAUGUUGCUAUUGCUUUCUUCAUGACUUAUACAUGUUCCUAUGACUAUGAGAUUAUGCAACUCCCGUUUACCGGAGGAACACUUUGUGUGCUACCAAACGUCACAAUGUAACUGGGUGAUUAUAAAGGUGCUCUACAGGUGUCUCCGAAGGUACUUGUUGGGUUUGCGUAUUUCGAGAUUAGGAUUUGUCACUCCGAUUGUCGGAGAGGUAUCUCUGGGCCCUCUCGGUAAUGCACAUCACUUAAGCCUUGCAAGCAUUUCAACUAAUGAGUUAGUUGUGGGAUGAUGUAUUACAGAACGAGUAAAGAGACUUGCCGGUAACGAGAUUGAACUAGGUAUUGAGUUACCGACGAUCGAAUCUCGGGCAAGUAACAUACCGAUGACAAAGGGAACAACGUAUGUUGUUAUGCGGUCUGACCGAUAAAGAUCUUCGUAGAAUAUGUGGGAGCCAAUAUGAGCAUCCUAGUUCCGCUAUUGGUUAUUGACCGGAGACGUGUCUCGGUCAUGUCUACAUAGUUCUCGAACCUGUAGGGUCCGCACGCUUAACGUUUCGAUGACAGCUAUAUUAUGAGUUUAUAUGUUUUGAUGUACCGAAGGUUGUUCGGAGUCCCGGAUGUGAUCACGGACAUGACGAGGAGUCUCGAAAUGGUCGAGACAUGAAGGUUGAUAUAUUGGAAGCCUAUAUUUGGAUAUCGGAAGUGUUCUGGGUGAAAUCGAGAUUUUACCGGAGUACCGAGGGGUUACAGGAACCCCACGGAGGCUUAAUGGGCCAUAGUGGGCCUUUGUGGAGAAGAGGAGAGGCGGCCAGGGCAGGGCCGCGCGCCCCUCCCCCUAGUUCGAAUAGGACAAGGAGAGGGGGGCGCCGCCCCCCUUUCCUUCCUCUUUCCCUCCUCUUUCCCCCUCCACUCCUAAUCCAAUUAGGAAAAGGGACGGAGUCCUACUCCCGGUGGGAGUAGGACUCCACCUGGCGCGCCCCUCCUGGCCGGCCGCACCUCCCCCCUUGCUCCUUUAUAUACGGGGGCAGGGGGCACCCUAGAGACACAACAAUUGAUUGUUUGAUCUUUUAGCCGUGUGCGGUGCCCCCCUCCACCAUAGUCCACCUCGAUAAUACUGUAGCGGUGCUUAGGCGAAGCCCUGAGUCGGUAGAACAUCAUCAUCGUCACCACACCGUCGUGCUGACGAAACUCUCCCUCAACACUCGGCUGGAUCGGAGUUCGAUGGACAUCAUCGGGCUGAACGUGUGCUGAACUCAGAGGUGCCGUGCGUUCGGUACUUGAUCGGUCGGAUCGUGAAGACGUACGACUACAUCAACCGCGUUGUGCUAACGCUUCCGCUUUUGGUCUACGAGGGUACGUGGAGAACACUCUCCCCUCUCCUUGCUAUGCAUCACCAUGAUCCUGCGUGUGCGUAGGGAUUUUUUUGAAAUUACUGCGUUCCCCAACAGAUACUUCAUUGAAAAUAACAUCAUACAAGGUUAAGAGUCUUGUCCUCUGAGCAACUGAGCAAUGAACCCUUCAAUAUAAUGGAUUAAGGCUUGUGUACCUUGAAUUUUUGACAUGAGUGGUAGCCCCCAAGGGCCGGCUCAUUACAAUGUGAUGAGUCGGGUCUUUAAUAAGGUGAGCAAAAAAGACUGUGCAUUAGCCCCCAAGUGCCAUGGUGCAUGCUGGCAGUGACAUGGGACUUGCAUAUUUGUUGUAAUCUCAACUUGGAUAAUGUAGCCCCCAAGUGCCGGGUCGUAAGCCUGCAGCGACUCGGGACUAUUCCUUCGAUUGUAGAGUAAAUUAUAUUCAUUGAUAAAAUAAUAGCCAUUGCGCUGAAGCGACUUUUUAAAACCUCAAUCAUAAUAUUGGUAAUUGAUAACCAUAAUAAAAAUCCAGCCAUGUUGGCUAUUAAAAAUUUGAAUAAUAUAACCUGGUUUGAAAAAACCAAUUCCUGCCAUAUAAACCGGUAUAUCCAUGCACAUAUGAUACAUGCUAUGAUGAUGUAAUGAUGAUGCAAUGCAUGAUGAUGUAUGUGUAUGAUGCAAUGUAUGAUGAUGUAUGUGUAUGAUGACAGAAUACUUCAAUGAAACUAGCCUAAGCCACUGGAAGGUAUGUGCUUUCCGUGAGCCUGACUCACAGUACCCAAUCGACAUUUGAACCCAGAUAAAGUCAGGUCUUGCUUUAUAGACUUAUCAGGAGUACGCGGGGUUAGAAUAACAACAUACAUCACGGGCCGAUUUAUCCAAGUUUCAAGGAAGGCGGCUUAUGAAGCCCGGAUCUAUCUUGACUAUCUGUAAACCGUGCUCUCGCAUGAAAAACCGCCAUAUUAACCUUAACAAGCUCAGGAUCUUUGGUCGAAUACGCCGUAAAGAUUGAUCAUUAAGAGUAUGGCGGGUCAAUCAAGAUUACCCGAUGGAGUUGAAGCAGCUGGCUAUAGGUAGGAUGACCCGGAAAGGUUAUAUUCUCUUUGGUCGAAUACGCCUAUGUUUGAAUAUAACCUGGUCAAAAAGGGUAGUCACGCUAUGUUCUCUUUGGUCGAAUACGCCUAUGUUUGAACAGGAAGCCCCCCAAGUGACAUAUUCGGUCAAGAGGGUAGUAACGCUAUGCUUCGAAUACGAGCAGGAAGCCCGCAAGUGACCAUAAUGAGCCAAUAAUGGCAGGAUACCCAUGUUUGAACCGCGCAUCAUGGCAGCAGGUCCUCUUCGGCAACCUUUAAUUUUUUCUGAGAACUCAAAAUUUGCGAGAGAUAAUAUUCUUCUUGAGCCGGAAUUUUAAACUGGAUUUGAGAGCUUUAGAGCUUUGUGAGAGAACAUAUUUCCCUUGAACCGGAUUUUAAACCGGCAUUCUUCAUUUUGAGCCGCAAAUUUUUCUGACAGCCUUUAAAUUUUUAUCAAUAUAGCAGUAGUCUCCGGGGCCGGGUUAUUUUUUCCUCCAAUUUUGCCGAGUCAUGUCACUAUAGCCCCCCGAGUCUUAAGAUGACUCGAGGAGUUGUCUUGAGAUUCUCCAUACUUGGCCGUGAUAUAAACCGGCGUAUAGCUGAACAGCGAAACGCUGUAAUAUGUUAAAGCUGGAAGGAAGGUGGCGAGUUAAUGAUCUCCGCAGAACUCAUUAUAUAUCCUUGGCGUUGAUAACACGAUGUGAAUCCACGGAAACUUGAGGUUGACCGUGGCAGGUUAUAAAUGACCCCUUAUGAUUUAUGUCAGUAACCCGGCCAGCGGUUCAUCCCAGUUGGUUGUUUAACCAAAAUGCAGUGGCGGCGAUUUGUAUGCCUAUCCAAUGAGCCCUCUGGUGGAGGCAGAGGCUGACACUAUAUCAUGACCUUCUUGAGAGUUGUUGUAACAAUAGACCGGGCAGGAGGAGCGGUGACUUGCACGCGCUCAUUAAACAACUUGUGCACACAAGCGCGGCCCGGUGUGUUGACGUAGACCAGACUGCGAGGGACGGACGGUAAAUACAACUGUAGCAUCAGAGGCGGCACAGACAGCUGAGUUGGCCGCGGUGUUGUAAGUCGGCGCGGGCGGGAGAGUGGGCCGCGGAGGUGGACGGGUGAGUUAUUGCUACCUCUUGAGUUUGCGUUGGUUUUUCCUUGAAGAGGAAAGGGUGAUGCAGCAAAGUAGCGUCAGUAUUUCCCACAGUUUUUGAGAACCAAGGUAUCAAUCCAGUAGGAGACUACACGCAAGUCGCCUCAUACCUACACAAAAAAUUAGAACCUUGCAACCAACGCGAUAAAGGGGUUGUCAAUCCCUUCACGGCCACUUGCAAAAGUGAGAUCUGAUAGAGAUAAUAAGAUAAAUAUUUUUGGUAUUUUUAUGAUAUAGAUUGGAAAGUAAAGAUUGCAAAAUAAAAGAUAGAUUGGAAACUUAUAUGAUGGAAAAUAGACCCGGGGGCCAUAGGUUUCACUAGUGGCUUCUCUCAAGAUAGCAUAAGUAUUAUGGUAGGUGAACAAAUUACUGUCGAGCAAUUGAUAGAAAAGUGCAUAAUUAUGAGAAUACCUAGGCAUGAUCAUGUAUAUAGGCAUCACGCCCACGACAAGUAGACCGAAACGAUUCUGCAUCUACUACUAUUACUCCACACAUCGACCGCUAUCCAGCAUGCAUCUAGAGUAUUAAGUUCAUAAGAACAGAGUAACACAUUAGGCAAGAUGACAUGAUGUAGAGGGAUAAACUCAAGCAAUAUGAUAUAAACCCCAUCUUUUUAUCCUCGAUGGCAACAAUACAAUACGUGCCUUGCUGCCCCUGCUGUGACUGGGAAAGGACAUCGCAAGAUUGAACCCAAAGCUAAGCACUUCUCCCAUUGCAAGAAAGAUCAAUCUAGUAGGCCAAACCAAACUGAUAAUUCGAAGAGACUUGCAAAGAUAACCAAUCAUACAUAAAAGAAUUCAAAGGAGAUUCAAAUAUUGUUCAUAGACAAUCUUGAUCAUAAACCCACAAUUCAUCGGAUCUCGACAAACACACCACAAAAAGAAUUACAUCGAAUAGAUCUACAAGAAGAUCGAAGAGAACUUUGUAUUGAGAUCCAAAGAGAGAGAAGAAGCCAUCUAGCUAAUAACUAUGGACCCAGAGGUCUGUGGUAAACUACUCACACAUCAUCGAAGAGGCUAUGGUGUUGAUGUAGAAGCCCUCCAUGAUCGAUUCCCCCUUCGACGGAGCGCUGGAAAAGGCCCCAAGAUGGGAUCUCACGUGUACAGAAGGUUGCGACGGUGGAAAUAGGGUUUCGUGGUGCUCCUGGAUGUUUUCGGGGUAUAUGGGUAUAUAUAUGAGGAAGAAGUAGGUCGGUGGAGCUGCGAGGGGCCCACGAGGGUGGGGGGCGCGCCGAGAGGGGCAGGCACGCCUCCCUGCCUCGUGGCCUCUUGCUUCUUUCUUGACGUCCACUCCAAGUCCUCUGGAUCACGUUUGUUCCAAAACUAACUCCCCCGAAGGUUUCAUUCCGUUUGGACUCCGUUUGAUAUUCCUUUUCUGCGAAACACUGAAAUAGGCAAAAAAACAACAAUUUGCACUGGGCCUUCGGUUAAUAGGUUAGUCCCAAAAAUAAUAUAAAAGUGCUUAGUAAAGCCCAUUAAACAUCCAAAACAGAUAAUAUAAUAGCAUGGAACAAUAAAAAUUAUAGAUACGUUGGAGACGUAUCAAGCAUCCCCAAGCUUAAUUCCUGCUCAUCCUCGAGUAGGUAAAUGAUAAAAACAGAAUUUUUGAUGUGGAAUUCUACCUAGCAUAUUUCUCAUUGUAAUUUCCUUUAUUGUGGCAUGAAUUUUCAGAUCCGAAAGAUUCAAGACAAAAGUUUAAUAUUGACAUAAAAAUAAUAAUACUUCAAGCAUACUAACAAAGCAAUCAUGUCUUCUCAAAAUAACAUGGCCAAAGAAAGUUAUCCCUACAAAAUCAUAUAGUCUGGCUAUGCUCCAUCUUCAUCACACAAAUUAUUUAAUCAUGCACAACCCCGAUGACAAGCCAAGCAAUUGUUUCAUACUUUUGAUGUUCUCAAACUUUUUCAAUCUUCACGCAAUACAUGAGCGUGAGCCAUGGACAUAGCACUAUAUGUGGAAUAGAAUGGUGGUUGUGGAGAAGACAAAAAGGAGAAGAUAGUGUCACAUCAACUAGGCGUAUCAAUGGGCUAUGGAGAUGCCCAUCAAUAGAUAUCAAUGUGAGUGAGUAGGGCUUGCCAUGCAAUGGAUGCACUAGAGCUACAAGUGUAUGAAAGCUCAAGAAAAGAAACUAAGUGGGUGUGCAUCCAACUUGCUUGCUCAUGAAGUCCUAGAGCAUUUUAAGGAAGCCCAUCAUUGGAAUAUACAAGACAAGUUCUAUAAUGUAAAAUUCCCACUAGUAUAUGAAAGUGACAACAUAGGAGACUCUCUAUUAUGAAGAUCAUGGUGCUACUUUGAAGCACAAGUGUGGUAAAAGGAUAGUAACAUUGUCCCUUCUCUCUUUUUCCCUCAUUUUAUUUUUAUUUUUUAUUUGGGCAUUUUUCUCUUUUUAUGGCCUCUUUUUUCUUUUCUUUUUCUUCGUCCGGAGUCUCAUCCCGACUUGUGGGGGAAUCAUAGUCUCCAUCAUCCUUUCCUCACUUGGGACAAUGCUCUAAUAAUGAUGAUCAUCACACUUUUAUUUACUUACAACUCAAAAAUUACAACUCAAUACUUAGAACAAAAUAUGACUCUAUGUGAAUGCCUCCGGCGGUGUACCGGGAUAUGCAAUGAAUCAAGAGUGACAUGUAUGAAAGAAUUAUAAAGGUGGCCUUCCCACAAAUACGAUGUCAACUACAUGAUCAUGCAAAGCAAUAUGACAAUGAUGAAACGUGUCAUAAUAAACUGAACGGUGGUAAGUUGCAUGGAAAUAUAUCUCGGAAUGGCUAUGGAAAUGCCAUAAUAGGUAGGUCUGGUGGCUGUUUUGAGGAAGGUAUAUGGUGGGUGUAUGAUACCGGCGAAAGGUGUGCGGUAUUAGAGGGGCUAGCAAUGGUGGAAGGGUGAGAGUGCGUAUAAUCCAUGGACUCAACAUUAGUCAUAAAGAACUCACAUACUUAUUGCAAAAAUCUAUUAGUUAUCGAAACGAAGUACUACGCGCAUGCUCCUAGGGGGAUAGACUGGUAGGAAAAGACCAUCGCUCGUUCCCGACCGCCACUCAUAAGGAAGAAAAUCAAUAAAUAAAUCAUGCUCCGACUUCAUCACAUAACGGUUCACCAUACGUGCAUGCUACGGGAAUCACAUACUUUAGAACCAGUAUUUCUCAAAUUCACAACUACUCAACUAGCAUGACUCUAAUAUCACCAUCUUCAUAUCUCAAAACAAUUAUCAAGUAUCAAACUUCUCAUAGUAUUCAAUGCACUUUAUAUGAUAGUUUUUAUUAUACCCAUCUUGGAUGUUCAUCAUAUUAGGACUAAUUUUAUAGCCAAAGCGAACUACCAUGCUGUUCUAAAAGACUCUCAAAAUAAUAUAAGUGAAGCAUGAGAGAUUAAUAAUUUCUAUAAAAUAAAACCACCACCGUGCUCUAAAAAGAUACAAGUGAAGCACUAGCUAGAGCAAAAUUAUCUAGCUCAAAAGAUAUAAGUGAAGCACAUAGAGUAUUCUAAUAAAUUUUGAUUCAUGUGUGUCUCUCCCAAAAGGUGUGUACAGCAAGGAUGAUUGUGGUAAACUAAUAAGCAAAGACUCAAAUAAUACAAGACGUUCCAAGCAAAACACAUAUCAUGUGAUGAAUAAAAAUAUAGCCUCAAGUAAAGUUAUCGAUGGACGAAGACGAAAGAGGGGAUGCCUUCCGGAGCAUCCCCAAGCUUAUGCUUUUGGUUGCCUUUGAAUUUUACCUUGGGGUGCCUUGGGCAUCCCCAAGCUUAGGCUGUUGCCACUCCUUAUUCCAUAAUCCAUCAAAUCUUUACCCAAAAUUUGAAUACUUCACAACACAAAACUCAACAGAAAAUCUUAUGAGCUCCGUUAGUUUAAGAAAACAAAUCACCACCAUAAGGUACUGUAAUGAACUCAUUCUUUAUUUAUAUUGGUGUCAAACCUACUGCAUUCUAACUUUUUUAUGGUUUAUACCCUCCAAUACUAGCCAUAGAUUCAUCAAAAUAAGCAAACAACACACGAAAAACAGAAUCUGUCAAAAACAGAACAGUCUGUAGCAAUCAGAUUUGUUCGAAUACAUCUGGAACUCCAACAAUCCUGAAAAACUAGUACAACCUGGAAAAUUUGUGUACUGAUCUACUGCAAAAUGAAUUGAUAUUUUAUCAUGUUCUGGUGAAUUUUAACAAUUAUAUUCGUGAGUGCAAAGUUUCUGUCUUUUUCAGCAAGAUCAAACAACUAUCACCCAAGAAGAUCCUAUUGGUUCUACUUGGCACAAAAACUAAUUAAAACAUAAAACCACAUCUGACGAGAGGCUAGAUGAAUUAUUUAUUACUAAAAAGGAACAAAAACAAGAAACAAAAAUAAAAUUGGGUUGCCUCCCAACAAGCCCUGUCAUUUAACGCCCCUAGCUAGGCAUAAAAACAAGAAUAGAUCUAGGUAUUAUAAUCUUUGGCAUGCAAUCCAUAAGUGGCUCUCAUAAUAGAUUCAUAAGGUAGUUUAAUUUUAUUUCUAGGAAAGUGUUCCAUGCCUUUCCUUAACAGAAAUUGGAAUCUAAUAUUUCCUUCUUUCAUAUCAAUAAUUGCACCAAUCAUUCUAAGGAAAGGUCUACCAAGAAUAAUAGGACAUGUAGGAUUGCAAUCUAUAUCAAGAACAAUGAAAUCUACGGGCACAUAAUUACUAUUUGCACCAAUAAGAACAUUAUUAAUUCUUCCCAUAGGUUUCUUAAUGGUGGAAUCCGCAAGCUGCAAAUUUAAAGAACAAUCAUCAAAUUCACGGAAACCUAACACAUCACACAAAGUUUUUGGAAUCGUGGAAACACUAGAACCCAAAUCACACAAAGCAUAGCAUUCAUGAUCUUUAAUCUUAAUUUUAAUAGUAGGUUCCCACUCAUCAUAAAGUUUUCUAGGUAUAAAAACUUCCAAUUCAAGCUUUUCUUCAUAAGAUUGAAUUAAAGCAUCAACGAUAUGUUUAGUAAAAGCUUUAUUUUGACUAUAAGCAUGAGGAGAAUUUAGCACGGAUUGCAACAAGGAAAUACAAUCUAUUAAAGAACAAUUAUCAUAAUUAAAUUCCUUGAAAUCCAAAAUAGUGGGUUCAUUGCUAUGUAAAGUUUUGACCUCUUCAAUCUCACUUUUACCAAAUUUUGCAUCAAGAUCUAAAAACUCUGAAUCAUUGGGACGCCUUUUAACUAAAGUUGACUCAUCUAGAGUCCCAUCAUUAUAUGCAAAACAAAUAUUUAAUAGGAGACACAUCAAUCAUUCUUAGAUCUUCAUCCCUAUUAUCAUGAAAACUGGAAGAACACGCUUUUACAAAGCAAUCUUUCUUAGCACGCAUCCUAGCUGUUCUUUUUUUGCACUCAUCAAUGGAAAUUCUCAUGGAUUUGAGAGACUCAUUGAUAUCAUGUUUAGGUGGAAUAGAUCUAAGUUUCAAAGAAUCAACAUCAAGGGAAAUUCUAUCUACGUUCCUAGCCAACUCAUCAAUCUUAAGCAAUUUUUCUUCAAGCAAAGCAUUGAAAUUCUUUUGAGAAAUCAUAAACUCUUUAACACUAGUCUCAAAAUCAGAGGGCAUCUUAUUAAAAUUGCCAUAAGAGUUGUUGUAGGAAUUACCAUAAUUAUUAGAGGAAUUACUAGGAUAUGGCCUAGUAUUAAAAUUUCCUCUAUAAGCGUUGUUACCAAAAUUGUUCCUACCAACAAAAUUCACAUCCAUAGAUUUAUUAUUAUUUUCAAUCAAAGUAGACAAAGGCAUAUCAUUAGGAUCAAUAGGAGCACUCUUAUUAGCAAACAACUUCAUAAGUUCAUCCAUCUUUCCACUCAAAACAUUAAUCUCUUCUAUCGCAUGAACCUUUUUACUAGUAGAUCUUUUGGUGUGCCAUUGAAAAUAAUUAACCAUAAUAUUAUCUAGGAGUUUAGUAGCUUCUCCUCAAGUGAUUCCCAUAAAAGUGCCUCCCGCGGCCGAAUCUACAAGAUUUCUAGAAGCAAAAUUCAAUCCAGCAUAAUUUUUUUCUAUAAUCAUCCAUAAAUUCAAACCAUGCGUAUGGCAAUUACGUAUCAUUAAUUUCAUCCUCUCCCAAGAUUGUGCAACAUGCUCAUGAUCAAGUUGCUUAAUAUUCAUAAUAUCGUUUCUAAGAGAGAUGAUCUUAGCGGGAGGAAAAUAAUUAGAGAUAAAAGCAUCUUUGCACUUAUUCCAAGAAUCAAUACUGUUUUUAGGCAAAGACGAAAACCAAGUUUUAGUGCGAUCUCUAAGCGAAAAAGGAAAUAGCUUAGAUUUAACAAUAUCAUUAUCCACAUCUGUCUUCUUUUGCAUAUCACACAAAUCAACAAACUGGUUUAGAUGGGUAGCAGCAUCUUCACUAGGAAGGCCAGAGAAUUGAUCUUUCAUGACAAGAUUCAACAAAGCAGCAUUAAUUUCACAAGAUUCAGCAUCGGUAAGGGGAGCAAUCGGAGUGCUAAGAAAAUCAUUGUUGUUGGUAUUGGAAAAGCCACACAAUUUAGUAUUGUCAUGAGCCAUCGUGACAAACGAUCCAACACACAAGCACACAAGAAGCAAGCAAAAAGAGAUGAACGGAAAAGAGGGCAAAUAAAACAGCAAGGGUGAAGUGGGGGAGAGGAAAAUGAGAGGCAAAUGGCAAAUAAUGAAAUGUGAGGGAUAAGAGUUUGUGAUGGGUACUUGGAAUGUCUUGACUUGGCGUAGAUCUCCCCGGCAACGGCGCGAGAAAUCCUUCUUGCAACCUCUUGAGCUUGCGUUGGUUUUUCCUUGAAGAGGAAAGGGUGAUGCAGCAAAGUAGCGUAAGUAUUUCUCUCAGUUUUUGAGAACCAAGGUAUCAAUCCAGUAGGAGACUACACGCAAGUCGCCUCGUACCUACACAAACAAAUAAGGACCUUGCAACCAACACGAUAAAGGGGUUGUCAAUCCCUUCACGGCCACUUGCAAAAGUGAGAUCUAAUAGAGAUAAUAAGAUAAAUAUUUUUGGUAUUUUUAUGAUAUAGAUUGGAAAGUAAAGAUUGCAAAAUAAAAGAUAGAUUGGAAACUUAUAUGAUGGAAAUAUACCCGGGGGGCAUAGGUUUCACUAGUGGCUUCUCUCAAGAUAGCAUAAGUAUUACGGUGGGUGAACAAAUUACUGUCUAGCAAUUGAUAGAAAAGUGCAUAAUUAUGAGAAUAUCUAGGCAUGAUCAUGUAUAUAGGCAUCAUGUCCGCGACAAGUAUACCGAAACGAUUCUGCAUCUACUACUAUUACUCCACACAUCGACCGCUUUCCAGCAUGCAUUUAGAGUAUUAAGUUCAUAAGAACGGAGUAACCCAGCAGGCAAGAUGACAUGAUGUAGAGGGAUAAACUCAAGAAAUAUGAUAUAAACCCCAUCUUUUUAUCCUCGAUGGCAACAAUACAAUACGUGCCUUGCUGCCCCUGCUGUCACUGGGAAAGGACACCGCAAGAUUGAACCCAAAGCUAAGCACUUCUCCCAUUGCAAGAAAGAUCAAUCUAGUAGGCCAAACCAAACUGAUAAUUCGAAGAGACUUGCAAAGAUAACCAAUCAUACAUAAAAGAAUUCAGAGGAGAUUCAAAUAUUGUUCAUAGAAAAUCUUGAUCAUAAACCCACAAUUCAUCGGAUCUCGACAAACACACCGCAAAAAGAAUUACAUCGAAUAGAUCUCCAAGAAGAUUGAGGAGAACUUUGUAUUGAGAUCCAAAGAGAGAGAAAAAGCCAUCUAUCUAAUAACUAUGGACCCGAAGGUCUGUGGUAAACUACUCACACAUCAUCGGAGAGGCUAUGGUGUUGAUGUAGAAGCCCUCUGUGAUCGAUCCCCCCUCCGGUGGAGCGCCGGAAAAGGCCCCAAGAUGGGAUCUCACGGGUACAAAAGGUUGCGGCGGUGGAAAUAGGGUUUCGUGCCGCUCCUGGAUGUUUUCGGGGUAUAUGGGUAUAUAUAGGAGGAAGAAGUAGGUCGGUGGAGCUGCGAGGGGCCCACGAGGGUGGGGGGCGCGCCUCCCUGCCUCGUGGCCUCCUCGCUUCUUUCUUGACGUCCACUCCAAGUCCUCUGGAUCAUGUUUGUUCCAAAAAUAACUUCCCCGAAGGUUUCAUUCCGUUUGGACUCCGUUUGAUAUUCCUUUUCUGCGAAACAUUGAAAUAGGCAAAAAACAGCAAUUUGCACUGGGCCUUCGAUUAAUAGGUUAGUCCCAAAAAUAAUAUAAAAGUGCUUAGUAAAGCCCAUUAAACAUCCAAAACAGAUAAUAUAAUAGCAUGGAACAAUAAAAAUUUAUAGAUACUCGAGGACGUAUCAGUUAUCUAUGGUAUUGUAAACCGGCGCGGUGUUGUUGUUGUAGGCUAAGCCACAGAUGUGAGGGUUUGCACACAUAUUUGUUGAACAACGCGGUAUGGUUGGAUGCAGGCGCUUGAUAAUAUUGGCGUGAGCUUUAUAUCCGGGACAUAACGAUCAUUUUUGCUGUAAAUAAUUGUCCUGCAUAAACAAUAUUGCAGACCAUGGCAAAGAUAAUUUGUUCUUUAAUGAAAAACAAUAUGUGUUAACAAAACCGAUUUAAACUGAUAUCACCUGAUUUACUUGGUCAACCGAUGAUCGAUUCAUCGCGACAGAAACGGGUCAGGUAAACCGGCGACUCAAUAUAAUCCCGGCGGUUUGAGCUGACUGGCGUCUCCGACGGCUCAACACGGCAGAGGCGACUCAGCGCGGCGCGUCUGCGGCUAGUUCUAUUGAGUGGCACGGCACAAACGAACGUCCCCUUUUCUCUUUUAUACGACAGCAAAACAAUUGCAGCACCACGCCCCCCUUUCUUCAGCCAGUAAGUAACAGGGUAGCACGUAAGGGCACCGCGACGAACAGGGUUGUCCACACACACCUGGGUUGAUGUCCUCGAACCAACACAUACAUGCAUGCAUGCGCUGCUCCAUUAUCCUCCGGCUGAAACCCCAGUUUUAUUUUGCUUUGUACCAGUGAGACAAGAUCACACCAGCAGGGGGUGUCUUGGCAGAGCGGAGGCGAAUCACAGCGGAAGAAAACGCAACCGCGGCUCAGCCAAAGCGCAGGCCCGUCAACGGCCGGGCCACUGGCUGUUGACACCAGAUUUUGGCACAGUGAAGAACUUAAUUAAUAUGGCCUCAAAUGGAGAAGUGAUCUACAUUAAAAAGUUUCGUAUUGUCGAUAUGAACAUCUUUGAAGUUUGGGCCAUCGCCAUCCGAUCUCAUCUCGAAGACCGAAGUUGUGUUCGAAAUACCGAGAUUUUGUAUUCAGAACACUAUUCAGCUGAUUACGGCCCCAGGACUGCCUCGUAUGAAAAAAUGAUCUACAUAAAUUGUCUUUGUCUCGUCGAAACGAUCGAUUUUGGUAUAAAAGUCAUCUUAAGCCGUGGUCGUAUGCAACCUGUGGAGGCAAAACAAGGCCUGAAACAAAAGCUGUGGAGUCAUUUCGGACCGACCGAGUUGUUUUGAUCAGUGAGACCGAGUUGGUCCGAAAAUUUACCAGAGAGUUGGCAAUGUACACUCAGUAGGACCGAAGCAAACCAAUCGGUGGGACUGAGUUGAUCUGAGAAAUUACAGAAGGAUACAGAGAGUUGGCAACGUUCACUCGGUGGGACCGAAACGAACCAAUCGGUGGGACCGAGUUGAUCCGGGAAAUUACCAAAGAUUCCUGUCCGAGUUAGGUUAGGGUUUUUGAUGUUUUGGAUGGAAUUUUUAGUCCUUUUCUUGUACGGGAAGUCCAGCCGCCUCAUAAAUAGAUGAGAGGUGACGGCCGAUUAAACAACACACAAUCGCAAAAAACACAUCUACUACUUUUUCAUCUACGUUUUGUCCCUCCCUCGUUCUUGCUCCUUCGUUCUUCACCCUUCUUCGUGUUGGAGAGCUGCGAAUAUGGAGGCUCUAGGGGCGGCUUGACCGACCUAGGGCAGCCCAUAGCCGCCGCACUCCCCGACAGGGUCCCUCUCGCCGGUCGACUUGCGAAUCGCGCUUCCGGUGAGACUCCUUCGACAUGAGCUGUGGUGCAUCACCCCCGGCGUCGAGGGUACAUGUGACGUGUUAGUGUGCGAACACACUUUUUGGCGACUCCGCUGGGGAAAAAGAGUAAUCAUCAUCAUCCAUCAUGGUCGAUCUUCCCAAGCCAUCUGAAGUGGAUGCCGAUAACAUCAUCAAGCCCAAUUUUGAGGAAUUAUCGGCAGAACAUCGCCAAGCUUGUGAGGAGUACAAGAAGGCGCAUGAAGAGAAGGAGAUGCAGGAGUUCCUUGCUAAGUUCAAAAAGGAUCGCCAAGGCAACAUCACUUCAAUUGAAGAAAUCAAGUUUCCUCCUCUUCACAAUGAGCAGGUAGAACCGGCCGUAAGCAAAAUCUUCUCUCCUGAACAGUCGGCUGAAAUUACUACUCUUAUUACUCAGAAUAAUGAUCUUAUUUACCAAGCUAUCAUAGACAAUAAUACUACUCGAAAUAAUACUCCUCAGUCAUAUCAUGGUAGUGGUAGUAUGUCUGCUGGUGUGGAAAACUUUAGUCCAACUUUACCUAUUUCAUCGGCGCCUCCCGUGCCGUUGAAUUAUUAUCCCAGUCAGACAAACCAACUUGUUGCUUCUCCCUUUAAUCCUGCCAUGAAUGUACCAAGUUUAGUGAAUCCAACUACAUUUCUAGGUUACGGUUCGGCAAGUCCAAGUGGAUUGCUGCCGAACUAUGGUACAACAUACACACCACCAUCUCUUCCGACUAGCACUGUACCAACUAUUAGAAAUCAUAUUCACCAUGCGCCACAACCACACACAAAUUCACUCAAUACGAGUGAUAUUUUGGCUAAUGUCAGAGAGGAAAUGUCUAGGAUGUUCCGAGAGCAUUGUGGGAUUGAACUACCUAAACCACGAAUUUCUAGGAAACCAUAUCUAGAAAUUUUUGAUGCCAUGCCAUGUCCUCCCGGAUAUAAAGUUCUAGGUUUUGUUAAGUUUAGCGGAGAGGGAAAAAAGACUACAUGGGAGCAUGUUAGUCAAUACUUGGCACAAUUAGGUGAGGCAAGUUCACGAGACGAGUGGAAAGUACGUUAUUUUCCUUUAUCUUUAACCGGUACUGCUUUCUCGUGGUUUUCUGCAUUACCACCUGGUUCUAUCACUACAUGGAUUCAAUUGGACCAAAAGUUUCAUGAUCACUUCUACAGUGGUGACAAUGAGCUUAAACUAUCCCAUCUUACAUCGGUUAAGCAAAAGCAUGAUGACUCGGUCUCCGAUUAUGUCAAAAGAUUUAGAGAUACGAAAAACCGGUGCUAUAGUUUGGUGAUAACCGAGAGAGAUUUGGCUGAUCUUGUGCUUAGUGGUUUGAGAACUCACAUUAGAGAAAGGCUAGAAGGACAUGAGUUUUUAAAUAUCAACCAAGUCUUGCAAAGGGCUUUGGCUCAGGAAAGCCGAAGCAAAGAUCUUAAAGAGGUGCAUAGAUAUAAAACUGAUCGUCCUAAGAUGAAUAUGGUUGAGUAUGAUAGUGAUCACUUGGACGAUGAGGGUGAUAUUUAUGCUGCUGAAUUUGUUUGGCCAUCUAAGGCCAAACCGUUUACUUGCAAUGAUUUAAAGCCGAUUCAUAAGAAUCGUGAUGAAGAGAUGAAAUUUACUUUCAACAUUGCUAAGUGUGAUAAAAUAUUUGAUGCUUUGUUGCAAGCCAAGAUUAUUAGAACAUCUCAUACUUUACCGCUGUUCGAAGAGCUGAAACUGCGUGCUUAUUGCAAGUAUCAUAAUUCUUUUUCCCAUGCUACUAAUGAUUGUAAUGUUUUUUGACGACAGAUACAAUCGGCCAUUAAUGACGGAUGAUUGAUUUUUUCUAAGAUGCAAGUUGAUAAGCAGCCUUUACCAAUAAACACCAUGGAUUUGGAGGGGAAGAGGAUGUUAAUUCGGCCCAAUAUAGCCGAAUCAGCUAGUAAAAAUAAUAUUGUCAUUGGUGAGCCAAGGAAAAAUAAGGAGAGCGACAAGGUCUUGGGGACACAAGUUGUGCUUGACAAGCAACCCGGUGGCAAGGAGGUAAUCAAGAUCACCAUCAAGAAUCCUACACUCGGGGGGCAACCACAAGUGCAAGAGAACACUCAUGUCAAAUUUGUUAAGCCCAAGAGUCCAGAGGUUGGCAAGUGGAAGACGAAUGAAGCUAAAGUGCAGCGCAAGAGAAUCAAGCCAACUUUUGAUAUGCUGUUGUCCAAGUAUGCCAAUCAAGCGGCCGGUUCUAGCUCUGACCGGGCAUUAAAUUUGAAGCGCUCAAGGUCACCUCCUCGGCAAGAAUUUCAGCAUCAUGCAAGGCCAUAUGGGUCAUGGGCAGCGGGACCAUGUAUGGCGCCACCCCCCUAUGCGCCAUACUACAUGGGAGGCUACAAUGGAGGAUGGGGGCAGCCCCCAAUGGCCCCUUAUGCUUUUCAUCCGGGUUGGGCUGAACCAAGGAGGCCCGUUCAUGAGAGGCUUUCUUAUCCGACACGAGGCCGUUUGAACAAUGGUGUCAAUCGGCCAAUGCAAGAUAAUCAUGGAAGGGUUGGCAAGCAAGUGUGGCGUGCUAAAUCACCAAGUGCUGAAAUUUCAGAGCCUCGCAAGCAAAAGGGGAAGAAUACUAGUGCUGAAAUUAUUAUGAUAGGCACUAAAGAAUUAACAAUCAAAGAGCCGAUUAUUGGUGAUAAUCCGGUUGAUUCUAAUAAAGAUGUGGCUACUGUCCAGCAGGGUCCCAUGGCUAAUGAUCAUAAAGCUAGCACAAGCAAGGCCAAGUCGAGGGAUCCAAAAUAUACUCAGCCUAAGUGGUGUCCUUCCGGUCUGACCAAGGCGCAAAAAAGGAGAUUGCAGCGCAUGAGGAGUCAUGAGAAGGAGGAACAAGAAGCAGAAAAGCUAAGGGAUAAAUAUUUCAAUGAAAGUCGUCCCAUGGUACCCUCGAAACAAGUGUGGAGGCCAAAGCAAAAGGAAAACAUAGCAGCUUCUGCAUUGAUCAUAGCAACACCUACACCACCAACGGAGGACGAUGCGGCUACUAUUACAUCAUCCACUUUGCCUACUACUUGCUCUUCCCUUGAAGAUAUUUCGGAGUCAGUGGACAUGCUUGCGGAAGAAGAUGAAAUGCUUGAUUAUGAGUCUACACCGGUUCAUGAAGGUAUGUAUAUUAAUAUGGUGUAUUACUUACCCGCUGAAUUUCGUGCUACAGAUGAAGAAAGGGAAGUAGCUCAGCUAGAUUUUGGUCUUAAAAAUGCUAUAUUCGAGAAGCCAAAAGAACCGGUGACGCACUUGAAGCCAUUGUUCCUUAAAGGUCAUAUUAAUGGAUCGCCGAUUGCUAGAAUGCUUGUCGAUGGUGGUGCUGUGGUGAAUCUUAUGCCAUAUUCGGUCUUCAAAAAGUUGGGGCUGCGUGAUGAAGAGUUAAUAAAGACCAACAUGGUGCUUAAUGGAUUUGAAGGCAAAGAGAAAACUGAAGCCAAAGGUGUAAUGUAUGUGGAGCUUACGGGGGGAAGCAAAACUUUGGCUACCGCAUUCUUUGUCGCCGAGGUGCAAGGUAACUACAAUGUGAUAUUAGGCCGCGAUUGGGUUCAUGCAAACCAAUGCGUGCCAUCUACUAUGCACCAGUUUUUAAUUCAAUGGGUUGAUGAUGAAGUAGAAGUCAUUCAUGCGGAUAAGUCGGCUUGUGUUGCUUUGGUCGAUGCAUUGGUGGAUUGGCAACAUCCCAAUGCUACUUGCUUGACGGGGCGCGACUUAUCAGAAUAUGAUUUUCUUAGCGCCACGAAAAGUGGUUUUGUGCCCUUUUCUUUAAAGCCGGUUGGCGGUAAUCAGCUCCAAGGUAUGAUGUAUUUAAAUGGAUCCUAACUCAGAGUGGUUACAGAAACGUCUUGUAGAAUAUCGGUCCGAUGAGAACGAUAUGUAUGAGUCCAUAGAAGAGUUAGAUGAUAUGGAUAAACUAGGACAAGGUUUUACAUCGGCCGAUCCGUUAGAAGAGAUAGAUAUAGGAGAUGGUUCAAUUCCUAGGCCGACAUUUGUAAACGAAAAUUUAAGAGCCGAUCAUAUGGCUAAGUUGAUCGAGCUAUUAAAAGAAUAUGUUUGUUGCUUUGCAUGGGAAUAUCAUGAGAUGCCAGGUUUAAGCCGAAAGCUAGUGGAGCAUCGGUUACCUAUAAAGGCCGGUUUUCGGCCAUACAAGCAAUCGGCCAGAAAGUUUAAUCCAAAAACGUAUGACCGGAUCAAGGAAGAGAUCGGUCGUUUGCUUAAAGCUAAUUUUAUUAGACCUUGCAGGUAUGCCGAGUGGAUUUCUAACAUUGUACCAGUAGAGAAGAAGGGCUCCGGCAAGUUGAGGGUGUGCAUUUAUUUCAGAGAUUUGAAUAGAGCUACACCUAAAGAUGAAUAUCCUAUGCCAAUAGCCGAUAUGCUUAUUAAUGAUGCUUCUGGACAUAAGGUCAUUAGCUUUCUUGAUGGUAAUGCGGGGUAUAAUCAGAUUUUUAUGGCCGAAGAGGACAUGUCCAAAUUGGCUUUUCGAUCACCUGGUUUCCUUGGUUUAUUUGAGUGGACAGUGUUGACCUUUGGAUUAAAAAAUGCCGGUGCCACGUAUCAAAGGGCUAUGAAUUUAAUUUUUUCAUGAUUUACUUGGUGUUAUACUUGAGGUUUAUAUUGAUGAUAUUGUUGUCAAAUCGGAUGCUUUUGAAUCUCAUCUAGACGAUUUGCGCUUAGCUUUUGAAAGAAUGAAGAAAUAUGGGCUGAAAAUUAAUCCUUUGAAGUGUGCCUUUGGUGUAUCGGCUGGGAAGUUUCUGGGUUUCAUUAUUCAUGAAGAUGGCGUGGAAAUUGAUCCCAAAAAGAUAGAAGCUAUACAGAAAGUAGAGGCUCCAACAUGCAAGAGAGAUAUGCAAAAGUUCCUUGGCAAGGUUAAUUAUUUGAGGAGGUUCAUAGCCAAUCUAUCAGGGAAGGUUGAUGCAUUUACUCCUAUCCUUCGGUUAAAGAAUGAUGUUGAUUUUACUUGGUGGUCAAAACAGCAAGAGGCAUUUGAUAUGAUUAAGAAAUAUUUGUGCACUCCUCCGGUUAUGAAAGCGCCCAGGCAUAGGGAGCCAUUUAGACUUUACAUUGCAGCGGAGGAAGGUGUUAUUGGUGCUGUUUUGACUCAAAAGACCAAAGGAAAGGAGCGUGCUAUUACUUAUUUGAGCCGAUGCUUAUUGGACGCCGAGACAAGGUAUACAUUUAUUGAGAAAUUAUGCUUAUGCUUAUAUUAUGCUUGCACAAAAUUGAGACAUUAUCUAGUGCCUAGUACUUGCAUUAUAGCUUGUCAAACCGAUGUCAUCAAAUACAUGUUGCAUAGGCCAAUUCUUAGUGGUAGAAUUGGCAAGUGGGCUUAUGCUUUAAUUGAAUAUGAUUUGGCUUAUGAAUCUCUGAAAUCCAUGAAAGGCCAAAUUGUUGCUAAUUUUAUUGUUGAGCAUCGGAUUGAUGACAAACAUGAUAUUGAUAUAAACCUUGUCUCAUUAGUACCAUGGAGAUUAUAUUUUGAUGGUUCAGUUUUUAGUAAUGGCCAAGGUGUUGGUAUUGUUUAUAUAUCUCCUCAUGGUGCUGUUUUUGAAGCUUCAUGCCGCUUAGAAUACUUUUGCACAAAUAAUCAAGCCGAAUAUGAAGCAUUGUUAUUCGUCUUAGAGAUGUUGCUUGCCAUAGGUGCUACACAUAUUGAGGCUUUUGGUGAUUCGUUAUUAGUAGUGCAAAAAAUAUCCAAAGUCUUUCAGUGUUUGGACGAAUCACUUAAUGUUUAUCUUGAUAAAUGUCUAGAUAUAAUUUCUACUUUGGAUUAUUUUAGCAUUGCUCAUAUAUCUAGACAUGACAAUUGGAGAGCAAAUGAGUUGGCACAACAAGCAUCCGGCUAUCAUGUUGCUCGUGGCAUGUUUCAUAUUUCUCAAAGGCCGAUGUCUAGUCUUGCCAACAUAGGGGAGGCUGAACCGAAGCCCACCGUUUUGGCCACUAAUGAAAUAUUUAAUACAGGAGAAAAUCAAGAUUGGAGGAAACCCAUUAUUGAUUAUUUGUGUGAUCCUAGUAAAAGGGUGGACAGGACCAUUUGGCGUAUGGCUUUCAAAUACACAAUGAGAGAUGAUGGUCUCUAUCGCCGAUCGGUUGAUGAUGUUCUUUUAAAAUGCUUGGACGAGGACCAAGCGAGUGUUGCUAUGGGAGAGGUCCAUGAAGGUAUUUGGGGCACUCAUCAGUCGGCUCCCAAGAUGAAAUGGUUACUACGACGUGCUGGGUUUUAUUGGGCGACAAUGGUUAAUGAUUGCUUCCGAUACUAUAAAGGAUGUGAAGCUUGUCAAAAGUUUGGUGAUAUUCAGUUAGCUCCCGCUGCUUUGUUACAUCCUAUUAUCAUGCCGUGGCCUUUUAGAGGUUUGGGAUUGGACUUUAUUGGAGAGAUUUAUCCUUCUUCUUCAAAGGGGCAUCGGUUCGUGUUGGUGGCGACUGAUUAUUUGACUAAAUGGUCUGAAGCAAUACCACUCAAAAAUAUGACUCAUACAGAGGUAAUUCAAUUCAUAACUGAGCACAUUAUUCAUAGAUUCGGCAUUCCUCAAACAUUAACUACAGACCAAGGUUCAUCCUUUGUGUCACAUCAAGUUAAAGAAUUUGCCAAGUCAUAUAAGAUAAAGUUGCUCAAUUCCUCUCCAUAUUAUGCCCAAGCCAAUGGACAAGCUGAGUCUAGCAAUAAAAUAUUGAUCAAGCUCAUCAAGAAGAAGAUUGAGGAUAAUCCAAGGAGAUGGCAUGAGUUACUGUCCGAAGCUUUGUGGGCACACAGAAUCUCAAGGCAUGGUGCUACAAAGGUAACUCCAUAUGAGCUCGUAUAUGGUCAAGAGGCUGUUUUACCAGUGGAAGUGAAUUUGAAUGCUUUGAGAAUAGCCAAAUAAAAUGAUUUAUCGGUGCUGGACUUUUAUAACUUGAUGAUGGACAAUAUUGAUGAAGUCCACUACAAGAAAUAUGUCAACUAGUGACCUUCUGUCAGUGACCCUGGAAGAAUUGGUCAUAGAUCUACGACCAUUUGAGACCAAUUGGUCAAAAGUUGCUCGGGGGGCUCCAAACCCUCAACUAUAUCGACCAUUUUGGCCAUAAAGGUCGUAAUUUCUUUACACAAAAUGGUCAUAAAGCAGACAACACUGAUCCGCUGCCUUAUUUCUAGCUGAUCACGACUAAUAUAGAUGGUCAUAACCUUGUAAGUUGUGGUGGAUUGCUAUGACUAGGCGCCACCUCAUCAGUUUUGCAUAUGUGUCAUGUCCAUGUGUCAAUUUUUGCCCUAGGUUGUGAAGCAACCCAUAUUUCUGUUAGGCCCAAAAUUCCGGAAAAAAUCUCAUAAAUUCUUUGGAUCAUAUCUUCGUCAAAUAUGUCAAAAACCUUCCUCGCCUAGUUAAAAUAUAAUUCAACAAUAUUCAUUUUCCUAUUCUGUUUAGAAUAGCACUUUGUGAAGGAAGUGCUAUUUUUAUAUUCUUGAUUGCCCUCAAAAUGUUUGGGCACUCUUUCCUAUCCAAAUCAUUGCCUCAUGACAAAAUUCAGCUCCAUUUGCCUAGUAAAUGUUCCUCGGCAAAUUUCCAAGGUUUUUGUUCAUCUAGAAGCUUUGUGAAGGAAGUACCAUUUUUAUAUAUCCAAAUGAUAUGAAAUUUAUACAGUUCCUUCGUAUGCCCAGAUUAUCACCCUCCUCCAAAUUACAGCUCAGUCAAAUCAUCUAUGUGAGCCCAGGUUCAAUUUAUAUUUUAUGGCCAGAUUAGCACAUUGCAAAACAAGUGUUAUCUAGACCCCUCCUAUUACCCUCAAACUUUUUGGGCACUCUUCCAUACCCAAAUCAUUGCCACAUGAUAAUAUUCAGCUCCAAUUUUGCUGGUAAAUAUUUCUCAGGAAAUUUUCGAAGUUUCUAUCUCGAGAGAAGCUUUGUGAAGUAAGUACUAGCUAGGCUUACCCAAAUGGUCUAAAAAUUUACCAGGGCAUGACCAUACCUAUGUAACUUACCUACACAAAAUUUGAGCUCAUUUCAUUUAUCCAAUUUCUCUCGCUAAUUUUCCCAAGUUUCUGUCCGGAGAAGAGCAUUGUGAAGGAAGUACCACUUUGGCAUGUCCAAAUGGUAUCAAUUUUCUACUGUCCUUUCCCAUGCCCAAAUAACCAUCCUCCACCAAAUUUCAGCUCAAUACAUUCAUUAUUUUGAGCCCAGCUACAACAUUCAUAUUUUUGUCCAGUGUGGUACUUUGCAAAGCAAGUACCACCUAGGAUCCUCCUUUUGAUCUGAAAAUUUGUGAAGACAUUCUUCUUAAUAGAUGAUCAUCCUCAGCCAAAACUCACGCCCAUUGUCCAUGUGCUAAUCAAACACUUGGUUGCUAAUUCAUCUUUGAGCAUAGUUCGGUCUCCUCGUGAGAUUCUUCUGUUGUAAUUUUCUUCCUAGCACCUACCUAGGGAGUUCCCAACCCACUAGACAUACCUAGGCCUCCCAGAACACAUGUCAACGCCAAGGUCACGCGGUGACCAUGCGGCGGGCAUGCGAGUUUACGCACUUUGGAGUUGGGGCCCUGGGCCACCGUCCAAACCUCGACGUAUCGCUACCAAACCAUGUAUUUAUGCUUAAAUAUAUACUUAUGUAACUAGAAAUGAUUUUUGGAAAAAAGAAAGAGCAAACAAUAAGGUAGCUGCAGUUCAAAUUUGACCCGCUUCCAGCUGAAUCGGUGGACAUUUGUCUUUUUCACCAGAGGUGGAUCAAAAAUUUUAAACCCAACCAUUUUGUCAAUUUUGCAUUAAAUAUGGCCUAGUAUUUUAUAAAUUGAUUAGGUCCAAUUUUGCCAUAAAUAUAUGGUAGGUCCUUCACAAAAAAAACUCAUUUCGGACACUCAAAAAAUGGAAAAUGAAUUUUCCGUGCAAAGAAAAUGAAAACUCCCUUAGGUAACAUUGUUUGGAAUUCCAAGAUGCACCCUUGUGCACAAUAUGAGAUCAUUUGAACAAACUAUGCCAUGAAUGUGGCCAUAAGAUUGAUCAUUUGGCUUGAAAGCCAUGAAUCUUCACACAUGAUAGCUCGUUUCUGAGAACACUUUUUUUAAUAAUUCCCGUAUUACAAGAUUAUUUUUUUCCUGGUAACUUGGUCACAUAUAAUGACACAAUGCGAAGGUUUUCCAAUUUUUUAUUUUUUUUGAAUUUUUUAUGCCCGUUUAAAAAUGCGGUCAAAACGGCGGGCUUCACCGUUCCUAGCUAGUGGUUGAAUCUUGGAAAUUUUUUGAUAUUUCUCUGAUUAAAUAUAUACUUAUGUAACUAGAAAUGAUUUUUGGAAAAAAUAAAUAGCAAACAAUAAGGCAGGUGCAGUUCAAAUUUGACCCGCUCCCUACUGAAUCGGCGGAAAUUUGUCUUUUUCACGAAAGGUGGAUCAAAACUUUUGACACCCAACCAUUUGGUCAAUUGUGAAUUAAAUAUGACCUAGUAUUUUAUAAAAUUGUUUUCGUCCAAUUAUGCAACAAAUAUAUGGUAGGUCCUUCACAAAAAAACUCAUUUCGGGCACUCAAAAAAUGGAAAACGAAUUUUCCGUGCAAAAAAAUGAAAACUCCCUUAGGCAACAUUGUUUGCCAUUUUCAAGAUGCACCCUUGUGCACAAUAUGAGAUCAUUUGAACAAACUAUGCCAUGAAUGUGGCCAUAAGAUUGAUCAUUUGGCUUGAAAGCCAUAAAUCUUCACACAUGAUAGCUCAUUUCUGAGAACACUUUUUUAAAAUAAUUGCCAUAUUACAAGUUUAUUAUUUUUCCUGGUAACUUGGUCACAUAUAAUGACACAAUGCGAAGGUUUUCCAAUUUUUUGAUUUUUUUUGAAUUUUUUAUGCCUGUUUCAAAAUGCGGUCAAAACGGCGGCAUGACCGUUCCUAGCUAGUGGUUGAAUCUUGGAAAACCUUUGGUGUUUCUCUGAUUAAAUAUAAACUUUUGUACCUAAAAAUGAUUUUUUUGAAAAAUAAAUAGCAAACUAUGCGGUAGCUGGAGUUCAAAUUUGACCCGCUUCCAGCUGAAUCGGCGGAAAUUUGUCUUUUCCACCAGAGGUGGAUCGAAUCUUUUGACACCCAACCAUUUGGUAAAUUGUGCAUUAAAUAUGGCCUAAUAUUUUAUAAAAUUGGUUUGGUCCAAUUUUGCAACAAAUAUAUUGUAGGUCCUUCACAAAAAAAACUGUAGCGACCAGACCCCAAAUGGUCUGUGCUGCUGUGCACCAGUGUCAUCCCUGGAUCAGUAAUGGUGACACGCACAGUACAAAUGGAGGAUUUAUAACAGAGUAGCAAUCACACACUUAUUACAUCGAAUAUCUCCGAAGAGAUUAAGUAUGAUAAACAUGGCUUAAGGCCAUCUAAUAACGAUAACAGCGGAAGACUUGGAAGAUAAGUGAGUCCAUCACUCCAGCGGCAUCACUGAGUAUAAGACCACGACCUAAGGCACCUUACUCGUCGUCUGAAAAGUCUGCAACAUGAAACGUUGCAGCCCGAAAACGGGUCAGCACAUAGAAUAUGCUGGCAAAGUAACACAUAGAGAGCAAUGAACAAUAAUAAUGCUAUACUAUAUGCAUAUAUGGCUGGUGGAAAGCUCUAUGGUUACAGUUUUUGCGAAAAGCCAAUUUUAUCCUACUUCAAAGGAAUAAAUUUUAUUUAACUAUCAUGGUGGUUGUGAAACAUUGAGAAGGUACCUCCAACUCAAUCCCAAUUAAGUGUCAUCAUUAACCCAACAAAAUUAAUUAUAAGUAUCACGGUGAUGAGAUUCAAAUGAUAAUCCAGGUACUAGAUACUCAAGUUGUCCAUAACCGGGGACACGGCUAACCAUGAUUAGUUUGUACACUCUGCAGAGGUUUGUGCACUUUUCACCACAAGACUCGAUCGCCUCCGCUUGAUUCUCGCACUGCAUGAUGUUUGAGAAACGGAUGACCGAGACACAGUCUUUCAGAAACAAUCCCUCUUUACUCUGGAUGGACCGGUACACCUACUUUCCCCUACAUCUGCUAGUCCACCUCUUCAAGAGAUCCUGUAACCUACUCAGCUAUGCUAGAGCCCAUAAUAGCUUGUGGCUGCACACAGAAGUUUCUAGCAUGAAUAAUCUUAUGAUCCCUUUGAGCCUGGGUGGCGGACCUUAUACAUACAGGCAACACUGGGUUCUCCAGGUGCCUCAAUCCACCCAGAUGUGAGUUUUAGUUGCCACCUUAAGUUGAACCAUUAAUAAACAUCUCACACCUUUAGUUGCCACCUUAAGCAUGGCAAUAAUAAAAGCAACGUAGAAGUAUCUCCCAAGGGUUUGAUAAGAAAAACAGGUAAUAGGCACUACCUCAACUACUUCCCAAUACCCACAGUUUAAUUAGAUCCUAAUCAUGCAAGUGUUUGAGGAAAACAGAUCUAAUGCAAUAAAACUGGGUAUGAACGGGAUAUGAUCAAAGUGUUACUUGCCUUGCUGAUGAUACGCAAAAGCUACCGAGUCGAAGUAACAAGGGGCACACUCCGGGUACUCUAUCGCAAACAAACAAGCAUACAAUUAGUACUCAUCUAAUGCACAGGUAAAACUCGAAUGAAAGAUCCAACCAGAAAGUUCAACUUAAGAACUCCGGUUUGCAAAAAGAAUCAACUCGAAAGAAGCAACGAAAGUCAAACGGCGAAAGAAAGAAACUUCGUUGGCUAAUCUGGAUCUAGGUCAAAUUUUACUGUAGCAAAAACUUGUUUGAGUAGGUUAAACGGAAAGAGAAUUUCGAGACGAAACUCUAGGCGCUUGAAUCGCCUGAUUCCGAUAAACGAGCGAGAAGUUAAACAAAAUCGAAGAUUCGAUCAGAAAUCGAAUCUGAGAAAAUAACGAGAAAAAUCCGACGAAAAAGAAAAACGGACGAACGGCUAAAUAACGGACGUUCCUUAACAGAGAAAAACCGACGAACGCGUUCGUUAAAACGAACGGUUCGGUGAACGCUCGCAAAAUAAUAAAACCGAAAAAAACCGAUCUAGGGUUUUUUUUUUAAAACAAAAACCNNNNNNNNNNNNNNNNNNNNNNNNNNNNNNNNNNNNNNNNNNNNNNNNNNNNNNNNNNNNNNNNNNNNNNNNNNNNNNNNNNNNNNNNNNNNNNNNNNNNNNNNNNNNNNNNNNNNNNNNNNNNNNNNNNNNNNNNNNNNNNNNNNNNNNNNNNNNNNNNNNNNNNNNNNNNNNNNNNNNNNNNNNNNNNNNNNNNNNNNNNNNNNNNNNNNNNNNNNNNNNNNNNNNNNNNNNNNNNNNNNNNNNNNNNNNNNNNNNNNNNNNNNNNNNNNNNNNNNNNNNNNNNNNNNNNNNNNNNNNNNNNNNNNNNNNNNNNNNNNNNNNNNNNNNNNNNNNNNNNNNNNNNNNNNNNNNNNNNNNNNNNNNNNNNNNNNNNNNNNNNNNNNNNNNNNNNNNNNNNNNNNNNNNNNNNNNNNNNNNNNNNNNNNNNNNNNNNNNNNNNNNNNNNNNNNNNNNNNNNNNNNNNNNNNNNNNNNNNNNNNNNNNNNNNNNNNNNNNNNNNNNNNNNNNNNNNNNNNNNNNNNNNNNNNNNNNNNNNNNNNNNNNNNNNNNNNNNNNNNNNNNNNNNNNNNNNNNNNNNNNNNNNNNNNNNNAUAUAUAGGGGGGGGGGUUGCGGCUUGGGGAAGGGGGCACCGGGCGGCGGCGUUGCCGUGGCGGACUCCGGCGGCGAUCCCGUCUCCGGGACGGAGACGACGGGCGGCGGGGCUGGGCCGUCGGCUGGGCCUUUGGCCCAGUCGGCGCGCGGGCGUUUUUUUUAAAUAAGUUCCGCGGAAAAUAAUUAGUAUAAAAAUAAAUAAAAAUCAGAAAAAUAUGAAAUAAAUUUUCCCCGUCUAGUGAGAAAAUCUAGAAUAGGGUGAACAUUUUUUUAAAUCAAAAUAAAUGUUUUGAAAACAUGCAAUAUUUUUAAUGCAAUAGAAAUUGCAAAUAAAAUCCAAAUAAAUUCCAAAUAAUGAUUUUAACAUUUUUCCUCCAGUAUUUCAAUUGUUUUGGAGAAGUCAUAUUUUCUCCUCUCGUAUAUUUUAAAAGUGAAAUAUUUUUCCAGAGGGAAAAUAAUUAAAACCAAAAUCCUCGUCUUAUUAUUUGAUAAAAAUCAAAUAUGAAAAUUUAAGAAAAAUCCCCAACUCUCUCCGAGGGUCCUUGAGUUGCUUAGGAUUUAUCGAGGAUUUGUCAAAAUGCAAUAAAACAUGAUAUGCAAUGAUGGUCUAUGUAUAACAUUCCAAAUUGAAAAUUUGGUAUGUUACAAAAACUCAUUUUGGGCAUUCAAAAAAUGGAAAAUCAUUUUUUCGUCCAAAGAAAAUGAAAACUCCCUUAGGCAACAUUGUUUGCCAAUCCAAGAUGCACCCUUGUGCUCAAUAUGAGAUCAUUUGAACAAACUAUGCCAUGGAUGUGGCCAUAAGAUUGAUCAUUUGGCUUCAAAGUCGUGACGUUUCACAAAUCAUAGCUCAUUUCUUAGAACAAUAUUUUAAAAUAAUUGUCGUAUUACAAGUUUAUUAUUUUUCUUGGUAACUUAGUCACAUAUAAUGACAAUAUGCGAAGGUUUUCUAAUUUUUUGAUUUUUUUGAAUAUUCUAUGCCUGUUUCAAAAUGCGGUCAAAACGACGGGAAUGAUUGUUCCUAGCUAGUGGUUAUCUUGAAUUUUUUUGGUGUUUCUCUAAUUAAAUAGAUACUUAUUUACCUAGAAAUGAUUUUUGGAAAAAAUAAAGAUCAAACUAUGAGGCAGCUCUAGUUCAAACUUGACCCGCUUCCUGCUGAAUCGGCGAAAAUUUGUGUUUUUCACCAGAGGUAGAUCAAAUAUUUUGACACCCAACCAUUUGAUCAUUUGUACAUAAAAUAUGGCCUAGUGUUAUAGAAAAUUGAUUUGGUCCAAUUUUUCAACAAAUAUUUGGUAGGUCCUUCACAAAAAAAACUCAUUUUGGGCAUUCGAAAAAUGGAAAAUGAAUUUUUCGUGGAAAGAAAAUAAAAACUUCCUUAGGCAACACUGUUUGCCAUUACAAAAUGCACCCCUCUGUAUAAUAUGAGAUCAUUUUUUGAAUUUUUCAUGUGAAAAAUUAGAAGAAAACAAAAGGAAAAACACAUUUACAUGUGCUCUAUUCUCAUUGCUGGAAUUAGCUGUCACACGGAUCGAUGACAUGGCGCCCAUCCAUCCAUCCAUCCAUCCAUCUCUCCAUCCCACGUCCAUCCAUCAAUCUAUCUUCAGAAAAAAAGAAAAAAGAAAAGAAAAAUUGUAACCCCCACCCCCAGCCGCAGCCCGACCAACCAAACCCUAACUCCUCCCAUUGCACUCCUCCUUCCUCAUCACCUCGCUGCCGCCACCUCCUCCCCGUCCUGCAGCUGCGCGUCCCGCCACCUCCCCCUCUCCGUCCUGCAGCCACCUCCUCCUUCCUUGACGCGUCCCACAGCGGCGCCCACCGCGUCGCCUGCCGGCCUCCCCCUCGGCGGGUGGCUGCGUCCGCCAGCCCCACCGGCGACCUGCUACCCCAUCGCUGGCCUCCCCCUCACCCCUCUCUAACCCUAGCUUCCCGUCCCCGGUGGCGGUGCCCUCCUUCCCUCGCGCUGCACCUAAACCUCCCUCCCGCUCCUAGCUUUUCUUCUUCCUCCUCCACCGCUAGGGUUUCGUCUCCCGGAUCCCCAGUCCCCGAAGCUCGGAUCCAGCAGAAGCAGGGAUAACGGCCGCGGGAGAUUCUCUCCAAGGUUCAGGCCAAGCCCGCUGAUGAAGCUGCAGCCGCCGGAGGUGCCGGCGCGUCGGAUGCGACCGCCGCCCCGGCCGCCCCCGCCGAGGACCUCAAGAUCUGGGGUGCGCGUCGGAUGCGCAUCCCCAACCACGACAACGACGAUGCCGUGAGGUGAGCCCUGUACUGUACUAUAGCUGCUAGAGUAGGUUAUUCUUCUAAGCUGGAUCUGUGCAAGGUUGCUGUGACACCCCUGAUUUGACCAUACACUAAUCAUGCACGCAAAUGUGUACGAUCAAGAUCAGGGACUCACAGGAAGAUAUCACAACACAACUCUACAACAUAAGUAAGUCAUACAAGCAUCAUAAUACAAGCCAGGGGCCUCGAGGGCUCGAAUACAAGUGCUCGAUCAUAGACGAGUCAGCGGAAGCAACAAUAUCUGAGUACAGACAUAAGUUAAACAAGUUUGCCUUAAGAAGGCUAGCACAAAAGUAGCAACGAUCGAAAAGGCAAGGCCUCCUGCCUGGGACCUCCUAACUACUCCUCGAAGCCGAACUCCAUGUAGAAUCAUCCUCGGGAUCUCUAGCUCCUGGACUCCAGCAUCUGGUUGCGACAAUCAGGUAUAGAAAGAGGACAAGAGGGAGAAAAGCAACCGUGAGUACUCAUCCAAAGUACUCGCAAGCAAGGAGCUACACUACAUAUGCAUGGGUAUUUGUGUAAAGGGUCAUAUCGGUGGACUGAACUGCAGAAUGCCAGAAUAAGAGGGGGAGGGCUAAUCCUGUCAAAGACUACGCUUCUAGCUGCCUCCAUCUUGCAGCAUGUAGAAGAGAGUAGAUUGAAGUCCUCCAAGUAGCAUCGUAUAGCAUAAUCCUACCCGGCGAUCCCCUCCUCGUCGCCCUGUUAGAGAGCGAUCACCGGGUUGUAUCUGGAACUUGGAAGGGUGUAUUUUAUUAAGUAUCCGGUUCUAGUUGUCAUAAGGUCAAGGUACAACUCCAGGUCGUCCUUUUACCGAGGGACACGGCUAUUCGAAUAGAUAAACUUCCCUGCAGGGGUGCACCACAUUGUUGGAAAUAUGCCCUAGAGGCAAUAAUAAAUGGUUAUUAUUAUAUUUCUUUGUUCAUGGUAAUUGUCUAUUAUUCAUGCUAUAAUUGUAUUGUCCGGAAAUCGUGAUACAUGUGUGAAUACAUAGACCACAACCUGUCCCUAGUAAGCCUCUAGGUGACUAGCUCGUUGAUCAACAGAUAGUCAUGGUUUCCUGACUAUGGACAUUGGAUGUCAUUGAUAACGGGAUCACAUCAUUAGGAGAAUGAUGUGAUGGACAAGACCCAAUCCUAAGCAUAGCAUAAAAGAUCAUGUAGUUUCGUUUGCUAGAGCUUUUCCAAUGUCAAGUAUCUUUUCCUUGGACCAUGAGAUCGUGCAACUCCCGGAUACCGUAGGAGUGCUUUGGGUGUGCCAAACGUCACAACGUAACUGGGUGACUAUAAAGGUGCAUUACGGGUAUCUCCGAAAGUGUCUGUUGGGUUGGCACGGAUCGAGACUGGGAUUUGUCACUCCGUGUGACGGAGAGGUAUCUCUGGGCCCACUCGGUAAUGCAUCAUCAUAAUGAGCUCAAUAUGACUAAGGCGUUAGUCACGGGAUCAUGCAUUGCGGUACGAGUAAAGAGACUUGCCGGUAACGAGAUUGAACAAGGUAUUGGGAUACCGACGAUCGAAUCUCGGGCAAGUAACAUACCGAUUGACAAAGGGAAUUGCAUACGGAUUGAUUGAAUCCUGGACACCGUGGUUCAUCCGAUGAUAUCAUCGUGGAACAUGUGGGAGCCAACAUGGGUAUCCAGAUCCCGCUGUUGGUUAUUGACCGGAGAGGCGUCUCGGUCAUGUCUGCAUGUCUCCCGAACCCGUAGGGUCUACACACUUAAGGUCCGGUGACGCUAGGGUUGUAGAGAUAUAUGUAUGCGGAAACCCGAAAGUUGUUCGGAGUCCCGGAUGAGAUCCCGGACGUCACGAGAGGUUCCGGAAUGGUCCGGAGGUAAAGAUUUAUAUAUGGGAAGUCUUAUUUUGGUCGCCGGAAAAGUUUCGCGCUUUAUCGGUAUUGUACCGGGAGUGCCGAAAGGGGUCCGGGGGUCCACCAAGGGGGUCCACCAGCCCCGGGGGGCCACAUGUCUGUCAGGGGUGCGCCUUGGCCUAUAUGGGCCAAGGGCACCAGCCCCAAGAGGCCCAUGCGCAAGAGAUAAGAAAGAAGGGAGAGUCCUAAAGGGGGAAGGCACCUCCGAGGUGCCUUGGGGGGGAAGGACUCCCCCCUGGCCGCACCCUUCCUUGAAGGAAGGGGCAAGGCUGCGCCCCCCCCUCUCCCUUGGCCCUAUAUAUAGUGGGGGGAAGGGAGGGCAGCAACAUCUAAGCCUUGGGCGCCUCCCUCCUCCCCUGCAACACCUCUCUCUCUCUCGCAGAAGCUCGGCGAAGCCCUGCCGGAGACCCGCUACAUCCACCACCACGCCGUCGUGCUGUUGGAUCUCCAUCAACCUCUCCUUCCCCCUUGCUGGAUCAAGAAGGAGGAGACGUCGCUGCACCGUACGUGUGUUGAACGCGGAGGUGCCGUCCGUUCGGCACUCGGUCAUUGGUGAUUUGGAUCACGGCGAGUAUGACUCCGUCAUCCACGUUCAUUGGAACGCUUCCGCUCGCGAUCUACAAGGGUAUGUAGAUCCAGUCCUUUCCCCUCGUUGCUAGUAGACUCCAUAGAUGCAUCUUGGUGAGCGUAGGAAAAUUUUAAAUUAUGCUACGAUUCCCAACACACAUAACCCAACACGCUCGAUCCCAUUUGGCCGGACACACUUUUCUGGGUCAUGCCCGGCCUCGUAAGAUCAACACGUCGCAGCCCCACCUAGGCUCAACAGACAGGUCAGCACGCCGGUCAAAAUCCUAUGCGCGCAGGGGUCUGGGCCCAUCGCCCAUUGCACACCUGCACGUUGCGAGGGCGGCCGGAAGCAGACCUAGCCUAGCAGGCGUUCCAGUCCAAUCCGGCGCGCGCCGCUCCGUCGCUGACGUCAAGAAGAGCUUCCGCUGAUACCACGACGUCGAGUGCCCAUAACUGUUCCCGCGUAGUUGGUUAGUGCGUAUAGACCAAAUGGCCAGACUCAGAUCAAAUACCAAGAUCUCGUUAAGCGUGUUAAGUAUCCGCGAAUGCCGACCAGGGCCAGGCCCACCUCUCUCCUAGGUGGUCUCAACCUGCCCUGUCGCUCCGCCACAAAGUAUCAGUCGGGGGCCGUCAGGAACCCAGGCCCACCUCUACCGGGAUGGAGCCACCUGUCCUUUCAUCCCCCUCAUCAGAAUCACUUGCGGGUACUCAAGGAGCCGACCCGACUUUAGUCACCACAUGUGUCAUGCAUAUAAAGUAUAUAAUAUAUACCCGUGAUCACCUCCCGAAGUGAUCACGGCCCAGUAGUAUAGCAUGGCAGACGGACAAGAGUGUAGGGCCACUGAUGGAACACUAGCAUCCUAUACUAAGCAGUAGGAUAGCAGGUAAGGGUAACAACUGUAACAACAAUGACAGGCUAUGCAACAGAAUAGGAUUAACCGAAAUCAGUAACAUGCUACACUACUCUAAUGCAAGCAGUAUAGAGAAGAAUAGGCGAUAUCUGGUGGUCAAGGGGGGGGGGGGUUGCCUGGUUGCUCUGGCAAGGAGGGGUCGUCAACACCGUAGUCGUAUUGGGUAGCAGCGGCGUCGGUCUCGAGGUCUACCGGAGAAGAAGAGGAGGGAAGAAAUAGUAAAUACGGAGCACACAAGACAUCUCAAAACAUAACAUGGCAAUAAGCGGCGCUAGGGUGACCUAACGCAGUGCUAGAAGAUACUGGCGAAGGGGGAAAACAUCCGAGAAGUUUUCCCGGUGUUUCUUGUUCUCGGGCAGGUGAUCCGGAGGGGGAAAGUUGUGUGUUCUCUAUGCUAGGGAUGUGUGGCGGACGAACGGGCUACGUAUUCGGAUUCGUCUCGUCGUUCUAAGCAACUUUCAUGUACAAAGUAUUUUCAUCCGAGUUACGGAUUAUUUUAUAUUAUUUUUCAAAGUUUUAUUCAUUUUCUGAAUUUAAUUUAAUUUGAAAUAAAAUUGAAUUGCUAGGUGCACCCAGCUCUGGGUACACAUAAGUGUACCAGAGGGGCUGACAUGUGGGUCCAAGGGGUCCUUGUUGACCAGUCAAACUUUGACUGGUCAACAGGGGGUGGGUCCCCCUUGUCAUAUACUAUCUUACUAACCUAACAGAUUAAAUAGUCUAAUUAGGUCAUCAGUUUAACUAACACAGGUUAAUUAAGUUAAUUAACUCUUUAAUUAAUUAAUUAAUUAAUAGUUUUAUUAUUAUUUAAUCUUCUUUUUUUAUAUAAAUGUUUCAGGGGCGUGGGCCCCCUUUGUCAUAGGCCCCUGGGGGCUCAACGGGGCGGGUUAACGGGCGCGGGCGAGGCUGCCCAUUUGGGCGCCCGCACAGACCAGUGGAGGCGCCGGGGCGUCGUAGCCCGCGGCGAGGUGCGUCGGGCAGCAGGCGGGCGAACGUCGGCGGUAGUUGAUGCAGAAGCUGCAGGCCGCGCGUGAGAGGGGAGGAGGAGCAGGAAGGUCGCGCGGGUGCGAGCGGCGAUGUGGCUUGGAGCGCCGUCGACGGGGAUGGCCACUCGCGGGUGUUGACCGAGGCAUGCGCGAGCGGGCGUGGACGUGCGCGAGGGGGGGCGUGGCCCAGGCGGGCUGAGGCGACGACGCCGGCGGGCAGAGGCGGCCAGCGGGCACGCGUGGCGGAUCCACUAGGGAGGAAGAAGGGAAGGGGAGCUCACAGCGCCCUGUAGUUGAGCGAGGCGUGCUCGGGGAGGAGCCGGGGUCGACGGCGACGUGGUUUCGAGGUGGUAGGCUGGCGAGGAGGAGGAGGCAGGCCGACGACGUGGUGGUGGCGACGACNNNNNNNNNNNNNNNNNNNNNNNNNNNNNNNNNNNNNNNNNNNNNNNNNNNNNNNNNNNNNNNNNNNNNNNNNNNNNNNNNNNNNNNNNNNNNNNNNNNNNNNNNNNNNNNNNNNNNNNNNNNNNNNNNNNNNNNNNNNNNNNNNNNNNNNNNNNNNNNNNNNNNNNNNNNNNNNNNNNNNNNNNNNNNNNNNNNNNNNNNNNNNNNNNNNNNNNNNNNNNCGAGGAGGAGGAGGCAGGCCGGCGACGUGGUGGUGGCGACGACGGGCGACGGCAUCGGGUCGGCGACGAGGCGAGGACGCAGCUUCAGGCGGGCGUCGUGCGAGGGAGAGGAGGGGCACGAAGGAGUCCGAGAGGGGCGGCGCCGGCGGCGGUUUGCACCGGGCACGGGCGUGCGGGAGCAGGGGAUCGAACAGGGGCGCCCCUCUCCCUGGCNNNNNNNNNNNNNNNNNNNNNNNNNNNNNNNNNNNNNNNNNNNNNNNNNNNNNNNNNNNNNNNNNNNNNNNNNNNNNNNNNNNNNNNNNNNNNNNNNNNNNNNNNNNNNNNNNNNNNNNNNNNNNNNNNNNNNNNNNNNNNNNNNNNNNNNNNNNNNNNNNNNNNNNNNNNNNNNNNNNNNNNNNNNNNNNNNNNNNNNNNNNNNUGAAUGUGUGUGUUGUGUGUGGCGGCGCUGGGUGGAGGGGAAGGAGGGGAGAGAUGGGGAUCGUGGGGGGGGGUGCGGGGCUAGGGUUCGGUUCGGUGUGGGGUAUGUGUAGGCCGGGGGUGGGCCGGCCUGGCUGGGAGAUGGCCCAGUUGGGCCGGAGUCUUUUCUCUUUUCUGUUUUACUUUUUUUUGUUUAUUAUUCUUUUACUGUUUUUAUUUUAUUUUAUUAUAGUUUUGUAAAAUACCAAAGGUGUACCUAAUUUAGUUUUAAUAAACAUGCCACUGCCCCAAUAGUUUUGGGAAAUUAAAUAACUCAGUUAAUAUUUUAUUAAUUGAAAAAGGCAUUUAUUUAUUUGUUUUUGUUAUUGUUUUGUUUAUUUUUGAGCAUCUAACUAUUUUACCAAAAUGUGGUUUCUCCACCAUAAUUACUCAUGAUUUAUUUGACCCAUCUUGAACAUUUUAGUUUUAACUUUUGGAAACUUUAUUUGUUUGACUUGUUUUUGAAUUUGACUUUGAACGAGAUUUGAAUCAUCAUGAGAUUAGCAACAGUAAUCGCGGUGACGUGGCCUCAUUAGCAGGGAAUUACUGUAGCUUAAUUAUCCGGGCGUCACAAUUCUCCUCCACUACAAGAAAUCUCGCCCCGAGAUUUAGGAGCGGGAGUAAUCGGAAAGGGAUUUGGUUACGAAAUUCUAACGGGUCUUCUCUGUGUUGGUUGCUCUUCUCGAAGAGGUCAAUCCAUUACAUCGAUGCCUUCAUUCCUCUGCUCCAGGUCAUCAUGAUGAAGUCGUCCUCCUUUCUUCGGAAAAUACCGCCGUACUUACAAAUAGGUAAGGGGCUGCUCUAAAACGAUAGAAUGGUGCAAGGGGAACUCAUUUGGGGUUAUCCCAGGAAUGAACCCAUGAGUAUCUCUCAAGUUGAACAUAUAAAAUACAUCCAGAGUAAGGUAUGAAGGUACAAUAAGAGGUUCCAAGCGGAUAGAUAGUUGCUCGAAGUCUGAACCAGAGAGGAAAAGGGGUUCAGGGUAGCGGGAGUAAGUAUUGCGUUUGAUACCAGAGUAGAGCACUAGGAAGGUGGCCUGUGAAUUAAAUACGAAGUCAAGCGUGAGGAAUAACCAUUAGAGAUAGGGUUGUACAAGAGAGUCAGGUUUUGAUCCUGUGGAACUGUGGGUUAUGGGCCCACCAUGUGAGUUAAAAGUAGGAAGGGCGGAGACGUCUUGCGUGAUCAUGCAAGCAAGGCAUGUCAAAGGGUAGCCUGUCUUUUAUGUCAGCAACAACAUUGGUACCAAGGGCGAGCAACGAAGAGAACCAUUUUCCUGCUCGUCGAAACGAGGCGGACCAAUAGGCAAAGUUCUCGUCCAUCGGUGGUUACCAGAAUAUCAUCGACCAUAGUAACAGGUUCUUACUGACAAAGUCGUACACCGAGGUGCUUACAAAAGCAGUGACUUAUUACUGCUCAGAUCUUAUAAAUCACAAGAAAGGUUAAACCAAACAAUGGAAAGGAAGAUAUGAUUAUCAGAUUUAAACAGAACAAUGGAAAGGAAAAUGUAUUUAAACACAUAUUUCAAGGGUAUAUCCUUCCCAAGGACAAGCAGAGCAUGAUAUCCAGGACAGGAUAUAAUGUAGAAAACUCUUUAGGUAAGGUGAGAGAAACUUCAUGACAUUACCCAUACAACGGUGUUUGGAUAAUUGAGCGAGAAACAUUUAGCAUUGGGCUUCAAAUGUUCUUGUUGAAAAUUGGAUUACCACAGACAUGCAUGGAGAUAGCCUUGACAUGGUUAUCAGGUGAAGAUCAGACUUUAGAAACAAAAAGGGUCCAUCGAGAACCGCUUGUAGAAUAAGUCUUACAAUUUCCUCAUGGAAUAAAAGGCUAGCCUUGCUAAAAGGAAAUGGUAACAAUAGGUCAUCCGGCCAGGUGUGCUAGGCACGACAUCACCUUACCGGGUCAUAUAAAGACCAAUGUUAUAACUCUUGGAAAUAUGUUCCAACCAUCAUAUCUGACCGAGAUUCAGUUCUGAUUGGUGUCAGGAUACCUCAGACUUAGGAUGCCUGAGAAGAGAAGGUGCGGCACAAUUUGACGAGAUGACAUUGUAAGAUUCUCGGGAAAUGAACUAUGGAAGCAAGUUCCGAACAAGGGUUCAUCAUUAAUCAAGGAGAGGUGAGGAGGUGACUGAUUGACUCAGUGACAAUCCAUUGAGAUUUCCAAAAGAUGGAUUUCCACAACUAUGUGAACAAGGAGAUAACAUUUGUCAGAUCAAAUGGUAUAAUGAUGUAUGCUCGAGGGAAACAUACACAAUUAAACAUUGGUUGAAAUGUGCACCCGAAAUAUGGGCUAGGUAGCACGAUCAAUGUUCGAAUGAUGAUUCAAUAAGCAACAAACUUAGAAUGAAACUAUCGACCAUUAACUUCAAAGCAAUAAGGUUACUAGAAGUUUUAAAUUUACACAUCACAGGCCAUUUGUCGGCAUUCCGGUUUAGAAACAACACGGACACCAAGGAAAGAACGGUGAUGGUAAUAAGUAUUACUUGUAUCAAGAAUUCUUAAGGGGUGGUGAAAAUUCCCAUGACAUUCUUGACAUAAAAGAUGGCAAUACUCCAAGGUAAAGAAGAACAAAUGCUGGAUAGCAAGGAUCUCAAGGUAUAACACAAAACACGAACAAGUUUGUGUCAAACGGAAGGCAAUAAAGUGGUCAAAGAUAACACAAAUCAUCGGGGCAAGGAUGGUAUUUCUCAUCAUGAACUCAAUUGAUAUCCUGGAAGAGCUCAAAAGGUUGAUGAUGAUCACGACACAUUUGUCGAGAGAUUUCAUGAAGAUGUAAUGAAUCAGCGACGACAUCAAGUCAAAGGAAUGAUGAAGCGGUAGGUUAUUGGAACCAUGGGUAGGACACAAACUUGAAAUUAAGCUUGCUGUUCAAGAACCAAUGAUAUGACGAGGAAGAACGAUGUAGGAUUAGCUCACCAUCGAAAUUUGUGCUCCGGGAAGAAGGACCCGGUAGCACAGUUAAAAUUGGCACGACAAGGCUAUAGCCAAGCAGGCUAGGAAUGACGUGAUUGAGUUCAAACUCGUAAGUAAUGAAGGUUACCAAGACUUGCUCAAUCGCGAUGCGGACUCGAUUCAGUUAUCGAUGUCCUUGAGUGUUUAAUGACUCGGAGCCCGUGAAAAAUUGGAAUCAAUGAGAAUGUAAUACUUGAUGGAGAACUCAUAUGAAGUUAUGCAGUUCCGUGAUAAUCUCGAGAUACUUGAGGGUACUACUCAAGGGAAGAUCAGCAUAGAAACUGAACUGGAGUGAAGACUUGCAAUAGCAGAUAUUUUAAUCUUGUCAUGAUAGAUGAGGCAAUGGAAUAGUUUCCUUCCAGAUGUAUUGAAUAUGGUUAGAAUGGUUGAAACCAUAACUGCAAGGGAUCCAAUUUACUACACCGGAAGAAUCAUUCGAAUGUUUAAAUAUUCUUACAAGAAGCUUUCAUGAUAAGUUCCACAUCGUGUCCGUGGGCAUGAACACAAAUGUUCAAGGUUGACUCCCACUUCUCCAAUGCAUAACCUUUGAUUUACCUCUCGUAUUUCGAAAAUGACAUUAGUUGUUGAAAGUUUUUUUUACCUGAUGUAAUACCAGAUAAGUAUGACCCGUGAAAUCUUUCGGGUUCACACGGAUUAGGGAAGGCGUCGGUUCAACCCAUCCGGGCAUCUUAGGAACAUAUACCACAAACUUCGGAGUAAAUAAUACAAGCUCGAAAGUAGAGCAUGGUUCACAAAGCAGAGGAUACAAUUUACCAAAGGCAUUAUGUAUCCGAGAAAAGACUCACAAAGUUAUUGAAUAUGAAGGACGUCGUCGGAUAAAAUCCAACAAGGUUCUGAUGGUCCAUAAGGGAUCUGGUGUGAGCAUCGGUACUCAACCAGAAGAAAAAGCAUGUAAGGAGAUCAGAUGAUAGAAACAACUGACUACUUCAGAGCUCAUUUGCAAAAGAAUUAUGAAUUCCAAGACAAGGGAUCAGAAGCAAUGCUCUGAUUAGGGAUGGAUAAGCUGAAUAGCCUUAGGGGUACAAACGAUGACGAUUUGAUUGGUCGAGAUCCAGCUCAUGUUAAAAAUGAUGUCUGAGCCGGAAGGAUGAAUUCUAGGAUCUGAUUGAGGAUUGCGAGCAUUCGCAACAUAUUGAAUCAAUGGACUCAAAAAGAUAAUGACAAAGGGUGCCAAUAAGAUUUCGAGACUUAUGGGAUUAAUCAUAAUGCUAGUAAGCAAGAACUUUAAGAGCAAUAGGCUCCUGAGGAUUUUCGGAAGAUCGAAUGGUAUUCUGAACACUUUUGUGAAAUACUUGAAUCAACUGGGGAUGAGCGGAUACUCGGUAAGUGCAAGAAUUAUCCAUAGGGGUAUUCAGGUGACAAAGAACAGCAAGGCAGUAAGCUCAAAGGAUUCUCGGAACAACAGAGGGAAUUUCAGGGUAUCUUGUAAUAACAAGAUCAACUGGGAAACAUUGUAUGAAUGGCGAGUAUACGUGGUUAUCUAUAGGAGUUUAUCGAUGAAAGGGAAUUGCAAAAGCGAUGAACACAAGUUCUCGGGUUAAUAGCGGAGAGUAUCUUCAGGAUCUUCAUGUGCAACAGACGAUCACCAGUAAUAAGGGGCUCUCCGGGUGAAAGUGAUAACGAGAUCCUAAUGUUAGAUUUAGCAAAAUUUACUUAACCCGAAUAGAAGAGAGAUCAGAGUCCCAGAGUAUAGACAAGGAGUAAAAGAUCCUAAUACCACCCAAUGGCGACGUGGGCCCGUAAGACACACAGCCAUGUUAGUAAAAGUUUUUGCAAUGUCUAGACUCGACUUCGGCCAAGGAGUUGGAAAGGAGGAUUCCUACAGGCAGUCGGCUCUGAUACCAACUUGUGACGCCCCCGAUUUGACCGUACACUAAUCAUGCACGCAAAUGUGUACGAUCAAGAUCAGGGACUCAUGGGAAGAUAUCACAACACAACUCUACAACAUAAAUAAGUCAUACAAGCAUCAUAAUACAAGCCAGGGGCCUCGACGGCUCGAAUACAAGUGCUCGAUCAUAGACGAGUCAGCGGAAGCAACAAUAUCUGAGUACAGACAUAAGUUAAACAAGUUUGCCUUAAGAAGGCUAGCACAAAAGUAGCAAUGAUCGAAAAGGCAAGGCCUCCUGCCUGGGACCUCCUAACUACUCCUCGAAGCCGAACUCCAUGUAGAAUCAUCCUCGGGAUCUCUAGCUCCUGGACUCCAGCAUCUGGUUGCGACAAUCAGGUAUAGAAAGGGGAAAAGAGGGAGAAAAGCAACCGUGAGUACUCAUCCAAAGUACUCGCAAGCAAGGAGCUACACUACAUAUGCAUGGGUAUAUGUGUAAAUGGUCAUAUCGGUGGACUGAACUGCAGAAUGCCAGAAUAAGAGGGGGAGAGCUAAUCCUGUCGAAGACUACGCUUCUGGCAGCCUCCAUCUUGCAGCAUGUAGAAGAGAGUAGAUUGAAGUCCUCCAAGUAGCAUCGUAUAGCAUAAUCCUACCCGGCGAUCCCCUCCUCGCCGCCCUGUUAGAGAGCGAUCACCGGGUUGUAUCUGGCACUUGGACGGGUGUAUUUUAUUAAGUAUCCGGUUCUAGUUGUCAUAAGGUCAAGGUACAACUCCGGGUCGUCCUUUUACCGAGGGACACGGCUAUUCGAAUAGAUAAACUUCCCUGCAGGGGUGCACCACAUAACCCAACACGCUCGAUCCCAUUUGGCCGGACACACUUUUCUGGGUCAUGCCCGGCCUCAUAAGAUCAACACGUCGCAGCCCCACCUAGGCUCAACAGAGAGGUCAGCACGCCGGUCUAAAUCCUAUGCGCGCAGGGGUCUGGGCCCAUCGCCCAUUGCACACCUGCACGUUGCGAGGGCGGCCGGAAGCAGACCUAGCCUAGCAGGCGUUCCAGUCCAAUCCGGCGCGCGCCGCUCCGUCGCUGACGUCAAGAAGAGCUUCGGCUGAUACCACGAUGUCGAGUGCCCAUAACUGUUCCCGCGUAGUUGGUUAGUGCGGAUAGACCAAAUGGCCAGACUCAGAUCAAAUACCAAGAUCUCGUUAAGCAUGUUAAGUAUCCGCGAACGCCGACCAGGGCCAGGCCCACCUCUCUCCUAGGUGGUCUCAACAUGCCCUGUCGCUCCGCCACAAAGUAUCAGUCGGGGGCCGUCAGGAACCCAGGCCCACCUCUACCGGGAUGGAGCCACCUGUCCUUUCAGCCCCCUCAUCAGAAUCACUUGCGGGUACUCAAGGAGCCGACCCGACUUUAGUCACCACAUGUGUCAUGUAUAUAAAGUAUAUAAUAUAUACCCGUGAUCACCUCCCGAAGUGAUCACGGCCCGGUAGUAUAGCAUGGCAGACGGACAAGAGUGUAGGGCCACUCAUGGAACACUAGCAUCCUAUACUAAUUAGUAGGAUAGCAGGUAAGGGUAACAACUGUAACAACAAUGACAGGCUAUGCAACAGAAUAGGAUUAACCGAAAUCAGUAACAUGCUACACUACUCUAAUGCAAGCAGUAUAGAGAAGAAUAGGUGAUAUCUGGUGGUCAAGGGGGGGCUUGCCUGGUUGCUCUGGCAAGGAGGGGUCGUCAACACCGUAGUCGUACUGGGUAGCAGCGGCGUCGGUCUCGAGGUCUACCGGAGAAGAAGAGGGGGGAAGAAAUAGUAAAUACGGAGCACACAAGACAUCUCAAAACAUAACAUGGCAAUAAGCGGUGCUAGGGUGACCUAACGCAGUGCUAGAAGAUACUGGCGAAGGGGGAAAACAUCCGGGAAGUUUUCCCGGUGUUUCGCGUUCUCGGCCAGGUGAUCCGGAGGGGGAAAGUUGUGUGUUCUCUAUGUUAGGGAUGUGUGGCGGACGAACGGGCUACGUAUUCGGAUUCGUCUCGUCGUUCUGAGCAACUUUCAUGUACAAAGUAUUUUCAUCCGAGUUACGGAUUAUUUUCUAUAAUUUUUCAAAGUUUUAUUCAUUUUUUGAAUUUAAUUUAAUCCGAAAUAAAGUGAAUUGCUAGGUGCACCAAGCUCUGGGUACACAUAAGUGUACCAGAGGGGCUGACAUGUGGGUCCAAGGGGUCCCAGUUGACCAGUCAAACUUUGAUUGGUCAACAGGGGGUGGGUCCCCCUUGUCAUAUACUAUCUUACUAACCUAACAGAUUAAAUAGUCUAAUUAGGUUAUCAGUUUAACUAACACAGGUUAAUUAAGUUAAUUAACUCUUUAAUUAAUUAAUUAAUGUUAAGUUUUAUUAUUAUUUAAUCUUCUUUUUUUAUAUAAAUGUUUCAGGGGCGUGGGCCCCCUUUGUCAUAGGCCCCUGGGGGCUCGACGGGGCGGGUUAACGGGCGCGGGCGAGGCUGCCCAUUUGGGCGCCCGCCCAGACCAGUGGAGGCGCCGGGGCGUCGUAGCCGGCGGCGAGGUGCGUCGGGCAGCAGGGGUGGCGAACGUCGGCUGUAGUUGAUGCAGAAGCUGCAGGCCGCGCGUGAGAGGGGAGGAGGAGCAGGAAGGUCGCGCAGGUGCGAGCGGCGGUGUGGCUUGGAGCGCCGUCGACGGGGAUGGCCACUCGCGAAUGAUGACCGAGGCAUGCGCGAGCGGGCGUGGACGUGCGCGAGGGGGGCGUGGCCCAGGCGGGCGGAGGCGACGACGCCGGUGGGCAGAGGCGGCCAGCGGGCACGCGUGGCGGAUCCACUAGGGAGGAAGAAGGGAAGGGGAGCUCACAGCCCCCUGUAGUUGAGCGAGGCGUGCUCGGGGAGGAGCCGGGGUCGACGGCGACGUGGUUUCGAGGUGGUAGGCCGGCGAGGAGGAGGAGGCAGGCCGACGACGUGGUGGUGGCGACGACAGGCGACGGCAUCGGGUCGGCGACGAGGCGAGGACGCAGCUUCAGGCGGGCGUCGUGCAAGGGAGAGGAGGGGCAUGAAGGAGUCCGACAGGGGCGGUGCCGGCGGCGGUUUGCACCGGGCACGGGCGUGCGGGAGCAGGGGAUCGAACAGGGGCGCCCCUCUCCCUGGCAAGAUGCGUGUGUGUGUGUGUGUGUUGUGUGUGGCGGCGCUGGGUGGAGGGGAAGGAGGGGAGAGAUGGGGAUCGUGGGGGGGGGUGCGGGGCUAGGGUUCGGUUCGGUGGGGGUAUGUGUAGGCCGGGGGUGGGCCGGCCUCGCUGGGAGAUGGCCCAGUUGGGCCGGAGUCUUUUCUCUUUUCUGUUUUUACUUUUUUGUUUAUUAUUCUUUUACUGUUUUUAUUUUAUUUUAUUAUAGUUUUGUAAAAUACCAAAGUUGUACCUAAUUUAGUUUUAAUAAACAUGCCACUGCCCCAAUAGUUUUGGGAAAUUAAAUAACUUAGUUAAUAUUUUAUUAAUUGAAAAAGGCAUUUAUUUAUUUGUUUUUGUUUUUGUUUUGUUUAUUUUUGAGCAUCUAACUAUUUUACCAAAAUGUGGUUUCUCCACCAUAAUUACUCAUGAUUUAUUUGACCCAUCUUGAACAUUUUAGUUUUAACUUUUGGAAACUUUAUUUGUUUGACUUGUUUUUGAAUUUGACUUUGAACGAGAUUUGAAUCAUCAUGAGAUUAGCAACAGUAAUCGCGGUGACGUGGCCUCAUUAGCAGGGAAUUAUUGGAGCUUAAUUAUCCGGGCGUCACAGUUGCAACGUUGGUUCUAUAUUUUCGUUGACGGAGUAGAUGAAUUAGUUGUAUAGAUGUAGAUGCUGAGUAGAUGAUCUGGUGUACAUUUUGUGGUCUGGAAACAAAAUUACUAAGCAAGGUGAAGCCCUAAGCUUGACUAUCUCUCUAAAACAUGUGCAAUUUGAAUCCGAACAAUCCAACCUGGUAGUGGCAGAUUUUGCCUUGUUAGAGUUGUAUUGUGAUUUAAUUUAGUGCUACAUGGUUUUAGAUUUCUUUGUUAACUUGAGCAGGAAAACUAAGUAAGAUGCAUAUUUGACACAUGGUAUCGGCAGGGACAGAAUGGCUUCUGAUGUGUUGUGCUUAUGUAUUAUGCUUGCAGCUGCCGACCUCUUCUUGGGCUUCGCAACCAGCUUCCAGCAGGUCUACGCGCUGGCGCAGUGCGACGUUUACUGCAGCAACUGCGUCACCCAGGCAGUGCAGCGCGUCGCGGUCGAGUGCGGCGGCGCCCCCUCUGGCCAGGUCUACCUCGACAAGUGCUAGGUUACCUACAGCUACUACCCCCACUAUUUCAUGAAUGGUUCAUUACAGUAGUUCUUUCUGCAAUAAUUUUAGUGUUUCAUAGAUUAAGAUUACAGAUGUAUGUUCAUGAAUGAUGAGUAGUUUCAGUUAUUUCCCAACUUGAAAGAAACCGGAAUAGGCAGUAGUAGGACAAUGAGUCAUCCUGCACUAGUACAAGUACAUGAACAAGUAGUAUUAUACGAGUCAGUGUAAUACAUAUGGUGUUGAUUUUGAAAUUUGAUGCUCUCUAAUGUUCCUAUAUUUCCAUUGAUCAGAAAUCUAUAAGUUUCGAUAAGUUUCUCCGAAUUAAGCGCUUCUCCAUUCUCAGUACACCAGGAGAAACAUAUAAUAGUUUUCAUGAUUGUUCACGUGCCCUCCGGAAUCUGUUAUUCCUCUAAUGAUUGCUCAUGUUAUUAUUUACAAGUUUUAGAGUGGUUGGGCUUUUUUAGAACCGUUCGUUGAUGUCGAUCUAACGGCAGACAAAUACGAAGUACUGGGUAGUACUCCGAUGAAAGUACGCGAAAGUACUAAAACGAGUGGGGCCGGUACUCGUGACAAGGUGGGGACGCGUUUUAAUAUAGGGGCAGUUUAGUCCUAGGAAAAUUUGCACGCGCCGCCCCUCUCGUCGAAUGCAAAACCGCCGCCAUGGUGCUACACAUUCCACAAUUACUCAUCGACGGCCAUCUCCGCCCUCUCCUCCAAGUCCACCGCAGUCAUCUCCACCGCAGUCAUCACCGGCGGCGAGAACACCGACUUCGUGCAGAUCACCGGCGGCGACCAGGUCAAGUUGGCCAGGUUGAGGGAGAUCCGUUCUUGGUUUGACAACACAAGGCAGAUGAGCUGGACGGCAAUGGCCACUCUCAAGAAUUUGACGAAGAAGGAGAGGGCAAAGCUUUGCCCCCCGCCCGCACAACCGAUUCACAAGAUCAAGAUCCUCCUCUGGGCGAUGGAGCAGGCCAAUUCGUCCAGCAAGUGGACCAGGCGGAGGUGCUGGGCGUUCAGAUCCAGGGUAGAGCAUCCACUGGAUCAGGAACCCACCGUGCACGAGGUGCCGUUGCAGAUUGUGCAGCCUCCAACCGAGUCAUCGGAGACUCCGAAGCACAAGAUGAGGAGGACAGUGGUCGCGACCUCACUUCCCCGCUGUUCUCCACGCUUCCCUCGCAGCUCUCCUCGUCUGAACGGCGGCGGUAAGUAUGUUUAGAGUAAGCUUCCCCACUCCUCAUCUUCCUACUGCUCGUGCUUACAUCAUGGUGAUACUGAUCGUAAUAGCUCAGAGAGGGAAUGCUAUAUGGCAUUUUAAUCUCAAUGAAUUGCAUGAAUAUUUGAGUACAUGGAUUUGGAGGAUGAUUAUGAUGUAUGUGAACCCUAGGCAUCAUAUGAACCCUAGGAAAAGUUAGUAAUGUUCUAGUGGUAGACACUGAAAUAUUUCGGUACACACCGGUAGGCACUGAAAUAUUUCGGUACUUCCCUAGGAAAAAUUUGUAAUGUUGUAGUGGUGGACACUGAAAUAUUUUGGUACACACCGGUAGGCACUGAAAUAUUUCGGUACUGCCCUAGGCAAAAUUUGUAAUGUUGUAGUGGUGGACACUGAAAUAUUUUGGUACACACCGGUAGGCACCGAAAUAUUUCGGUACUGCCCUAGGCAAAAUUUGUAAUGUUGUAGUGGUAGACACUGAAAUAUUUCGGUACACACCGGUAGGCAAUGAAAUAUUUCGUUACUACAAUUUCAGUACACACCGAUGCACACUGAAUUAUUUCAGUACUGCAGUUUCAGUACACACUGGUACACACUGAAAUAUUUCAGUACUGCAAAUUCUAUACAAAGUUGGCAUUUUGUCAUGUAUUUGUGAAUUAAUCCAUGCAUCAUAUGUCCUAACUUUGUACAUGAGUUUGGGUCAAUUUCAUGUCUAUUUAUUGUUAAAAUUAUUGUCAUGCCAUGAAACACAAGACAAGUCACUGACCCAAGCUUGCAAAGAUGCCAUAUCAAUGUUGCUGAUAUGAAUAUGCAUGUUUUCACCAAGUGUUGUGUCUGAAUUAGAACUGAGCAUUUUUUCUUGAUGGUAUCCAUGGAUCUAGAACUCCUAUGAAUUUUCUCAUGUUGGAUGUUUUGUUCUCCAUCAUUUGUACUAGCAUUCCGUGCGAUUAGAUGCCAUGACAAGACCCCUGGCAAAUUUAUUUUCUUGCCUCCAACAUCCCGUGUGUGUUUUGCAGGAAAAAACCUGGAGUUCACCAGGCUGGCUGAAGUUGUGAGGCUGGGAGGCUGAUGGUGCUGCUACUGGCUGAUCCUUCUUCUUUCAGCUUUUGUUCGUCCUUUCUCAAGCCGUUGGACUAGGGCUACUUCCCUAUGUGCUGUUAAUGUAUUAAGUAGUUCCUUCGAAUUUGUAGUAUUAGUUAGUUUGAAUGUGGAAGUACCUUAAUUUUUAGGAACGAAAUGUUGCUUUGUAUGACCAAGGGUUUGAUACCUUAAUCUUUGGAUAAUUAAUUAUGUGAACUGUUGGAUGUGGCGCACAACGAAACGCCUCUACCAUUGAUACUAGUUCAACAUGUCGGUCCAAUUAGAGACCAACCACUACCAUAUAGAACAGUUAGCAUUUCAUACUACAACCUGGCACGUACAAAACAUCACACAGUGGAAUAAUCCCAGCGAGUAGACCACUAAAUACCGAAAACAUCACAACAUGUCAGAAGUGUUUUAAGCAUUUUAUCGUUGCAAAAACCUUAGAAAAUCCAUAAAAAUGCCGACAACCUUAGCAAACUAGUCAUGAUUGCUUUUCAUGUUGAUACAAAGAUGUAGAAAAAUAUUGGGUCCGUUUACAACCUUAGCAAACUUGCUUCUCAUGUUUACAUCACGGCCGCCGGGUGAAGGAGGAGAAAAGCCCACCUACCUAACAUGAGUUUUCUCACACACCACGGCCUGCAUACGACUACAAACCCAGUGAUAUGGGCCACGAUGCAGGCCCGUGGGUGGUUACAGAAUGGAAGACGAACAUCACGAGCCCCACGACCCCCACGAUCACGAUAACGACGAGCGCCUCCCUCACGCGACGAACCGCCUCCCCCAGAACUCAAAAAGGCACCUUCUCCUCCAUUCCUCCGUCAUUAUGCGAACCACGUCCAUCUACUCCACAAACUGCAACCACCGUCUCUGUCUCAAAAUGGCCGUCGCUGGAGAAGGGCAAUGGCGGAGGAGCCAUCUACCAAGCGUCACUGUGGCGAGACGUCCGACCAGAGCAUCAAGGAAGACGACGUUCAGGUCCCCGGUGAGAAGCGCGACUACACCACCAAACUUGACAAGGUGGAACUCCACGGCAAAGAGACGCUGGAGGUCGUCUGCACCAGCAAUCCAGACACUGCCGACGAAAUGCUCACGAGGCUCUUCAUGAAAGCCGUUGGCAGGUAUCCUAGAUUCGUCGGCGUUGAUGUGGAGUAUACCAGGGAUGACGAACCUCCGCAGUACGCAGCAGUUGUGCAGUUAUGCGUGGAUGAACUCUGCCUGGUCUACCACAUCGCUGCGGCCACAAAAUGGUGAGCCAUCCUACUCAUAUACCCUAGUUUCUCAACUACAUGUACCAGUGUAGAUUGUGAAGUGGACGCACUAGUGUGGUUUCUCAAGUACAUGCACUGGCAUAGAUUUUUACCCUGAUGCACUGGAUUAGUAUCUUAUAAUCUUGCACCAGAUUAAUCACCAUACUUGAUAUACUAGUGUAGUUACUGAUCUUGAUGCAUUAGUAUUGUGUCUACCGCUUUGGAAGCAUUAGUGUUAUUUUCUGAAGUUGAUGCACUGGACUAGAUGUAUUAGUGUUGUGUCUACUAGUGUAGUUUCUGAUAUACUAGUGUAGUUUCUGAUAUUGAUGCAUUAGUGUUGUGUCUACUGGUGUGGAUGCACUGGACUAGAUGUAUUAAAAGUUGUUUCUGAAGUUGAUGUAGUGAAGUAGUUUGUUGUAGUGUUAUUUUCAACUGUAUGAUCCAAAAAGAGAAAUAACAUCAUGUACUUCAUGCAUUCAUCACUCGUAUUGUUUGGUUCUAGCACUAGCAUUGUCACACUUUGCCACAAUUUUUUGCCAAGUUUGCCUAAGGUUAGUUCAUCAAAAUGAGGGCCACAAGUUGGCAAGCCUAAGGGAAUCUUGCCACACUUUUUGUGUGUAUGCCAUGUGGGACCCAAGUGUGGCUUGCCUAAGGUGUGGCUUGAACCAAACACACACCUAAGUUGGUCAAACUUGCCUAACCUUAGGUGUGGCAAUCUUUGGCAAACUUAGUCACAAACCAAACAACUCCUAAAUCUUCAAAAUUACUACUAAUCUUCAAUAUGUCUCUCCCUUUGAAGGCCCAAGCACCUCAGGAGCUUCCUCCAGGAGAAGAAGUUGUUCACCUUUGCCGGUUUCCGCAUUCCUAAUGACAAAGAGAUGCUGAAGAUGUCUAGUUUGGAGAUCAACCCCAAAAAGUACAUCGACAUUCAGAAAAACUAUAGAGUUCCAUAUGCCGGCAGAAAGAAGCAGUACGACUCCUUGGCUGAUGUUGCAGCCAGCGUCAUCCACCCAUUUUACCAAAACAUGAAGAAGAAGAUCAACAGGACCGAAGACCAUAAACUGUGGGGGAUCAGCCCGCUGCCAGACUACCUCGUCGAGUACGCAGCGAAGGAUGCGUACGCCACCUACAAGGCUUGGAAGAUAAUAGACAACAUCAAAUCAGGUGUGGAAAUUUCAGAAGCACAGGAGGCUGACCCCUACUACCACUGCCACUACGCGGCAUGAAGAGAGAUCAAAGUCUGCCUUCAAGUUGCUAGCGCAGUGUCCUUUUAUGAUAUCUAUGUUUCUUUGUUGUUCGGUGUGUCUGAACUUAUGUCCUAUGGUGUGUCUGAACUUAUGUUGUGCGGUGGUUGAUCUGCCGUUUAUCUUAAGAGUUUGCUGCUACUCUGGUUUAGUGUUCCAAGUUGUUAAUACUAUUUUGGUGAUGCAUGAUAAGCCUUGUACAAUGCUUGAUGCGUACGGUGGUGCUUAGAAAAAUAAACAUGGUUUUUCUGAAGCACUGGUGCCUAUUUCUACAGGAGAGAUGCCUAGUUAAGCAUCUACCCUGUACAAAUAAGCACCUGUGCUUAAGAAAAGCUUCCUAUUUUGUUUAUGCAUUAUUUCAAAUUCAUAGUAGCUUGUGAAUGGAACUUUGUGGCAGCCAGCCUCUACCAUUGAUACUAGUUCAACAUGUCGGUCCAAUUAGGCCUUGUACAAUGCAGGGUGCUUAGGAGAGGUGCUUAGAGAAAUAAACCAGGUUUUCCUUAAGCACCAGUGCUUAUUUGUACAAGGUAGACGCUUAACUAGGCGUCUCUCCUGUAGAAAUAGGCACUGGUGCUUCAGAAAAAACUGCUUUAUUUUUCUAAGCACAUCCCUAAGCACCUUGCAUUGUACAAGGUCUUAGAGACCAGCCUCUACCAUAUAUAACAGUUACCAUGUCACACUACAGUCUAUAAAACAUCACAGAGUGGAAUAAUCAUAGCUAGUAGAGCAUUAGUUACCAGUUAAUAAUAGUUGCAAUCCAUCACAAGCAAUAGUACCUAGAUAUGAGUAGAUAUAGGUACGGUAAUACACGACAAGUACUCGCAAACAAGAGCUAACAUAACAAGUUCUAAAUGAGGUGGAUGGUGAUCAUCAUCCUCAAGUCAUGGCGACUGGUGUUCGCAAUAGUGAGUAGGAUGGCCUGUCCUACCCGAAGAUUCUUGCCACGAAGGAACUUCUUCCAGCCUGCCCUUCUCAAGACAGUGCGACCGUCCAUGUCCACUGCAUAGGCACAGCUGGUGAUGGAGCCCGUUCUGGUAAGGCGUAGUCCAGCAGCCAUGCCUUCUUUGUCCGGGUCGAUGCCACAGCUAUCAAGUAACCUCUUAGGUAAUUUCUGAAAACAGUUGACAUGAUAUAUGAUCAUGUCACGUGCAAUUAUCAACAAAGCAUACACUUCAAGACACAUAUAUCAUUGGAUUCAACACUGAGCAUAUAUAUCAUCACAUCACUACACUAUACGCCAAGCAUCAAAUUACUACAGUAAUUAGGCAUAUCAUUAGAUUACUGCGUACACUAAGCAUAUCAUCGCAUAUUACUACACUACAUGCAUGUCAUAAAAUUCUUCACUAAAUGAAUUCUAAACUAGGCCUCUCAUCACAGCACUACAACAUGCAUAUCAUACGAACUACUACACUAACUAAGCAUGCAUAUCAUGUAAUUACCACACUAAGUAACAUACCAUGAUAUGCCGUUUAACAUUCGUCCUUGUGAGGCGGGUCACGAAUGGCUUCCCUAGGUAGUCUUCACUUAGCGGAAGCAUGUCCCAGAGGUUGCCGAUUUCCUCGUCGCCCAGUCUGAGUCCUCGGGCAUACAGGUAUUCAACAAGUGGGUUCUCAUCAUCAUCUGAAUCGUCAUCAUCUGAAUCAGCACCAUCUUCCUCCUCAUGAACUUCAUCCUCACUAUCCGGAAUCAAAUUUAGAUAGAUAACAGAAAUCCUGGGCCUAUCUCUUCUGAAGGAGAAGCGGAUCAAUUCACCCCCACUAAGACGCAUGCGGGCGAUGAAACGAUCCCAAUCAUCUCCUCCUAUCUGGGUUAUCUUUCGCCCCUUCUCGACCUGCAUAGUGUAUGGGCCCCCAAGAGCGUCGAAGGUCACGGUGUCUCCGAUGAGCUCAUUGAAUGGCAAUCUCACAUUGCAUGGUACGAUCUGUGUAAGAUAAAAACAAAUAACACACACAAUACAUUAGUGGAAAUAGCAAAAAAAAAGAAUGUACUGUCAGAAGGUUCAUAUAAAUUGUUACCGCUGCAACAACAAAAGAAGGCUGGCAGUAGAUGCCGAACAGCGUGGCAGUAGAAAGGCUGGUCCGGCACCGUGAGUUGCGGCGUCCACAUGGUGCUUCCUCCAUUCUACACAGAACAUGUUGAACUCUAAGUUGAAUUGUACAUAGUACAAUACAAAGAUCAUACAUAUAAUAAAUCAUAGUGAUAACCUAUACUGGGAAUGGCCAAUCAAUCUAUUUACUAUCAUCUACGUAAUAAAGCAAUGCCAAUGACAAUGGCAAUGCCCGUCUCAUCUAAACCUGGGAAUAGUUUGGCAUCCAAACUAAAACGAGUCCAAUCCACGGCACACAUCAAAACCAAACCAAUCCAGAUAUUUUCAUUUAGAAUCUAGACCAAACCGAACUAUACAUGCUAGUCAUCCAACCCAGUCCAAACCGUUUUCAACUUUUGGAUCUAGAUCAGACAUGACAUCGAGAGAUCCGACGAGCUCUGGCCGGCAACAGCCAAUCGGCUCAGAUCCGCCUCCGUAGGGAGACGCGGUUGGGGAAGGGAAGAAGAGGGGAGAUCUCACGUACUUGCCGGAGUUGGCGGCGGCCGCGCACCGGCAGCGAAGAGAGGGGUCGUCGGGAGAUGGCGGCGGCGGCGCUGGUCGAGAAGGGGAGAAAGAAAGAUGUGGAGUGGUCGAGACGGGGAGAAAGAAAAAUGUGGUACAUGUGGUGGCGUGGUUGUGUGGAUGACAAGGGGACCCACUUGUGAGACCGAUAGCAAUUGAUGGCAAACCGCAGGAAGUGCACGACCGCGUGCACGACAUCCACGUCCCCACGAGGAAUGGGGACGGCCGGGUGGGUGUGUCAAGUCAAAUCGGCACCCGCAGCUUCUCGGUAACUCCAACAGGCAGGAGCAGUGCUUUUCUUCCCCAAAUCGGGUAGAAAACCCUCGUCCUCUCCCGAACCUAACCACCCUCUCUUCCUUCCUCACCAGCUCACCACCCUCUCCUCCUUCCUCACCACCCUCCUCCCUUCCUACGCCUCCCUCCUCCUGUCUUCGACCGACGAUGAAACGCGGGCGUGAAGAUGCGGCGGACGAGCCGGAGGCAACCAUCGGAGCAGAGCAGUCUGCUGCCGUGGCUGCAGCCGUGGGUGGAGCGGCUGAGUCCGCCGUAGCGGUGAAAGCUGGCGGUGCAGCGACCGUUGUGCCUGCUCCCGCUGCCAUCGCCGCCGUGGAGGCACCCGUCGGCGAGCAGAAGGUCGGGGAAGAUCUGGAGGAGGAGGGGAUGAGAAGGCUUAAGCGCAAGGUGCAUGACGAAAUCGAAGAGCUCUACAAGGAGAACGCCAUAAAGGAGUUCGACGUAGAUUGCAGGAAGGGCAGCGACUUCGACGAGGAUGCCAUCAACGAGCUAUCUGAGGUAGUACUCUGUUUUGUGCUCUGUUUUUUUCAUGACAUUGGGGUUUUUCUUGUUAACUAGAUGAGCAUCAAUUUCACUUGGGCGUGCUAGUUGUACAUAUGUAGGAUUGUAGGGAUUUAGCAUAGAUCUUCAUGUUGGAUCUGGAUUUUUAAAUCUGAUUCCAGCAGAUACUCUGGUUUUUUUCAUGGCAUUGAAGUUUUUUCUUGUUAACUAGAUGAGCAUCAAAUUCAUUAGGGCGUGCUAGUUGUACGUAUGUAGGAUUGUAGGGAUGUAGCAUAGAUCUUCAUGUUGGAUGUGGAAUUUUAAAUCUGAUUCACAUUCUGAUUCCAGCAGAUACUCUGUUUUUUUUCAUGGCAUUGGGGUUUGUCUUGUUAACUAGAUGAGCAUAAGUUUCACAAGGGAUACAUUAAUGAAAGAAGUGGGGUAAUGAACCCAAAUACAAGAAAAUGUUCAUGGCAGGGAUACAUUAAUGAAAAAAGUGGGUUAAACAAUGGAUAUAUGGCAGGAUUCUCCAUUGGCUUCCCUAGGACAGUGACAAACUGCUGCAAUUCCUGAUUCAUUUUAGUUUAUGUAGAUGAAUUAAUUUGCACACAUGUUCAUAGAUGAUCAGCUUGCACACAUGUUCAUAGUGAUCCAUUUGCAAAUUCUGUACAGAUUUCCAUUUUGCAAAGAAAGCGAUUGCUCCCUUAAUAAUUAUGGGCUGACACAAAAUCAAAACAUUUCAUGUAGCCAAUUUUCCCCAGUAUAUUAUCUAGAUGAUCACAGCCACAUCUCUCAUCAAUAUGAGCAGUGAGACACCCCAUAGCUCCUUUACCAAUUUCCUACUGAAACUUAUCAGGGUCUAACAAUGUUGGAGAAGCAGUAUUGCCGCUGUCAGAAAGAAUAAUGGUUUCUUCAUUCCAGUAGAUAGAACAAACCCCCCUUGUGUGAAACAUGGAGGGGUAUAAUGAAGCCAUUUUUCUGAUUCCAAUCAGAAUUACACCUGUAACAAGUAUCAAAUAUCAUUAAACCAAGCCAGUUCAUGAAGUGUUUCAUGUGUUAAUUAUGUACUACUUGUGCACUAAUCUAUAAAUGCAACUAUUCCACCGUCCAUAUUUAUGCAUGUCAAUUUCUUUGGCUCAAUUAUGUAUGUGCACAUACACCUUAUUUCUAGCAAAUAGAUAGUUGCCAUGUUACACAUGUGUACUUUCAAAACAUUGUAAUUAAGGCAAUGUACCAUAAUAGAUUAGCUGAGUUCUUCUAUGUGUACUAAUUCACUAAUUCACAGGAGGAUGACGACGACGUGGACUACGGCAUGGACAGCAGGCACAGCAAGAGCCGCUACACCCUGAGGCAUCUGAUUGCUGGCAAGAUCAAGUACCGUUUCUUUGGCAAGAUUGGGUGCCCUUUCUGUUGCAAGGUGAUCCGUGGCGGCAUAGAUGGCAUGAUCCAGCAUGCCUUCAGCACUGGCAAUGGACAUGGUAAGAACCAUAAGGCCAGUACUCUGGCUAAACAUGCGGCCUACGCACGCUUCCUCGAGAUUGUCAAAGUCAAUGAGCCCUACAACCUCCAUUGAAGAAGGGAGAGAAGUGAUGUGCUGCUAGAGUGCUGCUACUGCCCCAGGACCGCCGUGUCCACUUAUGUUAUCUAUGUUUCUUUGUUGUUCGACUCUAAAACUGAUGUCCUAUGGUGUGUCUGAACCUAUGCCGUUUAUCUUAAGAGUUCGCUGCUACUCUGGUUUAGUGUUCCAAGUUGUUAAUACUAUUUUGGUGAUGCAUGUUAAGCCUUGUACAAUGCUAGAUGCUUAGGGUGGUGCUUAGAAAAAUAAAUAGGGUUUUUCUGAAGCACCGGUGCCUAUUUCUACAGGAGAGACGCCUAGUUAUGCGUCUACCCUGUACAAAUAAGCACCUGUGCUUAAGAAAAGCCUGGUUUAUGACUAUGGUAGUUAUAGCCUGGCAUGAUUAUGUUUAGUGUAUAACUCAGCAUGAUUAUAGCUUCACAAAAUUAAAGCAUGCAAAUGAUUGCCGAUUCCACCUAUUGCCAAAUCAAGCUUUGUACUGAUGAUGCAUUAGAUAUUGCUAUAAGUAGAGGAUGCUCAUGAUUGCCAAAAGUACCUAUUUCCACUUUCUGAUAAGAACUAAGCGUGUAUGAAAUGAUGCUAAAAGUAGAGCAUGAGCAUGAGCAUUUAUCAAUUGAUGAUCAAUUGAUGCUACCUAUUUGUGUUUGAAUGGGCUCAAUAAAACUGGUGCUAGUUUAUGCUCUCUGCGUGACCGUGAUGGUAACGAAGACACUUGGUUGGCUAUGGUCUUGCUGUCAAAUUUAAGUUUCAGUUCUUUAAGACUCUUUGUUUUUGCUGCUUCCUCGAGAUUGACUAGCUUUCUCGGGCGUCCAUGUGCUCUCUUCCUUUUUGGGGAGUUGGGUGCACCACUUUUGGGGGAGUUGGGUGCACUGGUAUCCUUCUGGGAGUUGGAUGUGUCGGGUUCGUUGGAACCAUCAGGAUUGUUGACUAAUUGUACGUCGUCUUCUGAACCAUCAGGUAGAGCUGCUUGCUGGGCAUCGUACACCUCCUUCGGUAUAAGAGAGAGUGCUGCGUUAGUUCUAAUCAUGAGACUUAUGAAAUGAAUGAUAUAUUCUUGAUGUAGCACUAACCGUUAUGGGGAACUUAUAUGAUUCGAGACGAAGCGCGUUGCAAUUUGAAUGCAGUAAGGCUGUACAUAUUUUCCACCUGAAAAUAUCUAUCCUUGCCUAUAUUUGAUAACCUACACUUACGUCAGCAUAGCUUUCAAGCUAAACAAAGUACAAAUGUAAAUUAGGCAUUCAAUUACCUGGUUGAAAAUAUCGGUCAUUUCAUCCCCGUUCCAUGACAACAUGUACUGCAGUGUCCAAACCGCACAGGAAGUCCUGUGAUGUUUAGUUAAAGAUCAGUAAUCUUUUUCGUGUAGGCAAAUAAUAAUUUAUGAGGCCAUGCGUACCCAUCGGUCUGUUGUGGUAUGUUCUCAGAGCGUUUUUUGGUCCAUUCGGCAAAAUUGAUGUUCUUAGCUGGUGAUAUCAACCCAUUCUUGACAGCUUCGUCGAUGCAGAACUGAAUCGAGUCCACCUAGGGUACGACGAGUUAUACAUAGGGUUACGGUACUUUGGGAGCUCAUGUGCCAUGCGGAUCAAAAGACGCAGCAAGAGAACACUUACAAGAGAAUCUUCCUUGGUCUUCUUGCAAUGAUAAUUCAUGGAGUUCAGAGUCUGAAUUUCUUUUUUGUCAAAAUUAAACAUCAUUAGCAUCCAAUGGUUUUGGUGUACAUUCAGUGGGACAUGCACCUGCAGUAAAAUUUGGGUUGGGUUGAGAACCGAAAUUUGUCGUGUACAGUGUGUACAUAAACUAUGAAAGUGAGGAAAACAUGUACCUUUUGGCGCCCUACAAAUUUUUCUGCUACACGAGCUAACCAUGAGGCUGCACGUCCAACAGGAACCACCCCCUUCAUUUGUAACAGCUUUUCGGUUUCUUCAGGGGAUAUGAUUGAGGUAGUAUCAUUCUCAAUUUGGCUAAUGCGAGCAUAUGCCAUAAUAACCUGCCAAAUUUUCAAUCAUACAAUAAUAAGAAAGUUGUUGCAGUAAUGAUGUAGACUAGAGUAUAAUGGGCUUACAUCACCAUAAAUGUAUUUGUCGUCCAAAUUUCGCUUCAGUUUUUCUGCUGUGAGGGUAAUGUCUCUGAUUCUAGCUAUUUCAACAGGGUCGUAUAUUCCGCGGAUGUAAAUGGUUGUCUCUAUGUCCUCAUCCGUGAACUUGUAAUCAUUACCAAAGACAGGCUUCAUCGGAGUUAAUUGUGGUUUCUCAUUGUUUUCCGUCACAUGUCUUGCACUUGGUGUAGUCGAAGUCCGUGCCGUGAAUUGGCUAGCCCUAGGAGUUCCUGUCAGUGAUGAAUUGCACACAUUGACUUGAUCCUACAAAGAACAAAGGUAGUUCAUCAUUAGUUUGUUACUUUUAGAUAUUAACGUGUUGGGCCAUAAAGUUCACCUGCACGCCUCCUUUCUGUGACACUGAUUGUCGGUUGCUUGUAAAUUCGUAUUUUAAUUCCUGUAACAAUGCAAACAAUAACGAACAUGAAGGAACAUAUUCAGACAAAAUAGAAAAUGCACAGUAUGACAUACAUGUAGUUCCCUCCUUAAGUCUUUAAUUUCGUCCUCGGCCUUCGACAACCUAGGAUUAGUGCCAGUUUUAGUCUUCAUGUCGAUCAAGUCUUCACCUAGCAUCUGGUAUUUGACAUCAAAUCUGUGCUCAAUUUCCAUUAACUUCCUGCCUACCUUCUUUUCAUGAUCAGCUAAGCGUGCAUUCAUGGCUUCAACUACCAUGUCAAUCUGUGUAAACAAAAUAAAACCCCGUUGAUAACAAUAGCUAAAUGAAUGAGGUUCCAUGACACCUAUUUGUGAUAUUGCAAAAACAAAUAGUCUUUGGAGUACAUACUUGCUGGCUACUAAAUUGCUGUCCUUGUGAUGGUGCUCGAUACGAAUCAUGUUGAUGCACAUGUUCAUCAUUUUUUCUUGGAAAAUUAUUGGAAUUCUCAGACGGUCGUGGAGGAGCACAAAUUUCCAUGACAGCCUUUUUUUAUAAAAUAUAAUGAACCAUUAGUACCAAAUAAAAAAUCGGAUAUAGAAAGUUCAAUUGUAGAUAGGUACCAGCCCGUUAUGAAGACCUCCUUUGUCGUAAGCGUCGCUUCUUAAAGUAGCCGUCAUUUCGUCCCAUCGUGCGAUCAAUGGAGGGGGGUCUAGAAGCAUACAUCAAUCGGCCACUACGCACGUGCUCCCAGUACCAAUACUACACAAUAAAUUAGUUCAUCACCAUACAGAUAUGUAACAGAACAAUAAUUAAAGGACAUUAAGUAGUAAUCUAGCACUAACCUGGAGCAGAAUUAGAUUUCCUUGUAGAUUUACGUGAUCUCGAUUUAUAAACUUGUGAACGGACUUGAAGAAGUGAUUAAGUGUGAAACAUCCCCAGUUAAAUUUCCGAAGGUUUUGAAGAUCUGUAACAAGGUUGAGAAAUUUCGAGUCCACAUAAUGUUGUGCUGUUGGUGCUAGAACAGUACCAAUUGCGUAUAGAAUGAACCGUCUCAGGAAAUCGCCGUCUGGGGCUUUGGAAGCUCGGAUCGCCGUUUCAAGGUCAGAAAUCAAAAUUUGCCCAUUGUUUGCAUAGGCGGUAAACAAUUCUGUGUCGGUUUGCAUUUCCAGAUGUGGCUCUAUAUCCUCCCCUUCUAUCGGAAUGCCAAAUAUACACUGCACGUCCUCUUUUGUUAUAGGAAUUGGCGUUUUUCCGAUGGUAAUGGAUUGAGUGUCCAUAUCUAUGCUCGUGGCUAGUCUAACCAACAUUAUGCGCCGUAGAGUCACUUCAUGCAUCUGGGUUAGACCACCAAGACAGGUUUCUGAUAUGAUGUACUUUUUUGGUCUGGUGACAACAGUUUCAUGGUUUUUCCGAACCUUGUCUGUGAGCAUACUAACUUCAUAUGACCAUGCUUUUCGCCGAGUUCCUGUUACAUGCCAUUAAAUUAUACUGAGUACACAUGAAUUAUGUGUACGAAACGAUUGUACACAAACAGUCAAUUACUUACCGCAUCGGUAAUUUCGGAGAUGGGCUUUUCUCCAUUAUGAAGGUUCGUAUCUGAAACAGACAUUGCCGGCUCAUAUGCAAUGAUAAAAUCCGGCUCAAUUAAUCUGAACAAAAUUGGAAAAUGUAUAAAAAAAUUAGCAGCGAAUUAAUUUUGACAAAAUUACUGGGUCAUUUAACAUAUGAUCCACUUAUGGGUUUAAGCACAGAACCUAUUUGGGUGCAAAACCUAUGAGGGUUCAACUACUAAAGGAGCGGCCGACAACGAUUAUAAAGAGUUACGAUCAGGUAAUACCUUCUCUCGGAGACGGUGCCGCCGAGUAGAUGGCGGCGGUUAGUGCGUCGCAAACUAUAAGUGCCGGUAUAGCGAGGUCGACGGCGCAAAGGAAAAACGGCGCGUUCACGCGAGGAGGAGGCGGCGAGAAGAACACUGACGUCCGACCCCUCAGAUCACGUUGGCGGUGGGCGGCGAGUGGUGGCCGCCGACUCCUGUAUUCCGUGGGCAACCGGCGUCUCCGAUCUGAUCUUGCAGCGGUCGUGGGAGGUGCGGACGGCCCGGGUGGUUAGAAUGCGGAGCUGUAAUCACGGGAUUUAGGGAGGGGUGGGCCGCGUGAGUUAUGUGAGAUUUGGAUAAAUGAUAUAAAAAAAAUAAGAAAAUCUUGUCAACUCGUUUAGGGGUUUAGGGGUUUAGGGUUAUUAUGGUUUAGGGGUUUAGGGGUUUAGGGUUUAGGGUUUAGUGGGGGGGUUAGGGUUAUCAGGGUUCAGGGUUUAGGGUUUAGUGGGGGGUAGGGUUAUCAGGGUAUAGGGUUUAGUGUUGACAUGCAAGCCCGGAAAUGCGCGUGUCAGAGAUCGUACUUGCGUGUACAUGUACUAAUGAUCCCAAACUUUCUUAAUGGCAUCCCAUGACGACAUAGAGAAUGCAUGCAUAAUGGUUUCCAUGUGGGGCAAAAUUUUGAAUGUUUUUACGGUUUAGUGGGGGGGUUAGGGUUAUCAGGGUUUAGGGUUUAAGGGUUUUAGGGUCGACGGAACUAUGUUUGUCUUACAGUGGACAUAGCACACACACCGGACAUUGGUGGAGCGUUGGUCUACAAUGGAUUCCCUCCGGUAGCAUCGAUCCGGUCCGUUGACUGGCUCGGCCGACAAACUUCGUCCCACAUAGAGCAUGCAUCCAUCCACUGGACCGGAUCGAUGUUGGGUUGGUUUCAUACAGGUGAGGAACCCAGCUAGUGCUUUCGGGGUGUUGACAUGCUAGGCCGGAAAUGCACGUGUCAGAGAUCGUACUUGCGUGUAUAAUCCCAAACUUUCUUCAUGGCAUCCCAUGACCCCAUAGAGAAUGCAUGCAUAAUGGUUUCCAUGUGGGGCAAAAUUUUGAAUGUUUUUACGGUUUAGUGGGGGGGGGUUAGGGUUAUCAGUGUUUAUGAUUUUAGGGUUGACGGAACUAUGUUUGUCUUACAGUGGACCUAUCACACACACCGGACAUAGGUCGAGCGUUGGUCUACAAUGGAAUCCCUCCGGUAGGAUCGAUCUGGUCCGUCGACUGGCUCGACCGACAUACUUCAUGCCACAUAGAGCAUGCAUCCAUCCACUGAACCGGAUCGAUGUUGGGUUGGUUUACAUGUACAUGUACAGGGACCGGAAAUGCGCAUGUCAGAGAUCGUACUUGCGUGUACAUGUANNNNNNNNNNNNNNNNNNNNNNNNNNNNNNNNNNNNNNNNNNNNNNNNNNNNNNNNNNNNNNNNNNNNNNNNNNNNNNNNNNNNNNNNNNNNNNNNNNNNNNNNNNNNNNNNNNNNNNNNNNNNNNNNNNNNNNNNNNNNNNNNNNNNNNNNNNNNNNNNNNNNNNNNNNNNNNNNNNNNNNNNNNNNNNNNNNNNNNNNNNNNNNNNNNNNNNNNNNNNNNNNNNNNNNNNNNNNNNNNNNNNNNNNNNNNNNNNNNNNNNNNNNNNNNNNNNNNNNNNNNNNNNNNNNNNNNNNNNNNNNNNNNNNNNNNNNNNNNNNNNNNNNNNNNNNNNNNNNNNNNNNNNNNNNNNNNNNNNNNNNNNNNNNNNNNNNNNNNNNNNNNNNNNNNNNNNNNNNNNNNNNNNNNNNNNNNNNNNNNNNNNNNNNNNNNNNNNNNNNNNNNNNNNNNNNNNNNNNNNNNNNNNNNNNNNNNNNNNNNNNNNNNNNNNNNNNNGGGUUGGUUUACAAUGGAUUCCAUCCGGUACCAUCGAUCCGGUCCAUCCACUGGCUCGGCGGACAACCUUCGUGCCACAUUGUUCACAUUGUCCAAUUAACACUUUGUAUAGAUUUUUUGGGUAGAAAAUGAACGAAAUAAUGCAACUAAUCUGAACGUAACGUUUGGCAUGUAUCAAACCAAGUAGCCACUAUUCCUCAAAAAAAAAAACAGUUAGCCACUAAUUGCGCCAAAGAUGUCACGUAAUUACCAACGAAAAUGGGUUGACAAUUAUUUCUGGAAAUUCUUGGAAGGAAUUUAUUGCUCUUCCUUUUUUAGAGAACAAUAAGUUACAAAUUUUAUUUUGGAAACAAGAAAUCAGUUUUCAAUUUUAUUUGUCCUCUCCAAUUUUGAAAUAAUUUGUCUGGUCAUACAAGGCAUUAAGCACACAUGACAUUGCUUAUACAGAAGGUGACUGAAAUAAUUUGUUAACAACUACUAACGACUGAUGAUCAACAAGUAAACAAAUCCCACAACAAUUAUUGAAAAAUAAAAUCCCGCGGCCGUCAGAUUUGCGUGCUUCUUCAGAUCGAUCAACUGCCUUAAGUUCUUGUUGAUCUUCUUCAAUUCCACCUUGAGUUCCGCAUCCGCCACCAUCGGAGGAACAUUGGCAUAGCCCUUAUUAUCCACCGCCGAUGGCAGAUCUACCUCUAGGGUUGCCCCGUGCCUCAAAUCAAUUAAGCCAUCCGUUUGAAGCCUCUCAACGUAUUCAUCCAGCCACUCAAAAUGCUUGCAUGUUUUCAGCUUCUGAAAAAGGGAAGGGAAACCCUAAAUACCAAUUCCGAGGAAAUAUAAAUAAAUCUGGGGUCAGAAUUCAUAGCAAAAAGACACAACAGAACAUAGAUUUAACCUUCCCCGCUUCUGGUUUGCUCUCGCAUUUCACAAAUUCCCGCCCAUGGUUUCCAUUCUUCUCCGAUAUGGUUGUCAAACGCUUCAGUGGUGCGAUGCGUGGGCAGUCGGGGCAUCUGGUCAUCGGUAGUGAACCAUACCGCGGCCAUGAUGACGGAGAGGCCGAACUUGACAUGGACAUCUCUUGUCUCUCACCGUCCGCCGGCGAUGGAAGGCUUCAUCGCCGGAGAAGAAUAAGAAUUUGGUGGGGCAAGGGAAAGGGAGGCAAUGGUGGGCCGCGGGUUGGCACGGGCACGGCGAUGGCUCGGGCUUCCGUGAUAUGUGGUUGGACCCGCGGUCAGUGCACAUGUUUUGGAAGCCCCCAAAAGAUCGUGCUUGUUAAAAAAAACUUGCAUCGAAGCGCAUUACUUCAAAAUAACUAAUUAACCCUACAAUCACGGAUAUAUACCUUCCCAUUCUAUCGCAUAUCAACCCUAUCCUAACCACCCCCAUCUACCUUGUUUCUCCUCACAUAGCCAUCGUCGGGAUCGCGCCAUCGCUUCUCAAGCGACCACGCCGACGCCGGAUUAAAAAGGUCUCCUCCAUGGCUCCUCCCAUCUUUGAUUGCAGUGCUGAUUAUUUUUUCCAUUGAUUCGACCAAGAAGUCAUUUCCGAAGAGAUUAGAAAAUACAGCCUUUGCCAUAGUUGAGUUGUUCUGGUGUAAUUGGAGUACAGGAUGUCAUGCAAGAGCUUUUUGAUUGAUAGUUUGUAGUAGUUGUUCGUACGAACUGGUUAUGAAUAUAUUUUCUCGGUGGUAUUGUUAGGAAUUAGUUGGAUGAGGUUGUGGAUACAGUUUUCAUACUAUGGGUAUAUGUGUUGUUGUAGGGACCAUGGUCUCAGAGGCGCAUAACAACCGUGCGGAGUACGACAAGUCUUUGCAUGACGCGCGCCGGGAGAUUGACUUGAAGGUGCAAAAGGAUCGCGCUGAGGUAGAUAAGAAACUCAAAAAAGAACGUUCAUACGUGGACAGGAUGAUAAAGGAGGAGCAUGAGGAGUUUUCCCAUAAGAUGGCGAAGAUGCGUCUUGAGAUUGAAGAAAAGUAUAAGCGGGACUGUGAGGACAUGGAAAAAAAGUUUUUCCUUGGCUACAAGGAAAUGCAUCAAACGUUGCAGAAGGACCGGAAGCUUGUGGACAGUAUUAUACAGACAGAGCGAGUCAGGAUGGAUGCCUAUGUGUUGCAGGCACGUUCGGAUAUGGACAGCAAGCUGCUACAGGAGCGGUCGGACAUGGAUUAUAAGGCCAUGGUGGAGAAGGUCCGUUUGGAAGGACAACAUGUCUUCAAUUUUUCUCCCCCUGUAAGUAUCUCGCACUGAUUGUAUAUAUUAAGGACCUACGUAUUCUAUGAUACAAACAUCUUCAAUUUGUGGCAACCUUAUGUCGGCGAUUGUAUGUAGGCUAAGCAUCAUGAGACGGCACCGUCGCCAUCCACUCGAGACAUUGCGAUAGAGUCACCCGUUCAAUGCCACAUCACUCCACCCCAACAACAUAUCUUCAAUUCUCCCCUUGUAAGUACCUCGCAACGAUGCCAUACCCAAGAUAUGGUAUGACCUUUUAAAAUUUGUGUGUAAACCCACUGUCGACGUUUCAUACGCAGGAUAAGAAACGUGUGAUGGUAGAGUCCCCAGUCACACCACAUGAAGGAUACAUUCCACAUAAAAAGGUGAGAAGGUUUGAGAUGGCACAAUCCCCAGUCACUCCACAUGAAGGAUACAUUCCACAAAAGCAGGUAACAACAUCGCAAUGUUGCUAUGCACAUAAAAAAUUAUGUUUGCCCCUUUACUCAUUGAAUGUAUUAACUCUGAUGUGAGAUACUAGGUGCUGGUCAUGGAAUUUUUUGUUAGUAGGGAUGAUGAGAUGUCACAUGUCCCGAGAGCAUACUUUGAUGAACACCCGGUAGAAGUCAGAAUUUUUGAACCCGCCAAAGUGACCUACGAUCUCAUUAUGAGUGAAAUGAGAGAUACUUUUGGUUGCAAACUGGGGGCAGAACUGUACUACUUCUUACCCGAGUCUGCGUGGAAGCUGCCAGAAGGAAUGUUCUUGAUUGCAGGACCAGAUGAUGUAGAAAAAAUGCUUUUUGAUCUGAGUGGCAGCAAGACAUGUCACCUGUACAUUGUGUACAAUAGAACUACGGGUUGUUUUCCCGAGGAUGACAUUGAUCCAGAGGUUCAAAUUUUACAUGUUACAUGCAUCUAGUUUAUGGCUACGUCAUUUUUAAGUUCUUCCUAAUACAAUUCCUAUGGUUUUCUAUAGGAAGUGAUAAUCCAUGAAAUGGAGGGUCUUGCUAGAGAGUUGGCGGAGAAAGAACAAGAACAACUUCAGUUGUAUGGUUACAUUGAUGUUAAAGAGAAAAAGAUUGAAGCACAUGGGUCGUCGCCAAGCCCGACGCAAUCUCCAACGUCGCAACGCAAGAGGUCACUAGAUUUUGGCAGUGCAGAAGACCAUAUGGAGUAGGCUCAAUUGUUUUUCAACCAGUUUAAGCUUCAAACCAGGAUUAUUUUGUUGCAAACAAACAUUCUUUUCUGUUUCACACUAUGUUCGCAAUUAUGGUACAAUUUAUUCAUGAGACAGUUCUUUGAACAACAACGCAUGUGUUUUAUGAUCAAUCAUACAGUUGUUUCUGAGUUGUUUGUGAGAUGGCAUUGCAUCUACGGAAGUUUCCAUCUAUAAAACUUGUAAAAAAAUCAUUUAUGUUGUCUUUGUUGAAACUGUUUUUUCGUGCCUUUCAUCUACACGUGUAAUCAUUAUAGCCUACAAAACCAUACAACGUCGCAAAACAAUUUCCAGUUGGCAUGGAUGCUUGUCAUGUUGGUACAAGGGUUUCAAAAUUUUUUUGGGUCCAUUUCAAGCAUGCCAAAAAAAUCCGUCUUCCCAGACGGAACAUCCCCUGCUACCCGAACGGCUAAGUUGAAUGACACCAAUUUUUUCCAUCAAGAGCGCAAGCACACCCCCGUGGGCCGCGUGAAAUCUGAGCUAACCCCAAAACUUGCUGGUUUUGACGUCAAAUAAGAUAGAAAUAUCAAGGGAAGAAGAUAGAAAUAGCAAGCAAAACACAGAUAACCAACAACAUAUCAAAUAGACGGGUAGAAAUCAUAACAUAGUUCGGAUAGAUAAAGUUCACGGUAGAACCAACAACAUGAUUUAAUAGAAAUAUUUAAAAGAUAAAAAACUUGCCCUAACACGCUAGGGCAAGACAAGCUGACGAGACCGGGCCUUCACCACCAUCUUCACUACGCCUCCUCUCCAGUGCUCCUCUCCAUCCCGUCCUCGCCGAUGUAGUAGGGGAGGGUGUGCAUACCAUCGCGGGUGGGGAAGACGCAGUCGAAGUUUGUGAAGAUGUUGUGGGUUGUGAAUGCGAUGAAUUUGCAUCCACACCAAAACACCUUGCCGAGGAGGUAGUACGCAUCAAAUCUGUUGGUGAAGGUGACGGUGAGCCCUAUCGGCGGAGACCAGGAGUUUGGACGCACUUCAUCCAGUCGGAACAUCACCGGAGAGCCCGCCGGGAGGUGGGCAAAGCCCGCACGGAGGAACCAUUGGGCAAAGCCCCUUGCACCCCUCCAGCGUGAAAACGCCCACACGCGAAGCGUGCUCUCCACGACGACGCCGGCCGGAUACUGUCUCUCCGGCACGGUCGGUGGGAGCCGGUAGGUGGGGCCGUUGUACUGCAUCCUCGCGGCUCGCUCAGAGAGUGCUCUAGGUUUGGGGAAGAAGAGAAGGGCGGCACAAAUGGAUGUGUGCAGAAGGUGAGGGCUGGUGGUUUAAAUAGGGAAAGGGGAAGGGAAGGGAACCGACCGCGCUUACGUUCAAACUAGCCGCGUCGAACGAUCCAUAUGCCACUUUAAUUGCCACGUUGAAUAGAUGCGGGUGGAUCAAAAAAGUGUGAAACCAAGGCUUUAAUUGCCAUGUUGAAUACAUGCGGGUGGAUAAAAAAAGUGUGAAACCAAGGUUUUAAUUGCCAUGUUGAAUCGAAAAGUGUGAAAACAAGGUUUUAAUCGCCUCGCUCGCAUGCAUGCACGUCCGCCACCCGUGCAUGCAAACCCACGUCGCCGCCCUUCCCAUGCAUGCAGGCCUCAGGCGCAGACAACGAGAUGGCCCAACGGUCCAUCCAGCGACCCAGCGGGUGAGGCUGGCGUGGGACAGCCCACCCGAAUUAGGCCCAAGCAAGCUUCGCGCUGGGCACAUCCCAGGGGUGUAGGGAGUUUAGUCCCACCUCGCCGAGCGAGGGGAGCUAGCACCGGUUUAUAUAGAGGGCUGAGCUUUCCCUCUCAAGUUCCUUUCUAAAGCGGGCAGCACAUUGCCUAACCGUCUCCGUCCCUGCCCUGUGGGGCCUACUUGCUACCUGUUUUCACAUUCUGGCAGGCCUCUGCAUCCUGGCCCAAUAAAUGAUUGGGUUACUAGUCGUAUGCAGGCCGUUGAAUUGUGAAAGCGGGCAAGUAGGCGGGCUUUUUUUGGCUAUUUCAUUUUUUUCAUUUGUCACCAUUAUUUCCAUUAGAGCCUGUCCAUCAUGCUGCAUUUUGGCAAGAACAAGCUAGAGUUGUACACACCCUGAUUUAAUGCUCAAAACGUCGGUCUAUACCUCAAGGGGACAUUGUAAAAUAAUUGUUUUAAAAAAUUUCUUUCAUAGACAUGUUGCACACAUGAUCUCUUCCACAAACAAAACUAGGUUUCCAAGUUUUUGUAUUUUUUUGAAAUUUUUUGAAUUUAUAAAGCCCUCUAGACUGAUUGCUGAAAACAUCGGUCUAUGCCUCAAGGGGGCAUUGUAAAAUAAUUUUUUUCAAAAAUUUCUUUCAUACACAUCUUUGGCACAUGUGCGUCACCAUGUACAAGAAAAUUUGGGUGAUUUGGACGCGGUGGAAAAAUUCACCUUUUUUCAAAAACUGGCUGAAGUUAGACCAAAUGGUCCCUCCGGAAUGCGGGCAUUUUUUCGACCACCUCCAAAUCACCUCAAUUUUGGCACACAUGAUCUCUUGCACAAACAAUGCUAGGUUUCCAAGGUUUUGUAUUUUUUUUGAAUUUUUUAUGCCCUGGGCAAUGUCAGUUCGAAACACUCUAGAGAUACUUCCUCAACCAAUGAUGCGACCCAAGGACCUUCAUGCAAAAACCAGGCACCUGCAUGCAAGAGUCGGGGACCUGCAUGUGAAUAGUGAUUCAUCAAGGCCUUGACAGCUGCUGGCACAGCGGCUGCUGCCCGAUUUGCAUGCAGCGAAGAUGAACGUGCAUGGAGGUUUCUCAAAUAUUUCCAAGCACACCCCACUGGGCCCCGCUUAUUUAAAAAAUACGUCAGUCAUUAAUGAUCUCUAAAUGAAGAAUAUGCAUGAUGAUUAUGAAUAUGCAUGACAACCAUAGUAAGGGUGAAGAAUCAUUUUCAUCCUACAAUGAAUCACCUCGAUGAAGGUAUUUAAGCAAGUAAAGGAGCUGGUCGAGGGGCGAGGUGGGACUAUUUUUAGUUACACGAGAACAACGCGCGAGAUCGUACCUGACGUGGGCCGUCCGGAGCUGCAACCUCGGAUGGGCCGGUGUUUGGGUCUACGUAGGAAAACGGCUUGCGAUGCAUGAGCCAUGCAGACCUUGGGAUCACGCGGGAGAUCCGUCUGGCGGCCGUGCGUGCGUGCAGAAAUACAUCACAAAAAUUAUUCUACUCGACAAUAACAAGUGCUCCAUGCUAGCCCUUAUUCCUGUUCGAAAUACAUCAUCAUUCUUAAAGUUGGACAUCAAAUGAUACACACAGAAAAUGGAAACGAAAGAUGUCAAACUAAUACAGUAACAUGGCAGUACAACCGCACUUCACUAAAUUAUUGUCAUGAUGAAAUAGAAUGUAAAGACCACGUCACAGAAAGCUGAAUGGCACACGACUUUCUCUGGCUCAUCGUCGGUUCAUGCUGUAUGUAGACAUCACAGUUCAGCCUCAAGAUCCUACACAGAAGAAUAGAAUAAAUCACAUGGACAUCAAUUAUGAGUAAAACACAUGCAUAAAAUAAAUAUGAAAAUAUUUCGUACCUCUAGCAAUUUAGCGCAUUUACGUCGAUUGUGACCAGGAUUCUUGCAAUAGCCACAGAUAUUCUGUGAUCUUGACUUCUUUGUCUUUGCCUGCAGCCUUUUCUUCGGUGCACCUCGGCCUGGCACAUGCACGGGAUCCAGAACCUUAUCAACUUUCUCCGAGUGCGGCAUCAACGGGCCAAACCUAAUGUUGUUAUGCUGAGCAUUAGUUGACUCCUUGCUGUCAGCUUAUUCAAAACUUGAUUGCUUGCCAUGAUGUUGUGCUUGCAAAAGCAUAAUUAGACGGUGAUAGUCCUCAUCAGAGUGGCAUGCCUUGAAACUUGCGGCGUGACUACAAUUCCGCAACUCGCGGUACCUCUGCAGGCUUACCGAAUAGUCAUACAUCUGGUUUUUUCUGGUAGGUGCGUAUGCACAUUUUUCAUUCAUAGUCCACCUAGUGGGAACGCAACAACUGGGCAGAAUUGUUUGUUUUAAAAUCCCCAGUAUGUAAAAAAUGUGGGAACAUGGUGUGCCUACGCAUUCCAGCUUACGGCAAGAACAACUCACCCUGUGCAAAAGACCUCCUUGCUCUUCAAUGCGCACUCCAAACUUUUUAUCCAUUCUUUCCUGCUUGGACACAACAUAAGUGGAAUCUUCUGAUCCAUCUAGUAUCUCUCUGAUCUGACAUUUGCUGACAGCAUCUAUGCUCCAUAAGACCAUAUUAAAGACACUAGGUGUGAAAACUGUUGCGGCGUGUUUCUCAAGCGGCGAAGCAUUUUCCUCUGUAAAUGGAACGGACUGCAAGGCUUCGACGUCAUGGAGAGCUUCGUUAAUCCGUCGCGACGCAAGGCAACGCUCAUAGUGCUCUAGCAUUUCAAACAACGACAUCUUACCCUCAAGAUGCGUAUGUAGCACAGAGUUCAAGCUCUCACUCCUCUGAUUGCUGCUCAAUCCUAGGAAACAACGCCCCUCAAGAUAUGGAGCACACCACAACUUUCUCAUUUGAUACAUCUGAUCCAGCCAAGACUCCUCACUGGUUACUUUAUUCCGUUGUAAGAAGUAUAUCCAUUCUAUCUCAUGCUCUUCAAUGGAAGAAGUAUCAUAAAUGAAAGAUCUGAAUUCCUCCUUUACGUCGUCAUCAUGCAGAUGGCCUACAAUGUUCUACUGAAUGUGCCAUAUACAUAGUCUAUGGUUUGAGUCUGGCCAGACCACCCUGAUUGCUCUCUGCAUUGCAAGGUCCCCAUCUGUGAUCACAGAUAUCGGAUGCUUCUGUGCCAUGCAAUCAGAAAAGGUCCGCAACAUCCACUCGUAUGCCUGGCUUGUUUCAUGAGAAAUUAUACCACAGCCAAAAAUGACAGUGCUCCGGUGGUGAUUCAACCCGACAAACGGCACGAAUGGCAGAUUGUAUUUGUUGGUUCUGUAUGUGCUAUCGAAAACAAUGACGUCUCCGAAAGCCUCGUAGUCAAGUCGCGAUUGACUAUCAGCCCAGUACAGUCCCUUCAAAUGGCCAUGCUCGUCUACCAAGUACUUGAAGAAAAAAUCCACAUCUCGCUCUCGCCUCGCCAUCAUGUGCAUGAUCACCGUAUUAGCAUCACCGGCACUGAUUGUCUCCUGCUUAUUAGCAUGGCAGAAAUUAUAAAUGUCCCUCUUUAUGCAUCCAACCUUAUCAAAUCCACCAUAUUGAAAGCACAAAAUAUCCAUAAUACGGUAUUUGCGGAUCCCACAUUUUUCCAUGUCCGCAAUGUCCGCUUUCUGCUCAUCGCUAAUUCGUCUGUGCGAACGCAGCAGACAAGAAAGAUCCCGUGGGGCUAGAGGAUGGCUGUGCUCAUCGAUGAAAUCCUUGACAAACCACCGACCGGUUUCCUCCUGUCUCGUAAUGACCAAUUUAGCAUUACACCCAACACGAGUUAAACUUCGUGGCCUCCUCUUUCUAUCUUCCAUCUUUCUUUUCAUGUGCUUCUCUUCGCGAAACCCUUGACGACUACACACAAUUUUCCUUAAAAUUAUGUAUUUGUUGGAUCCAUCCCACUCAACGUAGCUUUUCCUCACACUAAAACCUUUUUCAAGAGCAUAUUCGUUGUAGAAUUCAUAGCCUUCAGCCUCACUAUCAAACAUCUUGCUGACAACAUUUAGAUACUCGAACAUACUCUCAUCAGUUGCAUACGCCAUGUCUUCCUGCAUAUGACAUGUGAGGGAAACCAAUCAUCAACAUCUUUCUCUUUAUCAAUGUUGCAGGUGUAAAAUAGCUCAUAGGCAAAGACAAGUGCAUGGAAAAGACUUUGCUCGUUUGACAUGUGAGGGAAACCAAUCAUCAAUGCCCAACAAGUACUAUCCUAGCAUGGAUGAUGACUCUAAUAAACUGGAUUCAUACCUGGUACGCGCGAAGAGAUGGGAUCGUCCGCCGCCGUCGCCGCCGAUUCAGCAGGCGCAGAUCCGGCCUUCUUCUUCUUCUUCGGUGACGGCGUGGGGGGCUGGGGUUGGUUGGGUGGAGGACGAGGAUGAUGAAUUUAUUCCUCUCACCGGGCAGGUCGAGGACGGAGAAGGUCAGGAGCGGCAACGAAUAGAUCGGAGGAGGAUUCUGAUCUAGAUCGAGUAGACAUGGAUCUGGUCCUCAGGUGAUCGGUUCAAGAAAAGAUAUUUCCCUCUGGACCAUUAUGCCCUUAUCGCAAUUAACAUAUUAAAUUUAAUCAAGUUUAAUUCCCCGCAAGAUCGGACGGCUAAUAAAAAUCAGACGUGAUCAGAGAUGUAAGUACUGCUAAGUACUCCGAGUACUAACCCAAUCACCGUAAAACAGCUCGUUAUUAUUAUAUUUUAUAUUAAAGGGUACUCUCCUUUUAACAUGUUUAUUAUUUCUUGUAGCCGCUGGCCUUGUCCUCCUCGAGGAGGAGGAGCAGGAGGGGCACACCCAGCAUCGGGAGAGGAGAGGAGAGGGAGAUCCAUGGCGGCCGGCGGCCAGAUCCGCGCCGGGACCGGGCCUGCUAGUCAAGGAGACCCAUGGCAUGGACCAGUAGCUCAAGAAGUCUUCUUUUCUUCCUGCCCAUCACCAUCUGCAGGUUGUCAUCCUCAAGGCCUCCACCAUCUGCAGGUCUUCCUCUUCCAUUCCAUUCUCUGCUCUGUUCUUCUCUGCUGCAGUGUCUACAGUGGAUGCAAAUACCUGAUUGUAUAUGGAUGGAUGGAUUGCAGGGUCUACAAUGCACCACCUUGAUUUGUUGAUUCGGUCUGGAGCAGCAGCAGCAACAGCUCCUUCCUUCCAUGUAGAUGGAGGGCAUGACCUGCACAAGGAGCUCCAAGGAGACAAAGGUAUCUGCUCCCUUGCUGUACAUGUUUGUGGGUUCUCUGUGAUGAUGAAACCACUGAUUGGAUGUCCUGAUUAGAUAUAAUGCAUUCCAUUGAGCCGUGGGGACAACAUGAGUAAACUUUGAUGUUUUACUGUACAGCUUUUGUGGGGUAAUAUAUGUACAGUGAGUGGAGGACAACAUGAGUAAACCGUGGGGACAAUAUAUGUGGGACAACGAAGGUUGUGGGGUAAUGCUUUUGUGAAUCAGUUUGCUAUUUGUAUCCAAACUGAGUAAACUUUGAUGUGGUUACUGCAAAUGCUCUUGUUUUAUAUCUAACUGUACUAGGUAUUUUUUUCAUGAAAUGUACAAUAAGUGACCUGGGAUCCCUCACAUGAAUCUGUACCAACCAUGUUUGAUCCGACGGCCCAGUAUCAAUUUUUCUAUUCUUCUACCACAAGCCCAAGUUCUACUGUAGUUGCUCCCUAUUAAUUCUCAGACCAAUGAUAAGAUGAUGAAAUUUCUUACUGCCUUCAAGGUCAACUGUGCUGCCAUCUUUCUUGCUAGAAAAUCUUAGUUUUUUUAGGCAUAUAAAUUGGCCUAUGCAUUUGGCAGAUAUAGUAGGGUUUGUACUAGCAGAUUGAGCACAAACAUUAUUUGUUAAGAGGGCCUGCAGUUAUAUUUUGGCUGCCUUUUGCUCCUUCAUUUUUAUGUGUUUGAAAAUCAAUACAACUAACAUGCUUUACUUCUUCCACGUGCAGUGAUUGCUAAAAAUGACAGGGAUGAGAUCCACCGCCAAGAAUGAUGCAUAGCUUAACUGCUGUCGUAGUCGAUUUCCAACAGGGAAUACCUUUCUAGACUCCAACCUUCACAGUUCUCGUUGAUUCAUCUUGCUAGCAACUGAGUAGCUUUUUUGCAUACUUCUGUCAACAGCUCAAUGCCACCAAAUGUUUUUUGCCGAUCUUCUCUAUUAUACAACAUCUGUUAUACAUCAUACAGUGCCGAGCUCCUCAUACACCAACCAUUUUACAAACAUAUCAUGAUUGGUAGGAAAUUUUUGAACCUGUAGUAUGUCACCUUGUUUUCCAGAUGGGCAAUAGACGCCGUCAUACUGUACUGUAAUAGUGUCUUACCGGGUUUCAGUUUGGUUUGCUUUGUACAAUGCUUGCACUGGAAAUGUUGAACUAUCGAGCCUCCCCUACUCUGUUCUGAUGUAUGAUUACAAUUGCAUUAGUAUUAUUGGAUCUGUUAAUCAGUGCCUACAUGUUAGAUCGGCUUGAUUUUGAGAUGCAGCGAGACUCUGAUGUUUCUGAAUAAAUUCUGAUGUGAAGGCAUGUCUACAUCAGUACAACUUUGCAUGCAUAUUUUAUUGACUAGAUAUAUACGUGUUGACUGUCUGUUCCUCUAGUUUCCUGAUGUGCAUGUUUAUUUGGAUCCACUGAACCUUUGCAUGUAGUAAUAGUUCUCUGAUAUACAUGCAACCUGAUGGAACUUUCAUGCUCUGCCAUUGACCUACCAUGAAUAUAUAUUACUACAGCAGCCUGUUACUAUUACUACAUGCCAUCUUUUUAUUUUCAGUAGUGAUUUUGAUGCAACCUGAUGGAACUUUCAUGCUCUGCUGGUGAGAAUAAGAUGUUAUAGUCUAGAUAUAUGAUGCAAAGUAUGUUGUAUUUACACACUUGUAUCAAACUGCAGCAACCCCACGGGUGAGUUGAGGCAGGGGAUAGAGAGGUUGAGUCGCUCGGGUGCUGAUCAUGUACAGCGGCGCUCUUUCCAGCGUCGACCCGACCAAACCAAUGACGCAAGGCUUCUGCUGUUGUUGCUGCAUGUCUUCACCAACUUAGUUAUUCCACAAGGAGAGAUAUAAAUCCUUCACUUGUUCACUUUGUAAUCUGCAGAUUACUUCUUCCAUUAAUCACCUAGUGCUCCUGUUAGUGAGAUUCAUCUAGUAUUUUUUUUUGCAAAGCAUGCAAUGGUUUGGAGUAGUUGAUCAUGGCCUGAUGGAACCUCUAGCUGAACAAUAAGAUAGGUUAGUUUGUGUAGUAGAGGAAGAAAGAUGAUAUAUUUAUUAUUUGCUUUUGUUGCUUCUAUAUACACAUGUAGUUAUGUUUAGUUAUUCGACAUGCUUCUGAAAUUGACUGUGGUUUUAGACCGAAACACUAUGCUUGUUCAAAGAGUGUCCAUGUUGUGUGAUAUAUGAUGCUGCUCCGUUGUGCAUCUCUCUUUUCUUGUGUGCUGCAUCAUUGCAGAUAUGCUUGAUAGAGUAAAUGAUUUCAGUUCUGGUUGUGCCAAAUCUUUACUAUGUACCAUGCUUAGUGUUUAUUUUACUAAGGCAUUGGGCAUUGGAAUUUAGGCAUUUAUGUAUAAUUUUAGUUCUGGAUGUGUCCAAUGCAAACAUUACUGUCAACUGUCAAGUUGAUUCUAAAAUGUAUUAUUAAGUUCAUUUCAGAUGGUUAUUUCUGGAUUUAGUACCAAUUUAUUGUUGACCUGGCCUAUGCUCUGUACCUUGCUCUGUACCAAUUUAUUGCAUUAUUCUGUUAUUUAGUGUUAAAUAUGCUGUUAGAUUUACUUUUAUUUUGUUCCUAAACAUUUUGUUCUAUAAUGUGCAGAUAUUGGCCUUUCAUGUUUCUUUGCGAAUAUCAGGCAAAGAAGUCGGAGGAAGCAUAGUUCUAGCUAAUUGGAGCUAAUCCAGAGAGUAAUAUGAUGUAGCAGAACUUUGCUCAUGUGAUUGUACACUUGUAGAGCUUGUUAUCUGAUUAUAUACUUGUAGAGCUUGUUAUCUGAUUGUAAUCUUGAUGCUGAUCACAUUUGUAUGUGUGUUAUAUGAUGUAGCACUUUGAUGGUUGAUAAUAUUUGAAGUAUUUCCUGUAUUUUUUGUGUGCCAAUUUAAAUACUAGGUAUUUAUUUAUGUUAAAUUAAAAAAUUGAAGAAUAUGGCCCUGACAGCUAGGACCUAGUACCAGCACCUAACAAUGCGGACCCACUUGACUAGUGAACCCAUAUUAUAUAUAAAAAAUUGAAAUUGUUGAGACAAAAAGGCCAAGGCCCAAAAAUAAAAGGGCUGCAAUGUUGGGCUUGGCCAGGAAGUCGACCAAAAUUGACAGGAAAAAUAUAUAUAGAAAGGCUGAAUUGUUGGGCUCGACCCAUGUAAAACACCUAAUUGGACCAGGCUGAAUCUUAUCAACGACCUUUUCAAUUGGUCUCAAUUUUGCCACGUCAGAUUGCCACGUCAGAUCCGACGUGGCCUAGGCAGAGAGCUAGUAACCAAAACAGAAGGUCAUAGAAUCGACGACCAUUUGUUUUGGUCAUGGAAUUCCACGACCUUCUCACAGAGAAGGUCGUUAAUUUCAGUUUACGACCGCCAGCUUUUGACCUUCUAUUUUUGGUCACAAAAAGGUCGCAAAUGAAAAACAACGACCUUUCAGUGACCAAUAGUGAUGGUCGCAAGUUGACAUAUUUGUUGUACUGGUCGUCGAUAAACGUUUGGUUGCUUUGGAGGCCAUAGAGAGAGAUAAGUUGAGGGUGGCAAGAGAUUACAAUAAAAAGUUCAAGUUGAAGACUUUUCAAGUUGGCGAUCUCGUGUGGAAGGUGAUUUUACCAAUUGGUUCGAAAGACAGAAAAUUCGGGAAGUGGUCUCCAAGUUGGGAAGGUCCUUUUAGGAUUACAAGAGUGGUUCCCGAAAACUCAUAUUUGGUGGAAUCUGUACAAGGCACAUUAUUACCUCGAGCUCUCAAUGGCAAAUAUUUAAAGAAACAUCACCCAAGUGUGUGGCAAGAAGCCUAGAUAGGCAAUGGCCGAUAUAUCACUAUCGUCCUAAGUAAAGACAUGGCCGAUAAAUAACUAUCACCCUUAGCAUAAACAUGGCCGAUACAUAAGUAUCGUCAUGAGAAAAAUAAUGGCCGAUGGAUUGUUAACAUCGUCCUUAGAACAAAUGCAUUGCAAAUUAUUUUUCGCCACGCAAGUUUUGCCGAAAAACAGGGGGGCAUGUGUUGACCCCAGAUUUUGGCACGGUCAAGAACUUAAUUAAUAUGGCCUCAAAUGGAGAAGUGAUCUACAUUAAAAAGUUUCGUAUUGUCGAUAUGAACAUCUUUGAAGUUUGGGCCAUCGCCAUCCGAUCUCAUCUCGAAGACCGAAGUUGUGUUCGAAAUACCGAGAUUUUGUAUCCAGAACACUAUUCGGCUGAUUACGCCCCCAGGACUGCCUCGUAUGGAAACAUGAUCUACAUGAAUUGUCUCCGUCUCGUCAAAAUGAUUGAUUUUGAUAUAAAAGUCAUCUCAAGUCGAGGUCGUAUGCAACCUGUGGAGGCAAAACAAGGUCAAAAACAAAAGCUGCAGAGUCAUUUCGGACCGACCGAGUUGUUUUGAUCGGUCAGACCGAGUUGGUCCGAAAAUUUACCAGAGAGUUGGCAAUGUUCACUCGGUAGGACUGAAGCAAACCAAUCGGUGGGACCGAGUUCAUCCGAGAAAUUACAGAAGGAUACAGAGAGUUGGCAACGUUCACUCGGUGGGACCGAAACGAACCAAUCGGUGGGACCGAGUUGAUCCGGGAAAUUACUAAAGAUUCCUGUCCGAGUUAGGUUAGGGUUUUUGAUGUUUUGGAUGGAAUUUUUAGUCCUUUUCUUGUAUGGGAAGUCCAGCCGCCUCAUAAAUAGAUGAGAGGUGACGGCCGAUUAAACAACACACAAUCGCAAAAAACACAUCUACUACUUUUUCAUCUACAUUUGUCCCUCCCUCGUUCUUGCUCCUUUGUUGUUUGUCGUUCUUCGUGUUGGAGAGCUGCGAAUACCAAGGCUCUAUGGGCGGCUUGACCGACCUAGGGCAGCCCAUAGCCGCCGCACUCCCGGACGGGGUCCCUCCCGGGAGUGUGGGGUUUCGGGUCCCCAAAAGCUCUCGCCGGUCGAUUUGCGAAUUGCGCUUCCGCUGAGACUCCUUCGACGUGAGCUGCGGUGCAUCACCCCCGGCGUCGAGGGUACACGUGACGUGUUCGUGUGCGAACACUGGCAUCGGCUGCGUGAUCGGCAGCUUGGAAGCGGCCGGAACGACUUUACGCAUAGGUGACUCGGAUAGGAGGCGAGACUCGACGGACGGCGGCUCAGCGACGAAGAUGGAGGCAGAGACCAAGUCCGUGGCCUCCUCCAGUCCCGUCGUUUUUUCCUCUCUUUUUCUUUUUUUCGAGCUUGAUCUUGGUGAACAGACCGAACAUAGCUUUGGCCAUUGGGGAAUAGUCAAUCAGCCUAGUUCUUCACGUGAGAUGAACUUUUAGGCAAUAAUUAGCCUGGGAACUUGUGACUUUGCAGGUUUGCCUCUCCUUGUAGCCAAUGGAUAUUUAAAAAGUGCAAAUUGACUUGCAGGACUUGGUCUUUACGCCAGGGAGUAGUACUCCAUCUAGUCUGAUUGAACAAAUUUGCCUUCACAUAGAAAAAUACCAACACAAAAACGCCUUGGUUUGGCCUGCUGCCGCCGCUGGGAAUUUACUUUGGACUUGUGCGUAUACAUAGCCACACGAGGUCUUCAAUGUGUUGAAUGAGCCUAGCAGAUGAUCGCAGAACGGCGAGGUGACUUCAGGUGACAGUUGUGACUUGCUCAAAGCGCAAUGGAAGAUGGCGGCCAGCAAGGCGGAGAAGGCCUGAAGGUGCAGGGGCGAGACCGCGAAACGGAUGCCCUCUUGGCGACUCAAACCGAAGGCCAGGCUAGCUCAGCGCGCAGCAGGCGCGGCUCAGCGUUGCCACGGCGGCUUGGAUGUGAAGGUGAGUGCGGCAGAGGUACGAUCGUGGCCAGUGGGAAGGCAACAACGAGCUAGCGCCGUCUUGCAAGAAAGAGCAGGACGGGUUGUGGCCACGGCGGCCUUGACGCGCGGGCGAAGAAGCAGGGCAACAAGGCGAAGGCCGCUCAGUGGUGACCCGACGGUGACUCUCGGCGGAGCGAGGCCGUGGCCAUGGCGGCCGAAUCAUGGGCGUGGCAGGCCCGGGGCGGGUCAAGGCGCGAGCUCGUGCUGACAGACGCGGCGGCUCGGCGCGAGGCUGCGGCAGAGGCGGCUAAACGAGGCCGGGGCUCAUUCGCCAUCGACUUGGCGAAAACGGCUUGAGGCCGGGGUGCCCGUGGCGGAGACGAACCGGGGCGGUUGACCCCGAGUCCACGCCCAUAUGCGACCCAGCGCCGUAGCCUUUUGCCUUGUAGUUUUGAAAACCGGAGAUCGAUCCGAUCUUGCAUCGGUUAAUCAUAUGAAAGAAAAUUCCUCAUUCGACUUUCAUUAGAGAUCGGUGCCUCGUCUCAUCGGACAUUGAAGACCGUACUCAGUAUGUAUACGCCCUGAUUGAUCUGAUGUUUUAAACAAUGAAAUAUUAGCACGUCUCUUGCCAGAAUCACAACCAUUGCCGAUGACGGAAUUUGCGCAUGCCCAAACGUGAAUCGGCCGGAUACGAUCUUGAUGAAGUUGAAGUGGACGAAGCCACGACUCCGGCGCGUAAACGUCCCAUGGACGGAGUAAUUUUUUUUCCUGAUCUCGAUUCAUGAACUCAAAGACGAUGUAGAUCCUUUCCAAUCUGAUCUUCAUCCGAAAAUUGUGAACUUCUCGAACCCUAAGAGAGAUCCCUACAAGAAUUCAACACCACCGUGCGCGAGCCCCACGGUGGGCGCCAACUGUCGUGGAAUUGUCACGGCAGAUGUCCUAGUGUGAGGAGGACUUAGUCGUGAGGCCAACGCAUCUAUGUGGUAGCUUGAGAGGGGUUGAUCGGAAUCGAGAGACGCAACACAAGACAAGGAUUUAGACAGCUUCGGGUCCCGGGAAACAUCAUCUGGUAACAACCCUACAUGCUGUUUGUGGCUAGGUCUUAUUAUGCUCAUGAGUCGCUGCAUAAACCGGCUCUCCUCAAGUUGUGUCUAGCCUUACCAGUUAUUUUCCUGUCCCUCUUGGGGUGCCCUGCCCCUCCUUAUAUAUGUUGAAGGGCGGGUUACAUGACUAGUCCUUGUAGGAUUAGGAUUACUCUAUUACAAGUGGAGUCGUAGUCUUGCUUCCUUUGUAAGGGAAUAUUCCUUAUGCCUUUCCUCGUAAGCCGGCCCACCAUAGCAUGAGCCGGCCUUCUGGGCCUUGGGCCUUGUCAUCCAUCUAAAACACCCACCAGGUCACCAGUGAGUCACCAGGCUAGUGAGUCGGCAGACCAGUGAGCCGCCAGACCCGUGAGUCGCCAGUCCUCCGGCGGGUUAACGGUGAAGCGCCAAGUCCUAGCCGGGUCUUAACUCCGGCCGGGUCAUACCGCGGGGUAUAUCCCCGACAAGAGGCGAAUGGCAAAUAAUGUAAUGCAAGAGAUGAGAGUUUAUGAUGGAUACUUGGUAUAACUUGGCUUGGCGUAGAUCUCCCCGGCAACGGCGCCAGAAAUUCUUCCUCCUACCUCUUGAGCUUGCGUUGGUUUUUUCCUUAAAGAGGAAAGGAUGAUGCAGCAAAGUAGAGUAAGUAUUUCCCUCAGUUUGAGAACCAAGGUAUCAAUCCAGGAGGAGACAAUGCACAAGUCACCGAAUACCUGCAAAAACAAUCAACAACUUGCACCCAACGCGAUAAAGGGGUUAUCAAUCCCUUGACGGUUACUUGCAAAACUGAGAUCUGGGAAAUGAUAUAAACCCCAUCUUUUUAUAAACCCCAUCUUUUUAUAAACCCCUUGUCAAUCCCUUGUCGAGGGAUAAACUCAAGCAAUAUGAUAUAAACCCCAUCUUUUUAUCCUCGAUGGCAACAACACAAUACGUGCCUUGAUGCCCCUACUGUCACUGGGAAAGGAUACCGCAAGAUUGAACCCAAAGCUAAGCACUUCUCCCAUUGCAAGAAAAACCAAUCUAGUUGGCCAAACCAAAUCGAUAGUUCUAAGAGACUUGCAAAGAUAUCAAAUCAUGCAUAUAAGAAUUUAGAGAAGAUUCAAAUAAUAUUCAUAGAUAAGCUGAUCAUAAAUCCACAAUUCAUCGGAUCUCGGCAAACACACUGCAAAAAGGUAUUACAUCGGAUAGAUCUCCAAGAACAUCGAAGAUAACAUCGUAUUGAGAAUCAAAGAGAGAGAAGAAGCCAUCUAACUACAAGCUAUGGACCCGUAGGUCUGAGGUAAACUACUCACGCUUCAUUGGAAGGGCAAUGGUGUUGAUGUAGAAGCCCUCCAUGAUUGAAUCCCCCUCCGGAAGGACGCCGUAAAAGGCCCCUAGAUGGGAUCACACGGGUACAGAAGGUUGCGACGGUUGAAAAGUGUUCUCGUGGCUCCCUCCAUUGGUUUUGGGAUAUAUGAGAAUAUAUAGGAGGAAGAAGUAGGUCUGUGGAGUCACGAGGGGCCCACAAGAGUUGGGAGCGCGUCCUACCCCCCUAGGAACGCCCUCCGUCCUUGUGGCCGCCUCGUGGUUUCUCUGACUUGCACUCCAAGUCCUCUGGAUGUCUUCUGGUCCAAGAAAAAUCAUCGCGAAAAUUUUAUUACGUUUGGACUCUGAUUGGUAUUCCUUUUCUGUGAAACUCUAAAACAAGGAAAAAACAGAAACGAGAACUGGGCUCAAGGUUAAUAGGUUAGUCCCAAAAAUCAUACGAAAUAGCAUAUUAAUGCAUAUAAAACAUCCAAAACAGAUAAUAUAAUAGCAUGGAACAAUAAAAAAUUAUAGAUACGUUGGAGACGUAUCAACGGGCAGUUGAACAGGUCACGUGUGGUCAGUUUGACCUGUCGCAUCCGAUGUGGCGUGGACGACCGCGGUCAGUGACGCUACGCACCGUUGCACCGUCAUUAAACCGAAUAAGUGUGACAACUGGCUGGGGUCUCCUAUGAUGGCGGUUCCGAUGGCCGCUAUUAGUGUCAGCGUUACACCGACCACCGGCCUCACCCGCCAGGCGACUAUAAAACCCAUCCUCGGCCGCCCUCCCCCGCCACACCACUUCUCCCUCCCCCUGGCACAGUAGUUCUGCCUUCCGUCCUCCUCGAUGCACUUCUCUUCAGCCAGCUUCACCUGACGAUGUCCUCCGGCAUGCAGAACCAGCCGUGGAAGCGUACGACAUGCUGGAGGCGGAAGAUCUCAACUCCUACGACAUCCUCAUGCUGUCGGUUUACAGGCCUGUCGAGGACAUGGCACAUAAUGCCGAUGGGUACGCGGUGGAGGGACUCCCCUUCCCCCGCAACAAACUUCAAUGUCAUCUCGACGGCCAGUGGAACGCUUGAGGCUUCCGGGAGUUUUGGGAAAGUCGUAACUGGGACGACAUGCAACAAGUUCCGACGGCGUGACAUUCACGCCGCGCACCCAUGCCUCAGGUGGUGCGCGCUGACCCACAUGUGAUUCCGGUUGCACGUGAGGCGCGUGCCGGAAGCCUUGUGCCUCCAGCAGCACUCUAGGAUGUGACAGUUACAUAUUGAAUCUCAACUGAAUAUCCAUCUCUACUCCAUGCGUACGCUUUAAUACUAUUGUCUUUGCUCAAGGUAAUGCUACUAAGUUGGUUAAUUUUUUUUCUAUUGCUACUGUUACUUUGUUAUCACUACUAUAAUAUUAUUGUGCUGCUAAUAAAUUGCUGCAAGGAAGUGAUUCUCAGGUGUGGUUGAAUUGACGACUCAACUGCUAAGGCUUAAAAAUAUUGUUUUAGCUCUCCUAUGUCGAAUCAAUAAAUUUCGGUGAAAUACUACCCUCGAAGAUUGUUGUGAUCCCUUAUACUUGUGGGUCAUCAGUCAUCAAUUAUGAGUUAUUAGUAAGUAAAAGUGUGAUUCCAUUUAAAGUGUGCCUCCAUCUGUGAGAUAAAAAAUGAAAAGAGGCCAAAAAUCCCAUGAAAAAAGGCAAAAAAGAGCUCACCAAAAAAUAAGGGAAAAGGAGAGAGUGGCACACUACUAUCCAUAAUAGAAACGCGUGCUUCAAAGUAGCACCAUGUACUUCAUAUAGAGAGUUAUCAUAUUUUUCAUUUUCAUAGUAGUGGGAUCUUUUACAUUAUGGAACAUGACUUGCAUAUUCCAAUGAUGAGCUUCUUCAAAUGCUUGAGGCCGUGAGAAAGGAGUUGGAUGCACACACACUUAGUUCAUAUUGAGAACUUUCAUAUACUAGUGAUUCCGUUGCAUCGCAAUCUCUAUUCCUCUCACUAUAUAUCAAUUAUAAGGCCUAUCCAUUGCCGAACGAUAAGAUGCAUUAGUGUGAGACUUUCUUACCUUUUAUCUUCUUAUAAAAGCGCCAUCAUCAUUCUAUUUUUCAUCUAAGUGCGAAGACCAAUGCUUGUAGCUCGGGCAUUAAGCAAAGUGUUGAGUAGUUGAAAAGGGCUUUCAUGGAUUUGGUGACUUGACUGAAGCACGGGGUUGUGUUAUGAUAAGAUGUUUAAAUAUGAUAGUCUUGAGUAAUUGGAACAAUGAAAAUGAUACAUAAUAGUAUUGGUUGUUAUUACAUGAAAACACUGAACCAUGAAAAGCAAGAGUAAUUUUGUUUGCACAUUUCGAUGUUACUUGCGUGUUAUCAAUUAUAGAUCAUUGCCUUGAAUCACUUUUAUCUCGAUUUCACAAACGCAUUACAUCAUUUGAUCAAGUUUAUGCUAGGUAUCACUACACAUAAAAAUUAUCUUUGUUUUAUUAUCUACCCACUCGAGGACGAGCAGGAUUAAGCUUGGGUAUGUUGAUACGCCUCAAACGUAUGUAUAAUGUCAGUUUUUAUCAAAUAUGCCCGCCAUUUGCAAUACAAAAAACAAAUUGACCACGCCUACAUACUGCGAUGACGGUUAUGGAAGACAUAAUUGUCAUCCACGUCAGCACAACAAUGGGACCACAUGUUAGAAUCAUUGACCGGUCAGACGACACAUCGUCACUGAAAAUAGAAUGCCUGGUCCCAUAUGAAAGCAGCCACAUCAGCAUCUUCAUGGCCCAUAUGUUAGCACCAUUGACCGGUUAAACUGACGUCCGACUUAUUAAUGGCGGGACCGUCUGCGAUAAAACCGAUGGGGGACCCACAUGGUAGCAUCCACGGCAACAACUACUGGCCCCACCUGUCAGAAUCUUUGACCGAUCAAACCAGCGAAUCGAUCACUGGUGACGAGAUUAUCGUUGCCAAAAAGAUCUUAGGUGAUAGAUUGGGUAUCAUAGGUGACAAUCUGGGCCGUCAACGAAAACGACAAUCAGUGACAUUUUUUGGCCUGCCACUUAAAAUGCGAUCUUGCGCGAGAAAAAAAGUGGUACCGUCAAAAUUUUAUUUUCCAUGAUGCGCUUCGGUGACGGUGGGGUGACAGCCAGAGAACAUCACGUGUGUAUUUUCCGUGACGAAAAAGGGUUAUACGUGACACAAGUGAAACAUCACAAAAUAGAGAAAAUUUUCUAGUGAAGAAGUAGAUGAUUAGAUGAUUGGUUCUCCUAGUUUAGUAUGAGUAUAAUUGUUUACUAAGGUGUGCGCAAAUGUUGUGUAUAGUCAUUGAUGUAAUUGGAUGUUUAAUUUGAUUAUGCAAUCUUGUUCGUAUAAGUAUAUAUGUUUUUGUUCUGUAGACAAAGUAUAGAUGUUGUGCAGAUAGAGCAAAUCAAAUCGCACAAACUAAACUACGGAACCCAUCAGUGAUGAUUUCAUCAAUCGCUGAAAAUUAUAUACCAGCAAGAGUUUGCCCACAACACACACAACUUAUUAGUAGGAACCAAAUGUGUUAUCGGUCUUCCUCUAUAAUUCUGAUUACUACUGUUUGCCAGGUAUCAUACACAUCUAGUUAAGUCAAAUCACUUCUGUUGUUUUGGCUCAUCGCAAACAGUUGAUUCGAGUGACAUGUAUGCCGUCUAUCGCACGCACCUUGAUCUGGUUAAUCGUUUAUGUUGUUUUCUCUCACCGCAAACAGUUCAUCCAAGUGACAUGUAUACCGUCUAUCGCACACAAUUGAUCUGGCUAACCCUUUUUGUUGGUUUGGUUCAUCGCAAAUAAUUCAUCUGAAUGACCUGUAUGUUGUCUAUUGCACACAAAUUCAUCUGGAUAACCGUUUCUGUGGUGUUGUCCCAUCAUAAAAAACUUGUAUGGACUAACUGUAUGCCAUGUAUCGCACACGCAACUCUUUGCUGAAUCGUGCUUGAUGGAUCCGCCAUCGCACAUAGCUCAUUUAAUUGGUUACUGUUUUAUUACCAUACCGUUUGUGAUUCAUGCAUCACACUGAUCGAAUGGUCUCCUAUACAUGUGUCGUGUUAGGACCUUCCUGUAGUAAUGCUCUAUCACUAUCUAUUUGUUUUUAAUCUUAUAACUAGCAAGACAAGGGGCCUGACAACCCCCUUGCCAUGUUGGGCGCAAGCAAUUUGAUUUGUUUGUGUGCGGGUGAUGUUUACGUUGUUAGUUUGCUGACUCCUACUGAUUCGAUAAACCUUGAUUCUUAGCUGAGAGAAAUACUUUCUGAUGUUGUGCUACAUCACCUUUCCCCCUCGGGGAAUCCAACAACUGCUACAGGAGUAGCAGCGUACAUGGCAUGACCGAAUCCGACACAGGCUAACGGCUGAGCACACCAUGAAACGCGCAAGACGGAUCAUGUGGUCACAACGAAAAAUGUCAACUGAAUCCACAUGGUGAAUUCCGACGCUCGUAGGUCGACCAGCCUUCCCAUCGCGUACAGAGUAGCGUGGGAGCACUACCAAAAAAAGACACAUCCGUGACAUUUUGGGCCGAACGAAUUUUUUUUCUGUCAUACUUAUGACACUUCUAUGAUGAUAAUUGUGACAAAAUCCGGUAUCAUCAUAGAUGUGGUGGGGUCCUACUUCUAUGAAAAAAAAUCAUGACAGAAAAUGGGCUUUUCGUCCUUGGCGGGCCGGAGACGCAAUGGCAUGACAUUCUUUGGGCCGUCCAUGAAAGAAAAAACCAUGGUAGAAGCGAGGGCGAGGAAAAUAUCGGGGUGUUCCCGGUUACGGUGGGUGGUCGGGGCCGAGCGAUGCACGUUUCUCUCAUACACGGACGCGCGUGGGUGCGAGGCAUUGGGCUCUAACUGAACCCGAGCGAGGCGUUGGGCUCUAACUGAACCCAAGUGAUUGCACUGCAGGCUACGCGUUACUGAACCCGAGCGAUCAAUCGAUGGCUGUUAACUGAACCCGACCGAGCGAUUCCUUCGCUACUGCUGCUAACUGAAGCAGAUCGAUGCUGCCUCUGGAUGAACAGUGAGCGUUGCUGGGGGGUUCGGAUGAAUAGUUCCCGGUGGGGGUGGAUGAACAGGACCCCGUGGUGUUGCCUCUGGAUGAACAGGACCCCGAUCGAUCGAGCCGGUUGGGGCUGGAUGAAAAGGACCCCGUGGAGGGCAGGAUGAACAGGACCACCUCGUGGAGGGCUGGAUGAACAGUAGACGGUGGAGGGCUAGAUGAACAGUAGCCCGUGGUGGGGUGGUUGAACAGGAGCCCGUGGAGAGGGCUGGUUGAACAGUAGCCAGUGGAGUAGCGCGCGGUGGAGGCUGGAUGAACAGGAGCCCGUGGAUGAACAGUCGCAGGUGGAGGCUGAGGAGGUCGACAGUGGAUGAACAGUAGCCCGUGGAGGUUGGAGGGGGUCGACGGUGGAGAUGAACAGUAUCCCGUGGAGUCCCGUUUUGUGGUACGCCACACCCCUCCCGAUGAACUGGACCCCCGUUUCGACCGUAGCGUUCCAACACAAGUCCGUUUCCCCCGUUUUGCGGUACGCCACACCCCUCCCGAUGAACAGGACCCCCGUUUUGACCGUAGGACGUCCGUUUCCUCCAUUUUGCGGUACGCCAGACCCCUCCCGAUGAACUGGAUCCCGUUUCGAACGUGGCCGGUCGAACACAAGGCCUUUUCCUUCGUUCUGCGGUACGCCAGGCCUCAUUUCCAUCGGCUGUUCCGUCCAAGCCCUGCUGAUGAACACGACGACACAUUCCGUUCCGACCCAGCCGGUUGGCUCCCCAUGAGCACGACGACAACGCAGUUUCUCCGUUCCGACCCAGCCAUGUACAAGAGCCCUGGCCGUACGUAUGCACGAGUAGGCGUUCGAGACCCUGCCCGUAUGUACGUACGUGGCCGUAUUUUCUUUCUUGCAUACUGGCCACUGUAUGUAUGUGUACAUGCUACGUGGGCGCCUAUACUACGACACGUGCGCGCCUCUACAUCGACCAGUAUGUACGUAGACGUUCGCGACCAGAAUGAGAACGCUACGUACGCUUCGACCAGGUGGGUCCUGUCGGUGUAAAAACCGGCGGAUCUCGGGUAGGGGGUCCCGAACUGUGCGUCUAAGGCGGAUGGUAACAGGAGGCGGGGGACACGAUUUUUACCCAGGUUCGGGCCCUCUCGAUGGAGGUAAUACCCUACUUCCUGCUUGAUUGAUCUUGAUGAUAUGAGUAUUACAAGAGUUGAUAUACUAUGAGAUCGUAGAGGCUAAACCCUAGAGGCUAGCCUAUGGUAUGAUUGUUGUUAUCCUACGGACUAAACCCUCCGGUUUGUAUAGACACCGGAGGGGGCGAGGGUUACACAUAGUCGGUUACAAGGGAGGAGAUCAACAUAUCCGUAUUGCCAAGCUUGCCUUCCACGCCAAGGAGAGUCCCAUCCAGACACGGGACGAAGUCUUCAAUCUUGUAUCUUCAUAGUACAACAGUCCGGCCAAAGGAUAUAGUCCGGCUGUCCGAGGACCCCCUAAUCCAGGACUCCCUCAGUAGCCCCUGAACCAGGCUUCAAUGACGAUGAGUCCGGCGCUCAGAUUGUCUUCUUCGUUGCAAGGCGGGUUCCUCCUCCGAAUACUCCAUAGAAGAUUUUGAACACAAGGAUAGUGUCCGGCUCUGCAAAAAAAAUUCCACAUAACACCGUAGAGAGAAUAAUAUUUCCACAAAUCUAAUCUGCUGACGCAUGUUGCAGCAUGACAUCACACCACAGCCCGGUCAUUAUUCAAACCAUUUUUUCACAACCAUCCACUGCACAUAUCGCGAGGCGGUUUCCUUGGCACGUCUUGUCGAAGUAGAGAUCGUGUCCCCUUAUCACAGGAUUCUCAUCAAUACAGGUAUGGGUAACCCAACCGAGCCAUCAAUUACGGCGCUUGGGGAAUAAGCGGUUUUACCAGGUAGGUGGGGAGGCGCAUAGCUUCUUCCACCCUUACAAAGGGACAAGGAUUCACCCUUUUUACCCACGCCUUCUUCCUCCUUGAUCAUCCAUUCUUGCGCACUCGAGCUCCAGCGCCCAAGUUCGCGUUUUUCUCCUCACACCACUCCAAGCAUGUCCGGAGCGGGAGGCAAGUGGAUGGUCUCCUCCGUUACGGAGGAGAACAUCACAAAGCUGCGGGGUGCCAGAUAUCUGGCUGCGGAUAUCACGCACCGGCUGCCAGAUGCGGGGCAGAUCAUCCCUACUCCAGAACCCCAUGAAAGGGUGGUUUUCCUUACCCACUUCGUCCGCGGACUAGGAUUUCCCCUCCACCCGUUUGUCCGCACGCUCAUGUUGUACUACGGGCUGGACUUUCACGAUCUGGCCCCCAAUUUCAUCCUCAACAUCUCGGUGUUUAUCAUCGUGUGCGAGGCCUUCCUCCGCAUCAAGCCCCACUUCUGCCUGUGGGUGAAGACCUUCAAUGUUAAACCGAAGGUGGUGGUUGUCCAGCAAGCGGAGUGCGGAGGUGCCAUGGUGGGCAAAAUGCCCAACGUCACCUGGCUCGAAGGCUCCUAUGUGGAGACCAUAAAGGGGUGCAAUCGGGAUGGUUCUACAUCACCGAGCCGCGCGACACCAACUGGGUGGCGGCCCCCAAAUUUUGAUCCGGAAUCCCCAUGCGGCUCACCUCCUGGAAAGAGAAGGGCCUGUCCUGGGGUUCCCCGGUAGAGCUGACCGGACUCCAGACAUGCAUCAAGAACAUGAUGAGCAAGAAAAUCUAGCUCGUCAACGUGGUCCAAGUCAUGCUCUUCCGCCGGAUCCUCCCGUGUCAAAGGCGGGCGUUCAAUUUGUGGGAGUUAGACCCGGCCAAGCACCAGACGUUGUGAGAGCUCUUCGACACGACACACAAGGAUGUCUGGAAGGUGUUGUUCAAGGACGCCGAGGUACCUCCUCCCCUUACCGAGGACCGCGGACUCAGCGCAAAGCGCCAUGCCAAUCCGGUAAGUCGUUGAUAUCUCAUAAGAUGUUCAUUUUCCCCAGCUUAACCAUGUGCGGGAUCUAAGCUUCCACACUAUUUAACAGGACUGGGUAGAGACAGCGGAGCAGAUCGAUUGUCCAGCCCCCUGCCCGAAGAUCCAGCAGACGCUCUACUAAUGGAGAUGCUGGUUCCGGCGCCUUAUGAAGUGCCAGCGAAGAAGGCCAAGAAGAAGGCCACGGGGACCAGGAAGGGUCUCCGGCGCAAGGUUAUAUCGGACUCAUCGUCCGAAAACACCGAGACGCACUCCUCCCACGAAAACGAGGAGGAGGAAGAGGAAAGUUCUCCCCCCAUGCCUGGGGAGACAAGAAAAGGAAGGCCGCCCCAUCUGGGGAGUCCGAAGGGUCCAAGAAGGGAAGGACUCUCCUUCCAGACUGCUCCACGACGGCCGCCUAUAGCGACGACGAGUGGUUGCCCAGGGACAAGCCCCUGGCGAAGUCGUAAGUAUCCGGAUACCAUAAUAAUUCUUGGUAUGUUUUAUUGAACUGCUUCUCAUCACGCCGAACAUGAUUAUGCAGUCCGUCCCGAGCCCGUAUCAAUGUAUCCUCAUCGGAUGGUUCUUUGGACCCGUCGGAUCUGAACAGCGAUUCACUUCCGACCGCCUCCUCCCCUCGCCCUACAGACAACGUCGAAGUGUUGUCUCAAAGGGCACCGAGCCGAGGGGAGGUAGUCCUGGAGGCGCCUCAAGGCGACAUUCCGGAUGCUGGGCGCAAGGGGAGCAAGACUCCCAUGGGCUCUGAUGGUGGGGGCAGCAAAUUCGGCCCCCAGCCGAAUACUGCGCCGGAACCUCCAGUGGUUCCGGACUCUGUCAGGGAGCCCCUCGCUAAAAGGGGCAAACCGCCUAUGCCGAUGGCCUCUGUCUAUCCAGAGGCAUCGGACAACUUGCUGGAAGCGCUUCGCGGCGCUUCCAUCGACGAAGAACACCGCACUAUUAUGAGUGCGGUGGUCAAGAAAGUUCAGUCCGCCAAGAGCGGACUGACUGAAGCCUGUGCCAGCCUCCUAACAGGCUUUGAGGUAAGUAACCAGAUUAUAAGAGAAUGUUACCGGGACACUAGCCCCUGAUGCUCUGUUUGGCGUUUGCGAAGAAAGGCCGAAUAGAGGAUCAAAUAAUAACUGCAGGAGUCUAAUCGAAAUAUGUCUAUGCGCAUAUGCAGGCUUCACUGCUAGCCGCUGCCGCACGUACUGCAGAGGUCGCCGCACUGAAGCGGAAUCUUGAGCGGUCCAAGGAAGAUCUCGGCCUUGCCAAAAGGCAGCUCGAAGAGAACAAAGGUAAGUUAUACCCCGUCUGUAUAUUAUAAAAAAUUUGGUUUUAGAAUAAUAGGAUUGUCACAAAUUUUGCUAGGGGCCACGACCGAAGUGGCGACCCUGCAGAAGGCGCUAUCCGAGGCCGAAGACAAAGCGGCCAAGGAGCAAAUUGAGCGAGAAAAGCAAGAGGCCCGGGUGUGCGAGGUGCAGCAAGAGCUCCAGGCUCUCGUCAAAAAACAUGAGUCCUUGGAGCUUGACUCUAAGACGCGAGAGUCCGAGCUUGCGAAGGCCCUCGAAAGCGCACAACAUGCCAAGGCCAAAGCCCAAGAGGCCCUCCAGGAAAUUGAGGCGAUUAAGAAGAUAGCGGCGGGUAAGGCAUUCAUUAUGCAAAACAAGCAUGUGAAAGAAAAUUUCCUUUUACUUACCCGAGUUUGGAGCUCUCCAGGAGCGUUCGUAGAUCUACCCUGCAGUGUGUCAGAUGCCGCGGACUUCUACCGGGCCGAGGGUGGGAGCUCGACAGAGAAGUUGUUCUGGUCUCAGUAUACUGGGACCGAACACCCCAUGCCCUUGAGCGACCAGCUGAAGAAACUGGUCGAGCUCCACAAGGCGGCCGAACAGGCCAUGAAGGGUCUUAUAGUCCGGAUGUGGCCUGGCGAUCCCCUGCCUGAUAGCUACUUCGGCCUGGUGAGGCGGCUUGUGAAUGCCUGCCCACGGCUUGAAGUCAUAAAGCGGUCCGUCUGCAUCGAGGGUGCGCGCAGGGCUUUUGCCCGGGCAAAGAUGCACUGGGCGAAGCUGGACGCCGAGAAGCUGGCGAAGGAGGGACCGCCGGAAGGCAAGGAGCAUCGCCACCCCGAAAUGUAUUAUAACAGUGUCCUGAAGGGUUCUCGCCUUGUGGUGGAGGAGUGUGCUAAGGAUGUAAUAUUCGAAUGAAUGUACCCAUGUGAUCCUGUAAUAUGAAACGAGUUCAUUUGCGCUAUGCAACGCUUGUGAAUUUAAAAUAUUACCUUUUGUGUGGCCGUUUAUGAAAUCUGAGAGUUGGCCAGUCGUCGGCUUCUGCCCCCAUGUAACUAGUACUGAGGUGUUCGGGAUAAACCUGAGCACUCUUUAUCCCAAUUUUGGGUCCUUCGAGGGAGGUGUUCAGCACAACGAACCAGGCAAUCGGACUAUAAGGCUUUAUCACUCUCACUUAGCCAUAGAAGUCUACAAUUUUAAAUUUUGGCGAAGCCCCUAGUAUUCGGAAGGCCGAAUUUGGGGCGCUAUAUACGCCUAAGUCGGGUAAGCCCGACUCCUCGCCCGAAGCGGAAAAAGUCUUUAAGGACUUGAGACCUCUCGAACAGCGACCAGCUCUCGCCUUAUCAUGACAGUCAGUUUUCGGCUUUUUCUACGGAGGUGCUCGUCCGGAAGAACCGGGACACAAUCGCAGUAGUUCUCCCAACGCUACCUUAGCCGAUAUUGCGGAACAUAAGGUACCAAAACAUGGGAGCCGUGCAAACCCAACUAUUGACCCAAGACAUGAUUCGGAGCUGAUGCAUAUAAUGCUAUAAGUUCGGGGUGCUGCACUGUCGAAAGUGUUCGGACUUCUCACGCCGUGUUAAGGGGUAUACUGAAGCCCCUGGCGUACUGGUCGUACCAGAAUGUACGGGAGCAAUUUGUCGUAAAUAAACAGACAAGGAAAAAGGGAAGGGAAAUGCAAUAAUAGACUAAUGCUAUGCAUUGUUAUUUAAAAUAAUACGUCAAAGCGUACUGAUACAAUUAGUGCAAUAAGCAAAAAAUAGGACUAUUUGAGAUGUCCUAUCCAAGGGCAAGCUGCGUAUGGGUAUUUAAAACGGGUACUUCGAUCGUUAUUAGAGACCACCUGGGUAUUCCCUUGUACGUCUUAGCUUCUUGCCUCCUUGGUUUUUCCUUCCCGUAAUGUGUCCAGCAAUCAGACUGCCGAAGAGGGGCUUCCAGAGAGUAAGGUCCUGAAAGAGAAAAAAGAUAAAGAUAUACAUCCCCUGAGGCGGUUGAGCCGCAUUGUGGGAUGUGCCCUGGUCGUGCCCCCACCUAUGCCCAUGGUAUUUUUAGUGCGUAAUUAUGUACGCGUGGCACAGAUUUCGUCGCUUGACUGGGACUAGGACGGGGGCCGAAUUGCUAGGCGAGCUCUGAACGUGCCAGGCGAUCCUGUUGCAGGUUAAUCCGGAUUCGCUUGAAGGUAUCCGGGGGCUUUAUCGCCGAAUUGGCGGUUUGCCUUAAAAGGCUGCUUUGUGCCUCAGCUGCGAGGGCCGCAGUGUGCUCCUCCGUGCGGAGCGAGCGUUCUGUGUUUCCAUUGACUGUUAUAACCCCACGAGGUCCUGGUAUUUUGAGCUUGAGGUAUGCGUAAUGCGGUGCCGCAUUGAAUCUGGAAAAUGCGGUUCGCCCGAGCAGUGCGUGAUAGCCACUGCGGAACGGGACGAUAUCGAAGAUUAACUCCUCGCUUCGGAAGUUGUCCGGAGAUCCGAAGACCACUUCCAGUGUGAUUGAGCCCGUGCAAUGGGCCUCUACACAUGGGAUGACACCUUUAAAGGUGGUUUUAGUGGGUUUGAUCCUCGAGGGGUCUAUACCCAUUUUGCGCACUGUAUCCUGAUAGAGCAGGUUUAGGCUGCUGCCGCCGUCCAUAAGGACUCGAGUGAGGUGAAAUCCGUCGAUGAUGGGGUCAAGGACCAAUGCGGCAGAUCUGCCAUGACGGAUACUAGUGGGGUGGUCCCUGCGAUCGAAGGUGAUCGGACAAGAGGACCAUGGGUUGAACUUUGGGGCGACUGGCUCCAUUGCAUAGACGUCCCUUAGUGCACGCUUCCGUUCCCUCUUGGGAAUGUGGGUUGCGUAUAUCAUGUUCAUCGUUUUCACUUGUGGGGGGAACCUCUUCUGUCGUCCUGUGUUCGGCGGCCGGGGCUCCUCCUCGUCGUCGCUAUGCAGCCCCUUGUCCCUGUUUUCGGCAUUCAACUUGCCGGCCUGCUUGAACACCCAGCAUUCUCCGUUGGUGUGAUUGGCUGGCUUAUCGGGGGUGCCGUGAAUUUGACACGAGCGAUCGAGUAUGCGGUCCAAACUGGACGGGCCCGGAUUGCUUCUUUUGAACGACUUCUUUCGCUGACCGGAUGUAGAGUUAUAUGGCUCAAGUCAUCAGCAUCCGGUAGUCGCACAUAAGUGCCCUGGAAGUUGUUAAGGAAUGCAUCUUCCAAAUCCUCCCAACUACCAAUGGAGUCUGCUAGCAAGCUAUUCAGCCAAUGCCGAGCUAGUCCUUUGAGUUUUAGUGGGAGGUACUUGAUGGCAUGUAGAUCAUCACCGCGAGCCAUGUGGAUGUGGAGGAGGAAAUCCUCGAUCCAUACCGCGGGAUUUGUUGUACCAUCAUAUGAUUCAAUGUUUACGGGUUUAAAACCCUCUGGGAAUUCGUGAUCCAUUACUUCAUUAGUGAAGCAUAGGGGGUGUGUGGCGCCUCUGUGCCGGGCUAUAUCACGACGCAGUUCAUACGAGUCUUGUCUGCUGUAUUCGGCCCGGCCAGAUUUGCUUUUAGUGUAUCCAGUGUGACGAUCAUCGUCACGCGUUGGGGCGCGACCCCGUGAUCUGUAGAUCGAUCUUGCAUUUUUUGCUUUGUUUUCCAACACGCCUCGCAGGUCCUGCGUGUUGCCCCGGGCCUUGGUAUUUUUGUUUGGAUGGCGGCAGGGUGCGGGGCUGGACUUCGGGCUGAUAUGCCUCUGUCUCGGCCACGAGGUGGCCGAUCAGCCGGAUCAUACGCUGGUGAUGUGGGUUUCAAUGCUUCCUCCUCCAGUUGAGGUAGCAACCUGCGCUUUGGGUAACUCUUGGUUGGGCGCUCGAGUUCAUAUUCCUCGGCUGCCAGGACUUCAGUCCAUCUGUCCGCUAGCAGAUCCUGAUCAGCUCGAAGUUGUUGUUGCUUUUUCUUCAGGCUGUUUGCCGUGGCUAUAAGCCGGCACUUGAAGCACUCCUGCUCGACGGGAUCCUCAGGAACGACAAAUUCUUCGUCGCCGAGGCUCACUUCGUCUUCGGAGAGAGGCAUGUAAUUGUCAUCCUCUGAUUCUCCGUUUGCUGCCUGUUCCGGAGGGCUAGCUUGUUCAUCCUCCCGCUCGAGGUCUGGCUCGAGGGGAUUGUCGUCAUCUUCGGCACUAUCUGGAGUGUUAUUGUCUCUUGUGCCGGUAUCACUGCUUUUGCUAUGGAGGGACUUAGAGUGGCGCCGCUGACAUCGGUGCUUGGAUUGCUUCUUGGAGGGAUUAUCCCCCGUUGCCUUAUCGCCAUCGCCUUCUUUGGGGGUGUCCAUGUAUAUAUCAUACGAUGAGGUGGCAGUCCAGCGCCCUGUGGGCGGUGGUUCUUGUUCGUCUCCUGCAUCGUCGUCCAUACCGUCGAUGUCUUCGGGGCCAAAGUCGAGCAUGUCGGUUAAAUCGUCGACAGUGGCUACUAAGUGGGUGGUGGGUGGGGCGCGAAUUUCUUCGUCGUCCGUAUCCCAUUCUAGCCGGACAUAGUUCGGCUAAGGGUCUCCUGAGAGGGAGAGAGACUUCAACGAGUUUAGUACGUCGCCAAAAGGCGAGUGCUGAAAGAUAUCCGCGGAGGUGAACUCCAUGAUCGAUGCCCAGUCAGAUUUGGUGGGCACGGACGCAUGCGGCUCGGAGUCCGUGGCCGGGGACGAAUCCAAUGGUUCGGCAGCACGGGUCUCGUAGGAGGUGAAGUCAGUAUUCGGCUCUAUCGCUGCUAAGUGUGCGGCCUCCGUGGCGGGGUCCAUCCACCCGUCCUCAGAUGGUGCAAUUUGUUCCGGAUUGAGGGCCGGAGUGGUUGCAGGUGUGAUCUCCCGAACACUGUCCGACGGCAGAGCUAAAUCAUGCUCGUCGUGAUUGUGCGGCGCACCUGACAUGGGCUUGAAUCCGUCAAAGAUCAUGUCUCCGCGGAUGUCAGCAGUAUAAUACAAGUUUCCAAACCUGACCUGAUGGCCAGGGCGUAGCUAUCGAUCUGCUCCAGAUGGCCAAGCGAGUUGGCCCGCAGUACGAAGCUGCCGAAUACGAAGAUCUGUCCGGGGAGGAAAACCUCACCCUGGAUCGCACCGUUGCCGAUGAUCGAAGGAGCCAUCGAGCCUUAUGGUGACGGCACAGUGGAACUCUCAUUGAAAGCACCAAUGUCGGUGUCAAAACCGGCGGAUCUCGGGUAGGGGGUCCCAAACUGUGCGUCUAAGGCGGAUGGUAAUAGGAGGCGGGGGACACGAUGUUUACCUAGGUUCGAGCCCUCUCGAUGGAGGUAAUACCCUACUUCCUGCUUGAUUGAUCUUGAUGAUAUGAGUAUUACAAGAGUUGAUAUACUAUGAGAUCGUAGAGGCUAAACCCUAGAGGCUAGCCUAUGGUAUGAUUGUUGUUAUCCUACGGACUAAACCCUCCGGUUUGAAUAGACACCGGAGGGGGCGAGGGUUACACAUAGUCGGUUACAAGGGAGGAGAUCAACAUAUCCGUAUUGCCAAGCUUGCCUUCCACGCCAAGGAGAGUCCCAUCCGGACACGGGACGAAGUCUUCAAUCUUGUAUCUUCAUAGUCCAACAGUCCGGCCAAAGGAUAUAGUCCGGCUGUCCGAGGACCCCCUAAUCCAGGACUCCCUCAGGUCCCGACCGUCACGCACUUCCUUGCGUGAGAAGAUUUAGCUGGUGGGUCCCAGCAGUCAGGGGAGCGAAUCAUUUUUUUUGCCUGGACGCACUUCCUUGCGGGCGAAGAUGUAGCUAGUGGGUCCUAUAGGUCAGGGGGAAACAUUUUUUUGUGAAAUACGGUAGCCCGUCCGGUGGGUCCCCGCUGUAAGGUGGAGGAAUAAUUGUUUUGCACAUAAUAAGGAGGCACUUCCUUGCUGCGGCCGUGGACCCAGCCGUCAGCCUCUCCACAUACAGUCCAUGUCCGAUGGAAGCCGUUCCUUGACCACGUUGACCACGCCGCGCCGAGAGCACCAGGGCGGUCGACGACAGUGAGGCCUAGGAAGGGGACGACGCGGAGCCGGGGAAGACGCGGCAGUGGAUGCCCACGCGUUGAGGAGUAUGAGGGUUCACUGGUUCGCCGCGGUGUGAGGCUGCCAUCGUCGCAGAAUAACAGGGGGUGUGGGUGAGUAGAGGGAUGGCCUGGCCAGCGGUGGGAGUAGUAGGGGGCGGUAAGGCCUCCGCCGCAUCACAGCCGGCCACGGGAGGCAGGAGCACGAGGCACGACCGGCGCUGGUUUGGGCGGCUGAAGCAAGAAGACCAGAGUUUGAAGAAGCACUACGACCGUUGGAUGGACAUCGUACGGUCAGUGGAGCUAGAAUCGUGCAUAUUGACUAAGUUGAAAAAGCCCUCCGUCCCCGUCAACUUAGUAGGCCCACAAGUCAGCCUGCCACUAUACUGGGUCCUAGCUAGCGGGGGCAGUAUUCAUUUUUUUGUGCGUAAUAAGGAGGCACUUCCUUGCGUGCGAAGAUAUAGCUGGUGGGUCCAAGCUGUCAGCGGCGGUAACGUUUUUUUCGCAAAAUACAGAGGCCCUUUCGGUGGGUCCAAGAUGUCAGGUGGAGGAAUCAUUAUUUUGCGUGUAAUAAGGAGGCAUUUCCUUGCGUGCGGCCGUGGACCCAGUUGUCACCCUCUCCACGCACAGUCCACUUCAGAUGCAUGUCAGUCGUUGACCACGUUGACCAGGCCGCGCCGAGAGCACCAGGGCGGUGGACGACGGCGAGGCCUAGGAAGGGAACGACACGGAGGCAGGAAAGAGUCGGAAGUUGUUUCCCACGCGGAGGGGAGUACGACUGUACGAGGGUUUACUGGUUCGUCUGCCAUCACCGGAAAAUAACAGCAGGUGUGGGUGUGUAGAGGGAUGGCUAGGCCAGCGAUGGGAGUACGGCGGGGCGGUGAGGCCUGCGCGGCAGCACAGCCGGCCGCGGGGAGGAGGGAGCAAGCAGUCCUGUCGGCGGUUGUUUGAGCGGCUAGAGCAGGAAGAUCAGAGAUUUAAGAAGCACGACGGCCGUUGGAUGGAAAUCCAACAGUCACUGCUUGUGCGUCAACCUUUUUUUUAGGAAAGCCUCAAAUCUGUGGAAAACAUCAUACAGCCCAUCUGCCAUUAUUUCUAAUAAUUUACAGCCCAUUUGCUAAUUCUUAAGGUUUUUUGGAGCCCAUAUUCUUUUUGUUAGCAUUACAACCCAUAUUGUGGCCACGGUUAAAAAAUUAUACGAAAUUUUGCAUAUUUCAGCGCGGUCCGAACUGUUUUUAAUCCCGAAAUUUCGAGUCACAUUCAAACUGAUUUUAAAAAUAAAUGUAUAUCAAUAUAAAAUCCAACAAAUAGUCCACGCAUAAAAAUCAAUGCAAUUUAAAAUCUCAAAAUGAAAAAAAGAAAUUUGAAACUAAUUGCUGGUUUGAUGUGUUUUAAAAAUGUACAACCAAUUUCUCAUGACUGAUAGGCCAUUUUCUCGGCCAGCCGAAUGAAGCUCUCCUCGUCUUGAAAGAUUUGCAGCCCAACAGGCCUGACAAAGCGACUUACUUGGCAAAUCACAAAAAAAUAGGCUGUGGCCCUGGACCCAGCUGUGGCCGUGGACCCAUCUGUCAGCCUCUCCACGUACAGUACUCUUCCGAUGGAAGUCGGUCAUUGACCACAUUGACCAUGCCGGGCUGAGAGGACCAAGGCGGUGGACGACGGCGAGGCCUAGGAAGGGGACUUGCUGGGCUGGGUGAAAAUAUAAUGUUGGGCUAGACGGAGAAAUGUUAUAAAAAUAGAAACACAUGAUUGCACGUCUAUUACUGCAUUAGGCUAGACGUGGGACAGUUGAGUUGGUUCUAGGGAAAAGUACUGGGAGAAAACUCAGUUUACAUCAAAAAAGAAAGUGGGAGAAAAUUCAGAUAUAGGAUUAAUGAAAACGAAAAAUAAAGGAAGUGGGAAGGUCUAUAAAAUGGUUGGACGAACGACAGGUUUAACGGAAACUUAUGUUGUUUCUAAUAUAUAUAUAUAUAUAUAUAUAUAUAUGUGUGUGUGUGUGUGUGUGUGUGUGUGUAAUAAAAUAAGAUAUAAAUAUAGGUUCAGUUUUUCAUUCUUAUAGAAAAAUAGAACUGAGCUAUGCGUCGUCUUGAAAAAACAAACAUAACUUGGGCUGCUGAUCUUAUAGACAAGUUAGGUUGGGAGGCCCAGAGGCCGCUUGAUACCUGCUGGAUCCAAAAAAUGUUGAAACAUGUCGUGGGCUGUCCAUGUUAAACAACAAAACCUAGGCCAUUGACCUGGUAGGCCCAGGACUGUCAGCCUCUCGAGGAACAGUUGUCUCCCAAUUCCUCUUGUUUAGCUGACCAUGUUGGGAACGACAGACGGCGGCGCCGCGGCUAGAGCACCAAGGAGGAGGACGAUGUCGAGACCUCGGACCGAACGAACCAGAGCGGGGGAAGACGCAGGCGGAGGGGACUACGAGGGUUGACUUGUUCGGGUGCAGGGUGGGCCGGUGGAGCUGCCGCCGCCGGACAAUGUGUGGUAGUAGAGGGAUGGCCUGACCAACGCCAUAGGCUAUGAUGGCCAGCCGUUGUAUAGGAAGAGGACGAAAGAUUAAACAAAAUAAAGAAAUACAAAUGGAUAGGUGGUUGGUCCCAUAUGUUUGUGUACGAGACCUGCUGGGUCCACCUGAGGAGGGGAAUAUGUUGGAGGAAGGAGAUUCAAAGCACGGCAGCCGAGUGAACUAGUUUUUUUAACGGACAAGUGAACUAGUUACAUAGAUAAGCAAAUAGCCACUAAAAAAAGCAAACAGGUUAAUGGGUUCUUAAAAGAAAUAUUUCGGACAAAACAGAUAAUUACAACACAUAGGCUAAUGCAUGAAACACUCAGAUGAUAAAGGUGCUUAUAAACAGACAAAGUACAACAUCUAGACCUUCCUGGCACGCUUGAUCAUGACGCUGCGGCUGUCCGUGUACUCGUCGGUUACGGGAAGCAGACACGCCCUCAUGUCCAACAUCUGCCUAUACAUGUCGUAGCAUGCGUAUGCGUCCUUGGCCGCGUAGGUUAUGUAGGCUAGAUUCAGAGGUACCUCCCACGUGUUCAGGUCCUGGUAUCAUUGUCUUCUUUCAUGUUGGCGUAUCAGGGGUCGAUGAUGGUCUCGGCAAGGUCAACCAUGGAGUCCUUCUCCUACCCGUUGCUGAUGAUCUUGUAUUGCUUCUGGAUGUCGACAAGCUUGUUGCACCAGAUGGCCGAAUCGUCGUGUUCUUCCUUCUCUCCACCGUAGCGAAGGUGCAGUCGGCGCUGCCGAUGAAACGGGCGAAUGCUCCAGAACCUUUGAUGGCCCUACAGAAGUGGUAGAUGAGAACCUCGUCCCGCACACAUACCUGGGCGACGGCGAUGGAUGGAGAUGAAUGGAUGGGCACAAGGUAUAGUCCUGCAACUUUGUGCUUUCUCGUCCUGUAGGUACUGCUUGAACUCGGCGAGGCAGAGCUUCACCGAGUCCGGAUCAUUGUUGUACAUCAAAUUCAAGUUGGUGCAGCCAUAGGACUGAACGGCGAACUCAAAGGGGAACUCCUUGCUGAAGUCCAUAUCCAGCAGGCUCACCCCUCGGAUCGCCAUUGGAGUCUCUUCAAGUGAACAAGUGUGUAGGCGGCGGCAGGAGUUCGUUUUCAGCUCUUGGGGAACUGGAUUCAACAGUAAACUGAGUGUGUACAGGCGACAACAGUUACUACCCCUCCCUCGUCCGUUGCACGCCCGGCAGAAGAUGCACCCUCGGCGCAUUCAAACCCCUCCAUUAAGAAACCUAUUCCGGCCACACGUCAGUUCACGAGCGGUUCUGUAUUGGUAUUGUAAUAACAGGAGUUAGUGGUCACUUUACAUAAAUUUAAUUAGCUUUAAUAGAAAUUUAUACUUAAAACAAGCAAUGCAUUGGCUCGUUCUAUUAGUGCCACAGGAUCAACAUGCACAACAACUAGAAUUAUUAUUCUCACGACGCACACGAUCAACACAUUUGUCGCACCUUCAUAAAGAUAAUACUACCAACUUUGAACUGUUUGUUAUGGUUGUUGUCCUCUGCAUCAACAUGCCGUGUUUCCUAGCUUGCAAGAUCCAGAACCAACAAAUAAGAUCCAAAUAAUAAGUACAACAAAGAUGCCUACACAUCUCAUUGAUUCCCAGCUUGCAAGAUUCAGAACCAACAAAUAAGAUCCAAAUAAUAAUUACAACAAAGAUUCCUACACAUCUCAUUGAUUCCCAGCUUGCAAGAUUCAGAACCAACAAAUAAGAUUCAAAUAAUAAGUACAACAAAGAUGCCUACACAUCUCAUUGAUUCCCAGCUUGCAAGAUUCAGAACCAACCCAUUAGAGCCUUUUGCUAAAGUGAAUAUCGGGAUUAAAUCCAUCUUGGCUAGCCAUGUCGUACAAUCGAAGAACUUGGCGAAUGCUCUUGACCAUCACAACAUCUGUAGUUGAGUAUUCCUGUUUGCACAGCACAAACAAGAAGAGCAUGAUUUCACUUCAAUAGUGGCCUCCUUGAACUCAACCUGCAGCUCCACUCGGAUGAGGCCUGCCUGGAGUUCCAUGAUUCAAUUCUUGCGCCUUUUCUGUAGUUCACCUGAAAUGAAGCAAAUAUUGCAUCAUUCAGCUAGCAAGAAGUACUUGCUCUCGUGAGCUAGGAAGUUCUUCUUUAGUAGUUGCACUAAAAUUGAUGAACAUUAAGGUUGGCUGUCCGGCUCAUGUAAGGUGCAACUAUAAUUUUCUUAUCCUUUUGUGCAGUUCCACUAAAAUAAAGUGCCAUUGUGGUGACAGUGACGGCUCAUCUUGCAAAGGCUAAUAAAAUGUUGCACGAGAUUACCAGCAGAACUUGACGGAGAUUUUGGAAACUCCAAUCACCAUUUUGUGCAGUUCCACCAAAAUUGAGAGAUGUUGCCCACGUGACAUUUUAGUUGAUCUGCACAAGACACUCAUUCCAAAAAAGAGUGUUUUGUGCAGUUCACCAAAAGGUCACAAUAGCAACAAGGUGAAAUGGAUAUCCCUAUCUGCACAAAAAGAUAGAAAGUAAACAGUUGCUGGUCAAUAAGAAUAUACGAAACAUAUACGAAAUGAAAAGAAGCAUCUUAAUUAUGUUCAUGGCAAUCACGCAAGGACAGUAGAAAUUUUCAAAUGUCAGCAAUGCUUCAUGUUACCAAAAGCAUUACGAUCAACAAUGAGAUUCCUCAAAUAUGGGAUUACUUUUAUGGUGGCAUUGCUUGUUUACCAGAUACAGUAAAUCAACAACAGCUAAAGAGUUGGUUUAAGGGCAUGGGACCAUGGGGACACCAGGACACUCAACAGCGUAAAGGAGCAACUUACUUAUCAUACUGGGGAAAACAGCAGGAGUGCCAUUUGUAACACAGUUUAAUUGCAUCUUAUCACUAGAGGCAUUAGAUUAACAAUAACACUGGUUAGACAUGUCCCUAAGGUAACAGUGUGAUCGCUUCAUUUUACAUGCGCCCUUACAUUAACAACAGCAAAAGGUUGGUAUAAGGACAUGCGACAGUGAACGCAUCAGCACAAUGUACCUACAAGGAGGCAUAAAGUGGUGAUGCCGAGUUUGUUCAUGCUAUGUGAGGGCAUCAAAUCUAAUCCUGGAGACUUUUUACUAUGUGAGGGCAGCAAACCUAAUCCUGGAGACCUUGUACUAUGUGAGGGCAGCAAAUCUAAUCCUGGAGACCUUUUACUAUGUGAGGGCAGCAAAUCUAAUCCUGGAGACCUUUUACUAUGUGAGGGCAGCAAAUCUAAUCAUGACCUUUUACUAUGUGAGGGCAGCAAUUCUAAUCCUGGAGACCUUUUACUAUGUGAGGGCAACAAAUCAAAUCCUGGACAUACUCUGUUGACUUGUCCACCAGUCGCCACUUUCUAUCCUUUUUUUAACCAAUAAUAGAUCUGUUCCUUAUCCAGUUUGUACUGCGUUUUCCCAUUAUUUCCCUUUUCAACCAAGAGACCUGUUGGGUACCGGUCUCUACUACUUUCACCAUAUUAUUUCCUCUUUGAAUCAAGUCCUAGAUUCAUGCUACAACUUUCCCCCUUUCUUCGUUGUUUGAACAAAGCCCUAGAUUAGAAUGCAUGAAGUAGCUUUACCUCUAAUAAUACUAAAAAUUUAGGUGGCUUUGGAAGAGCUGAUGGGAGUAGAAAAAGAUGCACAUGCAGACACGUGGGGAGCUGGGGCAGUAGAGCAAGGCCGCUUUCGAAGAACUUAUACCUGAGGGUCGUCGGGAUGUCGGCGGCGGCAGGUCGGAUCUGCGGACAAUACGGCAGGGAGGAAGAAGGGUAGGAGGACCUCCCGAGCCGGCGCUGUGUCGGAGAGAACGACACGGACAGAGGAUCGGGCCCCUCCGGCAGCUGUGGGUUUCCUCCCUCGCCGGUGAUGACUGCGUGAACGAUGCACCUAGUCCUCUACACACACCAGCCGAAGGGAUCCGGCCGGAUCUGUGACCAGCGGUGAGCAGAGAGAAAAUGUCGCUACCGCUGUCUUGUUUAUAUCUAGAGAGGAUGAGAGAAUGAAGAGAGCAACCCUAGUAAAGCAAAUGCUCAGGCCCAUGCGUACAUAUAUAGUGGAGUGAUUAUCUUUUUCUCUCCACAACAAGCGUUUCAAUUUGUGUACGUGGCAUUAAAGAAAAGAAACUCUCUAUUUAAGGUGACUACAUGUACGACUCCUACUUACUACUACUAGUAGUAGUAUUGUUCACUUGUGCUCCCCGGCCCUCCAUUCAUUGAACAACCCCACGGGUGAAUAAACAUACAGUACUAGUAUUUAUAUAGAACGAACAAGCUCGAACUAUUUUCACGUAGUUAAAAGUUGAGGGCGGGGCUUUUCCCGGGCAGUAGGCGCGGCAGUUUUUGCGUAGGCAGUUUGACAGAGAGGCGAGGAGAGUGAGGGAGUAGCGGAUUCAACUUACUUACUGCUGGAAAGGUCGGGCUGUGUGAUUUGACGGCGCGUUACUGUUUGGAUCCAUGUGUUAGAGUUAGUUUGGUUUAGUUUGAACUCAACUAACCCAAAAAUAUCCAAACAGGAGGGUUAGUUUGGGUUACUGUUUGGAUCCAUGUGGUAGAGUUAGUUUGGGUUAGUUUGAACGCAACUAACCCAAAAAAAAUCUAACCCACCCAAGAGGUGCUUAUUUGGGUUAGUUCUUCUUGGGACACUAAAAAACACAUUUUUCUCUCGCUCUCCCCGCAGCAGAUCCCUCCCCAUUUCCUCGAAGCUUCUCGUCCUCUCCCUCUAGCACCGCCCAUGAAGGCACCUCGCCGUAUCCGCGCUCCAUCUAACCCUGUCAUCCAGACACCUCUUUCGCUAGAGUUACUUCAGGGUUAGUUCAAGAUUAGAAUCUAACUCUAACUUUAACUGAGUUAGAGUAUCCAAACAGGGCCAGGCGGUACGACCGGGGUGAUGCCCCCCUUCCGUUCCGCACUCUAAUCUGGUGCAUGACACGUAUUACGUCGUCCCGGAUGCUGCUGGCUGUCCCACAUGUCGGCGAAGUAGUACGUAGUAGUAAGAAGAAGCAAAGCAUCAUGCGGUAUAAGUCUUUCUCACUAGAACAAAAACCUCCCUAUACCAACGGAUGUGUACCAACGAUUUUAAAAGAUGUGUUUUUUGUCCCACCUCCCACAUGGCCACAUCCCACCUCCCGCACCUCGAGCUAACCGGUACCUCCAUAGAUGCCUCCUCCAUCCAAAUAUCACGCAACAAAACAUUUUUAUCCGCCAUCUGUCUCCCAAGAUUCCUCUCUCUCUCUCUCUCUCUCUCUCUCUCUCUCUCUCUCCCGACUUCCAUGACCAGCGGCCNNNNNNNNNNNNNNNNNNNNNNNNNNNNNNNNNNNNNNNNNNNNNNNNNNNNNNNNNNNNNNNNNNNNNNNNNNNNNNNNNNNNNNNNNNNNNNNNNNNNNNNNNNNNNNNNNNNNNNNNNNNNNNNNNNNNNNNNNNNNNNNNNNNNNNNNNNNNNNNNNNNNNNNNNNNNNNNNNNNNNNNNNNNNNNNNNNNNNNNNNNNNNNNNNNNNNNNNNNNNNNNNNNNNNNNNNNNNNNNNNNNNNNNNNNNNNNNNNNNNNNNNNNNNNNNNNNNNNNNNNNNNNNNNNNNNNNNNNNNNNNNNNNNNNNNNNNNNNNNNNNNNNCAAACCUCCCAGUACUCUCCUCAUAUAUUCCGCCGUGGCGACGCCCUCUGCGUCCCUGCACGCGUCUCUAUGGCAACCGUAGUCGCCACGCGUUGCCGGCGCCCGGCACAGCUCCCACGCCUCUAGUUUGGAGGGCCACCACCCAGCGUCUCAGCAUGCGCUGCUGCCGGCUUGGGCAUGACGGUGCUGCUCCGCCUCGGCUACCUUGUGUCGACGGUCAAUCAGGAUUGCAGGUUGGAUCUGAAACAAUUUGCGGUGUAGGGUGCUGCUCCCUUCUCUCGGUGCUGGCUGGCAGUGGAGACAGGUUCGAGGUAGGAGGAGCUCGGGCUGGAGCCCCGUCCGUAUUCCUCAAUUACCAAUGGGAUCCCGCCUGUGUUGGUGGUUCUUGCGGCUCGCAAAGCCUUCGGCGGCGAUGUGGCUCCUUUUGUAUUUAUUUUGGUGCCCGUCCUGGUCCUGUUCCAAUUCCUGGCUCGCGUGCAUGUGCCCGUGAUGUGUGCGCGUGCUGAUGGAUAUUACAACCCUUCGUGACGCUGAUUGUUUGCUACCACCGUUGUCUGCUAUUGCUUUUGUCGCUGACUGCUAUUGCUACUUCUGCUCAUUUUUCUGCUAUUUAGUACUAAUACAGUAGAUAGAAGAUGAUCUGCAUUCCCAAAGAAAAUAAAUAGAAGAUAAUCUGUAUGUUUGAAAAUUGUGAACUGAGCCAACUACUUGUUAUCUCUUCUCUAAACUUUCUCUUGAUCAGAUUCUCUUUUGUGCUGCAAAAAUUACUCAAUACACAUAUAAUUAAUGUGUUCACUAAAACUCAUGGAAAAAUCCAGCUCCUUAUUGAUUCCAUGGUCCCUUUUCCUUACAAUUGUUUCCUUUAUGUGUCUCGCUUCCAAUUGCAGAGAAAAUAUUUUUCAGAAAAGGAAAGUAGGAUUUCAACGCUAUGCGCCCGUGCUCCACACCUGAGGUACGCCAUCGUCCCGUAUAACAUGAGUACUAGAAUUUAUAUGAUCAUAUCAUGAAUAUCCUUGAAGUGGCACACUCCCUUGCUGAUGUAACUCCGAGCGUGGACUUUUGCUAUUGUAUUAUUGUUUGACAAUCUUGUAUGGAUUUCUGGUAGGUACUAACUAUGUGAUUUGUACUAUGUUUUUAGUUUGAUCCAACUGGAAUUCGUGGUGUUCAAGAAUGAUGCCUCAUCGUGUAAACAGGUUCAAUUUAAGUGGGAGCCAUGAAUAAGUUUGAAAAAGUAGGGUUGUAGACUUGUAGUCGAUAUAGAGACAAGAGCUGACCAAUGUGGAGCAGACUGACAAUAUUAAUGGAGAUGCCCAGUCUCGCAUGCUUUAUUCUUAGUUUAUGCAAUAACCGUGAUGUUUACAAGAAACUGUCCUACAUUACAGGUCAGGUUUCAAACUGUUGACAAUAGACGCGUAAAUAGAUAAGAUUAUGUUGAAAUCUUUAUUUUUUUGGCGGAUUGUGCAAGGAAUUAACUUGCUUUAAUGUCGUGCAGCUUCAGGGGCAGAUGGAUAUGUAUGGCUUACUACCUCAUCGCAGAAUGUGGGGCAACCCAGUCGCUUCCUUGAAUACCGUCCCCUGGUUCAGGCCACUAAGGUGUCCGUUUCCACAUCUUCUCAUGUUGUAGCACUCUUAUUUAUUCCAUAUCUUCAAUUUUUACACUAACUGGUCCAACGAGUCUUUUUUAGUUAAGUGUGCCCAUAUAUGUCUAUAUUUUCCGGUCUUCACUUUUGUCCAGUCCCAUAUUUUAUAGAUUUAUAUUGGUAUUUAGUUAUUAAAUGACAUGACAAAUGAUACUCCCUCCGUUCCGGAAUACUUGUCGUGGUUUUUUUAGUUCAAAAAUUUGAACUUAAACCACGACAAGUAUUUUGGUACGGAGGGAGUACAUGAUUAGGGAGCUGAGUAGUGACCAAAGAUGAAAUUCAAUUGAUUAUAUGAUAUGCCACAUUGGCAGUAAAGGCGCAUGGGUAGUGUUUCUUAAAACUGGGUAUGUAUUGACAAAUAAUUGUUCAUUUAGCUGAAUUCUUCUCAUCGUUGAUAUAAUAUAAGCUUUGGAUAACUGUUAGUAGUGAAUGCAUGUUGAUGCUUGUUCACAUUGUGCAGGCACAUCCGAUUGGUCAAACAUGAUCGGUGUUCUAAUAUGUACGCCUAUUAAGUUAUUUAUCAGUUAUACAUAGCUUAUGCCCCCCACCCCCCAAUGAUCUUUUCUUGCACACUUGGUAAUUUUGAAUUUAUGCCUAAUAGCAUUAUGAUUUUUCUUUGUAGGUUGAGAGUUUCAAUACUAGAUUAUUACUUGGAUCCUUUGAAGAAUAUAUGCUGAUUCUUGGUACUUGGAGGAGAAAGAAGACAGUUAUAUCACUGUUUAGAAAUAUGUAUUCUAUUUUUUCUAAGUGAUGUACUCCUAAUUGAUGAUACUUGCAAUGUAAUGUAACAGAUUGUUCCAUUAAAUCAAUAUAUCAGUUUCAUUUCUACUCCAUCGAUUUUUAAUAAAGUUAUACUACCUCUGUUCUAAAUGUAGGAUGUUUUGGCAGUUUAAACUGCCAAAACGUCUUAUAUUUAAGAAUAGAGGGUGUCUUAUAUUUAAGAACAGAGGGUGUAUCAGGAAGGGUGUACCUUGUACUGCCAUUGGAACUACAUGCAUAUAUAAAUGGAAUAUAUAUGCUGGUUAUUCUAUUUCUCAAGCACGAACGCAUAGAAACGUUGUAUGAAUCUGUUGUUGCCUUGCAAGGCAUUAUUUUGCUGGUUACCAACUGAUCUAUAUAUGUUGUUGAAGAUGUUAGCAACGCCACCAACACAACACAUAUGAAUCCGUUGGUGUAGACCUUACCAACGCUUAUAUGGACAAACGACAACGCAUUGAUGCGUUGCUAAAGGGGGGUUCUUGUUGUAGUGUCUAGAGAUUCCAACAAGUGACUAGACUACACCGCGUGUAGUAUCUCAAAUCUCAAAUCUCCCUUCCGGUUUAUAGGGCUCAAAUCUCAAAUCUCAUCAACCAAGGCAUUUGGCGAUUGGAGGAAUGUAUCUUGUACUUUACAAAACUACCCUAAUUAAACUCAUGCAUUAAUUACGUAGUUCUCUCGUUUUCCUCUCCGCCUUGGUCGCAGUGCACAAUAUUGACCACUCCUACUGUAUAUGACUAGCCGCUCUAUCUACAUGCGGGACAUCAAAGCAUCCGGGUCCGCGUGCCAUCCACCAAAUCACAGCGAGGUGCUACAGUCGAAACUCACCGGUCACCCCGGUGUGGCCGUCAUGACCCGUCAUAUCACAAAACCCACACCUUUACUAGUAGUGGUAAAGUGGCCUCGAAGUUGGACUGGACGAAGCAACCAUCAUUUCACUGGAACGCUCGUUGAAGCCCUUUCUCCCCUUUCUUGAAGAAAACCUCACUCCAGGCUACUCACUUCUGCCGUUUUUCUUCUGUACCGACGAAGGAAAGGUGGGCGAAUCAGUGAUGCUGCUAUAUUUUCAUUCCAAGAAUCUUCUUUUUGCGAAGCACCGACCGAUUCUCACAGCCUAUUCUUUUCCCGUUUUCAUUGCGAUUGUGGUUUCCUUUCGAUUGCUGUUUGUUUGUCAGUUCAUUGAUGGAUCCUGGAGCACUAGGCAAAGAGUUGCCGGCGGAUAACCCACUGGAGACAGCGAUCUCCAGGAAGCGAGCACCGACCAAGGAGUUGACCAUGUUGGCGGGCCAACCCAUGGAGACGAAGAACUCCAAGAAACAAGCACUGGCCAAAGAGUUGACGACGUUGGCGGAGGAACUCCUCAAAGAAAGUUGGAAGAACAGCAAGGGCCCCACCAUGCCUACCCCAGAAACUCUGAUGGCCACCUAUCCAAGUCUCAAGGCCGAGUUUGAGGAGAUAGUCGCCGUUGAGAAGCAGUAUUCCCCUGGCAAGGUGAUGGCCCCCAUCGAGGACGUGGAGAUGGCCCCCGGAGGGAUGGGAUCGCCCGGUGAGCUGCACAAGGUAAAAAAUAAUGGCUUAUUACCGAAAGUUGUGGUUUUUGAUUAUUUGCAAUGUGCUUGCUAAUAUGUUAGGGUUGUGUAGGUGCCGGUGGACGUCCUUGAUGAUUCCGAUGUCGCGGCCCAUCCUGUGGACAACGCCCCAGAGAUCGUUUUUGAUGUCGCGGUCCGUCCUGUUGGCAUCGCCCCAGAGAUUGAUUCCGAUGCCGAUGUCCAUCCUAUGGACAUCGCCCAGAGAUCGAUUCCGAUGUCGCGGUCAGUACUGUGGACAUCGCCCCAGAGAUCGAUUCCCAUGCCACUGUCCGUGCUGUGGUCAUUGCCCGAGAGAUCGAUGACAAGAAAUAGUUGGUCGCGCUAAUCCUUCAGGGUAGUUUGCAUUGCCCUGUGUUUAAUUACCAGAACGAUGCGUGUUAUCAAACCAUCUUAGGGCUAGUGCACUGUCUUGUGUGGGCAGUACUUGCUACUUUUGUUUGAUAGUGAAUCAUGCGAACCCUCUCCGAGUUAUGGAAACAGAUGUAUCCUCACCAUCUUUUGAUGUAAUAUAUGGCAUGCUUAGAUGUAAGUUUGAACUGUUUAUCAUAUCAGCAGGGCUUAUUUGAUGAUUCUUGGUGUUAGUAGGCUAGCUACUGUGCGAGCUAUAGUACUUGCAAAACACUCACUGAAGAGAAAUGUUGGGGCUGAUGAGCUCGUGGUACGCUUAUACUGAUCCGUCGUCGAUCGGCCAAUAGCCCAAGCUCCUAAAAUUGUAGGCUUAGCGAUCGAUCAGACAAUAGUCGACACGGAUAGAUUCAGGCCUCAUUUGGUUCAUAGGGUAGGAAAAUCAUAGCAAAAGUACAGAGACGUACAACACAAAAUCAUAGUAGUAUAGAGACGUCCCUCCGUUCCAAAAUAGAUGAGUCAACUUUGUACUACUAGCUUUGAAACGGAGGGAGUACAAAUCCUAGGCGGGCUAGUUUGGCCUAGUGGGUUUAGUGAUAUGACGUGGUACAGUGCCGUCCAGUCUUCGCGUGUGGUAGCAGUACUGCGGGUAGAGUAAGUUUUCAUGAAGAAGCGGAAUUCAACGAAGUCAUGAUGGUUCCUUCGUCCGACUAACUUUGUGCAUGGCAGGUGGACGAGGAUAAUUUUGUGCAUGGAAGGGGGACCAGGAUGGUCGACGUCCCACAUAUCGGCGAAUGAAAGUAUUCUUUCCGAUAUAGUGGACGAGCAACGAGUACUCAUUGUUUAUUUUUGAUGAAACCUAUUGUCUCCACUGUUACGACGGAGGAGUGUGAAACACGGUAGCCCAGUGAACUUGGCAUGUGCACCACUCCCUCCUUCCGCAUGUAAUACUACCAUAGUGUUGACUAUAAGGUUACAACUUUUUCUCACUCUCUCUCUCUGUCUAUUUCCUCUCAAAUGUUUUUUACCUUUCUUUUUUAGACACAAUUGUUUUUAUGCCUCUUUUUUUAGAAUUAGUUUUUUAUACCUAGGAGCACGUGUAGAGACGGGCUCCUGCAGAUCCCACUCCUUGACUUUGUCAAUGCCUCUCUCUCCUCCACAUAAGCGGGCUUGUCGAGAAGACAAGAGAUGAUCUCUUAGCACAAUAUUUUCACCAUGUUUUUAGGAAUAACUAGUUAUUGAAGAUAAGGCUAAGAGAUGAUCCAUUGUACACAUGUUUUUUUGUCAUCUCUAAAUUACAUGCAAGACUUAUGAUAAGACUAUCUUAUCAACCAUUGUACAUGCCCUUUAUAGCCCAGAAUUUUACUGGUUCUACUUGCUAUGAAUGCGGGCAGCUGGCCUCUGAGGGGGGAGCGCGCGUGGGGAGGUGGUGGGGUGGGGGAGGGGUUCUGGUGGGCCAGGGCAGUAAGAAGCGGGCUUCGAAGCGGUGCGGACUCCCGCAUGGCCCACCUCACAAUAUCACCACAUAUUUCUUGGAGUCUGUGCAUGGCGGGCGGGCGAUCUCUUCUCCCUCCCCCGUCUCUCUCCUCUCAGCCGACGCCCGCCGAGCGAUUAGAUUUCGGCUAUCGACGGUUUAUUCAAUUGCAGUCCCACAUGUCAAUGAAAAUGCAAGACAACGCGUGUCCCCUCUAGUGAGCGGCGUGCGAGCCGGACUGUCGGGGGUGCGACGUGAACGCGAUGCGUACGAGUUGUAAGUGUGCCACCUUUUCCUUUUGAACUUGCAAAGCGUAACAUUUUCGUGCGAUCGAUUGAUAGAAAUCCAGAACAAAAUGACGAGGGCGGUGCUUUCCCGCACGUUAGGCGGGCUAGUUUGAGUGAUAUGACGUGCUACAGUGCCGUCCACUUGCUCCAUUUUUAUAUAAGCAAGAGUCUACACUCUUACGUGGGAGGAGUGCGAAACACGGCGGAUCUGAUUUUGAUCGAGGGAUAACUAUUCCCUGCGAAAUAAUGGAGCACUGUUAGCGAUUAUAGCAUGAUAGUUAGGGCAUCUCCAUCGCUCACUACUAGGAAAAGGCUAAUUAGUGGCGCACCUGUUUUGGCCAUUAAUGGCGCACUAUAGGUGCGCCACUAUUACCACGCCACUAGUAACAAAUACUAAUGGCGCACCUCUGGUGCGCCAUUAGUAUUCCAGGUAACAGUGGCGCACCUUGUAGUGCGCCAUUACUAUUGCUACUGGUGCGCCACUGGUAACUUUUUUUUGAAUUUUUUUGAUAUUUUUGUGAAUUUUGAAGGCGGGAAAAUAGUAGUGGAGCACCGUCUAACCCCCACCGUGCGCUAUUGCUAUUUUUGAGUUUUGAAUUUGGAUCUGGAUCGCGAUUUUUUUGCCCUUUUUCUGCUCAUUUUUUUGCUCGUUUUUUUGCACGAUAUUUUUUCAAAUUUUGUUCUCGUUUUUGGAUCUUGUACGUUCUUUUGCCAGAGAGGAGUUCGUCGGAGAGGAGGGCCGAGGUCACCGGAGAGGAGGAGGAGGAGGAGGUCACCGGAGAGGAGGUCGCCUACAUCGCCGGAGAGGAGGAGGAGGUCGCCGGAGAGGAGUUCACCGGAGAGGAGGGAGGAGAAACCGUGAGGNNNNNNNNNNNNNNNNNNNNNNNNNNNNNNNNNNNNNNNNNNNNNNNNNNNNNNNNNNNNNNNNNNNNNNNNNNNNNNNNNNNNNNNNNNNNNNNNNNNNNNNNNNNNNNNNNNNNNNNNNNNNNNNAGGGGAGGAGAGGAGGGAGGAGGAGGUCGCCGGAGAGGAGGAGGAGGAGGUCGCCGGAGAGGAGGAGGGGGGUAUGGUGGAGGAGAGGAGGGGAGAUGGAGUGGAGGAGAGGAGGAGAUGGAGUGGAGGAGAGGUGGAGUGGAGGAGAACAAUGAAGAGGUAAGGAGGAGAGGACCCCGCCCAGCCAUAUAUACGGCAUAGUAAUGGCGCACCGUGGGAAGGUGCGCCAUUACUAACUUUUUUUGAUUUAUUUUGAAUUUUGAAGGCGGGAAGAUAGUAAUGGCGCACCUUUGGCAGGUGCGCCAUUACUAAUUUAUUUUUAUUUUUUUAUAUAGUUUGAAUUUUGAAGGCGGGAAGAUAGUAAUGGCGCACCAUGGGUAGGUGCGCCAUUACUUAGUUUGAUUUUUUUGAAUUUUUUUGACUCUCCAGAUCUUGAAAGCCCCUUAACUUUUUUUCUGUUAGGUUUUUGGGGAUUUUGAAAAUGUUCAACGGGGUUUCCCCAGUUGAAUUCGGAUGUAACUUUUCGAGUAGAUGAUUUUUCAUAUAAAAAACUUUUUCAUCGGAGUUCGUAUGCAAAAGUUAUGCCCAUUUUACAAAUUUUCGAGAGAUUUUGCAAAAAAGUUGAAAAUUCAUGUUUGUAAAUUUUGCUAACAACUAGACCACAUAUCACAUGGGAAUCUUAUUUUCUUUUAUUUUUUUGACAUUUAUAUCAUUUUCAUUUUUUUUGAAACUGAAAAGGCGGUCCAGGGGGUGCAUUUGAUGAUGUGUAAAUGUUAGUAGCGGCGCACCAGGGAACAGUGCGCCAUUACUACUUAAAACUAGUAAUGGCGCACUAUCCCACUACUGGAAUCAGCUAAUUUGCCAUCUGCCAGCUCUUUGCCAUCUGCUAGCUGACGGCAAAGAAGCUCUUUGCCAUCAGCUACCCAAAAGCAGACGGCAAAGAAAGGGCAGACGGCAAAGAAGCUCUUUGCCAUCUGCCAGCUCUUUGCCGUCGGCCAGCGGACGGCAAAGAAUCUUUGCCGUCCGCUGGCGGACGGCAAAGAGUGAGGUGGCCCCCACCCCCCGCCCGUUUUUGAAAAACUUAACGGGCCACCUCUUUGUCGUCCGCUAGCAGACGGCAAAGAGGCAAAAAAGCGGACGACAAAGGGGGGCGGACGGCAAAGAGCCUACUACCUAACGGCCCGUACCCCCCGCCCGUUACUCACUUCUUCCCACUCCCNNNNNNNNNNNNNNNNNNNNNNNNNNNNNNNNNNNNNNNNNNNNNNNNNNNNNNNNNNNNNNNNNNNNNNNNNNNNNNNNNNNNNNNNNNNNNNNNNNNNNNNNNNNNNNNNNNNNNNNNNNNNNNNNNNNNNNNNNNNNNNNNNNNNNNNNNNNNNNNNNNNNNNNNNNNNNNNNNNNNNNNNNNNNNNNNNNNNNNNNNNNNNNNNNNNNNNNNNNNNNNNNNNNNNNNNNNNNNNNNNNNNNNNNNNNNNNNNNNNNNNNNNNNNNNNNNNNNNNNNNNNNNNNNNNNNNNNNNNNNNNNNNNNNNNNNNNNNNNNNNNNNNNNNNNNNNNNNNNNNNNNNNNNNNNNNNNNNNNNNNNNNNNNNNNNNNNNNNNNNNNNNNNNNNNNNNNNNNNNNNNNNNNNNNNNNNNNNNNNNNNNNNNNNNNNNNNNNNNNNNNNNNNNNNNNNNNNNNNNNNNNNNNNNNNNNNNNNNNNNNNNNNNNNNNNNNNNNNNNNNNNNNNNNNNNNNNNNNNNNNNNNNNNNNNNNNNNNNNNNNNNNNNNNNNNNNNNNNNNNNNNNNNNNNNNNNNNNNNNNNNNNNNNNNNNNNNNNNNNNNNNNNNNNNNNNNNNNNNNNNNNNNNNNNNNNNNNNNNNNNNNNNNNNNNNNNNNNNNNNNNNNNNNNNNNNNNNNNNNNNNNNNNNNNNNNNNNNNNNNNNNNNNNNNNNNNNNNNNNNNNNNNNNNNNNNNNNNNNNNNNNNNNNNNNNNNNNNNNNNNNNNNNNNNNNNNNNNNNNNNNNNNNNNNNNNNNNNNNNNNNNNNNNNNNNNNNNNNNNNNNNNNNNNNNNNNNNNNNNNNNNNNNNNNNNNNNNNNNNNNNNNNNNNNNNNNNNNNNNNNNNNNNNNNNNNNNNNNNNNNNNNNNNNNNNNNNNNNNNNNNNNNNNNNNNNNNNNNNNNNNNNNNNNNNNNNNNNNNNNNNNNNNNNNNNNNNNNNNNNNNNNNNNNNNNNNNNNNNNNNNNNNNNNNNNNNNNNNNNNNNNNNNNNNNNNNNNNNNNNNNNNNNNNNNNNNNNNNNNNNNNNNNNNNNNNNNNNNNNNNNNNNNNNNNNNNNNNNNNNNNNNNNNNNNNNNNNNNNNNNNNNNNNNNNNNNNNNNNNNNNNNNNNNNNNNNNNNNNNNNNNNNNNNNNNNNNNNNNNNNNNNNNNNNNNNNNNNNNNNNNNNNNNNNNNNNNNNNNNNNNNNNNNNNNNNNNNNNNNNNNNNNNNNNNNNNNNNNNNNNNNNNNNNNNNNNNNNNNNNNNNNNNNNNNNNNNNNNNNNNNNNNNNNNNNNNNNNNNNNNNNNNNNNNNNNNNNNNNNNNNNNNNNNNNNNNNNNNNNNNNNNNNNNNNNNNNNNNNNNNNNNNNNNNNNNNNNNNNNNNNNNNNNNNNNNNNNNNNNNNNNNNNNNNNNNNNNNNNNNNNNNNNNNNNNNNNNNNNNNNNNNNNNNNNNNNNNNNNNNNNNNNNNNNNNNNNNNNNNNNNNNNNNNNNNNNNNNNNNNNNNNNNNNNNNNNNNNNNNNNNNNNNNNNNNNNNNNNNNNNNNNNNNNNNNNNNNNNNNNNNNNNNNNNNNNNNNNNNNNNNNNNNNNNNNNNNNNNNNNNNNNNNNNNNNNNNNNNNNNNNNNNNNNNNNNNNNNNNNNNNNNNNNNNNNNNNNNNNNNNNNNNNNNNNNNNNNNNNNNNNNNNNNNNNNNNNNNNNNNNNNNNNNNNNNNNNNNNNNNNNNNNNNNNNNNNNNNNNNNNNNNNNNNNNNNNNNNNNNNNNNNNNNNNNNNNNNNNNNNNNNNNNNNNNNNNNNNNNNNNNNNNNNNNNNNNNNNNNNNNNNNNNNNNNNNNNNNNNNNNNNNNNNNNNNNNNNNNNNNNNNNNNNNNNNNNNNNNNNNNNNNNNNNNNNNNNNNNNNNNNNNNNNNNNNNNNNNNNNNNNNNNNNNNNNNNNNNNNNNNNNNNNNNNNNNNNNNNNNNNNNNNNNNNNNNNNNNNNNNNNNNNNNNNNNNNNNNNNNNNNNNNNNNNNNNNNNNNNNNNNCCCGAAAAGGUGUUCUUUGGCCUUCCAGAAGCCGACGGGGUCAUAUAUUUGUGAAUUAUUAGUUAGGUCAUAUAUCUUUCGAUUUUGUUAUGAAAAACAUCAUAUAUAAUUGUGUUGAUCGGGUAGUUUUAAAUGUGCAGUUGUUUCAUCGCUGCGAGGUUUGGUGUUCGACGACCUCGCCGUGCGUUUGACGAGCUCUGCCCCUUCGUUCGUGGGUGAGCACAAAUGACAUGUCCUCCUCCCCCAUUAAUUAUUUGAUCUAUUCCGAUGAAACUUGAUAGCUAGCUACAUAUGUGUCUUGAAUCAUCAGUAUGCGUAACCAAUAUGUGUCUCCCGUUCGAAAGCGUCAUAGUUAUAAAUAUGCAUGCAUUUGCAUAUUUAUAACCUUGAUUCUUUCGAAUUGUCCAACGCUAUCCAUGGACAGCCCGAGUAUGUUUAGAUUGGGUUCGUUUUCCCAUAUGCUUUGCUCCGGAUCCGACGCAUAAAUUUUUUCAGUGCCUCCCCUGUUGUUCUCCGGGUACACAUCCUCUCUGUUUAUUGCAGAGACGUGUAUCAGGAGAACAGCGGGGAGGUGCUGCCGAAAUUUUGCGUAGGAUCCGGAGCAUAGCAUGGGAAAAUGAACCCAAUCUAAACAUACUCGGGUGGGAUUAGGACCUAUCAUUACCUAUUAGAGUGUAGGUUGCAUGGACGUAAUAAAAUUGACAAAGUAGAUCAACUGAUGAAUACAUACAUGGUGAAUUAUAUAUAUAUAUAUUUGUUGUGUGUCUAGUAGCUCUGAAAGUCAAGAUGAGUGAUCGUGCGUGGAUGUACACCGGUCACACUGGUCAGAACAAAUGGAGCACUGAAUGGUUCACAAAAACCAAGGGGUUUGUGCGAGCCACAUUUGCAAAUGGCCAGAGGAAAACCUGGUGCCCCUGUUUACGGUGCGGCAAUUGGGAAAAGAGGACAGAGGCUGAAAUGGGCAAACACCUGCAGAAGAGUGGUUUUACGCCCGAUUAUACGGUGUGGACAUUUCAUGGUGAGUCUGCCCAACGUGACCGAGCUGAGGUGGAUCGUCGUCGCACCGACGAGCAUGGUACCGGGAUGGAAAACAUGGUGCAAGACUUUGAUGAUGCUCGGGAUUCGGACAAGGAGAUGGAGGAAUCUGCAAAGGCCUUCAAUGAAAUGUUGGAGUCUUCAAAACGUCCGCUCCAUGAGCACACUGAGCUUUGUCAGUUGGAUGCCAUCUCACAAGUAAUGGCUCUGAAGGCUCAGUUCAACUUGGGCAGAGAAUGCUACGAUGCAAUGAUGACAGUAUUUGGACGCUUUCUACCCAAAGGCCAUCUAAUGCCUGCAAACCUAUACCAGUCGGACAAAAUCCUCCGUGCACUGAAGAUGCCCUAUGAUAAGAUACAUGCCUGUGACAAAGGAUGUGUCUUGUUUAGGCUUGACUAUGCGGACUUGAACUAUUGUCCCAUUCGCAAGUCUUCCAGGUAUGUUGUGGUAGACAACGGUAUGGGUGAGAAGACACAGACCAAAAUCCCCGUUAGUGUUCUUCGGUAUAUGCCAAUCGUACCAAGACUUCAACGUCUUUUCAUGGUCGAAGAGACGGCCAGACAGAUGACAUGGCACAAAACGGGCAAAAGAACCGGACUAGUGACGUGUAGAUGACAUCAUAAGGCGGACGGCAAAGACCAGAGAAAUUUUGCCGUCUGCGGCGGACGGCAAAGGUCUGCCGUUAGCCACUUAACGGACUGACAGCGCAAUUAUUGCCGUCCGCCCUCUUUGCCGUCCGCCGCCAGGAAGCAGACGGCAAAGCAGCUGUUUACCGUAGCCUUCUUUGCCGGAGCCUUUUGCCGUCCGCGGCUGACGGCAAAGGUCUUUGCCGUCCGCCUUUCGAGCCUUUGCCGUCCGCCAUGGCAGACGGCAAAGUAGCUGUUUCCUGUAGUGUCCCCUGGUGCGCCAUUACUAGUUUUGAAAAAAAAGUAAACAAAAUUGUUAGUAGUGGCGCACAGUGUGUGGCGCCAUUACUAGUUUUGGAAAAAAAAUUGUUAGUAAUGGCGCACCGUGUGUGUGGUGCGCCAUUAGUAAUGAGGACACCAAUGGCGCACCUUUAUCUGGUGCGCCACUGCUAUAUAGCAGUGGCGCACCACAUACAUGGUGCGCCAUUAAUGUCCAUAUUAGCUAUAGCCCUUUUCCUAGUAGUGGCUGGCCCUCAAAUUUAUACCGGCAUCUGUCCGAGGACACUGAUGGAUGCCAUCCAAUGCUGCCCGCAUACCUUUCGACAACUAUAUGAACUAACUGGACGAAAUUCGUGCAAACAAAGCAAAUUUCAAAUUGACUGGAUGAAAUUCAUUACAUUUCGAGAACUUUCCCUAUAAACUGGACAAAAUUCAUUACAUAUUUCGCACAAACCGUACUAAAACCUACUGUAAACCUAAUCUAAAUGAUCGCUGGGCCCCAACCAUCAUGUCCGGCCAUGAACCCGAGAAAGCCGGCCAUUGCCUUUGCCUCCUCCUUAUCCGCCUCGAUAACCUUCUCCUCCGGAGCACAAUGUUAUGAAGAUUUCCGCCUCCACGUCGCCGUCAAGAGGCUAAUCAGCCGCCGAUUUUUAUCCCAACAAGCUUGGCGUCGACUGAGUGGAGGAGCGGUGGCCUUCCCGGGACCAGAGCGUUGGCGACCUACCAUGUACUACUCUUCCUCGCUGCCGGCAGCGCCCGCGCACGCGCGCCGGCUUCGUUGUCGUCGCGGCGGAGGGUGACCGGGGGGAGCCGGCGAUCUCCUUCAUCUGCUCCAGCGAGAGUACGUCCAAGAGAGCUUUGGAGUGCACCCGGAGCGGAGCCACCGAUGUCCUUCGUCUGCUCCUGCGACAGUAUGUCCAAGAGAGCUUUGGAGUGCCCAGAGGCCAUGGUUGGAGUGGUGCCAACAGAAGGAAGGGACCGGAGGAGAAUGAGUGUGGGUCUUUGGCUAUGGCUGGGAUCUGGGGCUCAAGUUAAUAUAGUGGGAGAAUGGCAAUGAGCCGCGGCCGACGGAUGGACGGCUGGCACCGGAGUAGGUUCGUCGGCAGCCGUGGUGUCAUUAACGCGGAGCAGUCGCUUGCACCGGGAUGCCGCGCGGGUGGCGCUCUCUCGGCCGUCGCGCUGCUGCAAUGCCGACGCCAGUGAGAGGUCGCGUCGGGCGUGAAUGCGGAUGCUGCUUCAGUGACUUAACCGCAGGUGCGUUGUCCCACUGACAUGUGGGCCCAACGGGCAUCAGGCCCGCAUGUCAGUGACACACCAACUGCACCUGCAGUUAAGGCCGGUGAAUGCGGCAUUGACGUUCUGGAGAGACGGUGAUCGUUUCAGGCGGGAAGCACGCGCUAGCGAUGGAAGGGGUAUCGGUAGGCCAGGGCGGUCAGACGCUGGCGUGGUGGUAAAAUGUGAACUCAUGGAUGACGAGCCUUUGAAGCGUAUGCGGCACGUAUUGACAACCAGGUGUCCAUGCAACUGCUCUUGUCGCCAGCUAGCACUCGACGACCACCAUUAGACACCACACAACCAUACAUAACUUACGAAUAAUGGACGAAUCGAUCAGACACACACUCGUGUGCAGUGGCACUAUGAUCGGUUGCUCACGAUAGUACAAACUCCGCACCAUAGUACCCUCUCUAGCUAGGCUGUUUUAUAGAUUGUCGUUGUGAUGGACGAUAUACAUGAGCAAGGCGCCGAGUCACGAGUAUGACCGUUGGUGUUGAGCCAGGUGAAUACAUGCUCGGUGUUCGCGGAGGCCUCCAGCAAACGUCUAAACAGUAAUGUCAGAUAUGCAUAAUUUUGGUUUUUAUUUCUUUCUCCACUGACGGGUAGGCCCGCAUAGAUAGAUAGAUAAAGAACACGAGCUGAUGAGGCGCAUGCGGACUGUUUGACUGGUCAACCAGACAAAUACGGAGCUAUACGCUGAGCCAGUGACCGUAUAAUCACCAUAUCUCGUAUACAAUGAUCAAAGUGAGCUAUCAAGACAAGUUCAAUGACUGCCAAUGCAUUUUACUCGGUAAUAAAUGACCAAGAUUGAAGGGGAAUCCAAAUUUCCUUCGUCUUCUGUCCUUGAGCUCUUGACAAACCAAUGCACUUGACGGUUGUCCGGCCACUCCACCCCAGAGCUGUCACCAAGCGUCGUUCAUGCCACCGCGCCGCACACUAACCAGUAAGGAAGCGAUGGCAUCCCGCCGCGCCGAGUUCCUCGCCGCCCACGACCGCACACAGAAUGGUAGGCAAGCGGUGGCAUCCCGCCGUGCCGAGUUCAUCGUCGCUCGCAAUCUCACACCUAUGUGGGCGGAAUUUGAAGCUGCCAAGGCCGAAUGGGCGGUAGAGCAAGAGGCGGCCAAAGCCACACAGAGGGAGCAGAAAGUUAGAAAGCACUCAAGAAAAGAGAGGCUCGCCGCCGCAAGAAAGAACAGGACGCACGUGCUGCUGCGGAGAGGUCGGCGGAGAUCCAAGCACAGUGGGGUGUCGCCAACAAAGCCGGGAAGGAGAAUGACGGCAUCUGACCAGCAUGUGAGAAAUAGUAGUACUAGUAGUUAGUGUGUGUGUGUGUCUGUGUCGCCCGUACGUUUGUUUAAUUAAUUACGAGCAUGUAACAGUACUACUAGUUACUACUGUAGUUUUUAGAGCAAAUUACCAGUACAUUAGCCUAGACUCAAUGGAAAAAUUCCUAUCCUAUGCAUCAAAUGGCAUCUCUUUCUCUAUAGGAAUUGAGAUGCAUGUCAUCUCACUUCCUAUGAUUUUCAGAUUCCUAUAAAAUUCCUAUCCUAUGAACCAAAGGAGGCCUCUGCUGGAGUAACUACUGUAGCUAGCAGUACAGUAGUUUUCUUCAAGAAGCGGAAUUCAACGAAGUCAUGAUGGUUCCUUCGUCCGAGCAACUUCACAGUGGGUAAGGUUGGGCAUGUGAUUUGAUGGCUCAUUAGUAAUUACUGCGGCGCGACGACCGGGGUGACUCUCCCUUGGAGUUCUACGGGCAUGGCAAGUGGACCAGGAUGGUCGACGUCCCACAUGUCGGCUAGCGGAAGUAUUCUUUCUGAUAUCGAGGAGAAAGGAAACCGCGUGGUAUAGUAUCACUGGUGAUUUAUAUUUAUUUUUUAUUUCUAAUGAAUGCUAGCGUUUCAAUUCUUACGACGAAGGAGUGCCAAACACACGACACGUGCUGGAUGUCGCACGCGUCAGCGAAAGGAGUGGUUCAUGAACAGCGUGGUAGAGCGUCUCCACUUCUGGGUCGGAGACCACACGUAGUAGUACUACUAUACUAGUGGUAUGAACGAUACAAAGUGCGACCCGGAGAGAAAGACACGUCUAGUUGGAAGGUCUCGGGGCAUACACGUAAACAAAUAUAAAACCUAAUAUGUGCCUCCAAUUAAUAUAGUAGUAGUAGAGUACUUAGUCACGUACUCCAUAACAUCACCGGGCAUUGCACGUACAACAUUUAGUGGUAAUAAGAUACAAAUGCAUGCCUAUAUGCCGCGCAUGUUCAUACUAUUUGUGCCUUUCUACUUCACUUACUGCGCUACAUUACACAGGCUCGCACGCCCACUCCUGGGUACAUGACCUUCUCGCAGUUCCAUUCCCACGUGUUCUUCAUAUAGAUGGAAUGAUCCUUGCAUGACACAUGCACCUUGAUGCUAAAUGUGUUGCAUGUUGGCAAAAGGAUGAACAAAGCUCACGUAAAAAAAGAGUGGAAGAACAUAGAUUCCCGACGACCGAGAAGGAGCAAGGAACCUCGGGGUGGAGCGUCUGCACUCAUAAUAUUUUAUAUUAUUCAGCGAUAUAAAAUCAACCAAUCAUCUCCACAGUGGACUGGAAGAGUACGAAACACGGCAGCCCAAUGUAGUUACAUCAUACUAGUACAUGGCUAACCAACGCUAUCACCAUAUUUCUUGGCUUCCGUGUGACACCUAUCUCUAGUAAUCCAGCAGCCCGUAUCGCUUCUCCCUCCUCGUCUCUCUCAAAGUGCGGCGGGCUGGCGUUUUUGCCGUCUAUUGAGGUCGGUUAACUCAUCACAAGUUAGCCACAUGCCAAGAGCAUUCUAAAAAAAAUUCCUUUCACGUUUCAUUUUCAAAAAUAAAAAAUCCUUUCACGUACGAAUUUGACUGUAUGCUUUGAGCAACUUGCAUGUCCUAUACUGCUCCUAUUUGGAUACUCUAACUUAGCUAGAGGUUAGACUAACUCAUGACUAACCCGGAACUAACUGUAGCCAAAGAGGUGUUUGGGUGACAGGGUUAGAUUGACAAUAAAUGCACUUGAUGGAGAGAGAGAAGUGAUUUUUCAGUGGUCCCAAUGAGAACUACCUCCAGUUAGCACGUCUUGGGUGGGAUAGUUUUUUUUGGUGGGUUCGGUGCAACUUGCUCCAAUUUAAAUCCUCAUGCUUGGAUACUUUAGGGCUAUUUGAGCCCCAACUAGCUCAAACUAACUCUAACCCAUGGAUCCAAACAGGGCCUAUGGCCAGCCUCGACGCGGAGCAGUCGGUGCACCGGGGAGCGGCGCUUUCUCGGCCGUCGCGCCGCUUCAAAGCCGGCGCCAGUGAGAGGUCGCCUCCGCUCUGGCCGGGCAUUAAUGCGGCACUAACGCUCUAGGGCGACGCUGACCGUUUCACGCGGGAAGCGCGCGCUGGCAAGGGAGUAUAGGUUUUGAACCGUUUCAGGUGUAGUACUGGUAGUUUGCAAAACUACUCAAUUAUUGCACUCAGUUUCCUAAGAAAUUGUGGUAAGAAACGUUACUCCACAGCCCGCUUCCCUUCUCCUUCCUCUUCCACCGCCCGCGCACGUCCGCGGGAAGCGACCGGUCAACCCAUAUAUAGGAGUGCUAGCACAAAAAGAAGCAUGCAUGACCACUAAAAUUUCCAGAUUAAAGAGCCGCUUCGGCGGGAGUAUGGCGUAUGUUGUUACCUUCGGCCGGGCCAUGGCUACCGGGCGGGACAUGGAUCCUCUGACGUGGCUAUCACUGCCUUACCCUGCCUUUCCUUCGCUGACUGGUGGGACCCAUGCUUGGGUGUCCCACAUGUCAGUGAUAGAAUGGUAGGAUUGUUCACGUCAAGGGAUCCUCAUCCGGGCGACGGCGACCAGAGAAGAGGCGGCCGGAGGGGAAUGAAUGCAGCUACUUUUUGGGUUUGCCGUCCGGCUUAAAUAAAUGCGCAGCAUCACGUGUACCCGCGGGUGCACAGAUUGUAACAUACGUGUCUGCUUAAGUGGGCGUCACGUAACUGGUGUGUGUGUGUGUGUGAGAUUCUGAGAGACAGAGUGCGUGUGUGCGACUCUACUCUUCGGACAUAUACUCAACCUUUUGCAUCGGGAUAUAAGUAUAACGGCAUUUACUUUAGCUAGUGAUUUACGUGGCCAUGUUAACGUGGUUGUGUAAAAAAAAUGUCACUUCCUGCUCGUGAUUUGCGUUAUAUAAUUACGAGCAAGAUGCUCGUGCAUUGCACGGAACAUCAAUAUGCAUUUUUUUACAAAACACUUGUUGUGAUUUACCCAUGCAUGAGUAAUCCCAUGUGUAAAAACUAAUGAUAUUUCGAGAAUUUUAUUGGAAAACUGGUAUCUCGAGAAUGUCAUCGAAAAAAAUGAAAGAUGAGAGAUAAGGUGAGGAGGAGUGGAGCGUGGUGGUGACUGGUGGUCGAAAUGGGCGGAGGCAUGGGGAUGGACGGCGCCGGCAGGCGGCUGCGGCCACCAUGUUAGAUUGUUCCGAAGACUUUCUUUUUUAAUUUCUCGGCAAUGAGGUGUGGGAGAUAAGGAUGUGGAGAGAGGUGCGGCUAUCUUUUGUAAAAUUAUCAUAGUUUGCUUUCUAUCCGUCAGAUAUAGAUCCGACGGUCUAUUUUACAAGAUGGCAGGCACACCAUAAUCGCCAACUCGGUUUUUUAUAAGGGUACAGAUGAUAAGUUUGCUAACUACUAAAGUAAAGUGGAAUUUGUCCAUGUUAUACAAGUAAAUUAAGGUGAUUGUUUAUCAUACGUGUCGUGGAAUUGUCACGGCAGAUGUCCUAGGGUGAGGACUUAGUCGUGAGGCCAACACAUCUAUGUGGUAGCUUCAGAGGGGUUGAGCGGAAAUGAGAGACGCAACAUAAGACAAGGGUUUAGACAGCUUCGGGCCCCGGGAAACAUCAUCCGGUAACAACCCUACAUGCUGUUUGUGGCUAGGUCUCAUUAUCAUCACGAGGGAGUCGCCGGGAAACCGGCUCUUUGUGUCUAGCCCUAGAGAUUGUUUCUUCUUGCCUGUCCCUCUUUGGGGAGCCCUGCCCCUCCUUAUAUAAGUUGAAGGGGCGGGUUACAUGUGGAGUCCUAUUAGGAUUAGGACUAGUCUACCUUCUAAUACAAACCGGAUACAAGUCCGGGUCUUUAACUCCUUGUAAGGUAAUAUUCUUCACACCUUUCCUCUUAAAUCGGCCCACCAUCAAUAUAAACCGGCCCUCUAGGCCUUGGGCCUUGUCAUCCGUCUGUCCCGCCCGCCGGGUUACCAGUGAGUUAUAAUGUCCAGGCAGGUUGCUUGUAAACCGUCUGGUCAGGGCAGGUCGCCAGUGAAUCGCCAAUUGUCAAUCGGGUCUCAAGUAAACCGCCAAAUCCGGUCGGGUCAUAUUUCCGGCCAGUUCAUACCGCGGGGUAUAUCCCCGACAUUAGCCCCCAGUUUAAUUUGGAUUUAUCCAUGUUAAACUGAUCCUGUAAAAUAAACACAAGAACAAAUUUGACAGGUUGUGCUCCAGGUUAAAUAUUUUGUUAGCCAGCACCUAAUCAUCCUUAAGUCCCUGUCAUUUCCUCCUUCUAGAAAAUCCGGGUCAGUAGACCAGCUUCAUAAUCAAUUUGCUUGUAGAAAAAAUAUUGUAAAUAUAGAAUCCAUUUGACUCGACCUUCAAUGCUCUGACUUGACAAAAAUAUUGGUCUUCAAAUAUUCAACUGAUAUUCAGUCGGCUUGAAAAUAUAGAACUUGCCGAUCUAUUAUUUCCAACAUCGCCGGGUUAUAAAAACUGAUAAUUCUGGGUCAUAAUUGUUGCCAAUGUCGGUUCAUGAUUGUUGCCAACGCCGGUUCAUGAUUAUUGAUGAUGUCGGUUCAUGAUUAGUGAUGACGCCGGGUUAUGAUUGUUGCAGAUACCGGAUCAUAAUGAUUGGUGACGCCGGGUCAAUAAUUGUUGGUGACGCCGGAUCAAUCUGGUUAGCUCAAAAGAUAAAAUUGGAAGAUAUUUCUCCCUUAUAUCCAUAUUACCUGUAGCCCCCAAGUCUUGAACAGAACAAAGUGAUGAUUGGAGACUUGUUUCCAUAUAAUUACUGUCACUUUGAAGUAAUCCAUGUUGUUCACCUCAGUCACUAGUAAAGACUGAAUACUCCAUAUAUGUUGCCCCCAAGUGCCGGGUUGUCAUGCUUGCAGCAACCUGGGACUUGUGAUUGCCUUAUACUCAUAAAACUUCACCGAGUGAGCAGGGACCUUAUGCAAUAAUGAGCAGGGACUUUAUAAAUAUGAUCAUGCUUCAUUGAAAAUAACAUCAUAUGAUGUAACUCCGCCAUGGGGCUUGAACCCACGUCCACAAGGUUAAGAGCUUUGUGCUUUACCAACUGAGCAGUGGACUUAUGUACCUUCCAUCAUUGAUAGUAGUAAUUGGUAGCCCCCAAGGGUCGGCUCAUUAUGAUGUGAUGAGUCGGGUCUUCAAUAAGGCCAAUAAAAAUGACUUUGCAUUAGCCCCCAAGUGUCAUGGUGCAUGCUUGCAGCGACAAGAGACUUGCAUAUUUGAUAUAAUCUCAACUUUGAAUAAUGUAGCCCCCAAGUGCCGGGUCGUAAGCCUGCAGCGACUCGGGACUAUUCCUUCAGUUGUAGAAUAAAUCAUAUCCAUUGAUAAAAUAAUAACCAUUGCGCUAAAGCGACUUUGAAAAGCUCAAUCGUAAUACUGGUUAUUGAUAACCAUAAUAAAAUCCAGCCAUGUUGGCUAUUUGAAGAUUUGAAUAAUAUAAUCCAAUGAUUUAUGAGCGCAUGAUUCCAAUGGCGCAAUCCAAAUAUAUACUGGCGAUUUAUAAUCCCAAGCCAGUCCGGGUUAAUAAACACUGGUUAAUUUAUCAUCAUACUGGUGACUUAUAGUCGAAAGCCAGGCCGGGUUAAUAAACGCCGGUGAUUUAUAAUCAUGCUUUAUUCAACCUGUUUCUGCAUACAACAAGUUUAAAGUGUCCUGGCGGUUUACCGCCGGACGGGUCAUAAUGCCCAACAUAUAACCCGGGUUUAUAACCAGGGCUGCACUUAAGAAUAAUCAAAUAUGAAAUAUAUCAUACCUGUGACAUUGAAUCACAUCGUUGGUUUACCAACUUUUUGUAAUAAGGGUGAUAACCCAAAUCUUGAGUACUGAUAACUCCUCCCAUAUUUUGCCGGUUUAUGAUAAAACCGUACCGGGUUGUGAUAAACACCCGAUUAACCAUAUAUAAUACUGGCGACUUAUAGUAAAAACCAGACCGGGUUAAUAAGCGUCGGAUUAUAACUGAUCAUGUACUGACAACUUGUAGUUGAAAGCUGAGCCGGGUUAAUGAACGCCGGUUUACCAAAAACAUCAUAAAUCACAACAAAGGAGAAAAAACUUGGCAAAUAAAAGCAUAUGAAAACUUGUAGUUGAGGCUUUUCACAGGCUGCCAGGCCCCUAAUUCGAGGCUUUUCAUGGGCUGCCAGGCCACUGAGUUAAACAAUUUUGCAAAGCCUUUUAUGAUGGUCCUCAAUCCUUAACCAAUCGUCGUUUUAACUUGAUAAGUUCAGGGUCUUAUCAGAGUAACUUGUCAAAGUUUGACGGGUCAUACCAGGUUUACCUGGGCGGAGUGACUUACUUAAAAAGGCAGGCUAACCCGGGGUUUUAGGUGUAUACACCAGGCUUCCAAGCCGUGGCUUGAUAGCCUAUUACAAGUGUAGAUUCUUUGCUCAUUGUGACAGCAAAGAAUCCCCAAGUAACAUUUUGAGCUGUGCUCAGUGGGUGCCUAUGUUUGAGUUGUUCUUUUCCAACACUCUCUUUGGCCCCGAAGUAGUUUUCUGGUGUAGCUAUGGUUCGGACACGACCAAGCCCCCAAGUGACUUUUCUAGUGGCCUUGCGCCGAUCAAGAGGUGUAGCUAUGGUUCGAAUACGACCAGGCCGGGACCAUUCCGGAACUCCUCGUGACGUCCGGGAUCUCAUCCGGGAAUCCGAACAACAUUCGGUAAUCACAUACAAACCUUCCUUAUAACUCUAGCGUCAUUGAACCUUAAGUGUGUAGACCCUACGGGUUCGGGAAUCAUGCAGACAUGACCGAGACACUUCUCUAGCCAAUAACCAACAGCAGGAUCUGUAUACCCAUGUUGGCUCCCAUAUGUUCCACGAUGAUCUCAUCGGAUGAACCACGAUGUCGAGGAGUCAAGCAUUCCCGUAUACAAUUCCCUUAUCAAUCGGUACAUUACUUGCCCGAGAUUCGAUCGUCGGUAUCCCAAUAGCUCGUUCAAUCUCGUUACCGGCAAGUCACUUUACUCGUUCCGUAAUGCAUGAUCCCGUGACUAACUACUUAGUCACAUUGAGCUCAUUAUGAUGAUGCAAUACCGAGUGGGCCUAGAGAUACCUCUCCGUCAUACGGAGUGACAAAUCCCAGUCUCGAUCCGAGCCAACCCAACAGACAAUUUCGGAGAUACCUGUAGUGCACCUUUAUAGCCACCCAGUUACGUUGUGACAUUUGGUACACCCAAAGCAUUCCUACGGUAUCCGGGAUUUGCACGAUCUCAUGGUCUAAGGAAAUGAUACUUGACAUUAGAAAAGCUUUAGCAAACGAACUACACGAUCUAGUGCUAUGCUUAGGAUUGGGUCUUGUCCAUCACAUCAUUCUCCUAAUGAUGUGAUCCCGUUAUCAAUGACAUCCAAUGUCCAUGGUCAGGAAACUAUAACCAUCUAUUGAUCAACGAGCUAGUCAACUAGAGGCUCACUAGGGACAUGUUAUGGUCUAUGUAUUCACACAUGUAUUACGAUUUCCGGAUAACACAAUUAAAGCAUGAACAAUAGACAAUUAUCAUGAACAAGGAAAUAUAAUAAUAACCAUUUUAUUAUUGCCUCUAGGGCAUAUUUCCAAUAGUCUCCCACUUGCACUAGAGUCAAUAAUCUAGUUACAUUGUGAUGAAUCGUACACCCAUAGCGUUCUGGUGUUGAUCAUGUUUCGCUCGUCGAAAAGGUUUAGUCAAUGGAUCUGCGACAUUCAAAUCCAUAUGCACUUUACAAAUAUCUAUGUCUCCAUUUUGAACAUUUUCACGAAUGGAGUUGAAGCGACGCUUGAUAUGCCUGGUCUUCUUGUGAAACCUGGGCUCCUUGGCAAGGGCAAUAGCUCCAGUGUUGUCACAGAAGAGAGUCAUCGGCCCCGAUGCAUUGGGAAUAACUCCUAGGUCGGCAAUGAACUCCUUCAUCCAGAUGGCUUCAUGUGUUGCCUCCGAGGCCGCCAUGUACUCCGCUUCACAUGUAGAUCCCGCCACGACGCUUUGCUUGCAACUGCACUAGCUGACUGCCCCACCAUUCAAAAUAUACACGUAUCCGGUUUGUGACUUAGAGUCAUCCAGAUCUGUGUCGAAGCUAGCAUCGACGUAACCCUUUAUGACGAGCUCUUCGUCACCUCCAUAAACAAGAAACAUAUCCUUAGUCCUUUUCAAGUACUUCAGGAUGUUCUUGACCGCUGUCCAGUGUUCCAUGCCGGGAUUACUUUGGUACCUUCCUACCAAACUUACGACAAGGUUUACAUCAGGUCUAGUACACAGCAUGGCAUACAUAAUAGACCCUAUGGCCGAGGCAUAGGGGACGACACUCAUCUUUUCUCUAUCUUCUGCCGUGGUCGGGCAUUGAGCCAUGCUCAAUCUCACACCUUGCAAUAUAGGCAAGAACCCCUUCUUGGACUGAUCCAUAUUGAACUUCUUCAAUAUCUUGUCAAGGUACGUGCUUUGUGAAAGACCUAUGAGGCGUCAUGAUCUAUCUCUAUAGAUCUUGAUGCCUAAUAUGUAAGCAGCUUCUCCAAGGUCCUUCAUUGAAAAACACUUAUUCAAGUAGGCCUUUAUACUUUCCAAGAAUUCUAUAUCAUUUCCCCAUCAAUAGUAAGUCAUCCACAUAUAAUAAGAGAAAUGCUACAGAGCUCCCACUCACUUUCUUGUAAACACAGGCUUCUCCAUAAGUCUGCGUAAACCCAAACGCUUUGAUCAUCUCAUCAAAGCCAAUGUUCCAACUCCGAGAUGCCUGCACCAGCCUAUAGAUUGAGCGCUGGAGCUUGCAUACUUUGUCAGCAUUCUUAGGAUCGACAAAACCUUCCGGCUGCAUCAUAUACAAUUCUUCCUUAAGGAAGCCUUUAAGGAAUGCCGUUUUGACGUCCAUUUGCCAUAUUUCAUACGUAGAAUGCGGCAAUUGCUAACAUGAUUCGGACGGACUUCAGCUUCGCUACGGGUGAGAAGGUCUCAUCAUAGUCAACUCCUUGAACUUGUCGAUAACCCUUAGCGACAAGUCGAGCUUUAUAGAUGGUAACAUUUCCAUCCGCGUCCGUCUUCUUCUUAAAGAUCCAUUUAUUUUCUAUCGCUCGCCGAUGAUCGGGCAAGUCUGUCAAAGUCCAUACUUUGUUUUCAUACAUGGAUCCUAUCUCGGAUUGCAUGGCUUCAAGCCAUUUGUUGGAAUCUGGGCCCGCCAUCGCUUCUUCAUAGUUCGAAGGUUCACCAUUGUCCAACAACAUGAUUUCCAGGACAGGGUUGCCGUACCACUGUGGUGCGGAGCGUGUCCUUGUGGACCUACGAAGUUCAGUGGUAACUUGAUCAUGAUCGUCAUCAUUAAAUUCCUCUCUAGUCAGUGCAGGCACCACCGAAACAUUUUCUUGUGCUGCGCUACUUUCUGGUUCGAGAGGGGUCAUCUCAUCAAGUUCCACUUUCCUCCCACUUACUUCUUUUGAGAGAAACUCUUUCUCCAGAAAGGACCCGUUCUUGGCAAUGAAGAUCUUGCCUUCGGAUCGGAGGUAGAAGGUAUACCCAAUGGUUUCCUUAGGGUAUCCUAUGAAGACGCAUUUUUCCGACUUGGGUUCGAGCUUUUCAGGUUGAAGUUUCUUGACAUAAGCAUCGCAUCCCCAAACUUUAAGAAACGACAGCUUAGGUUUCUUUCCAAAUUAUAAUUCAUACGGUGUCGUCUCAACGGAUUUCGACGGAGCCCUAUUUAAAGUGAAUGCGGCAGUCUCUAAAGCAUAACCCCAGAAUGAUAGCGGUAGAUCGGUAAGAGACAUCAUAGAUCGCACCAUAUCCAAUAGAGUGCGAUUACGACGUUCGGACACACCAUUACGCUGAGGUGUUCCAGGCGGCGUGAGUUGUGAAAAAAUUCCACAUUUCCUUAAGUGUGUGCCAAAUUCAUGACUCAAAUAUUCCCCUCCAUGAUCUGAUCGUAAGAACUUUAUUUUCCUGUCACGUUGAUUCUCAACCUCACUCUGAAAUUCCUAGAACUUUUCAAAGGUCUCAGACUUGUGUUUCAUUAAAUAGACAUACCCAUAUCUACUCAAGUCAUCAGUGAGGGUGAGAACAUAACGAUAGCCACCGCGAGCCUCAACGCUCAUUGGACCGCACACAUCAGUAUGUAUGAUUUCCAAUAAGUUGGUUGCUCGCUCCACUGUUCCAGAGAAUGGAGUCUUGGUCAUUUUGCCCAUGAGGCAUGGUUCGCACGUGUCAAAUGAUUCAUAAUCAAGAGACUCCAAAAGUCCAUCUGCAUGGAGUUUCUUCAUGCGUUUGACACCAAUGUGACCAAGGCGGCAGUGCCACAAGUAUGUGGGACUAUCAUUAUCAACCUUACAUUUCUUGGCAUUCACACUAUGAAUAUGUGUAACAUCACGUUCGAGAUUCAGUAAGAAUAAACCAUUGACCAGGGGGGCAUGACCAUAAAACAUAUCUCUCAUAUAAAUAGAACAACCAUUAUUCUCGGAUUUAAAUGAGUAGCCAUCUCGCAUUAAACGAGAUCUAGAUACAAUGUUCAUGCUCAAAGCUGGCACUAAAUAACAAUUAUUGAGGUUUAAAACUAGUCCCGUGGGUAAAUGUAGAGGUAGCGUGCCGACGGCGAUCACAUCGACCUUGGAACCAUUCCCGAUGCGCAUCGUCACCUUGUCCUUUGCCAGUCUCAGCUUAUUCCGCAGCUCCUGCUUUGAGUUACAAAUAUGAGCAACCCCACCGGUAUCAAAUACCCAGGAGCUACUACGAGCGCUGGUUAGGUACACAUCUAUAACUUAUAUAUCACAUAUACCUUUGGUAUUGCCGACCUUCUUAUCCGCUAAGUACUUGGGGCAGUUCCGCUUCCAGUGACCGUUUCCCUUGCAAUAAAAGCACUCAGUCUCAGGCUUGGGUCCAUUCUUUGUCUUCUUCCCGGCAGCUUGCUUACCGGGCGCGGCAACUCCCUUGCCGUCUUUCUUGAAGUUCUUCUUACCCUUGCCUUUCUUGAACUUAGUGGUUUUAUUCACCAUCAACGCUUGAUGUUCCUUUUUGAUCUCCACCUCCGCUGAUUUCAGCAUUGAAUAUACCUCAGGAAUGGUCUUUACCAUCCCCUGCAUAUUGAAGUUCAUCACAAAGCUCUUGUAGCUAGGUGGGAGCGACUGAAGGAUUCUGUCAACGACCGCGUCAUCCGGGAGAUUAACUCCCAGCUGAGACAAGCGGUUGUGCAACCCAGACAUUUUGAGUAUGUGUUCGCUGACGGAACUAUUCUCCUCCAUCUUACAAAUGUAGAACUUGUCGGAGACUUCAUAUCUCUCGACCCGGGCAUGAGCUUGGAAAACCAUUUUUAGCUCUUGGAACAUCUCAUAUGCUCUGUGCUGCUCAAAACGCUUUUGGAGCCCCGGUUCUAAGCUGUAAAGCAUGCCGCACUGAACCAGGGAGUAAUCAUCACUACGUGACUACCAGGCGUUCAGAAUGUCUUGAGUUGCUGGGAAAACAGGUGCAUCACCUAGCGGUGCUUCAAGGACAUAUGCUUUCUUGGCAGCUAUGAGGAUAAUCCUCAGGUUACGGAUCCAGUCCGUGUAGUUGCUACCAUCGUCUUUCAGCUUGGUUUUCUCUAGGAACGCGUUGAAGUUGAGGGCAACAUUAGCGUGGGCCAUUUGGUCUACAAGACAUAUUGUAAAGGUUUUUAGACUAAGUUCAUGAUAAUGAAGUUCAUCUAAUCAAAUUAUUAACGAACUCCCACUCAGACAGACAUCCCUCUAGUCAUCUAAGUGAUACAUGAUCCGAGUCAACUAGGCCGUGUCCGAUCAUCACGUGAGACGGACUAGUCAUCAUCGGUGAACAUCUUCAUGUUGAUCGUAUCUGCUAUACGACUCAUGUUCGACCUUUCGGUCUCUUGUGUUCCGAGGCCAUGUCUGUACAUGCUAGGCUCGUCAAGUCAACCUAAGUGUAUUGCGUGUGUAAAUCUGGCUUACACCCGUUGUAUGCGAACGUUAGAAUCUAUCACACCCGAUCAUCACGUGGUGCUUCGGAACAACGAACCUUCGCAAUGUUGCACAGUUAGGGGGAACACUUUCUUGAAAUUUUAGCGAGGGAUCAUCUUAUUUAUGCUACCGUCGUUCUAAGCAAAUAAAAUGUAGAACAUGAUAAACAUCACAUGCAAUCAAAUCGUGACAUGAUAUGGCCAAUAUCAUUUUGCUCCUUUUGAUCUCCAUCUUCGGGGCGCCAUGAUCAUAAUCGUCACCGGCAUGACACCAUGAUCUCCAUCAUCGUAUCUUCAUGAAGUUGUCUCGCCAACUAUUACUUCUACUACUAUGGCUAACGGUUAGCAAUAAAGUAAAGUAAUUACAUGACGUUCCAGUUGACACGCAGGUCAUAAAUAAAUUAAGACAACUCCUAUGGCUCCUACCGGUUGUCAUACUCAUCGACAUGCAAGUCGUGAUUCCUAUUACAAGAACAUGAUCAAUCUUAUACAUCACAUAUAUCAUUCAUCACAUCCUUCUGGCCAUAUCACAUCACAUGACACUUGCUGCAAAAACAAGUUAGACGUCCUCUAAUUGUUGUUGCAAACUUUUACGUGGCUGCUAUAGGUUUCUAGCAAGAACGAUUCUCACCUACGCCAAAACCACAACGUGAUAUGCCAAUUUCUAUUUACCCUCCAUAAGGACCCUUUUCAUCGAAUCCGAUCCGACUAAAGUGGGAGAGACAGACACCCGCUAGCCACCUUAUGCAACUAGUGCAUGUCAGUCAGCUGAACCUGUCUCACGUAAGCGUACGUGUAAGGUCGGUCCGGGCCGCUUCAUCCCACGAUUCCGCCGAAUCAAGAUAAGACUAGUAACGGCAAGUAAAUUGACAAAAUCGACGCCCACAACAACUUGUGUUCUACUCGUGCAUAGAAACUACGCAUAGACCUAGCUCAUGAUGCCACUGUUGAGGAUCAUAGCAGAAAUUAAAAUUUUCUACGCAUCACCAAGAUCAAUCUAUGGAGUUUACUAGCAACGAGAGGGGAGGAGUGCAUCUACAUACCCUUGUAGAUCGCGAGCGGAAGCAUUCAAGAGAACGGGGUUGAUGGAGUCGUACUCGUCGUGAUCCAAAUCACCGAUGAUCCAAGCGCCGAACGGACGGCACCUCCGCGUUCAACACAUGUACGGAGCGGUGACGUCUCCCACGCCUUGAUCUAGUAAGGAGGAGGGAGAGGUUGAGGAAGAAGGCUCCAACAGCAGCACGACGGCGUGGUGGUGGUGGAGUGACAGUUCUCCGGCAGGGCUUCGCCAAGCACACGCGGAGGAGGAGAGGUGCUGGGGAGGGGAGGGGCUGCGCGUUGGGAAAGGUGUGGCUGCUCUCCCACCCCUCCACUAUAUAUAGGGGCAAGGGAUAGGGGGGCCGGCCCCCUCAGAUCCCAUCUGGUGGGAGGGGCGGCGGCCAGGGGGAGGUGGCUUGCCCCCCAAGCAAGGGGGGGCGCCCCCCUUUAGGGUUCCCCCCAAACCCUAGGCGCAUGGGCCCUAGGGGGGUUUGGCGCCCAGCCCACUUAGGGCUGGUUCCCUUCCACCUACAGCCCAUAAGGCCCUCCGGGGCAGGUGGACCCUCCCGGCGGACCACCGGAACCCCUUCGGUGGUCCCGGCACAAUACCGGCAUACCCCGAACACUUCCGGUGACCGUAUGGUGACUUCCCAUAUAUAAAUCUUUACCUCCGGACCAUUCCGGAACUCCUCGUGAUGUCCGGGAUCUCAUCCGGGACUCCGAACAACAUUCGGUAAUCACAUACAAACCUUCCUUAUAACCCUAGCAUCAUCGAACCUUAAGUGUGUAGACCCCACGGGUUCGGGAAUCAUGCAGACAUGACCGAGACACCUCUCUAGCCAAUAACCAACAGCGGGAUCUAGAUACCAUGUUGGCUCCCACAUGUUCCAUGAUGAUCUCAUCGGAUGAACCAUGAUGUCGAGGAUUCAACCAAUCCCGUAUACAAUUCCCUUUAUCAAUCGGUAUGUUACUUGCCUGAGAUUCGAUCGUCGGUAUCCCAAUACCUCGUUCAAUCUCGUUACCAGCAAGUCACUUUACUCAUUCCGUAAUGCAUGAUCCCGUGACUAACUACUUAGUCACAUUGAGCUCAUUAUGAUGAUGCAAUACCGAGUGGGCCCAGAGAUACCUCUCCGUCAUAUAGAGUGACAAAUCCCAGUCUCGAUCCGAGCCAACCCAACAGACACUUUCGGAGAUACCUGUAGUGCACCUUUAUAGCCACCCAGUUACGUUGUGACGUUUGGUACACCCAAAGCAUUCCUACGGUAUCCGGGAGUUGCACGAUCUCAUGGUCUAAGGAAAUGAUACUUGACAUUAGAAAAGCUUUAGCAAACGAACUACACGAUCUAGUGCUAUGCUUAGGAUUGGGUCCUGUCCAUCACAUCAUUCUCCUAAUGAUGUGAUCCCGUUAUCAAUGACAUCCAAUGUCCAUGGACAGGAAACCGUAACCAUCUAUUGAUCAACGAGCGAGUCAACUACAGGCUCACUAGGGACACGUUAUGGUCUAUGUAUUCACACAUGUAUUACGAUUUCCGGAUAACACAAUCAAAGCAUGAACAACAGACAAUUAUCAUGAACAAGGAAAUAUAAUAAUAACCAUUUUAUUAUUGCCUCUAGGGCAUAUUUCCAACACUUUGGGCCUUGGGCAUUGUCAUCCGUCUGUCCCGCCCGCCGGGUUACCAGUGAGUUAUAAUGUCCAGGCAGGUUGCUUGUAAACCGUCUAGUCAGGGCAGGUCGCCAGUGAAUCGCCAAGUGUCAAUCGGGUCUCAAGUAAACCGCCAAGUCCGGCCGGGUCAUAUUGUCAUCCGUCAUACCGCGGGGUAUAACCCCGACAAUACGGGUAAGGGUGGAUGAAGGGUGGUAGCAACAAAUGCUUCGCCUAGAGCAUCUGUGUGUGAGAUGGAGUCUCNNNNNNNNNNNNNNNNNNNNNNNNNNNNNNNNNNNNNNNNNNNNNNNNNNNNNNNNNNNNNNNNNNNNNNNNNNNNNNNNNNNNNNNNNNNNNNNNNNNNNNNNNNNNNNNNNNNNNNNNNNNNNNNNNNNNNNNNNNNNNNNNNNNNNNNNNNNNNNNNNNNNNNNNNNNNNNNNNNNNNNNNNNNNNNNNNNNNNNNNNNNNNNNNNNNNNNNNNNNNNNNNNNNNNNNNNNNNNNNNNNNNNNNNNNNNNNNNNNNNNNNNNNNNNNNNNNNNNNNNNNNNNNNNNNNNNNNNNNNNNNNNNNNNNNNNNNNNNNNNNNNNNNNNNNNNNNNNNNNNUGUGUGUGUGUUUGUGUGUGCAUGUGUGUGUGAUGGAGUCUUACUGUGUGUGUGUGUGUGUGUGGGUGGGUGGGUGGGUGCGUGUGUGUGUGUGUUUGUUUGUGUGUGUUGUGUCGCGGGGUCCUAGGUGGCGGAUGUAAUUUAAGUGUGCAUGGCUUCAUCAUAGAGAGGUGAUGUGUAUGGCAGAGGCCACCAACGAUGGGGUGCGAGAGAGAAAAUGCCCGUAGAGAGGGAAGAGAAGGUGUGUGCGCGUGAGAGUAGUCGACAUCAAGUGAACGUGUUUGUUCGAGAGACACCGAGGAAGACUACUAUAUAUAGAUGGUGCAUGUAGGCGGGAAUUAAACGAAGGGAUGGUCUUAUUGGUUUCGGGGAUAUAGGGGAAGUGUGAGAGGGGGGUAGCUGCAAGGAGAUUGUUAAGUGUGAGUGUCUUUUACCCAUCCAGGCGGAAGUUAUGUGCACACAAGAAGAGACCUUCAACGUGCAUGUGUGAGAGGUAUACAUGUAUACCUGGGAUGUAUGUGUGUGUGCGCGCGCAUGAUCGAGAUAAAAGAAAGAGGACAUAAGUCAUAAGCUAAGAUCAACGACAUGGGAGAGACGGAUCGGUAUGACAAUAUGCAUGCAUGUGAGAAUGCAGGGAAGAAGGCCCGACAAUUGAGCAUGUGUUUUUGUCUUUAAGAGAUAGUGUCGUGGGCUGGAGCAUGCAUCUAUGGCCAGCAGAGGGAGUGGGGCACAACGAUUGUGCAAAAGAGAUCAACCUAUAAAUGAAAGAAGGUUGAUGGAGAAAUAGAUAAAUAGAAAGGUAAAGAUGCUAGCUAGUGUGCGUUAGAGAUAGGAGUCGAGUGGAUCAGAAGGCUGAGUUAUGGGUGUGGGUGUGAGAGAGAUGAAGAAAGGGUGCAUGUGACUCACAUACAAACAAAUAUCGGAGAGAAAUGAGAUCCUGAGAGACGGAGUUUUGUGUCUGCGAGAGAGAAAGAUAUUUCAAAACGAGAGUGAUAGCUAGAGAAACAUAUGAGGGAACGCAAGAUAUCUCUAGGGAGAGAGAGUGUGUGUGAGCGACAUACAAGAGAACAGUGGAGAAAUAUGAGACCCUGGGAGACAGAGUUUGUGUUUGUGUGUGAGAAAGAGAUAUUUAAGAGGAAGAGUCGUAGGUUCUCAUACCUAAGAAGCGAAAGACAUCUCUGUAUGAGGGGUGUGCGAGUGGCACACAGGGGAAUAGUAGAGAGAAAUGAGAUCCCGGAAGACAAAGUUUGUGUUUGUGUGAGAGAAAGAGAUUCCACAUGGAGAAUCAUAGUUAGAGACACAUAGCAGGGAGCGAGAUAUACUUAGUGAGAGAUAGAGUGAUGAAGGUCGAGGGAGAGAGUACCGUCAGUGUGUUACGAAGAUAAAAGAUCAUUGUCGACAUACAGGUAGCAUGAGAGAUACCCGAGAGACGAUGAACGCGUAUAGGUCUAGAGAGAUAGUCCUAUAUAAGCAUGAGUGAUAGUUAUAUGAGACGAAUAUCUGGAUUAAAUGAGAUUCAAAUAUUUAAACUGGAGAUCACGGCAUCGAUAAUAUCAUAACGCAAAUUGGUGUAUCAAACAUGCAUAUUCAUUUGAAUUAGGAGACACGUGUAAUGUUAUAUAGUUUAUCAGUAUUGGAGAUCCAUAGAUUCUUUAAUUAGAAACAAUGCAUGGUUUAUAUGCAAUUAAUGUCUAAACGGGAUUACACUAUAUGUUGUGUGUGUGAAACACAUUAUACAUGUUUGAGAAGUAAAAAACACCGCAUGAAACACACAUUAAUUGGAGACAGUUAGCGAGGAAUGCAUACAUUGGAUUUCAAUAUAAAGUGGUUUCAAAUAUUUGAAAAUCCAAAUUGAUGGAUGCAACCUUAUGAAUCUGAGAUCAUGCCAUUCGUAAACCAUAUUUAUGUAUAAAGGGUGUUGUGCUUUUGAAAGUAUAUAUAAAAAAUGAUGUACAUAGAAUUUUAUUCCAAUCGAAAAUGGACCCCGCCCAAAAAAAUAGAAUACAAACGGGAUUCGAAUUGAUUUGGCACGGUAAACAUGCACUCUGCAAAAUUUGAACGAAGCGGGGAAAGUCGCAGUAACCGCCCGAAACCAAAAUCUGCGAGAUGGAAAUUACUACAGCCUAUUCCUGCCACGCAAAGCCUAUCUGCUCGAUUUCUAUAGGUUUCGAUAGGGGUAGGUUUGUAAUUUCACUCAAACGUGACAUAACCGCCUCUCACCCGGAUUCAUACACGGUGGGCGCCAAAACACAGUGUGUCCUCGGCCGAAAUCGACUCCCUCCCCGAUUCAUACACGGUGGGCACCAAAAACAGACUCUCGUCGACAAAUAUUCGGUGUAUGCAAGAUUACCGUCCUAUCCCCAACCGACUAAUAUUGCUGUGAUGUAGGAAAUUUGAAACAGGGGCUAAGUUUGUAAAUUUCCUCGCAUUUGAGACAAGCGCGCCCUGAAGACAUGGUUCCCCCUUCCUCUCCACCUCCAUUUCCCCAUUCGUACUUCGUGGGCGCCAAAACACCCUCUCCACCCCAGCCUCCUCCGUCCGCCAUCCCAUCCACCGCCAUCCUCCUCCACCAUGCCGGAGCUGAUACCCCGACGCCGCCGUCCAUUACAAGAGAUCGACCUCUCUCAUCCACGGCUUCGGACCGGGAUCCUUGCAUCCAGUCCUCUCGCUUCAUCCCCGCCAUCGUCCACCUUGCCGGCGUCGCUCCUACGACUGUCUCGCCCACCGCGCCCCGCCGCCAUCGUCUACCCUCCUAGAUCUGCUUCCACGCCGCCGACAGCCAUCGCUACCGCAGCACUGUCAAAUUCUCAGCAGAUGCAUACACGGCGCCACACCAAAGGCGGUACUCUUUUGUAUCUGCUAAACUUAUUUAUCGCAGCAAGAAAAUAGAUCGCCACUGCUUACUCUGAUUUCUUGUCCAUCACUUACUUGCUAGUUGAGAGCAAACAUUGGUUGCGAAGUUGCCUUUGUCCGGUUUGCAUCUUCAGAUCCGCCAUGGCACGCUCAACACUAUACUCCCAAUGCUUAUGGUUUUCCCCUUUUAUAUUCCACACCUACUUAAAUCACAGUAGACUAAAUUUCAAAAUUGGGUCAGUCGAUUUUUCAGAGCUCGCCGAAGUUCGCCGGUGCGAACGAAGGGGCUCGGGUGGGGACUUUGGUUGUGGGGGGUGGUGGGGCCUCGCCCCGAACGAAGAAAACUCGACGCCGGUGGGGACGGGGGUGGGGGUGGCGGAAGAACACAGGCGGUGGGGGGCGAUGGUCCGGCCGGCGGCCCGUGCGGUGUUCUAUAUGGGAAGAAUCAGAGACGAGGAAGAAGAAGGGUUAGGAGACGUAGGAUCUUCAUCCAACCGCCUGAUAUGGUCGACUGACCCAAAUGACAAAAGUCACGCGAGUUGCAUGCAGACAUGCCUUUAUAUUCAGUACCAUCAUCAUACCUUCUUAGCACUACCCGUGAAUCCAUCAAGCUAAACAACGUGCCACUCAUAAUUCCAAACUUGUUGCUCAAGUACGAAUCUGAUAUGAUGCUGAUAUUACUAAAACAGAUAACAUUUAAUUGGUCAGCUAAUGUUCCUACUUUACUUUCGAAAAAGCACGUGCACCACAUAUAGACAGAUAGCAGGGAGUUGCUUACUUAAUGCGCUCUGGUUCAUCAGGUGUGGGCACUGCGCAACGAACAUUUUAUUAUCCAAAAUCUGCUUGCUCUUCUUUAGCAUGUUCCUCUUCCAUUCUUCUUUAAUAAGUACUCUCUCCAUUCCUAAAUACAAGUCUUUGUAUAGAUUCCACCAUGGACUACAUAUGGAGCAAAAUGAGUGAAUCUACACUCUAAAAUGUAUCUGGAUACAUCUGUAUGUGAUCCAUAGUGGAAAUCUCUACCAAGACUUAUAUUUUGGAACGGUGGGAGUAUGAUAGUAGUACAGUAUGUUCCUUGUAGUGAAGAUGAGCAGGGACAUUUGCAGUGUAGAGGUCUAUACGGUCGGUUGGUAUGGACACUUUGAACUCUUCGGGCCUCUUUGAUUCGUAGGAUUUUGUAAACAUGGGAAUAGGAUUUGUAGUGGCCUGCCCACUUGAAUCCUAUAAGAAUAGCAAGGAAAUGCGGGGAGAUGUGUCGCCUUUGAGAGUUACACUGAUAUUAUCAGUAUCGCACCUUCAGUUGAAGAGAGCUGGUAUCCGAAGCCUUUCUAGCCAUACCGGCAAUACUAGCACAUAUAUUCCAGCAAGUUCCACUUUGCUGAUUUUACUCUGAUGCUUACGGUUUUCCCGUUAUAUCUACACUAUGAUCUGUGUACCUGCUUUGUGUCGCACUAGCAGCAGUCCACUCUUGAAGCUAAACACUGCAAUGACUUACAAAAUUGGCACCAAGGCAUUGAGUGCCAUUCUGGAUGCAAUGAAACUCAUACGCUCCCCACCUGUGGACUCUUGUUCAGAAUAUGAUCCUAAUGACUCUUGUUCAAAAUUGCCACAUAUAGAGAGACAGCAUGGAAUUGCAUUUCUUUGGGCUCUAUGACUCAUCAUGAGUGGGCAACCAACAUUGUAUGCAAUUAAGCGGAACCUCAAGAAUAUGCUUCCUCUUCUGUUCUUUAACAUGUUCCUCUUUUGUUAUUCUGUAUUUAGUACGUAAAGUAUGUUCCUUGUCAGGAAGGGGAGCAGGGACAUCUGCAGUCAACGGCUGAUAGAGCUGGCAUGUACUUGAUCGAUACGCUUUCAAUUACUAGCGGCAAUACAACACCGUAUUUUCAAGCCAGUUCCACUUUCCCGAUUUAUAUAUCGUGGUUAUCGUGUACCCCUUUUAUGUACACUAUGAUCAGCCUAGUUGCUGUGGGCUCUUGUUAUCAUGGUUUGGCAAUAAACUCUCUAUACAGUAUAUUUUUAACCUAUCAUCUGCCAACUAUCCUUACUUCUGGAGCCUAUUUUUUUGUGUACUUGUGCCAGAUUAGAUAAAUGCACGCACUAUAUCACAGCACACAUGAGCUCUCUCAUCAGAAUCCAGUGAUAGCACACAAGUGUUUACAGGGGCACCCCUAUAUUAGAAUAUCUUUUGCAUUAGAAAGAUAAUCUCACAACUAUUUAUGUUUUCAUGGUUCUCAGAUAUUAUACGUAAUUACAGUGAAUAUCAGAAUCCGUGCAUCAGAAGAAUAUUGUGGAACACUGCAAUGACUUAUAAAAUUGGCACCAAGGCAUUGAGUGCCAUUCUGGAUGCAAUGAAACUCAUAUGAUCCCCACCUGUAGAUCCUUGUUCAGAAUAUGAUCCUAAUGACUAUUCUAACCUCGAGGAAUCAAAGGCAGAUGGCCUGUCAUGUUCACCCAUCAAGGUGCCUGCUCUAAUUUGGCAAGGUUUUAUUGCGCGUAUCUUGCAUAUGUUGUCUUGCAUUUCUUCUACUUUGUUGCACCGCCAUCUGCUUAGGUUACUCAUCAUAUAUGUCGAGAUGCCAUGCCCAUCCAUUAUCAAUACAUAUUCCAUCUGUCAUCAUACCAUGUUUUUCCACUCAAAUGUUGUUCUUGUGCAUCAGACAUCAAAAAGGAAGAGGGUGAUUGCCGAACCUGAAGGAGCACCUGUCGGUGUCAAAACAAGCGGAUCUCGGGUAGGGGGUCCCGAACUGUGCGUCUAAGGCCAAUGGUAACAUGAGGCGGGGGACACGAUGUUUACCCAGGUUCGGGCCCUCUCGAUGGAGGUAAUACCCUACUUCCUGCUUGAUUGAUCUUGAUGAUAUGAGUAUUACAAGAGUUGAUCUACCACGAGAUCGUAGAGGCUAAACCCUAGAAGCUAGCCUAUGAAUAUGAUUGUGUAUGUCUAUCGACUAGCCUGGCCUUGGUUUAUAUAAUGCACCAGAGGCCUAGGAUAACAAGAGUCCUAGCCGAAUACGCCGGGUGGGGAGGAGUCCUUGUCUUGAUAACCAAGUCUUGUUGAAUCUUCCUUGUAUGUGGCAGCUGUCCGAACUGGCCCAUGAGUAUACGGCCAUGGGGGUCCUCGGCCCAAUCCAACUGAUCGGGAGANNNNNNNNNNNNNNNNNNNNNNNNNNNNNNNNNNNNNNNNNNNNNNNNNNNNNNNNNNNNNNNNNNNNNNNNNNNNNNNNNNNNNNNNNNNNNNNNNNNNNNNNNNNNNNNNNNNNNNNNNNNNNNNNNNNNNNNNNNNNNNNNNNNNNNNNNNNNNNNNNNNNNNNNNNNNNNNNNNNNNNNNNNNNNNNNNNNNNNNNNNNNNNNNNNNNNNNNNNNNNNNNNNNNNNNNNNNNNNNNNNNNNNNNNNNNNNNNNNNNNNNNNNNNNNNNNNNNNNNNNGUCAGUAGCCCCCUGAACCGGUCUUCAAGUUGGGGACGCUCCUCGAUUCUUCCGAACUAUUCUUCAUCUUCGGUUGUCGGUCUUGAAAACUAGUUCAACAAAUCUUCUCAUCUUCGAUCUUGAGGAUCGCCGAAGUGCAUCCGACGAGUUUACACGUCAGGUAUCCGAGGAGCCCCUUUAAGUUUCUGGCCUUUAUCAAUGCCUUGUUAUUUUUAUGCCACACCUCGGGUUUGAAGUUGUUCCCGGGCAGCAAUGUCCUCUUGCAUCCAAGCCCAACGCCGGACUAUAUUUGAGGUAUCUUUUGCAACCGGGUACCAACGCCGGGCUGUAUCCGAGCUCCAAUGUUGGACUAUAUCCAAUCUCCAACGCUGGACUAUAUCCAAUCUCCAACGCCGGACUAUGUCCGAGCUCCAGCGCCGGAAAUGCCCUCUAUGGAGCCAGCCACUGGCGCCCGAGCUUUAUACCGGACUGCUUCCGAGGUGGUGCACCACCCCGACCGCAGGCUGAUUUUUUGCGAAUAUUUUUGAUUGGUGCAAUUUAUUCUCUGCCGAGAUAUAUAGCCAGUAUAUGUAUAUCCAGUAGCCCUCAAGGUGUGUGUCGGUCUAAAACCCAAGAUGCACCUGAAGGAAAACAUAAAACUGCUGAUCCCAGUAGCCCCUGAGACUCAGGUCGAUUUGCGAAAUCGGCCUGAGGAUCAACUCUUAGCUCGGGAGCAUACGUAGGAAUAGAAACGCAGUGUAAUAUAUAAUGAAGAUCAACGGACGGGCCCCUAAGAGAGGGUCGUGAGAAGUCGCCGUGAUAUAUUAGCUUGAUGCCAGAUAGGUCCAGAUGGUACUUAUUGUUGUCCGAGGACACGCUUUCCCAUAGUUCGAUCAAGCCGAACACUGAGCCCUUUGGAUUUUUUGCAUUGAAUAGGCAAUGCAGUAGCCCCUGAGAGACUGGUCGAGUGGCAACACCAGAUCAGGGGAUCGAUGUGCCCCUUUAAUAUUUAUAAAUAAUGAGCACGAAGCCCAGUGGCCCCCCAGCCUUAAUGUGGGCACGGGUGGCCGAAUUAAGGAUCGAUAUCCAGAGUAAAAUCACAGAUUAUGUGUAAUGAUUCUUUGUAUCCAAGUACUUUACAUCAUUAUUUUGACUCCAUUGCGACCGUUUAUCAGUUAAAAGUGGCCCAUCGUUGGCUUCUACCCCUUGGUAGAUACGACGCAGGGUGUUUCCGCACUAACAAAACAACCCUUAGCCGACGUCUCGGUGCCCGGAGGCGGUUGUGUUAGCAGAAACGAGGCAAUCAGAUAUGCGGGCUUUGUAACUUUCACUUAGUCAUAGGAGCUUAAAGUUGGAAGGCCAGUUACUAGCCUCCGGCUAAUGUUCGGCGACAGUCUAGGUCAAGCCGUAAACACUUCGGCCAAUAUUAUGAACGGCCCGUCAUUUAACACAGUCAUCGGAUCGCUGACUAGUUUACGCUUAUUGUGACAGUCAAUUUUCGGCUUUCUCCACUGAGGCGCUUAACCAUGCUAGCUGGAAGCACAAUCGCAGUGGUUCUCCCGUUGCGCACCUAGCCGAACAAAGCGGAACGUAGGAGGCAAGCACAGGAGCCGGGCGACCCAACUAUUGACCAAAGACGCAAUUCGAAACCGAUGCAUAUACAACACUGUCCGAGAAUGUUUUUGCUGAAUCCCUAAAGGUAUCCGGCGCCGCACUACGAGACUAAUGCUAGAAACACACAAAUAUUUUAAAAGUGCCAUAAGCUUGGAAAACCAAAAACUUCAGUAAAAACUGGAUGCCCGAACUAGAUCAAGUGUUCGGUGCCAAAUCGAAAAUUGGUCUAGAAAAAAAAAGGUGCUUCUGUCGUGCUUUAUCAUGACACAUCUUAUCUCAAGACCUCAAGCGGGUCAGCCUACGGCUUCAACCUCCUAUCCCGAAGGCGGAGUACUUCUCAUUAGGCCAGCUUAGCAAACUAAACUCUGGUGGCUUUGAGAGAGAAAUUAGGCUCCCCGGCUAGUGACCACGCACUCGUGUCGAAAAAAGGAGUGAUAAAUAAUAAUAAUAAUAAUAAUAAUAAUAAUAAUAAUAAUGAUAAUAAUAAUAAAACUUUGCAACGACUAAGAAUAAGAACACUUAUUAUAAAACGGCUCAUAUAAAUUUAAGGGCCCCCAAGUGACUUGGGUAAAAGAAUUUUAUGUAUAAUGAUUGUAUGUACCAAAGUACUUAUAUCAUAUCUGUGUUCACCCGAACUUUAUACGUGUCUUAACCGACCGUCGGCUUCUCCCUCUUCGGUCAAGGGCCGAAAAGUAUUAUGUACUCCACCUGUCGAGAAUAUCGACGGUGUUUCCGAUAACCAGGCAAUCAGGCCAUAAGGCUGUAACAGACAAAGCGCGCUCAGGGAACUUAUGCUAUAUUACCGACGAAGUGUAAGAAGCAUCUUCGAAGAAAAUAGUACCCCCACCGAUACCUUUCUUCGGUGCUCAUUGUUACUAUGAGACUUGUGCAAUAGAUUUUUUGUACUCAUGAGUUCCGUUGUGUGCCGACCAUAAUUGAAAACAAUAAGAGCGCUAGCUUUCGGCUUCACCCAGUCUGAGGUCUGGCUCGGAUGACCCGAUCGUGACAAUCGCAGAGGUGCUCCCUUUACUCCCUAGCCGAACAAUCGGGAACGUAGGGGUAAACACAAGAGCGAGGCAACCCAGCUUGCAAAUCGCUUAAGUCAAUAUGGUGCAUAUUGUGGCAUAAUACAUGAACAAGGAACGAAGCCGUACAAGUAUAAUCAUAUGCAAGAGGAAAAUCUUGAUAAAGGAAGCCCCCAAGUAAACGGGGUAUUUGAAUUUGUGUGUCACAAACAAAGUUUCGACAAGGAAGUUUUUCACAAGCCAGUUUUUGCCAAAAAGGUAUAAUGCUUGGUCGAAUUGAACAAAAUUUAAAACUGGGAGUUUUUGAGCGUCAAAGUGACUUAGCUGGUUAAUGUGUUCUGCAUUGAUGACGCGGUCCGAGCUUGAUGCGGGACAAGGUUCCAUCCCCCAAGCCGGCCCCGAGGUGGCGGAGCGAAGAGCUCGACACUCCGAAGUGGUGACAUAGCACGGCCAAUGCAGGCCGGCAGAGUGACGCCGAAGUCCCGGGCGUGGGGUAAUGAAAUGUUGACGAAGCCCCCCGUCCAGCCGAGGUGACGUGGUAUGUCAGUAUACCGAGUUGACGAUACUGCCCGACCCGGAUCAUUUUCCUGUGCACAAAAAAUAGUGCAAACCGGAGAUAAUAGUAAUAAUAAUUAUUAAAAAAAUCGUUUCAUAAUAAAUAAUUUAUGCAAAGUGAGUAAUAAAAGAAAAUAUGGCCUGCGUGCCGAAGUGAACGUCGAUGCAGGGCGUCGGCGUGAUGCGGUAAAGGCGUGGCAAAGCCUGAAUUCAGAGGUCGGUCCGAGUUCCGGAUGCGGCGUGCGCCGGACUAUGUACGGAAUGUUGGGGAACGUAGCAGAAAUUCAAAAUUUUCCUACGUGUCACCAAGAUCAAUCUAGGAGAUUCUAGCAACGAGAGGGGAGGAGUGCAUCUACAUACCCUUGUAGAUCGUGAGCGGAAGCGUUCAAGAGAACGGGGUUGAUGGAGUCGUACUCGUCGUGAUCCAAAUCACCGAUGAUCCUAGCGCCGAACGGACGGCACCUCCGUGUUCAACACACGUACGAAGCGGGACGUCUCCUACUUCUUGAUCUAGCAAGGGGGGAGGAGAAGUUGAUGGAGAUCCAGCAGCACGACGGCGUGGUGGUGGAAGUAGCGGGAUCCCGGCAGGGCUUCGCCAAGCGCAAGCGGGGAGGAAGAGGUGUCACGGGAGGGAGGGAGGCGCCAGGGCUUGGGGUGCUGCUCCCAUGCGCCUCCCCACUAUAUAUAGGGGUGGAGGGGGCUGGUUUCUUGCCCUCCAAGUCCAUUGGGGCGAUGGCAAAGGUGGGGGAAAGAAAUCCCAUCAUUUCCCUUCCCCACCGAUUGUUGUCCCCCUUUUUUAGGGAUCUUGAUCUUAUCCCUUCGGGAUAUGAUCUUAUUCCUUCUAAGGUGGGAUCUUGGUGCGCCUUGACCAGGGGUGUGGGGCCUUGCCCCCACUACCCACGUUCAUGUGGGUCCCCCCAUGCAGGUGGGCCCCACUUCAGAACCUUCUCGGUACAAUACCGAAAAAUCCCGAACAUUUUCCGGUGGCCAAAAUAGGACUUCCCAUAUAUAAAUCUUUACCUCCGGACCAUUCCGGAACUCCUCGUGACGUCCGGGAUCUCAUCCGGGACUCCGAACGACUUUCGGAUUUCCGCAUACUAAUAUCUCUACAACCCUAGCGUCACCGAACCUUAAGUGUGUAGACCCUACGGGUUCGGGAGACAUGCAGACAUGACCGAGACGACUCUCCAGUCAAUAACCAACAGCGGGAUCUGGAUACCCAUGUUGGCUCCCACAUGUUCCACGAUGAUCUCAUCGGAUGAACCACGAUGUCGAGGAUUCAAUCAAUCCCGUAUACAAUUCCCUUUGUCAAUCGGUACGUUACUUGCCCGAGAUUCGAUCGUCGGUAUCCCAAUACCUUGUUCAAUCUCGUUACCGGCAAGUCACUUUACUCGUACCGUAAUGCAUGAUCCUAUGACCAAACACUUGGUCACAUUGAGCUCAUUAUGAUGAUGCAUUACCGAGUGGGCCCAGAGAUACCUCUCCGUCAUACGGAGUGACAAAUCCCAGUCUCGAUUCAUGCCAACCCAACAGACACUUUCGGAGAUACCUGUAGUGCACCUUUAUAGCCACCCAGUUACGUUGGGACGUUUGGUACACCCAAAGCAUUCCUACGGUAUCCGGGAGUUGCACAAUCUCAUGGUCUAAGGAAAUGAUACUUGACAUUAGAAAAGCUCUAGCAAACGAACUACACGAUCUUGUGCUAUGCUUAGGAUUGGGUCUUGUCCAUCACAUCAUUCUCCUAAUGAUGUGAUCCCGUUAUCAAUGACAUCCAAUGUCCAUGGUCAGGAAACCAUAACCAUGUAUUGAUCAACGAGCUAGUCAACUAAAGGCUAUAUAGGGACAUGUUGUGGUCUAUGUAUUCACACAUGUAUUACGGUUUCCAGUUAAUACAAUUAAAGCAUGAACAACAGACAAUUAUCAUGAACAAGGAAAUACAAUAAUAACCAUUUUAUUAUUGCCUCUAGGGCAUAUUUCCAACAGUCUCCCACUUGCACUAGAGUCAAUAAUCUAGUUCACAUCACCAUGUGAUUAACACUCAAAGUUCACUAGAGUCAAUAAUCUAGUCCACAUCACCAUGUGAUUAACACUCAAUGAGUUCUAGGGUUUGAUCAUGUUAUGCUUACGAGAGAGGUUUUAGUCAACGGGUCUGCAACAUUCAGAUCCGUGUGUGCUUUACAAAUCUCUAUGUCAUCUUGUAGAUGUAGCUACCACGCGCUACUUGGAGCUAUUCCAAAUAACUGCUCUACUAUACGAAUCCGGUUUACUACUCAGAGUCAUCCGGAUUAGUGUCAAAGUUUGCAUCGACGUAACCCUUUACGACGAACUGUUUUACCACCUCCAUAAUCGAGAAAAUUCCUUAGUCCACUAGAUACUAAGGAUAAGUUCGACCGCUGUCAUGUGACCCAUUCCCGGAUCACUAUUGUACCCCUUGACUAACUCAUGGCAAGGCACACUUCAGGUGCGGUACACAGCAUAGCAUACUGUAGAGCCUUAGUCUAAAGCAUAGGGGACGAACUUCGUCCUUUCUCUCUUUUCUGUCGUGGUCAGGUCUUGAGUCUUACUCAAUACUCACACCUUGUAACACAGCCAAGAACUCCUUCUUUGCUGAUCUAUUUUGAACUCCUUCAAAAUCUUGUCACGGUAUGUAUUCAUUUGAAAGUACUAUUAAGCGUUUUUUGAUCUAUCCUUAUAGAUCUUGAUGCUCAAUGUUCAAGUAGCUUAAUCCAGGUUUUCCAAUAAAAACACUUUUCAAAUAACCCUGGAUGCUUUCCAGAAAUUCUACAUCAUUUCUGAUCAACAAUAUGUUAACAACAUAUACUCAUCAAAAAUUCUAUAGUGCUCCCACUCACUUCUUUGGAAAUACAAGUUUCUCAUGAACCUUGUAUAAACCCAAAAUCUUUGAUCAUCUCAUCAAAGCAUUCAUUCCAACUCCGAGAUGCUUACUCCGAUCCUUAGAACGAUUGCUGGAGCUUUGCAUACUUGUUAGCAUCUUUCAGGAUUGACAAAACCUUCUGGUAGUAUCACAUACAACCUUUCCUCAGGAAAAUCAUCGAGGAAACAAUGUUUUGACAUCCUAUCUGCAAGAUUUCAUAAAUAAUGCAGUAACUGCUAAUAUAAUUCUAAUAGACUCUUAGCAUCGCUACGAGUGAGAAAGUCUCAUCGCAGUCAACUCCUUGAACUUGCCGAAAAACAUCUUAACGACAAGUGGAGCUUUCUUAAUGGUGACACUUACCAUCAUUGUCUGUCUUCCCUUUAAAAUCCAUCUGUACCCAACAGCCUUACGACCAUCAAGUAGUUCUUUCAAAGUUUAUACUUUGUUUUCAUACAUGGAUCCUCUCGGAUUUUAUGGCCUCAAGCCAUUCGUCAGAAUCCGGGCCCACCAUCGCUUCUCCAUAGCUCGUAGGUUCAUUGUUGUCUAGCAACAUGACUUCCAAGACAGGAUUACGUACCACUCUGAAGUAGUACGCAUCCUUGUCGUCCUAUGAGGUUUGGUAGUGGCUUGAUCUGAAGUUUCAUGAUCACUAUCAUAAGCUUCCACUUCAAUUGGUGUAGGUGCCACAGGAACAACUUCCUGUGCCCUGCUACACAUUAGUUGAAGUGACGGUUCAAUGACCUCAUCAAGUCUCCACCAUCCUCCCACUCAAUUAUUUCGAGAGAAACUUUUCCUCGAGAAAGGACCCGUUUCUAGAAACAAUCACUUUUGCUUCCAGAUCUGAAAUAGGAGGUAUACCCAACUGUUUUGGGUAUUCUAUGAUGAUGCAUUUAUCCGCUUUGGGUUCGAGCUUAUCUGCCUGAAACUUUUUCACAUAAGCGUCGCAGCCCCAAACUUUUAAGAGACGACAGCUUAGGUUUCUCUAAACCAUAGUUCAUACGGUGUCGUCUCAACGGAAUUGCAUGGUGCCCUAUUUAAAGUGAAUGCGGUUGUCUCUAAUGCCUAACCCAUAAACGAUAGUUGUAAUUCGAUAAGAGACAUCAUGGUAUGCACCAUAUCCAAUAGGGUGCAGUUAUGAUGUUCGGACACACCAUCACAAUAUUGUGUUCCAGGCGGUAUUAGUCGUGAAACAAUUUCCACAAUUUCUUAAUUGUGUGCCAAACUCGUAACUCAGAUAGUCAUCUCUAUGAUCAUAUCACAGACAUUUUAUCCUCUUGUCACGACGAUCUUCAACUUCACUCUGAAAUUACUUGAACCUUUCAAUAAUUCAGACUUGUUUUCAUCAAGUAAAUAUUCUCAGCAUCUACUCAAAUCAUCUGUGAAGUAAGAACAUAACGAUAUCCACUGCGUGCCUCAGCACUCAUUGGACUGCACACAUCAAAUGUAUUACUUCCAACAAGUUGCUCUCUUGUUCCAUCUUACUGAAAACGAGGCCUUUCAGUCAUCUUGCCCAUGUGGUAUGAUUUGCAUGUCUCAAGUGAUUCAAAAUCAAGUGAGUCCAAAUGAUCCAUCUGUAUGGACUUUCUUCAUGCAUAUAUACUAAUAGACAUGGUUCGCAUGUCUCAAUCUUUUCAAAAAUGAGUGAGUCCAAAGAUCCAUCAACAUGGAGCUUCUUCAUGCGUUUUAUACCAAUAUGACUCAAGUGGCAGUGCCACAAGUAUGUGGUACUAUCAUUACUAUCUUAUAUCUUUUGGCAUGAACAUGUGUAUCACUACGAUCGAGAUUCAAUAAACCAUUCAUUUUAGGUGCAAGACCAUUGAAGGUAUUAUUCAAAUAGACAGAGUAACCAUUAUUCUCCUUUAAUGAAUAACCGUAUUGCGAUAAACAUAAUCCAAUCGUGUCUAUGCUCAACGCAAACACCAAAUAACAAUUAUUCAGGUUUAACCCCAAUCUCGAUGGUAGAGGGAGCAUGCGAUGAUUGAUCAGAUCAACCUUGGAAACACUUCCAACACAUAUCGUCAUCUCACCUUUAGCUAGUCUCUGUUUAUUCUGCAGCUUUUAUUUCGAGUUACUAACACUUAGCAACCGAACCGGUAUCUAAUACCCUGGUGCUACUAGGAGUACUAGUAAAGUACACAUUAAUAUAAUGUAUAUCCAAUAUACUUUUGUCGACCUUGCCAGCCUUCUCAUCUAUGAAGUAUCUAGGGUAGUUCUGCUUCAGUCAUCGUUCCCCUCAUUUCAGAAGCACUUAGUCUCGGGUUUGGGUUCAACCUUGGGUUUCUUCACUAGAGCAACAACUGAUUUGCCGUUUCAUGAAGUAUCCCUUCUUGCCCUUGCCCUUCUAGAAACUAGUCGUUUUACUAACCAUCAACAAUUGAUGCUCCUACUUGAUUUCUACUUUCGCGGUGUCAAACAUCGCAAGUUGCUCAAGGAUCAUCAUGUCUAUCCCUGAUAUGUUAUAGUUCAUCAUGAAGCUCUAAUAGCUUGGUGGCAGUGACUAUGGAGAACCAUCACUAUCUCAUCUGGAAGAUUAACUCCCACUCGAUUCAAGUGAUUGUAGUACUCAGACAAUCUGAGCACAUGCUCAAUGAUUAAGAUUUUCUCCCUUAGUUUGCAGGCUUAAGAAACUUGUCAGAGGUCUCAUACCUCUUGACGUGGGCACUAGUCUGAAAUCCCAAUUUCAGUCUUUGGAACAUCUCAUAUGUUCUGCGACGUUUCAAAACCGUCUUUGGUGCCACAAUUUUAAACCGUUCAACAUUAGGCACUGAACUAUCACGUAGUCAUCAAAACGUGUAUGUCAGAUGUUCGCAACAUCCACAAACGACGCUCGAGGUUUAGCACACUGAGCGGUGCAUUAAGGACAUAAGCCUUCUGUGCAGCAAUGAGGACAAUCCUCAGUUUACGGACCCAGUCCGCAUAAUUGCUACUAUCAACUUUCAACUAAAUUUUCUCUAGGAACAUAUCUUAGUAGAACUAAAGUGUAAGCUAUGACAUUAUUUGCAAAGACCUUUUGGCUAUGUUCAUGAUAAUUAAGUUCAUCUGUUUAUUUAACGAACUCCCACUUAGAUAGACAUUGCUCUAGUCAUCUAAGUGAUACAUGAUCCGAAUCGACUAGGCCGUGUCCGAUCAUCACGUGAGACGGACAAGUCAUCAUCGGUGAACAUCUCCAUGUUGAUCGUAUCCACUAUACGACUCAUGUUCGACCUUUCGGUCUCUUGUGUUCCGAGGCCAUGUCUGUACAUGCUAGGCUCGUCAAGUCAACCUAAGUGUUUUGCUUGUGUUCCGAGGCCAUGUCUGUACAUGCUAGGCUCGUCAACACCCGUUGUAUGCGAACGUUAGAAUCUAUCACACCCGAUCAUCACGUGGUGCUUCAAAACAACGAACCUUCGCAACGGUGCACAGUUAGGGGGAACACGUCUCUUGAAAUUUUAGUGAGGGAUCAUCUUAUUUAUGCUACCGUCGUUCUAAGCAAAUAAGAUGUAAACAUGACAAACAUCACAUGCAAAUCAUAAAGUGACGUGAUAUGGCCAAUAUCAUCUUGCGCCUUUGAUCUCCAUCUUCGAGGCGCGGCAUGAUCACCUUCGUCGCCGGCAUGACACCAUGAUCUCCAUCAUCAUGAUCUCCAUCAUCGUGUCUUCAUGAAGUUGUCUCGCCAACUAUUACUUCUACUACUAUGGCUAACGGUUAGCAAUAAAGUAAAGUAAUUACAUGGCAUUUUUCAUUGACAUGCAGGUCAUACAAUAAAUUAAGACAACUCCUAUGGCUCCUGCCGGUUGUCAUACUCAUCGACAUGCAAGUCGUGAUUCCUAUUACAAGAACAUGAUCAAUUUCAUACAUCACAUAUAUCAUUCAUCACAUCCUUUUGGCCAUAUCACAUCACAUAGCAUACCCUGCAAAAACAAGUUAGCCGUCCUCUAAUUGUUGUUGCAUGUUUUACGUGGCUGCUAUGGGUUUCUAGCAAGAACGUUUCUUACCUACGCAAAAGCCACAAUGGUGAUAUGCCAAUUGCUAUUUACCCUUCAUAAGGACCCUUUUCAUCGAAUCCGAUCCAACUAAAGUGGGAGAGACAGACACCCGCUAGCCACCUUAUGCAUCAAGUGCAUGUCAGUCGGUGGAACCUGUCUCACGUAAGAGUACGUCUAAGGUCAGUCCGGGCCGCUUCAUCCCACAAUGUCGCCAAAUCAAGAUAAGACUAGUAACGGUAAGCAAAUUGAACAAAUCAUCGCCCACAACUACUUUGUGUUCUAGUCCUGCAUAGAAUCUACGCAUAGACCUAGCUCUGAUACCACUGUUGGGGAACGUAGCAGAAAUUCAAAAUUUUCCUACGUGUCAACAAGAUCAAUCUAGGAGAUGCUAGCAACGAGAGGGGAGGAGUGAAUCUACAUACCCUUGUAGAUCGCGAGCGGAAGUGUUGAAGAGAAUGGGGUUGAUGGAGUCGUACUCGUCGUGAUCCAAAUCACCGAUGAUCCUAGCGCCGAACGGAGGACACCUCCGCGUUCAACACACGUACGGAGCCGGGACAUCUCCUCCUUGAUCCAGCAAGGGGGGAGGAGAAGUUGAUGGAGAUCUAGCAGCACGACGGCGUGGUGGUGGAAGUAGCGGGAUCCCGGCAGGGCUUCGCCAAGCGCAAGCGGGGGGGAAGAGGUGUCACGGGAGGGAGGGAGGCCCCAGAGGUGUAGCGGGAUCCCAUGCACCUCCCCACUAUAUAUAGGGGUGGAGGGGGCUGGUUUCUUGCCCUCCAAGUCCAUUGGGGCGUUGGCAAAGGUGGAGGAAAGAAAUCCCAUUAUUUCCCUUCCCCACCGAUUGUUAUCCCACUUUUUUAGCGAUCUUGAUCUUAACCCAUCGGGAUAUGAUCUUAUUCCUUCUAAGGUGAGAUCUUGGUGCGCCUUGACCAGGCGUGUGGGGCCUUGCCCCCACUAUCCACGUUCAUGUGGGUCCCCCCAUGCAGGUGGGCCCCACUUCGGAACCUUCUAGAACCUUCUCGGUACAAUACCGAAAAAUCCCGAACAUUUUCCGGUGGCCAAAAUAGGACUUCACAUAUAUAAAUCUUUACCUCUCCGGACCAUUCCGGAACUCCUCGUGAUGUCCGGGAUCUCAUCCGGGACUCCGAACGACUUUUGGAUUUCCGCAUACUAAUAUCUCUACAACCCUAGCGUCACCGAACCUUAAGUGUGUAGACCCUACGGGUUCGGGAGACAUGCAGACAUGACCGAGACGACUCUCCGGUCAAUAACCAACAGCGGGAUCUGGAUACCCAUGUUGGCUCCCACAUGUUCCACGAUGAUCUCAUCGGAUGAACCACGAUGUCGAGGAUUCAAUCAAUCCCGUAUACAAUUCCCUUUCUCAAUCGGUACGUUACUUGCCCGAGAUUCGAUCGUCGGUAUCCCAAUACCUUGUUCAAUCUCGUUACCGGCAAGUCACUUUACUCGUACCGUAAUGCAUGAUCCCGUGACCAAACACUUGGUCACAUUGAGCUCAUUAUGAUGAUGCAUUACCGAGUGGGCCCAGAGAUACCUCUCCGUCAUACGGAGUGACAAAUCCCAGUCUCGAUUCGUGCCAACCCAACAGACACUUUCGGAGAUACCUGUAGUGCACCUUUAUAGCCACCCAGUUACGUUGUGACGUUUGGUACACCCAAAGCAUUCCUACGGUAUCCGGGAGUUGCACAAUCUCAUGGUCUAAGGAAAUGAUACUUGACAUUAGAAAAGCUCUAGCAAACGAACUACACGAUCUUGUGCUAUGCUUAGGAUUGGGUUUUGUUCAUCACAUCAUUCUCCUAAUGAUGUGAUCCCGUUAUCAGUGACAUCCAAUGUCCAUGGUCAGGAAACCAUAACCAUCUAUUGAUCAACGAGCUAGUCAACUAGAGGCUUACUAGGGACAUGUUGUGGUCUAUGUAUUCACACAUGUAUUACGGUUUCCAGUUAAUACAAUUAUAGCAUGAACAACAGACAAUUAUCAUGAACAAGGAAAUACAAUAAUAACCAUUUUAUUAUUUCCUCUAGGGCGUAUUUCCAACACGGAACCUGGUUUAUUUGUUGUAGCAAUCCGAAGAAAGGUGACUCCCAAAAUUGGGACUCGAUCCGCACACCCAUUGCCUGAUGGGUGAUAAAGUGACGGCAUGGCGAUGCUGGUAAAGGUUGGCUUGCCGAGGCAAAGCCCUCGGUCCAGCUAACGUGACGAAGCUGGUCGGCCAGUGACACUGAAGUCUCCGGAGUAGGUUGAUGAAGAGAUGGCGAAGCCUCCGAUCCAGCCGAGAUGUCGAAGCCUUGAUGUCGGCCGAUGAGUCGAAGUAGGUCGGCGUGAUGGACACUGGCUUGAAGGAGCAACAGUGCGGCCCUGCCGAUGCAGGUCGUGACGUGGUCAAUGUCGGCUUGAUGAAGUGACCGUGCGGCGAUGCCGGUGUGCCCGCUCCGUGUAGUUCGUGGGGCAGCGAUGUUGGUGAUAAUUUAUCCUUCGUGAUGCCGAACUCUUGUUCGGCUUGCCGAGAUGAUGAUCCGAAGAAGUUGAGCUCGGCUCAGCAAAGCGACGACGUGUCUAGCGCAGGUCGGCAGCUGUAGAGCAACGUUGUCGGGCUGGUUUGACACCAGCGCGAUGGUGAAGAUCAUAUUGGAAAAGACUUCAAAAUUAGCGGGAUGUGUUUGGGAACAAAACACAAUACCCCAUACAAAACUUCCUUCAAAAAGCAUGUCCGAAAUCCCGUUCAUAAAAAAGAUGAAUUCGGGUCGGAUUCGUUCUCGUGCAGAAAACAGAUCCGAAAAGUGAUGCACUAAUCGGAAGGUUCCCGGAAUUUGGACGGUCGGAUCAAGCUGAAAUUGUGAGGGGUGGUAGAUAUAGGAAUUCCGCAGCCGAUCAACGGUUGGAUCUUCCAAAGGAGGUCCGAGCUAGAAGCUGGACACCACGCCCUAAACUCGUCCAGAUUCCCGUCCAGAUUUGAGAGGGCUCCGGUAUAUCGUGGAUUGCCAGAGAUUCCUUCAUCGGAACUUGACAAAAUUUUCCAGGGCUGUUGUAGACUCAAUUCCGCACAAUUCCACUGAAGCAAUCGUUAAAACGACAAUUGAGGAGGCGGUGGCGGCGGAUACAAGUUUGCUGCCCAGAAAAACAGCACGGUCGCCCGAGGGCAAUGUUGACGUUGAGCCCCCGAGCUCCCUGGAUGAUUCCUCCAUGAUCUUGUUAGAGAUCGGAGUUGAUGUUGAUGAAGGCCCUCCUCCGAACAUGACGAUCGGAGGUAGGGCCGAGUCCUCGGUCCAGCCAAGGUGACCAGUCGAGCCAGCGACGAAGAUGCCGGCGUCCCAGUUGACCUGCGGGCGAGCCAUUGAUCCUUUUGCCGAUCACACAGCGGAACUCUCAAUGAAAGCGCCAAUGUCGGUGUCAAAACCGGUGGAUCUCGGGUAGGGGGUCCCGAACUGUGCGUCUAAGGCCAAUGGUAACAGGAGGCGGGGGACACGAUGUUUACCCAGGUUCGGGCCCUCUCGAUGGAGGUAAUACCCUACUUCCUGCUUGAUUGAUCUUGAUGAUAUGAGUAUUACAAGAGUUGAUCUACCACGAGAUCGUAGAGGCUAAACCCUAGAAGCUAGCCUAUGAAUAUGAUUGUGUAUAUCUAUCGACUAGCCUGGCCUCGGUUUAUAUAAUGCACCAGAGGCCUAGGAUAACAAGAGUCCUAGCCGAAUACGCCGGUGGGGAGGAGUCCUUGUCUUGAUCACCAAGUCUUGUGGAAUCUUCCUUGUAUGCGGCAGCUGUCCGAACUGGCCCACGUGUAUCCGGCCAUGGGGGUCCUCGGCCCAAUCCAACUGAUCGGGAGACGACGUGAUGAGUACCCCCUAGUCCAGGACACCGUCAGCACCAGCAAAGUCCCUAAAAACGUGGUUGUGCCGGAGAAAUCAGACAGCACCCCACUUAUAUUGGCUGUACAACCAGUGACACAAAACGUAGGACCGACUCCAGCAGACUGUACCCAUACUUCACUGGCCACACCACUAGCCCCACCACACAGGACCUGCACUCCAGCAAAAGGUAUGCCGAUUUCAGUUGCCAUAGCACCAGUUGUACCACAGAAAAAUCCCACUCCAGCAAAAAGUACAGCAAGUCCACCGGCCGAAGACCUAUCCCAAGUGCAGAGACGGCCAAUUCCUCCAGAUUGGAACCCCAUUCCAGUUAUUCCCAGUUUAAAAGACAAUGCUUUCAAUGUUGUUAGGGACUACGUGCAUAUAUUCCCAUCAUUGGAAGAUUAUAGUGAAGACAAACACCAUUUUCACAUCUUCCUGUCCCACUUAUGUGUAAGUGCUAUUAUUCAUGGUGAUUAUUUUCCUGUUUUCUGCUGAUUGAACACAUCAAUGAUUUACAUUACAUUGUUGUAAGUAGGCGAGGGUCAAUCUGAAUAGUCAUGACGAGCAAAGCUUGCUUGCACUUUUCAAGGAAGCAUUGCAGCAGUAUUGGUGUUACCUGAGGAAAUCACACUUUGAUGGCAAGUCUAUAAACGAAUUUUUGGUGAAGUCUCGUAUGCUAAAUUUAGAAGACAUUGAAUGGAAAAACCUUGUUAUGCACUGGUCUCGUUCCGAGGAUGAGGUACUGUCUAUGAUAUCGCAUGACAAUUUGAACUUCUACUUUUCCGCAUGUGCUUUACGGAUCUUUUUUGCAGGAAAUCUGCUCGAAAAAGAAUUCUGGUUUGAAAAGAACGACAGGAUAUCGCAAAUAUGCUGCCCGCUGCUUUGCUCUUGUUAGUACCUGUUGUCAUGUAUCACUGUACUUGCAUACAUAUCUGGUUCAUUAUGUGACAGCAGUAUGCAUGAUAGCUUGCUUAUCAAUUGUUCGCUCCAAAUUAUCUGAUCUGUAUGAAUGGUUACAUUAGUGUAGAAUAUAUCCAAUGCCAAUGAAAUUUUUAAGCUCUGCAUUGUUCUUGUAAGUACCUGUUGUCCUUUAUCAGUGUACUUAUAUUGACAGGUAGUUGUUCAUGUACCAUCACUCUGCAGCUUAUUUUUCUUUGCCCUCCAUUUUCGACACAUAAGAUCUAUAUUUACUCUUACCAUAAAGUUGGCUAACACUGAUGGUACUGAAGAAGUUUAGCUCUGCAUUGCUCUUGGCUGUACCUUUUGCCUGUAUCGCUGUACUUACAUUUAUAGCUACUUGGUUAUGUAGCAUCGCUCUUCAUCUUAUCUUAAAUAUUCUCCAUUUUUUCUUAUAUUGUCACAUCUAUAUUUACUCUUAACAAAAUGUAGAAUAAAGGCAAUGCUUAUGAUGAAGAUUAUGUGGUAAACUUCUUGAAUUGCCCCCCCCCCAUCAGCAUGGACAAGGGCUUUAUAGAGCCUUCCUUCACCAAUAAUGUAAGUUUGUCCUUCUCAAGCCUUCAAACUUUGUUGUGUAUAUUUGGUUAGGCAUGACUGCAACAGCUAUUUAUUUUUGGUGUUUGCAUCAAAUUGCAUGUUUAGAGUUUAUUAUGUACUCCAGUUCAUAAACAAAAGUUUGUCCUUCACAAUUUAAGUUUUCAGUUGUACAACCAAGUUCCUUCUUCAUACCAUGUAAAUUAAACUGUACAAAGCAAGUGAUCAUAUUUUGCCAAUCUGAAAUGGGAUAAAUUGAUAGCACACUAACCAUUGACACUUAUGAGUUCUUGAUCUGUAAUCCAGUGGUGUUGUGAAGCUGCCAACUCCUUCACAAUGUUAUUUCCUGCCAUGUCUUGACCUGAACAAUACCAUAUUGUGUUAAUGCUAUUUUAAACUGUGUCACUUUAUUCGUUAGUAAGAAAUGUGAUGAAUUGCCAGCACUGAUACUUAUAUGUGCAAAACAUGUCAUCUGUCUGCUUGUUUAUCUUUCAGAGUGAGGAGGAUAUAAGUGUCAAACAAGUGCAGUCUCACCAGCUUGCUCAGCUGCUUGCGCUGCAGCUCCCGAGCAGGGCUAACCUUUCUUGAACUCUAUUAAAGUGUUGUCGGUUUUGUAUAUUAUUUUGCCGGCGUGUUUAGUUGCACUGGUGGCGAUCUUUGAUGCCCAGUGUAUGUAAUCUGCUGUCUGCUUGUGCUUUAUUAUCAUAGUGGCGAACUUUGAUGCCCAGUGGAUGUAAUAUGCUGUAAUUUCUUUAUUGUAUAGUCUAGGUUUUUUUUCUUAUUCACGAUGCUGCAGUUAUUUUACUGUAUAUAUAUAUCCUGUCUUCGCAGUAAACCGGCCAAACCGUAAAAUUACGGUACAUAAUCGGGCCGUCAUGCAAAUCACCAUGUAUGAUCCGCAUCAUGGGCCCCGUCAUCUUGGUCCGUUAACAGGCCUAAAUGUAAACUGGCCCACUAGUAGAUUCGGCCCUUUAAUAGGCCGAGUAAACCGCCGGCCCUAUUUUCCCAAGAAAACUCAAUGGGCCUUUAGGAGGGUGAAAAGUAGGUUGGGCCUGAAACAUGCCGAACAGCUCACGGGCCAGCAGCAGGCCAAAAUAGACCCCGGCCCAUGAAUGUGCCAAUCAAAUCAUGGGCUUAUAACAGGCCAAAAUUGUCUCGGUCCUUGUUUGGCCUAAUCAGAUUAUCGGCUGCGAGUAGGCCGGAUGCAAACCGGGCCGUAGUUAGGCCCAACUAUAAGAUGGGCUUUUAACAGGCCGAAAUUAAUAUAGGGUUGAAAUGUUAAACGGGCCCUUAACAGGCCGAAACUAAUAUCAGGCCGAAUUACUAAAUGGGCCUUUAGCAAAUGGGCCCAAAAGCAUAGCGUCCGGUUGACGGGCCGAAUCUUAUAUGGGCCAUAAUUUAGCCCAAAGCAUCUUAAAGGGCCGGACCUGAUCUGGGCCGUAAUUUGGCCUAGAACGUGGUAGGCCUUUAACGGGCUGGAUCUCAUAUGGGCCAUUAUUAGGCCCAGAACGUGGCAGGCCAUUAAUGGACCGGAUCAAAUAUGGGUCGGCAUUUGGCACAAAAAAUGGCAUCCAGUUAAUGGGCCGGCCUACUAGGGUCCUCAAAAUCUUGUGGGCCUAAAGCUGGGCCGGUCCAUUAAUGUCGGUGAAAUCUCGUGGGCCUUUAGCUGGGCCGGCCCAUUAUGGUCCACAGAAAUCUCUUGGGCCUUCACCUGGGCCGGCCCAUUAUGGCCCGCAAAAAUCUUGUGGGCCUUUACCUGGGCCGGCCCAUUAUGGCCCGCAAAAUCUUGUGGGCCUUUAGCUGGUCCGGCCCAUUAUGGUUCGCAAAAUCUUGUGGGCCUUUAGCUGGGCCGGCCCAUUUAAACUUUAUGGGCCACUUUUGGGCCGGUCCAUGUGUUAACAUAUCAUAGGCACAUCUCGCCCAUUGGAUGAGUGACACCUGUGCCAACAGGGAGCUGACACGUGUUUCCUACAACCAAUGAUGAUUUCACACGUGGAAAAUCCCCACUGGGGUUGUUAACGGGUUAUCGGACCCAAUAGCUUAACGGCGUUCUGUUACGGUGGAUGCCACGUGUCGGUCACCCUUGAUGAAAGCACUUCUGUGACACGCGAUUUAUCGUCAUGGAAGUGGACACUUCUGUGAUGAUAAUUUUGGUAAUGUCAUGGAACACUUCUACGACAGCACAGGUAUGACUAUCUUGAUUCUGUCAUAAAUUUGUCAUGGAUGUACAUGCAUGACAGAAAACGUGACCUACUGUGACAAACACGUAUCAUCACGGAAGUGUAUUUUUUUGUAGUGGGAGGGUGUCUGGCGGGUGCCAAAUAUGUUGACAGGUGGGCCGACCUCCCCGUUGCAUGUGGGCGAGCACUCGAAAGGGCACACGUGAGCGCGAUGAAAUUCACUACAUGACGAAGGCCAUUUGUGCACCUGUGGUUCUCCCGGCAUGGGCUCCCGAAGUGGGUCGCCCGGGUGCUCAUUGUCCAAACAGAUCGGACAGCACGGAGAGCCCCCGAGAGGCCUCGGCAGCACGCCAUUAGGAAACACAUAGUGUGAAGGUCAAUCUCUCCUGUGGAAGCACCUAGGAGGCAGGUUGAUGUAGGGUGGAACCCUAGAUGGCCGAUCUUUCAUGAAAGGAGCGGAUCCCAUGAUGAACACGAAGAACACGAGGAGAAAUCACGAGGGGAAACACGAGAGAAUCACUCAAACCAACAAGAUUCGGUCACACAUAUGCUAGAUCCUCGAAACACAAAGAGAUACAAGAUCCAUGAUCAACAAGGGACGAUACAAGUAGCAUGUUCUUCUCCGUGAGGAGGUCUUGAGGUCUUCCCGUUAUGGGUCUUGAAUCCGCUUAGGGGAUCUUCUCCGUAGAGGUCGUGAACUCUGGUGGAGAAGUAACCAAGGGGAUGAGCAAAAUCUCUAUCUCUAAAUUGAGCUAAUCCUUUGCUAACCCUAGAAAGAGGGAGAACGAGUAUAUAUAGUCUAGGUGGGCGAAGGGGUACACGGGCCUCGGCCCUUUACUGUGCGCAGACAGAUGGAGUCGGACGUCCGGGCGUCGGGCUGGAUGUCCGGGCCUUCCUCAGCGGCCGGAUGCCCGGGCUGGGGGGCCGGAUGUCCGGGCAGGCGAGGGCGGCCUCGGUGCUCUCUCGAUAGGGGGCGCCGGAUUUCCGGGCUUCUGGCCGGAUUUCCGGGUUGGGGCCGGAUGUCCGGGGCCUGUAGGUACUUGGCGGCUGGGCGGCUACUAUGGGUGAUGUUCCAGGGGCCGGAUGUCCGGGGUCAUGUCUGGAUGUCCGGGUCCUGGGAACUGUUCUUGACUCCUUCCGUUGGUUCUAUUCAUCCAUGAACUUGGGGACUUGUCCGUCUUCACGUGCAUCUUUGGGAGGGUUCUCUUGGUACCUAAUCAUGCACAACAUUCCAGACUUAGGUAGUAGCCAUGUCUCAAGUGGAUCAUAUGUGAUAUCAAUAAGGAAAGAAGUCACCUCGCUCUCGAGAGCUCUAGCUCGUGCUCGUGUCAUAGGUCCUCUUGGCACUUUGUGAGACGAUGGUAGGUCCAUGGGGAUGACCAUAGGAUGCUCCGCAUCAUCUCCCCUCCCUUCGGAAAGAUUCGACCUCGGAUCGAAAUCUUCAUCACCAUGGUAGGGAGAGAGAUCUUUGACGUUGAAGAUGUCACUCCAGAGUACUUGUCGUGUGGGAUGUCGAUCUUGUAUGCGUUGUUGUUGUAGCGUUCAAGCACCUUGAAGGGUCCAUCAGCUCAUGGUAGAAGUUUGGACUUGCGUUCGUUGGGGAAGCGGUCCAUGCGAAGGUGUUGCCACACAAGAUCUCCAAUGUUGAAUACCGUGGGUUGCUUGUUGAAGUUGAGCUUGGCCGUGAGUCGUUGUACUUGGCGCUCGAUGGUGUGCCUUGUAUCUUCAUGGAUCUUCUUGAGGUAGUUCACUCGGGCACUCGCAUCCAUGUUGAUGCGCUCUUGUAGUGGUAGAGGAAGAAUGUCCAAUGGGGACAACGGGUUGAAACCGUAGACGACCUCGAAGGGGGACUUGCCGGUAGUCGAAUGUCUUGCUCGGUUGUAGGCGUACUUGGCGAUGGGUAGGCACUCCUCCCACUCCUUGAUGUUCUUCUUGAUCAACACGCGUAGGAGAGUGGAGAGCGUACGCUUGGUCACCUCUGUUUGGCCGUCGGUUUGAGGGUGGUAUGCCGAAGAGAACAAUAUCUUGAUUCCGAGCUUGGCGCAUAAGGUCUUCCAAAAGUAACUCAAGAACUUGACGCCGCGUCCCGAGACAAUCAUCUUGCGUACUCCAUGGAGACGUAGUAUUUCCCUACAAAAGAGAUUUGCAACAUGUGAGGCAUCGUCUAUCUUGUUGCAUGGAAUGAAGUGAGCCAUCUUAGAGAAUCGGUCCACAACAACAAACACGGAAUCUUUACCAUUUCUAGAUCUAGGCAACCCAAGGACAAAAUCCAUGCUAAUGUCUUCCCAUGGGUGAUAUGGCAUUGUAAGGGGCAUAUAAAGGCCAUGAGAUUGAGCUUUAGACUUAGCUUUGCGACAUGUAGAGCAUCGGUUGGUGAAGCGUGCGACGUCGCGGAACAUCUUGGGCCAAAAAUAGUUCUUGGAGAGUGUAGAGAAUGACUUGUCGCGUCCAAAGUGACGCAUUAGUCAUCCUCCAUGAGAUUCUUGCAAAAGUAACAAACGAAGAGAAUACUCGGGGAUGCAAAGUUUGUUAGCUCUCAUAAGAUAAUCAUCUUUGAUGUAAUAGCGUUCCCAAGAUGUAUGUGUCAAACAUUUGGCAUAUGGAAUAGCAAAAGUAGGAUCAUGCGCAUACAAGUCUUUAAUGUGCUCAAAACAAAUUCAAUUCAAGUUUGGUGACAAGCAUGCAUAUGCGGGAAAGAGCAUCCGCCACAACAUUUUCCUUACCUUUGAUAUAUUUGAUGACAUAAGGAAAUGACUCAAUGGACUCACUCUACUUAGAAUGACGCUUGUUCAACUUAGUUUGACCCUUAAGGUAUUUAAGUGUUAAUUUCAUGGUCGGUAUGAAUGACAAAUUCAUGAGGGCGAAGAUAAUGUUCGCAUUCAUGUAAAACUUGCACUAAAGCAUAUAGCCCUUUGUCAUAGAUGGGGUAAUUGAGUUGCGGUCCAGAAAGUUUUUCGGUAAAGUAAGCAAUUGGGCGAUUCUCUUGCGUUAACACACCUCCUAUACCAUUACCGCUAGCAUCGCAAUGAAUUUCAAAGGGCUUGUCAAAGUCGGGUAAUGCAAGCACGGGAGCAUGAGUAAGCAAAUUCUUAAGCUCAUUGAAUGCGCUAUCUUGAGAUGGUCCCCAAACAAAGGGUGCAUUUUUCUUAAUCAAAGCAUGUGAAGGAGAUGCAAUGGUGCUAAAGUCCUUAACAAAUCUACGGUAGAAACCGGCUAAACCAAGGAAGCUACGUACUUGUUGCAAGUUGGUUGGUUGGGGCCAAGUUUUAAUAGCAUUGAUCUUAGAUUCAUCAACAUGAACACCCUUAGAAGACACAACAAAACCCAAGAAAACAAGCUUAUCAACACCAAAAAGGCAUUUUUCCAUAUUAGCAUAAAGGCGCUCUUUUCUAAGAAUUUGCAACACGGUUCUAAGUUGGGUGACAUGAUCUAUGAGAGAUUUUCUAAACACAAGAAUAUUGUCAAAAUAGACCACAACAAAUACACCAAUAUAAGGCCGAAGAACAAAAUGCAUGACUCGCAUGAAAGUGCCGGGUGCUUCGGAUAAACCCAUAGGCAUAACAAGCCAUUCAUAUAAGCCAAAUUUGGUCUUAAAUGCGGUUUCCCAUUCAUCGCCUUCUUGGAUGCGUAUUUGAUAGUAUCCACUUUAAAGAUCAAUUUUAGAAAAAAUUGUGGCUCCGCUAAGCUCAUCAAGCAUAUCAUCUAGGCGUGGAAUGGGGUAAUGAUAAUGCACGGUAAUAGCAUUGAUAGGACGACAAUCGGAACACAUGCAAUAUGUAGCAUCUUUCUUGGGAACAAGGAUUACCGGGACGUCACAAGGGCUCAAACUUUCUCGUACAUGGUCGUUCUCGAUGAGUUGUUGUACUUGCCAUUGGAUCUCCUUAGUUUCCUCGGGGUUGACGCAGUAGGGAGCCUUGUUAGGAAGGGGUGCUCCGGGGAUGAGGUCGAUGCGGUGUUCGAUGCCUCGUAGUGGAGGUAGACCCGGAGGUAGCUCAUUAGGGAAAACGUCUUGGAAUUCCUGCAAUAUAGAAGAUAACACUAAAGGUAGAUUGUGAGAAUUGUUAGUUUUUGGUGCCUCGUCCUUGCACAAAAGGACAUAGUGCAUGACACUUGAUGGGUUCUCACACACUUCUUUCAUCUCACUUUUGGUGGCAAAUAGGACUAGAUUUUUCUUGUCGCUCAUCGUGGAGGCACUCAAUUUGGGCUUGUGGCGCUCACUCUCUUUGUGGUGGUUCGCUCUCUCACUACUCUCCCCAGGAUGGGUGGCUUUCUUGUCGGCUAUCACUUGACUUGGAGACAUAGGUCGUAGCAAAUACUCCUUUCCUUUCAUCUUGAAGCUAUAUUGAUUGGUCCGUCCGUUGUGGAUGACGCCUUGGUCAAAUGUCGUCCAAGAAGGAGGUGGCAAACGGACACGGAACAACAUCACACUCCAAAGUGUCUUCAUAAGCUCCGAUCUUGAAGGAAACUUGCACCAUAUGCUCGACUUGGAUAGUGCCGGAGUCGCUUAGUCAUUGGACUUUGUAAGGAUGCGGGUGCUUCAUCUUGACCAAUUGGAGCUUGGAGCAUAGCUCUUCACUUGCCAAGUUAUGACAACUCCCUCCAUCGAUGAUGACCUUCACGGACUUUCCAUUAAUGCCGGCCUUGGUAUGGAAGAUAUGGCAUCUUUGGUCUUCAUCUUGUUGAUGUUGAAGUGUCUAGACCUUGGAGACAACAAGAGUGGGGCUCGAAUCUUCGUCACAAAAGACCUGAUCAUCUUCAUCAUCGUUCACUUGUCGGUGAAUGGCCACUUUCUCAAGGGCUUCCAUUUCUCCUUCACUCAUGGAGUCGUAUGUACCAUCGUCGUUGAAGAUCAUGGUGCACUUGUUGGUACACUCAAAGGACUUGUGGCCUCGGCCGCCGCAUGUGAAGCAUUUGAAGGAACUUGUCUUGAUGGUCUCAUCGGUUGGAGUAGAUGAUGAUGAAGCUCUCGUCUUGAAGUUGCAUGUACUAGGAGGACGACUUGAGGUUGUCGAAGUUUUCUUGUAACUUGACUUGUCUCCGUUGCUUGUAGAUGGCUUGGUUGAGGUAGAAGGUGUUGGAGUCGUUGACGCUUGGUUGUUGGUGAAACCAUAGGACUUGGAUGAGAACUUGGCAUACUUGAAGUCAUCUUGCACUUGACGUUCCGCUUUGGUAGCUUGGUACACUAGCUCGAUGGGGUUCGAGUAUGGUUGAAAGUCGGUGAUCCUCUUGAUGGGAUGAUAGACUCCAUUCAAGAAACGUGCCAUAGUUUGCUCAUCAUCUUCGAUGGCAUUGGCUCGUAUCAUGGCAAUCUCCAUUUCCUUGUAGUACUCUUCAACGCUCUUGGUUCCUUGCUUGAGGAAUUGGAGUUUCUUGAAGAGGUCGCGGUUGUAGUAGGUAGGCACGAAACAUGCCCUCAUGACAUCCUUCAUUUGCGCCCAAGUUGUGAUGGGUGGUUCACGUCUUGCCUCUCGGUGCUCAAUGACUUGUUCCCACCAAAUGAGGAUGUAAUCUUGGAACUCAAGGGAUGCCAUAGCGAUCUUCUUCUCUUGGUCAUAGUUGUGCAAGCGGAAGAUCUUGUCAACCUUCAAUGCCCAUGAAAGGUAAUCUUCGGGAUCACUGCUUCCGAAAAACUUGGGCAUGGUGAACUUUAGCUUGCCGUAGCGUUGCUCUUCAUUGUGUUGGGGUCGAGGGUGAUGACGUCCUUGACAAGGAGGAUUGUCUCCCUCAACUUGCUCUUGUCGUGGAGGAUUUCCAUUGUCUUCUUGCUCUUGGUGAACUUGAGGUUCUUGUCGAGCUUGUGGAGGAGCUCGUCGAGCUUGUGGAGGAGCUUGAGGAACUUGACGAUGCACUCGUGAUUGAUAAAUACUCUCUUGAACUUCAUCCCUAAGUGUUUCUUCUUAUCCGCGCCUAUGGCGGUUGUGUGCGGCAACGACGCGGCUUGUGUCGUGGAGUGCACGUUGCGCCUCAAGUGCUUACGCUUCUCGCCGUAGUUGUUCUUGACGUUGUGCCUCGGCAUCUUGCUCGUCUUGGUGUAGUAUCGCUCGUUCUUCCUCUUGUUGGCGCAGAUGUUGCCGUUUGUGUGCUUGCGCGAAUGUAGCUUGGUUUUGACGAUGUCGAUGUUCUUGCGCUCGAAGUUGCUCUUGAUGAUCGGUGUCGUGUAGAGGAUUGCGCUUUGCUUGACGAUCUUGGCGCGCAGCUCGUCGAAGAGUGUUCGAUGUUGGAGUACUUGAGCCGGAGAUAGUGUCGUCGGAGUGUCGACUCGAGCGGCUCCGUCUUGAGUAGGAUGAAGAGGUAAAAAAGAGCGGUUGACCAACAAGGCACGAAUCUAUUCCAUUCUUGCAUUGCUCUCUUGUUUUUGUUCGUCAAGCUUGUUGUCGAAGUAGUCUCUUGUACGUUGCUCGGAGAGGCGUAAGUCGGUGGCGAGAUGGUUGAUGUGGUCGCUCAUUGCUUGUUGUUCUUGAUGUAAAGCUCAUUGUGCACCAAAGAGGUGGCUCUUGGUGACGUAGGAGAUCAUCUCGUCGUCUUGCUCGAUGAAGAGUGGGUUGGUAGAAGAACUUGGCCUAUCCAUCAUUCCAAGCAAAUAUGCGAGUGGGAGAAAGAGAAGAACUUAUAUCAAAUGUACCUUGACCGAUGUUCAAGAUGGAUCAAUGAUCACUCAAAUGUGUAACAAGGAAAUACCACAAUUGGUACCAGUUCUUGUCGGUUCUCACACCUACGCAAGUAAAAGCUUAUAGUGGAGCUCGGUUAGGAUGGUGGCACAAAAUUUGAUGCAAUUUUUAGUGAGCUUCAAUAAUGUUGGAAAAGAUUCACAAAUUUGCAAAUGCAACAAGUAGACCAAUAGCAAGAUAUGGUACACGGAAACACACACACGGAUAGAUAAAUGGGGUCGUGCAACCAAGGAUUGAGCCAAAAUGUGGAAUCCACAAAAAUGCUCUUGUUGCACAACACUAGAGAGACGCUAGCACGAUUGCACAAUAGGCGGAUAUGAAACUUGUGCACAACCUACUAAGCAAAAAAUGCAACAACUUCUAUGCCAAGUAUGCUAUAUGUACGGUAUUCCGAUGGUAUGAUCCAAGAUGAUCGAGUAUGACAAUCUUAAUGUAGUAUGAUGCUAUGGUUCUUGCCUAAAAGAUCUUUGCUUAACUUUUCUUUUUGCUUAAAAGUUUGUUUGGCUCUUUGUCUUUGGAACUCUUUUCUCAUGCAAAACUUCACGAACCAAGAUAGCAAUUGCGUAUGCGAUGACAACUUUGUGACACAAAAGAUGAUACCAAGAUAUAUAUACCAAGAUGAUAUGGUAAGUAUGCAAUGGGAAGUAUGCACUAAUGUGCACAAGUGACAUUGCCGGCAAUACUCAAAGGCCUCGAUAGGCAAGAUACGCAAAAUUGGGCUAUGGUGGUUAUCAAUGUAAUGGCAAGGCGUAGACCAAGAUGUCGUCGAGAUUACCGUCCUUGCUUACGGUUGAGGGUGUCGAAAUUGUUGAGCGGUUGUUGUCGACGACGAGUCCGUGGCGAAGAUGAGCGGCAGUGAUGUUGAUGUCGAACCGUCCCUAAGUAGCCGAAACACGUUAGGAAACAGAAACCGCAACUCAAAUUCUCAAAGCAAAACAUGUCAAAAUUGUCGGAGUUGGUAGCGGUUAAGCGAUGGUGGUAUUUGCAGAAAGCGGUGGUGAUAUGCGGAAGUGAUGGUGGUAUGCGGAAGUGUAAGUGGGUACCAGAUCAAAAUUUGGUGAGAGUUGGGCGGUAAACGGUGCGGUGGAAGGAAGUGAUAUUGUCAGGGGGCGGAUGUCUGGGCUCUGGAUCCGUGGAUGAACUUGAUGAACUCAUUGGGAAAUCGAAAUUCUGGGGCAAAAUUCGAGAGAUAUUAUGGAUGGAAAUUGGGAAAAGGAUGGGGGAAAGCUAGAUCUACUUGCAACACACGAAAUCCACGGAUCAAAUCCAACAAAACUUCAUCACAACAACAAAUCAAAAAAAUUUGGGGGGCUAUUUUUGUGGGGAAUUUUUGAAUUUGGGACAAAAUCAACAAAAACAAGGCUAGAAAACGAAGAUAGGGAGGCUCCGAAAUCGUGAUCAACGUGGCUCAUGAUACCAAGAUGAUGUAGGGUGCAACCCUAGAUGGCCGAUCUUUCACGAAAGGAGCGGAUACCGCGAUGAACACGAAGAACACGAGGAGAAAUCACGAGGGGAAACACGAGAGAAUCACUCAAACCAACAAGAUUCAGUCACACAUAUGCUAGAUCCUCGAAAUACAAAGAGAUACAAGAUCCAUGAUCAAUAAGGGACGAUACAAGUAGCACAUUCUUCUCCGUGAGGAGGUCUUGAGGUCUUCCCGUUAGGUGUCUUGACUCCGCUUGGGGGAUCUUCUCCGUAGAGGUCGUGAACUCCGGUGGAGAAGUAACCAAGGGGAUGAGCAAAGCUCUAUCUCUAAAUUGAGCUAAUCCUUUGCUAACCCUAGAAAGAGGGAGGAGAAGGAGUAUAUAUAGUCUAGGUGGGAAAAGGGGUACACGGGCCUCGGCCCUUUACUCUGCGCAGACAGACGGGGCCGAAUGUCCGGGCGUCGGGCCGGAUGUCCGAGCUGGGGGGCCGGAUGUCCGGGCUGGCGAGGUCAGCCUCGGUGCUCUCUGGAUAAGGGGCGCCGGAUUUGCGGGCUUCUGGCCUGAUUUCCGGGCUGGGUCGGAUGUCCGGGGCCUGUAGGUACUUGGCGGCUGGGCAGCUACUGUGGGUGAUGUUCCAGGGGCUGGAUGUCCAGGUCCAGGGAGUUGUUCUUGACUCCUUCCGUUGGUUCUCUUCAUCCAUGCACUUGGGGACUUGUCCGUCUUCACGUGCAUAUUCGGGUGUGUUCUCUUAGUAUCUAAUCAUGCACAACAUUCCGGACUUAGGUAGUAGCCACGUCUUGAGUGGAUCAUAUGUGAUAUCACUAAGGAAAGAAGUCACCUCGCUCUCGAGAGCUCUAGCUCGUGCUCAUGUCAUAGGCCCUCUUAGCACUUGGUGAGACGAUGGUAGGUCCAUGGGGAUGACCAUAGGAUGCUCCACAUCACGGGUACUCCAACAUCCUUUAUAGGAGUAAUGACCCGCAUUAGUAUGCCUUGUUAGAGUUACAAAGCUAGAAUGUCAUGAUGCAAUUUGUUAUUCAUGACCGAUUUGCCACAAACAUGCAAGGAAAACAACAAAAUAUGAAAUCACUUCAGCUUGGGAAACGUUAGAGAUCAUUUGGCACAAGUUUUCUUUAGAAUUCUCACAUAACUUUACCACUAGAAAACGAGGCGUGGUCGUCGCCUCCCUUUUCAAGAAAGGACUUAGGAUUCCUCACACCCCACCCCACCUGCGCCAUCUCCAGUCCACCUCGUCUCCAGUGGCCCUAGGGCCAUGGAGUCGUGGUGGACCCGGGCUCUUGCUGGAGGGAGGGAUCUUGCUAUUUUUCUUGUUGUUUUUGUGAGGUCCUAUAGGGUUUGUGUCCUACUCAGAAAGACGAAUGGCGGUGGCUCCUUGAAGAUUGAAUAAGGUUCUCCCCGCCUGAUCCCUGUUUCGAUGAUGUUUCUAGAAUCAUCAGAGGGCACGCGGAGGUGUGUCUCCAACAUAUCUCGUGGGAUUCGGUCGGUGCUGGUCUUCGGUGGAUCCGCCUGGAUCCGGCCUUUGUUUGUCUUUAUUCGUGUGUCUGCGGGUUGGAUCCUCUCAAUCUAUACUUCUCUUCACCGACGAUGGUUGUUGUUCUUGUGCGCUGGUUCUAUGGGGCCUUAGCACGAGGACUUCCUGACUGUCUACUAUAGCAUGCUUGGUCCAGCUCCGGUGAGGGAGGGGUGAUGACGACGUCGCACAUUCGGCUCACUCCAGUACUUGUAAUCAUUGCUAGGUGCUCUACAAACAUGCAUGUUUAUUAAUUCUCUGUUCUUUGUACUGCCAUGACAUUGCAAAUAGAUCGGAAGUUUUCUCGAAAAAAAGAAAUGUUACCAGUAGAAAUGUAUUACCUUUGGAUACAUUCCACAGUCCCUGGGCGUCAAGGAUAGCCUCCGCCAUGAUCACCCAGGAGGUGUAGCUCGUCAUUGUCAACGACUCAACGGCGGCAGCUGUAACGACAUCGCCCCGCCACCACCACUGUGAGGGACGAGCGACAUGGCCGCCGGUGAUCGCCUCGAACCGUAGCUCUGAUGCCAAUUGUUGUUGUCUAACCCUAAACCCUAGCUCUCUCUCUCUCACCGUAGCACUCUCUCCUCUCUCUGGUGCACUCGAAUGACACAAGGAAGAAGAAGACCGGAGGAAGAAGAAGGACACAGGGGACACGGUGGUUUUUCCGGCGCAACGACGCCCAGCGCAACAACGCCAAUUUCACGAGCACGUACUCGACACCACACCCAUUACAACGAGCUCCACAUGGGUCUUAUACCCAGGGCCAGCAGUGGGCACGACCCACGCUCCCACCCAGUCCACGCACUUGAUUCGGCCCGCUCUGGCCGUUCCCACAACGCGCACACACGCGCGGGGAUCGCGCCGAGCCCGCAACGGAUCAGUGCCAAUCACCCCGUCCAGCUCGCCAACGGCCUGGACCUGGUCUGGUGCCUCGGGCGCACACACGCGCAUUCGCACCCCCUGCUCUACCUACGCACGCACACAUACAACCCAGACCUGCCCCGUACACUGGUCGGAUACAGGUCAGACUAUGGCCAGAGUAUGGACUUGUCGGAACAUGGCCAGACAAUGGCCAGACAUUGGCCAGACACUCACACACGCACGCACGCCACGCAUCCGAUGCGUGCCCCGCACGCACACACGUACACCCGAUGCGGUCGCCGUGGCUUAUUGCCAACAUGAAUUAAUUGUGUGUGUUUAUUUAGAGGGGUCUAUCAAUUUGGGAGCAUGGCGGUGUGGCAACCGGCUCACGCGUGUCCGACGUGCUCCCCAGUGUUGCCGGCGUGGUCAGCAUCAUCGCUGCUCGCCGCACAGUAAGUGUUCGACGAAAUGUAUGAGUUAAACAAAUCUUUGCUCCAGUGAGUUUAGGGGAUCGCUAGAAACGACCAAAAUUUAGGAAUAGAAGUACCCCACGAAAGGAUAGUGGGACGUUUACUUCUCUAAAUUUUAAGGGAUUGGUUAGAGAUGCCCUAAAUGCCGGAGUCAGAUACAUUACUGUUCAUGAUAGGUCUUCUCGUCUGAACUGAGAGCUGCUGUCAUCACAAAAAACGUAUUAUAAGCACUAUAUAUUUGAAAUUUUGAAUGGAGGGAGUAUGGAAUUACAGAAUGAGCACACAAAGGACGGUCCUUGCACGAUUUAUGGACGAUAGAGCCAGUUGAGCCAUUCAUCACAUCUGAUGCGUGGAUUUGCACCUUUGGAUCAUCGCUCGUGCAAGGAUCGUGCAAAGACUAUCGUUCGUCAAGUAGUUUCGUUACAGAACUAGAAUGUCACGAUGGAAUCUUGUUGUCCGUGACCAAUUUGCCACAUACCACUACUAGAAAAAGGGGCUUUUGGCCCGGUUGGUAAGGCCCUUUAGUCCCGGUUUAGGGUCGUUACUAAUGCCUCUACCCACGUGGAGCUCCACCUUUAGUCCCGGUUGGUAACACCAACCGGGACUAAAGAAAAUUUUAUGAUUUUUUUGAAACAUUUUUUAAAAAAAAAAUUAGAAUUUUUUUUAUUUUCAAAUUUCUGAAUUAUUUUAACCUCUAAUCUCUAAUCACCACCCCUCAUCACUGCUCAAUUUAUCCUCUAAUCUCUAAUCACCCCUCAUCAUUCCAAAUCAUCUAACUUCCCGGACGGUCACCCAUCCUCUCACUACUCCAGCCUGAGUACGCUUAACUUCCGGGUUCUGUUCUCCCUCGUUUCCAAGUCUGCACUUAUUGUUUUCCUGACAAUAGUAAGUUGUCAAUCCUAUUAACCCUCGGGAAUUUGGCUUGAGCAUGAAGUGACACAUUUCACUGUUUGAGUCUGAAACUAUUGUUUUAAAAAACAAUAAUUAUUUAAUAACACUAAUAUUUCUUGAAUAAUUAGUUUGACCAUUGUUUGACCAGAGUUUGACCAGAUUUGACCUAAAUUAAAAAAACUGAAAUAAUUAUUUAGUAACACUAAUAUUCUAGAAUAAUUAGUUUGACCAUUGUUUGACCACGGUUUGACCACAGCUUGACCAGAUUUGACCAAAAUUCAAAAAAACUGAAAUAAUUAUUUAGUAACACUAAUAUUCUAGAAUAAUUAGUUUGACCAUUGUUUGACCAUAGUUUGACUAGAUUUGACCAUAGUUUGACCAGAUUUGACCAAAAUUCAAAAAACUGAAAUAAUUAUUUAGUGACACUAAUAUUCUAGAAUAAUUAGUUUGACCAGAUUUGACCACAUUUUUUCCAAAAAAAAUUGAAACUAUAUUUUUUUGUUACUAGUGGCGCACCUAGCAAAUGGUGCGCCACUAGUAAGUUUGAAAUUUUUUCGAUUUUUUUCCACUCUAGAUCUUAAAAGCCCCGUAACUUUUUUUCUGUUAGGUUUUUGAGGAUUUUGAAAAUGUUUAAAGGGGUACCCCGGUUAAAUUCGGAUGUAACUUUUUGAGUAGAUGAUUUUUUAUAUAAAAAACUUUUUAAUCUGAGUUCGUAUGCAAAAGUUAUGCCCAGUUUACAAAUUCCAGAGAGAUUUUGCAAAUAAAGUCGAAAUUCAUAUUUGUAAAUUUUCCCAACAACUAGACCACAUAUCACAUGGGAAACUUAUUUUAUUUUAUUUUUUUGACAUUUCCAUCAUUUUUUUUUUCUAAAACUGAAAAGGCGGUCCACAGGGAGGGAGGGGGGUAGGGUUUGAAAAUAGGACCUUUAGUACCGGUUCGUGCCAUGAACCGGUACUAAUGCCUCAAAGCCCAUUAGUACCGGUUGGACCUUUAGUCCCGGUUGGUGCCACCAACCGGUACUAAUGGGCAUCGCACCCUUUAGUCCCGGUUCGUGGCACCAACCGGGACUAAUGCCUUAGCCGCACGAACCGGGACAAAUGCUCACAUUAGUCUCGGUUCGUGACUGAACCGGGACUAAUGUGAAUACUGCCCUGUGACCAAAGCCCUGUUUUCUACUAGUGUACGUGCGUGGAAGACUGCAAAAUAUGAAACCACUUCAGCUUGGGAAACGUAAGACAGAAUUUGGCACAAGUUUUGUUCAGAAUGCUCACAUAACUUUACCACUAGAAACCAUAAUAUGGAUUAACAUAAGCGGGUGGAACUUAACUAACGGGACACAAGUUCUUAUUCAUGCCAGUAGAUGGCUAAAUUGGAUCAACUAACUUAGCAGUGCAAACCCAGGAGGCCAGAACCAAAAGUACACCCGCUAAACACAACUAGUACUAUCUGAAGACUCCAAUGCAUAAGCAUUCAGAUCCUUAGCGCUUUAGACUUGUUAAUUCUUCUAGGAGCCAGCUUCUUGAUGUUUCAGGCUUGUUUUCUUCUUCGAGCC